rnacentral:lncRNA from 1 species
CGACAAGACUGCUCUUACACCAUUUGAUCCUAGCAUCAAACUAGUGCGAAACUCUGGUGAUAUUCUUGAUCAAUUGACAUAUUCUCAGAUUGUUGGGAGUCUUAUGUAUGCCAUGCAUUGUACCAGGCCAGAUAUUGGUUAUGCAGUAGGAACUUUGAGCAAGUUUACUGGUAGCCCUGGAGUUGAGCAUUGGAAUGCCUUAAAUCGUGUUUUAAGGUAUCUGAAGGGUACAAUUAAUGUUGGCCUGCAUUAUUCUACCUUUCCAGCAGUUCUUGAAGGCUAUAGUGAUGCUGCUUGGAAUUCUGAUCCGAAUGACUCUAAAUCUAUUACUGCUUGGAUUUUCACCUUAGCUGGAGUAGCAAUAUCUUGGAGAUCAAAGAAGCAGACGUAUUACUCACUCAACCAUGGAGUCAGAAUUUAUCGCUGUGUCUUCUGCUGGAGAAGAAGCUGAUUGGCUGCGAAGUAUGCUGAUAGAUAUUCCAUUAUGGGGUAAACCAAUACCACCUUUGACUAUAUAUUGUGAUAAUAAAACUGUUAUAUUUCGAGCUUCAAGUAAUUGUUACAAUGGCAAGUCAAGACAAGUUCGUCUCAAACACAAUCAUGUGAGAACAUUAUUGGAGGAUGGCAUAAUAUCGCUUCAAUAUGUGAAGUCCAAACUCAAUUUAGCAGAUCCUUUGUCUAAAAGGUUAGGCAAGGAAUUGGUGGUACAAACUUGUAAUGGGAUGGGAAUAAAGCCUGUUGUAGAUUGACUGUACUUGAUGGUAACCCUACCUAAUGAUGUAAUCUUAGGUUCAAAGGGAAGAACAAGUAAAGUUACAAUUGUGAAGCACAUCAAUAAAAUUUUCUUUUUCCCUAGAGAGUGAGUAGAUGUGCAUAAGUUGAGAUUUAUUCUCUUGAUAAAUCUAUAAGACCGAUAUCGGUUGGAGUAAAUAAUAACACUCUUGAUAGAUUCGACAGUAUUCCUACAAAAGAAAAGAAUGAGAUUAUAUUCUCUUGUUAAGUCUAUACAUCGAUUUCAGUUGGAGUGUGUAGGAACACUCUUAAUAGAUUUACUGAUACUCUGUUGUAAAGGAGGAUGAGAUUAAUUUCUCUUAAUGAAAUUCAUAGACUACUUAGUCGGAGUAUGCAAAGUUACUCUUGAUGAAUUCACCGCACUAAGUACGAAGUGGAGGCCGCUUCAAUAAGAUUUUUACAGGAAAAUUUUAAAGCACUUAGCUAAAAGGAUUCGGGACACAUGGCCGUAAGGUGUCAAAUGAUUUUGAUUUUCAUCGGAACAUAGCAAUAUGCGUGGAGUAUUUUUCUACUUCAUUCAAUGAACCACUUAGUUCAAGAUUUGUUCACUAAGUAGUCAAUGAUUUAGAAAGCCUUCACUAGCUAAUGGUUUAAGUCCAAAAGACACCAUAUUGAUGCAUGUUGCUAGAUUGAUGUCUUAAAUGAAUUUUGUUUUUUUUUUCAAAGAUAAAAUUUCUUGAAACAAGUGGGGGAUUGUUGAUUUUAUGGUUUAUGUUUCAAUUAAUUUUUUGGAACAUGUGCAUCGGUUAAAAAUGUUUUAUGUUUCAAUUAAUAUUGAAACAAAUGAAUUUUGAGUUACAAAGAAAGUGAAUAUGAAAUUACAAUUGAAACAAAUGCAUCUUGAGUUACAAAUGCAUUAACAAUUGUAANNNNNNNNNNNNNNNNNNNNNNNNNNNGAGAGACAUUGAUCAAAUGGUGAAAUCACCAAUUCAAGAAUAAAAGAGCAACAUUCUUGAAUGCUACUUGUUUUGUGGCUUAGUUGAAUCCCGAAGAUAGAGUUGUCACUUAUUCUUCCGUUUGCUCGUGGGAGAGACUCCAACUAUCUUCAAGAAGCGUAUUAUCGUGCCUCUAAGCCAAACAAGUUUUAUUUUAAAUUUCUUGUACAAUUAUCAUUAUUGUUCUAACAGAAGAAUCAAAGUUCAGUAUACAUAUUCCUCCCGCUCUUUAGCUAGUACCUCAUGUUGAAGCAUGUGCAAUAUCCAUAAUGUAGGAGUGACCACAGUACAACCACCAGAAUACAGUUCUAUUUAUUACACGGGUUUAACUUUCAUGCACUGAGAGUAUAAAAGUUAGCAACAUGUUAUACUCAGUUAAACUACACAGUUAGUGUACAAAAUCUAAAAGCUGAUAGGGUAAAUAAUUAAAACCUUUCCACUAAGAAACAAACUGCCGCCAAGAACUGCCUAUAUCUCAACAGACAAGCGGAUUGUAAAAAAAAAAUACUUAGCUAAUGAGGAACAAAUGAACAUUACUACAGCGAGGCAAACAGAAACGCUUAGCUACAGAUAACUUGUCCACAAGAGUGUAGAGUGCAUAAAGCAAUUUACCAUUUGACUUUCUCCUCCAAUCUUUAGUAUGUCAGAGAGUUGAUUCUAAUCAAACUUUGUCCUCCUUGAUGCGCUUACGAGCUCAAUUUCAAUAUCAUGGAGAUUGCCUCUUUGAUAUUUCACAUGUUAUUCCUAACAUGGAUCCCACCUGCCGUCACUCUAUUGUUAGGAAGCAAUAAAUGAGACUUGUGUAAUAAUAGGAUCAGUUAAUUGAAGGUAAUCAAAUGCAUAACAUGGCAUAUAUUAGUCUUGGCAAAGCAAGGGAGAUUGAAAGAGCAAGUUGUGUACUAAAUAUCAUGUUUUAUUCAUCCUAACUAUUACAUAAGAAUCAAAAGUUUGAGUACACAUGCAUAGUUACUGUACAGUUUGUGUUAGUGUUCUGAUUCCUAUAUCAGAAACAAAUUUCAGACAAAUAAACCAAUGAAUGAACUAUUCAUCACAACUCAAAUGCCUAUCGAGGGAAGCAGUUCAAAAUGAUACUGUGCAGCUCUAUCAUGAUCUGCAAUCCAAAGUUCCGGCCUUGACAGAAUCGCUAUCUGCCAGGGGUGCUUCACGCUCAACUAUAUAAGGCUGAUAGCCUGCAGCAGUUGACAGAUUACCUGAGCCACCACUACUGCUAACAGACCUUUCAAUGUCAUCAAGAUCAGCAAUGAGAGAAAUUGGUCUUUCUGGUAUGGUUGGAACAGGUAUCUCAGUGUCCAACAUGUUCACAACCUGGUCCAUCGUUGGCCUCGCGUACAGUUGUGGAUGAGAACAAAGAACAGCCACCAAUACAUACUUCUCCAUAACUUCUGGAGGGCCUAAAUGAGGAAUGUUGUCUUCAAGAACAUCUAAUGCUCUUCCUUCCCUAACCAAUGACCAGGCCCAAUCAGUCACAAGCGUCGGCUGCCCAUCUUUAAACUCUAUUAUUGCUUUCUUUCCACUCAAAAGCUCAAGAAGCACAACUCCAAAGCUAUAAACAUCACUUCUUUCUGUCAACUGGCCAUACAAAGCAUACUCGGGUGCUACAUAUCCCAUCGUCCCUGCUACACGAGUGCUCAAAUGUGUCAUCCCUUCAGGAGUGAACUUUGCCAAUCCAAAAUCCGCCACCUUAGGUUCAAAACUCUCAUCUAAAAGUAUAUUACUAGCCUUAAUAUCCCUAUGAAUAAUACCCGGUUGUGCUCCGUAAUGCAGGUAAGCUAAACCUCUAGCAGUGCCAAGUGCAAUCUUCUGCCUAGUACCCCAACUCAAUUUUUCAUGUCUCGUCCCAAAUAAAUGGUCAUGAAGACUCCCAUUCUUCAUCAAAUCACAAACAAUGAUCCUCUGGUGACCUUCAAAAGGGGUGGUCGCGGUGCAGUAGCCUCUCAAAGCAACCAAAUUAACAUGCCUAACACUCGCAAUAACCUCCACCUCAUGUAUGAAAUUUGCAUCUCCAGAAACUGAACAAUUCUUGAACCUCUUCAAAGCUACUUCAAUCCCACCCGGCAACACACCCUUAUACACAUUUCCAUACCCUCCUGUCCCAACUAUAUUCAUCCUGGAGAAAUUCUUCGUGGCCGCCUUAAUUUCAUCAAAAGUAUACCUAAUCAGAGUAGUACUUCCACUAAUCGAAUCCAAACGAGAACUCAAAUUACUCUCCAGUCUCCUAGUAUUCCACUUUUUAGCCAAUCCAAUUUUCCUCCGCCGCCACAAAAACCAAUAACCAACCACAACAAGUCCAACAACCAACACACAAAUUACCACCACCACCACAAUAACAACCACAUUCUUCUUACCUUUUCCCGAGCCACCACCAGUAACAUCAAGUAGAAACAAGCAUUUUGCAGUGCCUUCAUCAGUAGGUCCAUACUGAUUUGCAAAAGCAGCUGCAUAAACUGAAGGAUAAGCAGCACAAUCGAAUAAGUUCCCCGCAGAAGGGCCAGGUAGAUACGAAGCAAGACCAGAUAAACUAGUAGUACAUGUAGCACAAGGAGAGUUAUUCUCUAACGACUGAUUACACGAAGAAAUAAUGUUCGUAAGCGCAGCUGGAGCCACCUUAGACUCGAACUCAGAACGCGUCGUAAUAUUCAUACAACCCUGAGAGAUCCAUGAUGUUUGAAUCCCACAAGCACGUCGGAUAUCGAAGUUGCCAGAAUAGUCGUUGACCAAAGAUUGGUAAGAGUUCCAGCAAGAAUCAGCUGAACUGAGAGGUGGCAAGAAAGUGUUGGUACGACGAAGAUAAUCAGAUUGGACAAGGCGUAAACCUUGUCGAAUGUAUUGACACUGUGCUGUGGAGUUCAAAGCUGGUCGUCUUGAAUUUUGAUCUAUGACUUUGCGAAGUGCACCGAAAUCAAAAGGACAUGAAGUUGAAGAAUUUAAACUUUGUCCAUAACAAGAGGAGGAUAAGUAGAAAAAGAGCAAGAGGUGGAGAAAGGGGAACAUGGUUGAGAAUUAAAGAAACAAGAUUAGUAAUGGAGUUUGUUUACCCUAGUCACUUUAUUCAAUUGACGAUUUAAUCAAUAUAAAUACUUUCGUAUCACGUUGUUCAAGAAAAAACUGGAUCUAAUGAACUCCUAUCUCAAAAUAUGGUGUGCUGGUUACGGAGGUGAAAGGUAGUGAAGCUUGUUUGUUCUAGUCACUUUAUUCAUUUGUCCAGAAUCAAUACACAUACUUGAACAAACACUCAUCUAAUGAACCCCUUGCUCAAAAUAUGGGGUGAGGUCAAAGAGUUGUUGAGUUGGAUGAUGAUUAUAGAAUCAAUCAUCUAUCAUAUUCGUUAGUAAUAGUAUUAUUUUCAUGGAAAUGAGUAAUAUUCAUAACUGGCAGGCAGACAACAUUUUGGAGUUUUGGGGUUCUAAUUGUGUAGGUUCUGGGAAAUGGGUUGGAGUGUUGAGAUUUGAGAUGUGUUCUGUCUCAUAUGGGAAGUGGGUCCUACUUUAUGUCACUGUUUAGUCAAAACUUUCAAAGAAAAGAAGUCAAAAACGAAUUAGGCUCGUUUGAUUGGGAAUAAGUUGUCCCAAAAUAAUUAAUUUUAAAAUUAAUUAUCCCAUCUAGAAUAAUUUAUUCCAUCACUAAAAUAUAAAUAAUAAAAUAAGUAAUUCCUUAACUAACUUAUUUCAUAUUUUUCCAUAAUUUAUUCCAAAAUUAUUAUAACAUCCACCUCACACCAAACGACCCCUUACUUCCUAUGGUUCACAUGGAACCUGUUUGGUUGAAGCAGUUAAAAGUUUUGAAAUUGGUGUAUGUUGUUGGUGUACUUUAUAUGGAGUCAAGGGUGGCUCAAAUAAAUUAGGGGCUUGUCUUUAAGAAAAAAUAAUUUUUAUAUAAAGUGUUUUAAGAAAUUAUAUAAUUAAUUCCUUCUACUAAUAUCUUUCUAAAAUUAAUGAGAUCUUUCUAAAAUUAAUGAUAUAAUUAAUAUAUUUAUUCUUUCUCAAAUUAUCAGAUUUUAAAUAUAUCUAACUCCUUGAAGCCCUGUAUGGAGUAUAUUAUUAAAAAAAAGAGAAGAAGAAGAAGAGGAAUUAAGCUGCUUUAUUGAUAAAAUGGUAAAAAUAUUCUUAAAGAAUAAAUCUAAAAGCAUAUUUGUAAAGGAUAGGAAAAAUGACGUAUACGAAACAGAAAGGAAAUUAGGGAUUUUGUUUUCAAAGUAUAUUGUGAUUAUAAAAAGUAAAGAAAAAUAUCAAGGAUAAACUAUAAAAUUUCGAUAGAAUAUGUAUGCGCUGAAAAAUCAUUAACUAGUAGUAUCAAUUUAUAAUUUUUGACUCAUUUUGAUUUGUAGGAACUUUAUUGAUAAUUUUUUUUUUCAUGUUUAUUACAUACAUAAAUAAGCUAAAAGAUAUUUAUAGGCUAGUUUAACCAACCUAUAAGAUUAAGAAACUCACUUCAUAAUCUUUUUAUAUGUGAGUGGAUGAGAGGUAGCACACAUCCAAUAAACUAAUCUAAUGUGCAAAUGCUUUCUUUUAUUUUAAUUUAUUCAUCUAAUUUAAAUUCGAGAAGAAUUUUUUAUAAAAAAGUUAAAUUAAAUAUAAAAAAAAAAACACCAAAUGCUGCUACUACUAUUUUACAAAAGCUGACUCGAGUUUUGAUAGGAUUGGCCCAGCUAUAGGUAACACCAACUCCCUCCUUUGGAGUUUCAUGGCUGUGGCCUGGAUUCUAUUGUAGGACCUUCUCUAAUGGUAGGAAAAGUCAAUUUGAAAUUCUUAGUAGGUAGUCAUUUCUCAUUUGGAUGCUAUAUAAUCUGUUUGCUGUUCAAUGAUUUAUUAAGAAAAAGUCUGAACCUAAUAGCUUGAAUUGGCAGUGGGUUAAUUAAUUCUUGGAACAUACUAGGAUUCUUUUUUGAGUUUAAUCUCUACGUAUUAGAAGUGUAAAAAAAAAUUAGGGAAAAAAUAUAAAAUUUCUCCUAAAACUUGUCACCACAACUUACUUUAAUAUUUUAAUUUUAUAGGUAAUUAUUUACCUCUUUAAACAACUUUCGCAUAUAUUAAAUAUCAUCUCAAAAUAUAAUACCACUCUUAUAUUGAAAAGUGUAUUACACUAACACUACAUUAUUGCCAUAUAGCAGCACAUCGUUGCCACGCCAGAACAAAAUAAAAUAAAAUUUAAAAAAAAUUAAUUUCACUAGACGACUAAUUUAGCACUUAUAGUAGAUUACUAUCCAUUUAAAUCAGGGCUUCAUAUGGUUAUAUUCACCUUACAAGCCAGUAUACAUCUUAGCUUAUCAUAUUUUUAUAAAUUUUUAUUCUUAUAAAAUAAUUAUAAAAAUUUCAACUAAUUAUAUAUCUUCGUUAGAUGUAUCGAAAGUUAAUUAUAUAACUCAACAGAUCAAAAUUAUAAAUAAAUGUAUCGGGAGCUAAUUAUGUAUCUUUAGAAAAAAAAUAUUUUCAUUAAAUGUAUUAUGUAACUCAACAGAUUCAAAAUAAAAAAAAAUGUAUCAGGAGCUAAUUAUAUAUUUUUACAAAGAAAAAAGUAUAUCUCCGUUGGAUGUAUUGGGAGUUAAUUAUGUAUCUCAACAGACCUAACAUAAAAAAUUUCAGUAAUUAUGCUUAAAAAUGUACCUGCAUUGGAUGUAUUAUGUAUCUCGACAUACCCAAAAUCAAAAAAAUGUUUCAGGAGCUAAUUAUUUAUCUUUAUAAAGAAAAAAAUAUAUUUUCAUUGGAUGUGUCGAGAGCUAAUUAUGUAUCUCGACAGAUUCAAAAUUAAAAUUUUCAAUAAUUAUGCUAAAUAUCAGAACUUUAUAUAAUUAAAUUUCAAAUUAUCGAAAUUUAUAUUAUUUAUCCUUUUUGUAUUUACGAAAUUUUCUUCGAGCCCAAAUCACAUAUGCCAUGGCCCAACAUUUCCUACUCUUUCUCCUACUUACUACUAGAUAGUAGUGGUCCGUGCUAGCACGGCCCAAUGUUGAAACACUCUUAUUAGCGAAACGACAUACAAUAUUUGUUUAUAGUAUAUGAUUAAUGUUAACAUCCAUUGUUCAUUAUUUACAUCCACAUGUGUACUACUUAUACUAUUUACAUACUGAAAAUGGCCAUGCUUAUAGCUUCUUAAGCCACUUUUAGCGAAAAGUACCUGCAUAAAUGUAAAGUAUAAGUUCUUGCAUAUUGUCUUUCUAAAUUGUACCGUCCCUUUUGCACAUCUAAUAUAUAAAAAAGUGUUUCUAUGAAUGACUCGGAAAGAGACUACAUGUACAACAACAACAAUAAACCUAGUAUAUUCCCAUAAAGUGGGGUUUGGGGAGGGUAGAGUGUACGCAGUCCAUACCACUACCUCUAAAAAGGUAGAGAAACUGUUUCCGAUAGAAUUCCGACUCAAGAUUAAAGACAGUAUAUAAAAGCAUCAAAAGCAAGGAACAUGAUAAAAUAACAUAGGUACGACAUCCACAGAAGAUUGUACAUUGCCAAACAAGGAACACCAAAGUCCACCUAAUUACUGACUACGACUCAUCCACACCCUUAGCCAUCUAUCCUAAUGUUUUUCCUCCAUAUCUUCCUAUCCAAGGUCAUGUCCUUAGUCAACUGUAACUGCUCCAUGUCACGCUUAAUCACUUCUCUCCAGCAUUUCUUUGGUCUACCCCUACCCCGCUUGAAACCUUUCAAGGCCAACCUCCCACACCUACUAACUGGGGCAUCUGUACCCCUCCUCAUCACAUGACCAAACCAUCUCAACCUUACUUCUCGCAUUUUUUCCUCCACAGAUACCACUCCCACCUUCUCCCGAAUAAUAUCAUUCCUAACCCUGUCAGCCUUUGUGAAACCACACAUCCAACGCAACGUCCUUAUUUUUGCCACUUUCAACUUCUGGAUAUGAGAAUUCUUAACCGGCCAAUACUCCGCUCCAUACAACAUAGAAGGUCAGAUUGCAAUUCUAUAGAAUUUGCCUUUUAGCUUGUGGGGCACCUUUUUAUCACAUAAAAUACCUGAAGCGAGCCUCCAUUUCAUCCAACCAGCCCCAAUACAGUGAUAGACAUCCUCAUCUAUCUCUCCAUUCCCUUGAAUCAUAGACCCGAGAUAUUUAAAACUAUCCCUCUUGCAAACCACCUGAGAAUCCAACCUCCUCCUCAUGCCUCGAGUCACUAAACUUGCAUUCUAAGUACUCCAUCUUGCUCCUGCUCAACCGGAAACCUUUAGACUUUAGGGUUUGUCUCUAAACCUCCAGCUUAUCAUUAACCCCUUAUCGCGACUCAUUAAUCAAAACUAUAUCAUCUGCAAAAAGCAUACACCAAGGCACCUCGCUUUGUAUAUUCCGCGUCAACACAUCCAUCACCAAAGUGAAUAAAAACGGACUAAGAGUUGAUCCCUGGUGCAACCCUGUUAAUAUCGAAAAAUGUUCAGAAUCUCCUCCCACAGUCCUUAAGUCUUCGCCCCCUCGUACAUGUCCUUAAUCGCUCUGAUGUACGCCACCAGGACCCCUCUGACCUCUAAGCAUCUCCAAAGAACCUCCCUAAGGACUUUGUCAUACGCCUUUUUCAAGUUAAUAAACACCAUGUGAAGAUCCCUUUUCCUCUCUCUAUACUGCUCUACCAGUCUCUGCACAAGGUGAAUUAACUCAACAACUUAAUACCCCGGUAGUUAUUGCAACUCUGAAUGUCACCCUUGUUCUUAUAUAAGGGAAUCAUCAUGCUCCAUCUCCACGCCUCAGGCAUCUUUGCUGACUUGAAAAUAUUGUUAAACAAGUUGGUCAGCCACCUUAACCCUGCCCCGCCAGAGAACUUUCAAAAAUUCACCAAAAUCUCAUCAGGCCCGUCGCCCUGCCCCUUCGCAUCUUGUGAAUAACCUCACUGACCUCCUCUACCUUAAAACACCGACAAAAGCCAAAGUCGCGACACUCCCCGGAAAGCUCCAACUCCCCUAACACAACACCUCUGUCCCUUUCAUCAUUCAAAAGCCUAUGGAAAUACAACUGCCAUCUUUUCUUAAUGAGGGCAUCUUCCACCAAAACUCUGCCUUCCUCCCCCUUAAUGCAUUUCACCUGGUCUAGAUCACGACCCUUCCUCUCCCUAACCUUGGCCAGCCUAAACAACCUCUUCUCCCCGCCUUUCUCCUCUAACUCCUUAUACAAACUCUCAAAAGCUGCUGUCUUAGUAGUCGUAACUGCUAGCUUAGCCUCCUUUUUAGCUAACUUGUACUCCUCCCUGCUCACCCGCUUCUCUUCUUCAUCCUUGCUCUCAACCAAUUUACCGUAAGCCGCCUUCUUCGACUCCAUCUUCUUCUUAACAUCUUCAUUCCACCACCAAUCCCCCUGAAACCGGCCAGACCAACCCCUCGAAACACCCAACACCUCCCAAGCAGACUCCCUAUCAACCAAGUAAAUAAAAGUUCACUCAUAAGAUUGGUACACCACCUUCAACCGACUGUUGGUGAGCAUUUCUAGCAAAGAUUGAGGACUGUUGGUGACCAAUUCUAGCAAAGCUUGAGGACUGUUGGUAAGCAAUUCUAGCAAAGAUUGAGAUCCCAUUGACUCCAAGCAACUGACAACAUGUAUCAACACUUCAACCUUAUUCUUCGAAAAAUCAACACUAAACCUGAUAAUUGACAAAAGAAAUAGCAUUUUUUAGUACGGUGUAAUUGAAGCACUAUGUUAUGCAAGUUAAAUCAACAGAUACACUACACUGCACGCAAUAUUCAUGAUUGCAUAAGGUUGUUACUUGAAUGGGAGGGAGAACACACAACCAGAUGUAGGCCUAAAAAGACCAAAAGAGCUCAACAUGCCAGAGUUCAAUAUCUGAUAUCUUCUUUAAUUUUCCAGCUUAUGGACCACAGCGCAAACAACAUGAAUCGGAAAUAGAUCACUGCAGCAGAAUCAAUAAGGGUUCCCGGAUCGAAAUCUGGCCACCAUUAUCUCAUUUGGUGGUUAUCAAUAGCCCUUACAAGAAAAUGAUAUACACUUAACCGUAACAUUAGUUAGUUAAUACUGUAUCACUCACUCCCUCAAUCUCUACUUGUUCUGUGUACUAAAAGUAGAUUGUACAACAGUACUUAAAGGAUCUAAAUUUUCCAGUAAAUCUAUACACACAGUAACAGAGCCACAUGUGGUACACCAAUAAGAACUCAAAAACAUCAACCAACAACAUUAAAAUACCAAAAAGCAUUCUUCAUGGAGGUACACAACAUCCAACUAAGGUAACACAAAAUUCCUUUUCUCUUUGAGGAAUUUCGACUUGUGUUUUCCUAGUAAAAGGUCAUUUUUCUGCAUGUUGAUAUAAAAAGUUAGUCAAUAAACAUCUAUUGGCAUUUGGCGACACAAAAGAUCUUUCUCUAUGUUCCAUUAUAACACAACCAUCAACUUUCUUGUUCCACCAAUGAUUUCGUAAAAUAAUGUAGCUUUGUAUGUUUGAAUUCAUAGGAAAUAAUGCAUUUGAUAAGAACUGAUACUCCUGACUAAUAAGAAAUUAAUAAUUUAAAUAAAGUGUAACAGAAUUAGUGAUAGUAGAGUUGGUACCUUGUGUAAUGGCAGGGAACAAAAUAAGCGAAUGGCAAAAGGGACUUUCCUUUACCAUCAACUGGUGAUGAGAGCCGAGGCUGCUACAGCGCAAGAAUUUGGAGAAAUUAGAGCUAUACUUUGGUAUCAAUGGAAAGUGAUACUGUAAGACUGAGUGAUGCAAAUACUUAAAAGGAAAAAUGCCGCAAUUUUUCUCUGAUUUGAGAAUUGAUCUUGGGAUACCAGAGCUUUUGAUUAUCCUGAGAAACUUUAAUUUGAUUCUCUCUCUGUUUUGAUUUGUUUGUCUGGCUUUGACCUUCUGUUUUAAUUUGUUUGUCGAAAGUAAAGAAUUUUUUUGAAUCUUGUGAUUUAAAAUAAAGAUAUAUGAAAUGUAUCAAACUAUCUUUAAUAUUGUGGUCUUAAAUAAGUUAUGUGGAAAGUUUAGAAUUAAAAAGUUGCAAACAAAGGAAAAAAAUAUUCUCUUUGAAACAAGCUAAAAAGGAAGUAAGAUAAAUAAACUGAAACGGAAGGAAUAUCUUAUAUCGGAAGUUCAUUGGCUGGAAAAUUGACUUACUAAAAGAAAGGUAAAGCACUCCUUGUAUAUAUAUACUUAUCCUUACUUGUUUACACUUAUUUUGGUUCACACUUCUGUAGGUGGCUCUAGCUUUAGGAGGAAAGCAUUACACAGAGAUAGUUAGAGAAGUGUAGCUAAAUCCUGAGCUUGCUAAUGCAUUAAAUGUUGAUGCAAAGGACUUGCAGUUGCAUAAAGACAAUUUACACCUCAUUGGACUUGCUGUUGCAUAAAGACAAUUUACACUUUACUGCUUCUUCCCAAGUCCUCCUAGGCCACGUGAUGGCUCAUACUUUCUCACACAAUCUCAACCACAUCCCCAUCUUGAUAGUCAAUAGUGAAAGUGUAACAUUCAAAAAGGAAAACUGUCCAACACUCCAUAAUAUAAUCAUAAAACUGUACGAAUUAUCAUAUUUUAUGUUUUAAUUGUUCAAUAAAAAAUAAGAGAAAUUAACAAUACUUUUCUCUACGCUUUUUAAAAUUUUAGAAAAGUAUGUAACAUUUAUAUUGCAAGUCCAAGAGGGGUGUCGAUUUUCGAUACAUGAAAGCGCCAAUCUCCCUAACUGGCUUGCUGCAAACAUUUAGGAAAGCCAAUUUUGAUUCAUAAAGUUUUGAUUAUUUAUAUAUAUAUAUAUAUAAAGCGUGUAGGUGAGGUGUGGGCAAAGUAAAGUGUACAAAGACCUUAUACCGCUAUCUCAUGCGGACAGUGAGAUUGAUUCUGAAAUAUCUAUGUCAAAUAACUCAUAACAAAGCAAUGUCAUUAAAUGAAUGCAAACUAAACAGAGAAGGUGUCCAUCUCUUAAUCCAAAUUCCAAAACUAAAUUCAAAAUUAUUCACUUUUUAUGUGGUGAGUAAUUCUUUCUAAGCUGACUACUACCGCUUCAUCAACAUGAAGCUCCAGUUAUAUUUCAAAUAUUCAGAAUUUAUUUUUUCUUUUUUUUUCUCUUAUCGAAAACUACUCUCGCAAGGUACAGAUGAGUAAUUAAUCAAAUUUCAAAAACAUACCAAUUAGAGAAAUCAUAAGCCAUUUAGAGUGGAUAACCACCCUCCAAAAAAAUUCCUUGUUCCCCAGUUGGCCUCAUUUUUCAUACUGGGCUAAGCUUCCAAUACUCUGUAAACUGUAACUUUGUAACUCCCUGCAAACUUGUGCAGAAAAUCAAGGAAAUUACAACACUCAAAGAUCUUGAAAAUUAUCUAAAAUUGGCUACUUGUGCACUUCGUCUACAUACCAAAGCUUAAAGGGUUGUUGGUUAGAGCAAAGAAGAAAUCACUGGCAUACCAAAGAUAGCCCGACAGCAACUUCAAAGGCUUUGAAGUUGAUGCUCAGAUCAAUAGCUUCUCAAAGGUGCAGGUAAGUAAAUUAUGAAGCCAUGAAAAGACAAAUACACCCCUAGAUUAGAAUUAAAAGACAUUUUUUUCCCCUGAACUUGUCCUCCAAACUCACUUUAACACUUAAACUUAAUUUCUAUUUAUUUACCACCCUUAACAUCUUUAAAUUAAAUUAAUUUCACCCCUUAAGCUGACGUGACAAAAAAAAAAGGAGCGAGUGAAUUUUUUUUUUUAAAAGGGUCCACUUUAUUAUUUUAUGUAUAUAUAAAAUCAAAAACCCAUUUCAUCUUCUUCUUUUACCCGCCCCCAUUCCCCCCACCCCAAACCACCAUCAUCAUCAAUUAUCUUACACCAUCACCUCUUUUUGAUUAUUAUAUGAAAAAAAGCUGCACGAAAUUGAUUAAGGCGAAAUGCUUAAUCUCGUGGUUGUGGUUGGUUGUUGCGGGUAAAAAAGUAUGAUACCUCAGACAAAUUUCACAUAUACAAGUAUGUUGGGUUGCACACGUGUGGUGUUGAACAUGCCACCUACAGGCAUAAGAAAGUCUCAUCCGAAUUGAUUACUUCAGUAUGCGUAAAUUUUUUUCGGGAUGGUAAGGGUCCAAGCAUAAGAGAAAUUCAAAGAAUUGUGUUUAAGGAUUUGCAUUGCAAUGUAAGCUAUUAAAUGUGUUGGAAAGAAAGUGUAAUUGCGAAGAAUAUCAUUCGCGGGACACCGGAGCACGGAUAUGCUUGCUUGCUGGCUUUUUACCACAUGGUGGAGUUAUUGAAUCCCAGGUCUUCUUACUCUAUCAUGAUAAACCGGAUGGAUGGACCGUUCAUUUACUACUUCUUAGCAUUCAGAGCUUGCAUACGGGGAUAUACCCACAUGAGAAAGGUAAUUGCCGUCGAUGGCGCAUAUUUGUAUGACAAGUAUGAGGGCGUUCUAUUGAGUGCCAUUGCACAGGACACUGAAAAUCAUAUCUUUUCGAUUGCCUUUUGUGUCGUUGAUAAAGAGAACGAUGCUUCUUGGACCUUCUUCUUCUAGAAACUGAAGUAUAUCGUAGAAGAUGAACCAGACCUAUGUGUCAUCUCUGACAGGCACAUUAGCAUCGCCAAUGCCUUCUACCAUGUAUACAGUCGUGUACAUCACGGACUUUGCAUGAGGCACCUCGCUAAAAAUCUUCGUGUAAAUCAACAUUGCGGAAAACAUCUUUAUCUAUUCUACAUCCCGGCAAAGGCAUAUUCUUUUGAUGAGUUUAGCGAUAAUUUUGCAGAAUUAAAGAGUAAUAGCCCCGAAGCAGCACAUGUCCUUGAAAAUGUGCUUGAUUUUGAAAAAUAGAGUAGAGUACACUUUUCGGGCAAUAGGUACGAUGUGAUGACCAAAAACAUCGCCGAGUCGCUCAACUCAAUUUUGAUGGAUGAAUGGGAGUACCCCAUGUCGUACAUAUUCAAUUCAAUUUCUAGAAAAUUUGGUGAAAAGUUUAGGGAGCGACAUCCUUUGUCUAUGAUAAAGGGAGCAAAUUUGUGCCUAAUGCGGAAAGGAUCCUAAGGGAUAAUAACUUGUAUAUGAGUAAUCCAAAUGGGGUUCUCAACCAAUACACAGUGUUCAGUAAUGGCAUUACUUCCAAGUUCAAUCCCUUAGAGAAGAGUUGUUCUUGUCGGAAAUUUGACUUAGUGAAAAUGCAGUGCGAACAUGCGAUGGCAGCUUUGCGAGCAAAGUAUGGCGAUGGUGAAGGUUAUGGUAGCUCCAUAUACGAAUACUCUUCGCCAAUUUAUAAAGAUGAAAGUUACCUCCUCGUAUACUCGGAAGCAAUUAACAUUAUCCCUCCGAAGGCCGAAUGGAUUGUGCCACAGGAAUUGCUAGGCACUAAAAUUUCUCCACCCCCCUAUGAUCCCAAACUCAGAAGGAAGAAAUUCAAACACACUAAGGGCAUAGGUGAGAUACUCAAGUUCAUAAGGAGGAAUUGGUGUUCAAUAUGCAAGAAAUCCGGGCACAAAAGAACCACAUGUAGAAUGACCAUCAAAUCAUAAAUAGGCUUUUUUUUAGCUUCAGUUGUAAAGCUACUGUUUUGGUGGCUAAAUGUGCAUUUCUAUAGAUUUUAACGUUCAGUUGUAAUUAACUUAAAGCUUAGUCUAUGAUAGACUACGUAAAGUCUAUGGUGUAUAUGUUAGAAGGUCUACAAAAUAUUAUGUAUUGAUUAUAUUAUUGCUCAUCUAACACGCUAUGUUGGUCAUUUUCCCACCUUAUCUCUCCAGUCGAUGCAAUGAAUCAUUGUUUCCCUUGUUUCCCAUUUUCAUUUAAUAAAAAGUUGCACAAAACGUCUGUUCACAAGAAAAACUGCUGGUAUACGAAAAUCAAAUGUUUUCUCUUCUCACACACGUCGACCUACCAUUGGAUGGAUAUAUGAACGGACACCAUCUAUAGGUCUAUAAGUAUAGUCCCUCUUUCUACGUAACCAUUCACUUGUCCCUGAACCGAAAAUAUCAGAAACCCUCUUCUUCUUCUUCUUCUUCACCAAAAACUAAAAUCAUGCCUGGUCGCAGAAUUCCCCUUCGCCCAAUCAGAUGAGUCCCCCUUCGUCACUAUGAUCUGCUGCUUCUUCGAAAUGACUUUGAUCGUCUUUUCUACGGCCUGAGAGAAGAUCGACGGUACUUGGAGCAUCAGCUCCGACGAAUUGCUCAUUUUCUUCGAGAAAUUUUGGAGCGUCUUGGAAUGGACAACAACAACUACAUCACCCCCCACCAUCCCCAUAAUUUAGAUUAAUUUUUAAUUUUAGAUUAUGUUUUUAAUUUUUUUUGGUUCAUUGCUGAAUAAGCUUUCUUUGUAGGAUUUUGUUAGAAGAAAGCUUCUUCUAUUUCCCCUUUUUGCUGUAAAUAUUAUUAUGUAGUGCAAUGAACAAGUUUAAUAUAAGUUUUUUUCAGUUUGUUUUAGCAUUAUGUUUAUCAUCUUUGUUCUGAUCCUUUGUUUUUUUGUAUGUGGCGGUUAUUCUUCUAUACAGACAAAAACUCGAAUCAAAUAUCUAUGCCUUGUUCAAUUUACAGUACUGUAGCUUGACUAAUUUCCUGAAGAGUAAAAAGUAAUAUAUAGUCUAUCAUCGGUUGUAUACUUAGUAUUUCCUCGUCUGUACAUAUUAGUCGAUCGUAGACUAUGUGAAUCGAAGGGUCAUCGGUUAAAUUAAAAAAAUAAUAACAAAUUAUUAAAAAAUAAUCUAAUUAAAAAAUAUUUAAAUAGAUUAUCACGUGUUUUGUGGUUGGUGGAAUAAAAUAAUUAAAUUAAAAAUAAUUUAAAUAGAUAAUCACACGUUUUAGGACGUGGAAGAAAAUAAUUAAAUUAAAAAUAAAUUUAAAUAGAUAAUCAAAUGUUUUGGGGCAGGUGGAAGAAAUUAAUUAAAUAUAAGAUGAUUUAAAUGGAUAAUCACAUGUUUUGGGGCUGGUGGAAGAAAAUAAUUAAAUUAAAAAUAAUUUAAAUUGAUAAUCACAUGUUUUAGGGCUGGUGGAAGAAAGUAAUUUAAUUAAAAAAUAAAUAAAUAGAUAAUCUUGGAGUACUGGUGACACUUAAUAGACCGUCGUAGAUCAUGACCUAUGUCAGCCAUCGAUUAGUCUAGUCCACCAUAGACUUCACCUUUAGUAGUGCAUCGAUUGAUAUCAUGAUUAUGCGUAGACCACGGUGAUCUAUGUACACUGUUAUAGACCAUCACUUGGAUGUAGUUAUAAAAUGAAUAAAUAAAUUAAAAAUAAAUGUAGUGUGGAUUUCUACACAUGUGAAGGAGUGUAAACAAGUCACAUAAUCAUAUUAGAGCUUAAAUAAAUUAGGGGAGGUGAAUUAAGGAGUGUGUGGAUGGAUAGUGGUUGAAUGUUCAAUAUCCUAAGGGGUCGUUUGGUCGAGUGUAUAAGAAUAAUGUAAAAUAUGGUGUAUUAGUAAUGUUUGUAUUAGUAAUGCUUAUGUUAGUUAUGCUUGCAUUAGUUAUGCUUGUAAUUUUCUUAUGCAGUGUUUGGUUCGAUGUAUUAAAAAACACAUGAAUUCCAUAAUUAAUUUUUUUUUUAAUAUAAUACCCUCAAUAUAUAUGUUAGAAAGGAUACAAAAUUUUUUUUGAGGGGUAAGAGGGUCUUUAAGCAUGUUAUGCAUGCAUUAGAUUCAUUGCAUUACUAAUGCCAUGGAUUUUGAGGUAUUAGUAAUACACACGUCAAUACAUAAUAGAGUGUAUAACUAAUGCUUGCAUUAGUUAUACAUAGGGUAAAAAGGUAUACCAAAUAGGGUACUACUAAUACACAUUAAACUAAUGCAUGUAUUAACAUUUCAAUACACUUUACCAAAUGACCUCUAAGGGGUCGUUUAGUAGAGUGUAUAAAAGUAGUGCUGAAUAAGGUGUAUUAGUAAUGCUUGUAUUAUUAAUGCAAACAUUAGUAAUGCUGGUAUUAGUUAUUCAGACAUUAUUUUUUAUACAACGUUUGGUUUGAUGUAUUAAAGCUAAUAUAUAUUUUUAUAAUUUUAAUCAAAAAAUACUUAUUUACCAAAAUACCCUUGCCCUCCCUGUAUCUUUUAUAUACUUACUCUUUCCAUGAUUUUUUCUACAAAGAUUAAAAGGGGUUUUGGUCGAUUUUGUAGCGAUGGUUCAAUCAGAAUCGGAGUGUCUGGGUUGUGGUCAUUGAUUUACUGUAGCUCCGGUGAGCGCCGGCAGUGAAGGGAAUGAGCGAGCUAAUUGGGUCAAUUUUAUUGGAGUUUCGAGGUGGGGUUUGGUCGGACUUAGAGAUAUUUUUGGUCGCUAAUUUUGCAUUUUUUGAUGGAGGUUGCUUCACCGGAGGGGUCGGCAUUUUUCGGUGAGAAUUCAUCAGAAAGCUUAAAACUCUUUUGGUUGUGAAAUCUGUUAUCCCUUUAUUUCUCUUCGAUCACUCUCUUUUUCCCACAAUUCCCUCUUUUCUCUGUCAAUGGAAGCUACUGUUUGAAAAAAUACAGAGGGCAGAUGAAAUAAACAUAAAUUUUGGCUUAGCUUUGUAAUUCUAUUUGGUUGAGAUCUACUCCUCAAUCAAUACCAACUCUCAGGUUCACUGCAAUCGUCGAAUUGUACAAGCUAAGCAUUAGCUAAGAAUGAAGUGGAUUCAUUGUUAUUGUUGUAUUGGAGUUAUUUCUGGAAAAUGAGAGGAGGGUAAUAAAGAUGGAAUGUUUUGAGGGGACAACUUGGUAUUACUAAUACAUUGAAAAUGGUGUGUAUUACUAAUACACACCUCAAUACAUAAUAGAGUGUAUAAAUAAUGCAAGUAUUAGUUAUACAUAGGGUAAAAAAGAUACCAAACAAGGUAUUAACAAUACACAUUAAUUAAUGCAUGUGUUGUUUUAUUUAAUACACUAUUCCAAAUGACCCCUAAGAGUAAUAUUUGUCAAAGCACAAGUAUGUAUUGAGGAUGAUGAUUGUUCUAACACUAUCAAUUCCACACACUCUUUUGAUUUAGGGGUGGUGAUGGAAGGAGUAUAUGAAAUGUGUAGUCAUCAAAUACAAUACAUAUCCUCAAAACAUACUUGUGCUUUGACAAACAUUACUCUUACGAUAUUGAACAUUCAACCACUACCCAUCCACACACUCCUUAAUUCACCCCCUAAUUUGUUUAAGCUCUAAUAUGAUUAUGUGACUUGUCUACACUCCUUCACAUGUGUAGAAAUUCAUUUUUUAACUACAUCCAAGUGAUGGUCUAUAAUAGUGUACAUAGAUCACCAUGGUCUACGUAUAAUCAUGAUAUCAAUCGAUGCACUACUAAAGGUGUAAGUCUACGGUAGACCAUACUAAUCGAUGGACCAUCAAAGCUCAAGUAUAUUUUUUGCAUGAAUUUGACAUGGGUCAACAUCGAUGGGAGUCUAUAAGUGUCACCAACAGUUCAAGAUUAUCUAUUUAAAUCAUGUGAUUAUCUAUUUAAAUCAUUUUUAAUUUAAUUAUUUUCUUCCACCAGCCCCAAAACAUGUGAUUAUCUAUUUAAAUUAUUUUUAAUUUAUUUAUUCAUUUUUUAAGUACAUCCAAGUGAUGGUUUAUAGAAGUGUACAUAGAUCACUGUAGUCUACGCAUAAUUAGGAUAUUAAUUGAUGCACUACUAAAGGUGUAAGUCUACGGUAGACCAGAUCGAUGGCUGACAUAGGUCAUGAUCUACGAUGGUUUAUUAAGUGUCACCACCAGUUCAAAAAAGAAAAAUUAAUUUUUCAACGGUAAUAAACGACUACUUUUGUAAGCCAUCAGUGUUAACACUUCGUUUUUACUUCAUAUAUAAGGUGUCCAUCCUUCAUUAUUUUAUUUCAUUCACUUUAUUUUAUUUUUUUAAAUUCUACAAUGUCGCAAGCAUCUCAAACAUCCAAUUCUAAAAAUAAUUUAAUUUAUCAUUGUGGGAAUGCGGCUGUCUUGAAGACGCUACGCACGAAUUCAAUCUAGGUUGUAAAUUUUAUAAUUGAGCAAUUGCGAAGGUGAGGUGUGUGUGUAUUUUUUAAAAAGUUAAUUUAAUCGUUGUGUAAUCAUUUUUUUCCUAGGAUAAUGGCGCAUGCUCGUUUUUUAAAUGACUUGAUGAGCUAUCACCUCCAACCAGUCCAUCAACAUUGAGUCCGGGACUCGAGACAUCAAAUUUUUAAGGCUUGACAAAAUUUAAUCUACUACAAAGGCUCCAACAAUACGAAGAAAAUAAAGAUUUUCUCAUGACUUUGUUCAAAGAAGCUGAAGAACAGAGGGAUCACUUUAAACUAUUGCUACAUGACACCCAAAUAGACAGGGAUCAACUAAAACAAAAAUUAAUUUUGGCCGAAGAAAGGGAGAAUGUCCUAAAAAUGAUGUUAUGUGCUAUAAUGCUAGUAUUCGUUCUUUGAAAAAGUGUAACAUGGAUGUAGUGAUAUUGAACAAAUAAUAAUAGUUCUAUUUUUUGUAAUGUUAAUACUAUUUUUUGAUAAAAUCGUAGUCGAUUAAACAACACGUCAACUUAAAUUCGAUCAGCAGGGUAAUGAUAGACUAUGCAUACGGUAUAUGAAAUAUUAAGUAUGCAUUCUAUGAUAUCAAGCAUACACUGUACCAACUAUGACCACACCCUGCAUAUUCAAAUUCUAUGCCACAAAUUAGUUUGAUAAAAAUAGAUUCAGUGCAGAAUCAUAACAAGUUUCAUAAAAUAAAAGAAUAAUUGUCAUAUCCUACCACUAGAUCCUUCAACCUUCAUAUUUGUGAAAUAAAAAAAUUGUCAUAUCCUAACAACUCAUCAUUCAACAACAUAUUAAACGGCUUAGGAUUCAAAUGUCUUUUUCCCUAAGUUCCUCAUCAACACAAGUGUUACUGUUAAUUUCAUCAACAAUGUCCAUGACCACAUCUUUUUGUUCAACUUCAGCUCUUUUUUUCUCAACAGCUGCAGCUGCUUCUUCAUUCUCACCUUCUUCUCCUUUUUUUUCAGCAUCUGCAGCAGCUGGUGCUUCUUCAGUUUCCUUUUCUUCCACACCUUCUUCUCUUUCUUCACCCGCAACAACUGUUUCUUCCUCAGCUUCUUCUUUUCGUUCACCUGUUGCUUCUUUCUCAACUUCUUCUUUGUUAGCUUCUUCUUCAUCAGCUUUUUCUUUUUUCUCGCCUUCUUCUUCAUCUGCUGCCGCUUCUUCUUCUGCUUCUGCAGCUGCUACUUUUCCACCUUCUUCUUGGCUCUUAUCUUCUUCCAUUUCUUAUUCUUCUUCAUCUUUAUUUUCUUUUUAUUUUUCCUCUUUUGCCACAACAGAGGCCAACUCAUCUAUUUUGCUUCUUUUUUCUCCUUCUUCAUUCCUCUCUGAUUCACGAAGGUCCAUAUGCACCGUAUCAUCAUAUUACAAAGUGUUACUAAUAUUUAAAGCUAAAAAUUUAUUAACAAUAUCAAUUAUUGAAUGAAGUUACCUCGCUCGUGUUAUCGCUCAUCCUUUUUCUUUAUUUUAUUAAUUUCUCUUUGAUAUAGAAAACAAUAUCCAACAUCGCUUCCUCGAGCGCGGCAACACACUUAUGAAGAUCCCCGGGUGAUGAGGUUACCGUUGUAUCUUUGGAGGUGCGUGAAGAAUCAUCAUCACUAACGCAUACUCCAAUGGGGUUACCACCCAAAUCCCUGUCAUCAUCACUAUCCUUAUUUGAAGUAAGACCAAUCACCCCUUCUAACUUUUUUUUCAAGCCAUCGAGGACGUUAUUCUUCACCUCGUCCGUAUAUGGCUCAAAUGUAAUCAUGUAAUCCAUCUUCAUCUCACAAACAGUAGGGAUGAUGUACGGGUGGACGUUCUGCAAAAUAUCAAUUAACAAUUACAUAAUAUUCGAUACAACAGUAGUAUUAUUGCAUAAUAGAAAAUAAGUUCAUACAUCGGUAACUUUUCCUUUAUACUUGAAUGGGUCGCCUUUGAUUAUCUUGUCACUUUUUUUAGUGUGCCAUCUAAGGAUGCGGGGAAUGGGAAAGGGCUCAUCUAUUGAUUUUUCAGUAAAUUCUCCAAGAUGAGAAAAGGCCUCAUAUAUCCAAAUCUGUAAGCAGUACAACAGUGAAAAAAAUAACUCAGAGUCUAUGACAGAGUAUAAAUAAAAUGAGAAUCUAUGAUAAACUCACUAAAGGAUUUAUGGUAGAUACCAUGAAUGCCCAGGGAAAUCCGAAUAGAGUAUAGGAUGCCUUCUGCUUCUCAUCAAAUACUUCUUUCUUCUUCUUCUUCUUCUUCUUCUUCUUCUUCUUCUUCUUCUUCAUGUUACUUUUUUUUCCAGAUAGUCCAUGGUUAGUUGAAAUGUCUCUUUCCCCUACGGAUACUUCUUGAAGAAACUCAAAGAAUCGAACAUUCAAAACAGUUUUGUGUCGACAACCUUUGUCGAAUCUUUUGCAAGCAACAUGGUCUGCAAGAACCACAUUAGACAGCACUUGAAUUUCUGGUCCUCGUUCAGCUUAUUCCCCCUGAUCAAGUGUAACAAGUUGGCCGCUGCGAUGUUUUUGUUUUUUGUCACCUUAAAAUAAAGAUUGUCCUCCUUUGCUAACACCUUCUUUAUUUUUUAUUCUCUGGGGUAUGAUGAACAGUUCAGCCCCGUGAUCAAACAAAACUCUUUCAAGCCAAAACAGGAAGGGUUGUUGUUAACGCAGGACCAUAUCUCAUGAUGCAUCUUAUCAUUCUUGGUGCGUCGCAACAACAAAUAGUGGACCAACUUUCCAUUGAACUUGAGAUAUUCCGAUAGGUUUCUCAGGUGUCCAAAACAGGACCGCUUGAAUCUUUUCUUCAAUUCCUGGUCGACAAGAACUUGCUUAAAUUCUCUGUAAGUAGUCAUUCUUGAUCUGACCGAUAUCUUUGCUGGGAAAGAUCCUACCUCGUCAAUUAUCGUUCGAAGGUCAUACCACUCCAUGAAAAUGCAUUUUAAAAGAUAUGACACGGACAAGGGAUCAUUAUCCCCAUCAUUACUAUUUCUCCCACUUUUCCCUCUCUCUUCACUGUCACCACUGACGCUGCGGUUGACAACAUCUUUACUAGAAUCGAUGUAGUCGCUUAUCUCUUUUAACUCCGAAUCCGAUUCAGACACUGCCUCUUGAAUUUUCUUCAUUUUUGAGACAUUUUUAACUGCCUCAGCUUUUUUUUAUCUACUGCUAUCAGUAGAAUCAGAAGCGGUACCGUCUUUGCGUUUAGGAAAGAUGGUCUUUUAGUCAUUUUCAACACAAUCUACCCCUGCAGAACAAAUCUCUCAUUUUCAGUUCAUAUACCACAAGUCUAUCAACAGAAAUAACUUAAUGCUCAAAUGAAAACCCCCACAAAAAAUUAAGAAAUACCCCACCAUUAAACAAUUCACUACACAAACAUACAAUAACUGAAUCAAAAUCCAACAUGCAGUAUCAAAACACAACAAUAGCUAGAAAUCAAACUAGUGCACCUAAUCAAACUAAUUAGCUAUUAAUAUUUCAAUUUUCACUAUUUCAGCAAUCAUGUUUUAAAAGAAUUUCAUACGUCUGAAAAUUGAUUUCAAUCUAGGGCAUUCUCAUUUCAUAGACCACGGGUCUACAGAUAGACCUCGGGUAUACGGAUAGAAAUAGGUCACAGUUGAAAUCAAAAUGCCAAAAUAACUCUUCAAAUAGCAAUUAUCCCACCAUUCAAUACUUCGUAGCUAAAAAAAACCACGACUAAACCAAAACACCUAAACAAAAGUUUUAAAAUUCAACACCGUGAUCGACGAAAAAAUCUGUCAAAAAGACCGCAUAAAACCUCAACCAUUGCUUCAAAAGCAAACUCAUUACCUAUAAAAUUCUCAUUUUUUAACUACUUAAUCAAUCAAAUUCGAAAAAAAUAAAUUUCCUACAUCACUAUGAAUCGAUUAACAAAGAAAACCAUUUAAAUGGAUCUAGAAAUGAUCAAAACUUAAUUUUAACUAACCUUGUGAAGCAACAAUGACCCCUUAGCAGUUGGAGGAGAAGAUGAAACGAAAAUGACGUUUUUGGGAGAAAAAGUUUCAAAAGCGAGAGUUGAGAAUUGAAGAGGAGAGCGAGAGAGAGGGUUUGUUUAUAUUGGAAUAAGUGGAGGGUGUUAGGUGUAUUAUAUUAAAGUUGUAAAGUUAUAAAAAUAAUGAAUUGAUCCCUUAGCCCACGUGUAGGCCCCACUUUUCCUACUUUUCCCCACUUUUUAUACCCUAAACCUAAAAAAUAAAUUAAAAAGAAAUUAAGUGGGCAUUUGGCAAAUUAGUUUUGAAAGGUGCCUCUUUUGCCAAUUAUUCCUGCCUUUCUCUGGGCAUGCAAUUAGGAGAAGUUACUCGAUUAACGUGUACUCCAAAUUUUUGUCAUAUUUCUUUAUUGUUGUGGAGGUAUAACCUUUGAAAUUGCAAAUCAGGUAUGUAAUUUCAGUUAAAUAAUUUUUAUUUUAUUCUUUAGACACAAUCAAUAUUAUUUUGUUUUCAGCACAUUAAUCUCUUUUCAUCUUUAUAUGAACAAUGAUAUAGGUGAAAAAAUUAUAAUUUUGUUCUUUAUUUUUUAUUUUUAAAAAAUAUAUCUUGGACCAAUUGUCUAUAUUAUAUUAAAAGACUCCACAAUGGAUAAAAUUAUUUUUUUCUUAUUUUAUCCUAAUUUUUAAAAAUUUAAAAUCCAUUAAAAUUUGAUUCUUAAACUUUACUUUAUAUGAAAUAUGUACCUUAAAUUAAAAAAAUUAAUAUUGAACAAUAUUUUUUAAUAUUAAAUUUAAUAUAAAUAGAUUAUUUAUUAGAUAUUUUUUUCCUCUUGAAAUAGUUUUCUCUUCUUUUGUUCUAGAAUUUGUUAUCUUUUUCUAUUAAAAUUUCACUUGCUUAGAAAUCUUGAUUUUCAUUCUAUAAUCCUUUAUAUUAUUGUUAAUUUGUUAUAGGUAGUUGUGUUAUGUUAUUAUGCUCAUAUUAAUGUAGUUUAUUAUUCUCUUAAUAUUUUAAAAUUUUAACAUAAGCAAAUAGUUGCAUUAAAUCUUAAAUAAUCAAAGGUUGCACGUGUGAGGCACAAGCUAAUCAACUAAAGUUGAUUUUAAGAAGAUUUGAAAAAUCGAGAAAUAAAUAUGAACGUGUUAGAAUAAGAAAGAUAUACUACUAAGAACUAUCAAAUUUUUAAAAUUUUUAAAUAAGUAAUCAAAGAAUUUUUAAAGAUUUAUCUUUAAAAAUAAGAAAAGAUUUUAAAUAAAGAAAAAAUUAAAAACAAAUAAUCGUACUAAAAAUAUGAUUCAAAUCGAUGUGUCUCUCUUAGUCUCUAAUAGUAAGGAAAAGCGGCACCACAUAACAAACAUAAAAAUGUCGAUCUAUUAACCACUUGAAAAUUUUGGUGGUAAAAUAUAUACAUGCUUACAAUAAAAUAUAUUUUACGUCUAUAUUAUUAUAUUAAAUUGUGAAGAUUUUUUGAGAAGUGAUUUGAACUUUUUGCUCUUCUUUAAAAUCUUUGAAAUAGAUAAAAUUAUCUAAUUUCGAAUAAUAAAAAAUUACACAUGCGAGGCACGUGCGAUUAAACUAGUAGUAGUAAUAGAAUUUAUACUUUUAACCUUGAAUAUAGAAAUUAGUGAAGUCUUUUAUAAAAUUAAAGAAGAUUAAUGACUUCGAGGCAUGAAAGAUCACAAUCUUUCAGGAGUUAUCCGUAUAUAUUUUAGGAAUUACAAGCAAUUUUUUAUCAGGAUACAAUAAAAUUCGAGAAUAUAUAUGCAAAUUGAAUAUGCUACUUCUAAAUUUUUCUUUGUAUUUAUAGAAUGUGUAGAUACGUAAAAUUUAUUGAAUCAAAUUCAUAUAAAAUUUAGAUUUGAUCCAUAUUUUAUUGGGUCUAAAAUUAGUUUGGGCUAUAAACCCGUUUUAUUCUUCAUCAAGGUCCAUCUCACCUUGAGGCCCAAACUCAUGUCACGUGUCAAAAAGUCAAAUUAAAGACCAAUGAGGCAAGGCCACACGAUCAAAUGAGGCAGUAAUCCAAGUCAAAUUCAAGAGCCAAUGAAACAUCGCCAAGUGUCCCAAAUGACAAGUUUUUGGCCAAUCACAAGCAACCUUGUCACAUAACCUUUAUGAUAAGUUUGAAAAUUGAAUGGACCAAUCAGAAUGAGGCAGAAGAGGUUAUUUACACUUGGAUUGCCUUGCCCCUACAACUAUAAAUAGGAGGGUUACAUAAUUUUCUAGGGUCAGUCAGCAAGCAUUGGAGGAAGCUUCUGUAUUGACUACACAGCUCUUCAACAAAUCGACUAACGGAGUUCUGCCCGAAGGUCAACUUGACAAGACGAAGUACUGUCAGACAAUUCUUGGAGAUCCAAAUGCAUUUCUAGGAGGCUUAAAUCAUCCUACAUUUGAGAAUCACACUGCGAAAGCCCUCGAAUCACGGAAAACUUAGCAGAGAAGAAUCGAGAGAAUAACAAAAUUGUACCCACAAAUUUUUUUUUAUAUAAAAUCAUUAUUUCUUUUUAUUUAUUUUUGCUUGCAGUUAAUUUUCCACAUCCACGAAAAUUUGUUGCGAACAAAUUUUGGCACGCCCAGUGGAACCAGUUCUACUCUCCAUCUCUUUUUCCUGCGAGGUCAAAUUCAACCACUACUAUGGACUUCGAAAAUACUAAAGUUGUCUCAUGCAAGAACUCUGCUACUUCCACAUCUGAUGAGCUCAGCCAUGUUGGUCCACUCACUCGGCGCAAGUUGAAGACUAGUGGUUAGGACGGAUCUGAAUACUUUACUUCUUUGAAGAAGGCAAACAAGAGAAAAUCUCAUACGUCGGCUGGAAUCGCAACUCCUGGGGGAAACUUGACAUCCUUGCUAUGUGAUGAACUCUCUCAGACUGGCGUCAAUUUUAGCAGAUCAGAAGAUUCAACUGAUGCUCCAGUUUCAAUAAAGGUCAACACCUUGAUGGCUGACGUAACUGAUAUGGAUGAGAAGUUCACAAUAAUGGAACAAACCAUUGAAGUUUUAAAGAAAUCUAUUGAGGAUAAAGAUCUUCAAAUCGCUUAACUGAUAAACAAGUUGGAGUCCUUUGCCCCUGGAGAACCAAGCCACGACCCUGCUUAUCCACCCGGCUUUACUCAGCAAAAUAAGAGUGUUGAUGAGUCACCUAGCAAGACUAAAUCUCAAAAAGAGAAAUAGUCUACUUCGGUUAGGGCUCUAUCUAUUCAGCAGUUGCAAGACAUGAUAACUAACUCUAUCAGGGCUCAAAAUGACGGAGCACCACAAAGUUCAUUGUAUUACUCCAAGCAUUACACAAGGCGAAUUGACUGUCUAUCCAUGCCAAUGAACUAUCAACCACCAAAGUUGCAGUAAUUUGAUGGCAAGGGAAACCCGUGGUAACACAUCGCUCACUUUGUCGAAACUUGCAGUAAUGCUGGAACAAAUGGCGAUCUCUUAGUGAAACAGUUUGUCCAUUCAUUAAAAGGGAAUGCAUUCGACUGGUAUAUCAACUUGGAGCAUGAUUCAAUUGAUAGUUGGGAGUAGCUCGAGAAGGAAUUUCUCAAUUGGUCUUACAACACUCGAUGAACUGUGAGUAUGAUAUAGUUGACUGGCACUAAGCAAAGAAAAGAUGAGCUUGUGGUGGAUUAUAUCAAUUGUUGGAGGUUAUUAAGUUUGGACUGCAAAGAUCGCCUUUAUGAAAUAUCCGCUGUAGAAAUGUGCACUCAAGGAAUGCAUUAGGGCUUUCUAUACAUACUGCAAGGAAUCAAACCGCGAACAUUUGAAGAACUUACUACACGAGCACAUGACAUGGAGUUAAGCAUCGUAAGUCAUGGAAAGACGUCUCUUUUUGUUGAUCUUACUAAAGAAAAGAUGGAGUUCAAGAAGGCUACGACCCCAAAGAUCCAUACUAAAGAAUCUAUGGCAGUGCAAGAAACUUUCGUAAAGGUCACGACGAUGAAAAAAGUGAAGGAAGAUGAAACAUUGAAGCAACAGCCGAGGGAGGAAAAACGUCGCCCAACUUUGAAAGAGUUGGAAGCAAAAGUUUACCCAUUUCCAUAUUCAGACGUGCCUACGAUCCUUGAUGAAUCAUUGGCUAAAAAAGCCAUUGAUCUUCCGGAAUCAAAGAGGCUUGAGGAAAUUAAUAGGGUUAAUGAUCCUAAGUACUGCAAGUUUCAUCGCGUCAUUGGCCACCCGAUGGGAAAAUGCUUCGUUUUGAAGGAGAAAAUCAUGACACUAGUAAGUGAAGGGAAAAUCAUCAUCGACAUGGAUGAAACCAUGGAUGAAAAUCAUGCUAGUGUUGUCGAUCGACAAAAAUGUUCCAUGCCGCAGACAAUGCGAAGCACCAUCUUAUUGCAAUUUGGGAGCUUCAGGCCGGUUGAAGUUGAUACCCCAAGAAGAACUUCUGAAGCUACAAUAGAGGUAGACGACAAUUCUGAGAAUGAUGAGGAUGACGGCUGGACUCUUGUUUCUCAUAAGAAAAGAAGACAUCGAGCAGUUCCAAGAAUACGACUUCCUGAGAUGAAAGUGAUGGGGCAUAAUGUGGAUCAACUGUGACCAUAAAAAAGUGUCAAGUUUAAUGCUAGAAAGAAGAUUAGUGGUUUCUUGUCACAGAAGGCCCGAAGGCCUAUCACGUUGUAUGAAUUUUUUUCAAAAAAAUUCCUUCAAGAUAGCCAAGUCAAGGUGAUGCAUGUAAUUUCCAGCAUAGAAGAACCCAAGGGAAACAAACAAGAGCAGUAUCUAACAAUAGCACAAAAAUGUCAUUUUAAGCCAAUAGUUGCACAGUGUUUUGCUAUAAUUUCCUUCACUGAUAAUGACUUUUUGUUAGGGUCCAAACUGCAUAACAGUCUUUUAUUUGUCAUAGGAUUUAUUCGAGAACAAUAUCUCAAUCGCAUACUGAUCGAUGAUGGUUCAGCGGUUAAUAUCAUGCCAAGGAUAGUGCUCAAAAGGCUUGGAAUCUUUAUUGAUGAAUUGUCCAAAAGGAAUAUAACAAUUCAAGGCUUCAAUCAAGGAGGGCAGCGAGCCAUGGGAAAAUAUCCGUAGAAUUAUCCAUUGGCAAUAUGAAAUCAAACAUUUUGAUUCACAUCAUAGACGCCGAGACAUCAUACAACUUAUUGCUUGGACGCCCCUGGUUGCAUGAAAAUGGAGUGGUGACAUCUACUUUGCAUCAGUGCAUGAAGUGUAUGAAGGAUGGUGAGGUAGUCAAAGUUGAUGCGGACAUUCAUCCUUUCACAAAAAUAGAUCGUACUUUGCAGAUGCGAAAUUCUACUUGGACCCUUAUGAGUUAGAUAUGAAGAAACCAACACCCUCUAACCCAACUGGGGUCAAUUCAAAAGAAGAGGUAGGAGUGCAGGUGGGUGUUGCUAAGAUAUCUAAGAAAAGUACUAAAGGAAUCGCCAUUAAGUUCUUAUCAUCUGAAGGAGACAUAAAAGCAAAGACAGAUGAUGAGCAUUUAGUCUUUCGCUACAUUCCACGUGAGCGUAAAAGAAAAGGACAACCCUUGCUAGAAUCAUGUACUCAACAAGUUCUCCAUCCAAGAAAAGAAAUAAGCCGUGAAAUGUUGCAAAAUUUGAAGAAGAGUAUGAAAGUACCAGUCAUACAAAUCCAAGCUAUUACUCCAGAGUCCUCAAGAAAUGACACCUUAGUUGAAGAGUUAAAAGGUUACUUUGAUCAAAAGGCUUUCACAUUACUUGAAAAAUCAGGUUAUGACUUCUCCAAUCCGACAUGACUAGGAGAGCUCAAGGAUGAAAUCACUGGCGAAAAAAUACACGGCCUUACAAUAUCCCAAAUGAAGUUGAAAAAGCAAGGACAUUAUGUCGCCACUCCUAAGUUUGGGCUAGGAUUUAAAUUGCCAAAGCCUCUUCAAAUUUUAUAUAGGAAGGUGAAGGAAACGACUUCAUCUUACCAUAUAUCAGUAGAAGGGAAAAAAAGAGUAAGGACGAGAAAAUACCACAACGGACCUCAGUGUUUAAUCGCAUAGGAAAAUCAACACCUCGUGUCUACUUAAAAGGUUUGAUCAAGUGUUCUUAAACCACGUCCCAAGAAAAUAAAACCACAUGGCGGAUGCUCUGGCAAACUUAGCUACGAUGAUGGCACUUAGAGAAAAUGAGUCAACAAAGGUGCAAGUAAGUCAUCGAUAGGUUAUUCCCGGUUGCCUUGACCUUCAAUUAGAUGAAAGCCUCUAUACAUCUGUCCGAGUUGUUGAAGAAUAAGAUUGGAGAAAACCACUAAUUGAGUAUCUCAAACAUGGAAGGCUGCCUGAGGAGCCGUAUAAAAGAGCAGACAUUAGGAGAAGGGCACCACUAUUCAGCUUCCAUGAAGGGAUUUUAUUUCGUCGUUCUUACGAGGGGUUAAUUUUACAGUGUCUUAACAAAGAAGAAGCUCAACAAACAAUGGAGGAAGCAUAUUCUGGCACAUGUGGAGCACACCAAUCAGGGCCUAAACUUUAUUUUUGCAUCAAAAGGAUGGGCUACUAUUGGACAAUAAUGGUGAUGGACUUUCUAGAGUAUGCCAAAAGGUAUCAAGCAUGUCAAUUUCAUGCUAAUUAUCUAUAUCAGGCUCCAUAGCAUCUUCAUCCAACUAUAGCAUCAUGGUCUUUAGAUGUGUGGGGACUUGAUAUUAUUGGACCUCUCCCAAAGUCGUCAAAAGGGCAUAUGUACAUCUUAGCUGCUACCGAUUAUUUCUCGAGAUAGGCUAAAGUCGUGCUGUUAAAAGAGGUGAAAAAGGAAAAUGUUGUUGAUUUUAUCAAGUUGAACAUCAUCUUUAGGUAUGGUGUACCAAGAUACAUAGUUACUGAUAAUGGAACGCCCUUCAAUAAUAAGCUUAUGAGGACUUUGUACGAGAAGUUCAAUUUUAAGCAGCAUAAGUCUUCAAUGUACAAUGCGCUUGCCAAUGGUCUUGCCGAAGCUUUUAAUAAAACACUUGGUAACCUCUUGAAGAAAGUGGUUGUGAAAAAUAAAAGAGACUGGCAUGAGAGGAUCGGUAAAGCUUUGUGGGCAUAUCAUACGACCUGUAGAACUGCUACCCAAACAACUCCGUAUUCGUUGGUGUAUGGCGGAGAAGUAGUCCUUUCACUAGAACAAUAAAUUCCAUCACUACGAAUGGCAAUCCAAGAAGGUCUUACAUCUGAAAGUAAUGCUCAACUUCAUCUUGCAGAGUUAGAGGCAUUGGAUGAGAAGAGAUUAGAAGCCUAACAAAAUUUGGAGUGUUAUCAAGCUCGAAUUGCUAGAGCUUUCAACAAGAGAGUGCAACCACAAUCAUUUCAAGUACGAGACUUGGUCUUAGCAGUUUGAAGAUCCAUAAUCCUCAACAAAGCAUCGGUGUCAAGUUUACAUCUAAGUGGGAUGGGCCAUAUGUUACGAAAGAAGCAUAUUCAAGUGGCGCUUAUAAGAUUGUCAAUCAAGAUGGAGUAAGAGUUGGUCCCAUCAACGGCAAGUUCCUGAAGCAGUACUUUCCAUGAAGGUUGUCUAUACUCCUUAAGGCACGAGUAUGAACUGCAUGUCCACUCCUGGCUCGCAUGAGUCUAAACUAUAAACGGCUCUAGAAAAAAAAAGAUAAAAAAAAAUUAACUCAUCAUCAUGAACUAUGUUAUGACUUGAUCCUCCCGAGGUACGUAGGCAGCUUAGAGUAUGCUUUUACUCUAAGUUUAAUCAUAUGAGUUAAAAAAAAGAGUAAAGGAAAAGGAUUUGUCAUUACUUGAGCAUGAAAAUAAUACUUUGAAGUGACGUAGAUGUCGCAUGAAUUGAACGUUUCUUCGCUUAUUUUACCACAGAUUCGUAAAAAUGAAGAAACAAGUAAAGUAAAGCAAACUUCAAUGACGAAUCUAUACAAAUUCGUAAAGGAUAUGGUCAUGAUUUUCACAUAUGUGGUAGCUCUUGGUGUUAUCUUCGUAACAAAAAAAAAUGGCUCGUAAUUCAAGGACUUUUGCAUCGAGUUAUGAAUUUUCUACUAUAGUUACUCAAAGCUGCGAAAGAUGCUCUCACGUUUCAAACUGAGCUGACUUCAAUGACGAAUCUGUACAAAUUAGUAAAGGAUAUGGUCAUGAUAUUUACAUAUGUUAUAUCUCUUGGUGUUAUCCUUGCAACAAAAAAGGCGGUUUGUAAUUCAAGGACUUCUGCGUCGAGUUAUGAAUUUUCUACCAUAGCCACUCAAAGUUGCGAAAGAGACCCUCAUGUUUCGAACUGAGAUAACUUCAAGGACAAAUCUGUACAAAUUCGUAAAGGAUAUGGUCAUGAUUUUUACCUAUGUUGUAACUCUUGGUGUUAUCUUCACAAAAAAAAAGACAGUUUAUAAUUCAAAGGCUUGUACAUUGAAUUAUGAAUUUUCUACAUAGCCGCGCAAAACUAUGAAAUCAGACAGAUUCAUGGUUAACUUAAAAAAAAUUUAAUUUCGGUUAAUUAGAAAGGAGUUUGAUUUUGGUGCAUGUUGUCAACAGAACUCAAAGUUUAUUCGUGAUUGGGGAAAAUUCAUCUAGCUUGAUCAUUUAAAAAAAAAAGAAACAGACGAAACAAUAUUUGAAUGAAAGCUAAAGGUCACUUUUAUUGCACCAAAGGCAAAAUUGUCACUACAUCAUAAUAAUCAAUAAAAAAAAAUCCUAAGUAAGUAUCUAAACUAUGGAAAAGGUUAAAAUUCCAGAAUUUGCUGAUGACUCGCCUCAACCGUCUUUUUCAGUUUGGAUAGUGUCUCCACUUCGUCUUCGGAUAACGGAUGUUUCUCCCUAAUCGCAUGAAGCUCUCCCUCAAAAGUGAUGAUCUUCUCUUGGCUUUUAGACAACCGUUCUUUCUGCUCUUUUAUGCAUGAAAUAGUCUUCUCCUUCUUUGCAGAUAAGAGCUUUAGUUCUUCAUCAAACUUAGAAAGAUUUGAUUGGAGAUCCUCCAUGUGCCCUCUUUCCUUGGUGUUUUCCUCUUUUGCAUUAACAAGGCUUUGUUGUAAAUCAGAGAGCAAUUUUUGAUGGUGCUGUUUAGUUUUUUUCAGGGAUGAAGAUGAUUUCAUAGCGUCGUACUCCUUAUAUGUUUUUAUGAAAGUAUUAACAGAGCCCUCUAGAAUAGAGGUAUUAAUGGCGUUAAUUCCUUUGAGCUCCUCCAUAAGCAUGUUCACACCAUUUUUCAACUUUAAAAAGUUGUCCAAAGAUUCAAUGGAGAACAUGGUUAGACAUUUAUGCAAUGCACCACACAUCUGAAGAAUGUAAGACUUCUUGAAAGUAGAGAUCGUCUCUUGUAGUUCAAAUUUGGGGCCACAAAUGACGAUAAACACAAUGAAGGUGCAUGAACUUUAGGCGACUUAGCUUGGGCAGCCACAACCUCCAUGUUGUUUGUCAAAGCUUCUGUGAUAGGAAGAGAAGAUGUAUCAAGGUAACUUGGACUCGUAACACCAUCAAAAAUGCCAUUAAGCGUAUCAGUAGAAAUGCCUUGGAGAUUCAGCUUCAGAAAAAAAAUAAAAAAAUUUAGCAGGGUAUUAUUAUUUUUCUUAAAUAAAAAAGAGAGAGAAAGAAAGUAAUCUUACUUGUUCUGCGAGUUCAGUCAAUGGCAUAGUAGAGCUAUGGUCAUUAGCAGAAAAUACCUCGCUAUUUAUGGUAGCUUUGUCCAAAUCAACAAACUCACUAGAUUGGUCUUUGGCCUUCUUUAUUUUGCGCUUCAAAUGUUGGUCUUGGUCUCCUUCCGUUGAGCUAGUGUGAUCAUUAGCAUCUACAACUUCAUUAACUAUGUGGAUAGGCAGAAUCUUAUCGCCGAGUGGAGUUUUGGUUGGUAUCUUUUCACUAUUAGCCUCAAGUAAAAUAAUCAUUGUUUCGCUUACGAGUCUUAUUCGAAGCCACAGAAGGAGUGUCAUUCAAUUUCAAUUAAGGACGACUUGAUCCUUUUCCAGUUUUCACCAACUUACCCCUAGAAGGGGAAGACUUAGAAGACAACGAGCUCGUCUUUGACUUAACAAGGGAGGAAGUGGAAGACUUACCUUGUUCCGAUGGACGAAUGGGAACUUUUAAGACAAUUUUAUUUUGCCCAACAAGGUUUAGUUGACCAAUAUACCACCAAUUUGUAUACCUAUUAGUUGUUAGAGGCCUUUCGGGACGUGGUGGUAUACUAAUGGUUGAAGAACUACUAAGAUGGGUGCAAGAGUCCCAAAGUCAUACCAAUUCUUCAAGUGUGUCGUCAUACGAUCGUUUGAUGAAGUUUCUAGGUAGGUCUUGAACAAAUCCAAACUGUCGGCUGAAUCUAUUGGGACUAUAAGUCUCCAUGACAAAGUGAUCAUCACACCAUAGAGUAACGUAGCUCGAACGAAAACUAAUGAAAUAAUCAUUCCAAGAACUAGACAAUUCUCCAUUGUCUGCUAUAAAUAAAUCCUUGGGUUGUAGCAUGGCCAAGGUGGGGAGAUUGCAGAUAUCGACAUUUUGAAAUAACUGUCUUGCACCAGAAAGAUCAAAGCUUCUAGUCAUCCUUUCCCCAGCAAUCCUACACAUACGAGCACCAUUGUAAUAACGUGCUUGAUAGUAGGAGUUAAAAUACGCACCAAUCCAUCCAUAGAUAUAUUGUAUAGGAAAAAUUAUGUCGCCUGCACCUAAGUUUAUUGAAGUUGUGAUCGUUGUCAAGCCUCUGUAGAUACUAGCCAAAAUGAGAAUUGCUAGUGAAAGCCUCUCCCCAUGAGCCAUUAGGACGGAUGUGGUCAAUUUUCUUAAUUGGAAGAACGAACUUGCAAAUCCAGCAAGCAAGAAAAGUAGCCAAGUUUAUCUCUUCUCUAAGAGACCCUUCCACACCUAACUCGAUGAAAGGGAUGUUCUCUUCUUCUAUUCGCGGUAAAAAUGACAUAUCAAUGUAGCCGUUCGGACUGUGAUUUGACUUUGGUUUAGCUAACUAUUUAGGGCCUCGUGGUCAAGGCUCCUUGUACCGCUCCGGUCCUUUGAACCAAAAUUCACCCAAUCACGGACAUAAACCUCCUUAGAUGAUGCACUAUUUGAAAGCCGAUAGAAUGCUAAAAAUAAGUAAUAGUUUUAGGCAAAAAGGGCUUUCCUUGCUGAUCUGCUUGUGACAAUUCUUUGGCCAAAGGGACGACUUCAUCAAAGAAAUUUCCGUGUACUGGAAGGCCCCCAAUCAUAUGCAUGUCCCACAAUGAAAUAGAAAGUUCACCGAUGCUGACACAAAUUGUAUUGGUCGAGAAAUGCCAAAGUUCACAAAAGGCCUGCAAAACAUUCUCGUUGAUGUUGUAAGUGAAUAAAGAAGCAAAAACACCAUCAUAAAUCUUAGUUCGCUCCAGUGCCUCCUUGCUACGGAUAAGGACAUCCUCUACCCACUGCCAAUAGCAAGUAACAUAAUGAAACUUGACAAAGCCUGAUGGGGAUAAUUCCAUAUAGCAAGACCCUUAUUCGAGCCUUUGGGAUAUGUAGCAGUAGACUCCUUAUCAUGUGUAGAUGAAUGCAACACAAAAGCAGUAGUAUUAAUGACCUUUUUGGAGUCAAGGAUGACAAUUUCUUCUUUUGUCAACCAUUUGUCUGGAUCAAGACACAUGUCAGGAAAUCCUCUAUCAAGCGGGAAUACACCUAUUAUUGGAGGAUAAACUUUCAAGGUUGCCUCUGUCAAGUGGGAAGACACCUAUUACCGGAGUAUGAACUUUCAAGGUAAGGACGCUAGCAGGAGAAUAUCGUUCAUCGUUUGCUAUUUCAAGUAGAAUUUAGGCUGAAACUUCAAGAAUUUACCUGAGAAAAUAUAUGGGUUUUAUGAUUAUGGAUUUCACAUGUAACGUAUAUCUGCGAGUCUACUUUCCAAUGCAUAAAACGGCACCUAAUUCCGAGACUUCCACGUCGAGAUAUGAAAUUUCUCGUGACGCUGCGCAAAGCUGAAAGAACAAGCGAACCAAGAUUAGAAGGCUGUUUUUAGAGCAAUAUCUGGGAUGAUUCGGAUGCAAUAUGAUUGUGUUUUCCAUGGUAUACGUAGAUAUAUGAAUCUAAUUUUCAAUGCAAAAAACGGCACUUGAUUUCGACACAUCAGCAUUGAGAUAUGAAAUUUCUUGUGACGCUACGCAAAGCUGAAAUAACAAGCGAACCAGGAUUAGAAGGACGUAUUUGGAGCAAUAUCUAGGAUGAUUCGGAUGUAAUAUAAUUGUAGUUUCCAUGUGAGACGUAUAUUUAUGAGUCUAGUUUCCAACACCAAAAACGUCUCCUGAUUUUGAUGUUCCUAAGUCAAGAUAUGAGAGUUUUCGUGAGACUGCACAAAACAAGUAAACAGUGACGAAACAGAACUAAAGGUUUGAUUUUGAAACGAUACCUGGGCAGAUCUGGUGAUAAGAUGAGCGUGAUUUUCAUAAAGAACGUAGACUUGUGAUUCUACUUUCCAACACUACAAGCCAUUUGUGAUUCAGACACCUCCAAGCCAUUUGUGAUUCAGACACCUCCACGAUGCGUUAUGAAGCUUCUUCUACAGAUGCGCCAAAGUGCCGAAAGCUCAAUUGUGAAAAAAAAUGAGCAAAAAGAGGAGAAGAACAGAGGUUGAAUUUCUGCUCAGGCUGAAUUACAAUGAUUAAAGGGGGAUUUGAUGUCCUUUUAUAGACUCUGAAAGGCCCCAAUUUUAUUUUAAAAAGGAAUCUGCUGAACAAAGUUGUCUUCAACAAGAACUGGGACGUUUAAGUGUCCAAAAUAAGUCAAAUUCCUAAUCCUUUUUGAAGUGGGAUAACAUCAUUAAUCAAUCCUAUCAAAAUUUGGUAUAGGACUAAUAGCCAAAUCCUACAUGAUUUUGAUAUAUUUAGUCUUAAACAGAAUUUACACUGGAUUCACAUUAUUCUACACGGAUAAUCAUGACUUUGAGGAGUCGGACGUUGAUAAAAUGCUCAAGUCUUUAAAAAAAAAUAGGGCUUCACAUAUACUUCAAAUCCCAUCUCUAACAGGUCCGACAAAUCAAACACAUUGAUGAGCUUUGAAGUAGGGGGCAUCUGUAGAGACGUAAAAUUUAUUAAAUCAAAUUCAUAUAAAAUUUGGAUUUGAUCCAUAUUUUAUUGGGUCUAAAAUUAGGUUUGACUAUAAACCCUUUUUAUUCUUCAUCAAGGUCCAUCUCACCUUGAGGCCCAAACUCAUGCCAUGUGUCAAAUGAUACGACAUCCCAGUCAAAUUAAAGACCAAUGAGGCAAGGCCACACGAUCAAAUGAGGUGGCAAUCUAAGUCAAAUUCAAGAGCGAAUGAAAUAUCACCAAGUGUCCCAAAUGACAUAUUUUUUGCUAAUCACAAGCAACCUUGUCACAUAACAUUUGUGAUAAGCUUGAAAAUUGAAUGGACCAAUCAAAAUGAGGCAGAAGAGGUUAUUUACACUUGGACUGCCUACCCUCUACAACUAUAAAUAGGAGAGUUACAUAAUUUUCUAGGGUCAUUCAGCAAGCAUUGGAGGAAGCUUCUGCAUUGACUACACAUUUCUUCAACGAAUCGACUAACGAAGUUCUGCCUGAAGGUCAACUCGACAAGACGAAGUGCUGUCAGACAAUUCUUGAAGAUCCAAAUGCAUUUCCAGGAGGCUUAAAUCAUCCUACAUUCGAGAAUCACGCUGUGAAGCCCCUCGUAUCACGAAAAAACUUAGGAGAGAAGAAUCGAGAGAAUAACAGAAUUGUAUCCACAAAUUUUGUUUAUAUAAAAUCAUUAUUUCUUUUUAUUUAUUUUUGCUUGCAGUUAAUCUUUUGCAUCCACAAAAAUUUGUUGCGAAAAGAAUGCAACAAGAAGAUUUUUUAAGAAAAUUGCUCCUUUCCUGAACGGAUGCACACAAUUAUUCUAAUUAAUUUAAAUCCAAAUAUUAAAUUUGAAUAAAACUAAAAAACAAUCUUUAAUGACAUAUUUGACCCAACUUAGACUUCUAGUGUUUUGGGGGAGUAGAAUAAACAGUUUUUCAUAAGUUAAAAAGUAGUUUUUCCCUAAAAGUAUUUUUUACAAAAAUAGAAAUUUAUAUUUAAAAGCAGUUUUAAAAGUUUAGUCAAAGCUAAUUGUUGCUCAAAAGUAUAUUUUAAUUUAUUAGCCAAAUACAAACUAAUUAUCACCAAAAACAUUUUUGAAAAAAAAUACUUUUAAAAAUAAAUUGAUUUCAAAAGAUUGGUCAAGCAUGCUAUUAAUGAGCUUGGCCUUAUAUCGCCUUAAGAGUAACUUUAAACCACCAAUGUGUGAGGUCCAUCCCCAUUCUCCAUGAUGCAGGGGAUACAAGUCUACAGUUAUUGCAUGCCUAUACCCUUAAUUUGUCUAACUUAUAUAUAUAUUGGCUAGAAAAAAGUCAAGAAAAUAUUUGAUUUUCAAUGAUUUUUUGAUGUCACUAAUGAUAUCGAUAUGGAAAGUUUGUUAACUAUAAAAAGAACUCGUCAGCUCAUUGGUUCAAGACACCAGAGAGAGAAAAAAUAAUAUAGAGAGAGUAGUGAGGUAUUUCACAUAUUGUGAUGAAAAUAGUUUGUGAAAUUUUUUUGAGUGAGUGAUAUUUUAGUUCGAUGCUAGUCAAAAGAGAGUUUUUUUAGUGUGUUGUAGUCACUUUGAAUACUAUACUUGUAACUAUAUUAUGUAAAAUUUCUUACUAUAGUAAUAUCAAUUGAUUUCUUGAUCCACGAUUUUUUCCUUAUUUAAAGGGUUUUCAUGUAAAAUUCUUGGUGUCAUAAUUUUUUCAUUUUAUUUUCAUUAUUUUACUGAAAUUACUUUGAUUGUUAUUUUUCGUUUACCCAACAAACUGGUAAAGAGACCACGGGUUGCAAUAUCUGUAUCUUUUGAUAAAUAAUGAAAGACAACACAAGUAUAAUGGUUACUUUGAAUGACGUUAAUGAUGUUAUUUGAAAAGAAAAAAUGAAAAAUCUAUUCUAUGCCAAGAAUUUUUGUUAACCAGUCUUUGACAUUAUAAAACCUGAAUAAAGUCGAUAAAGAGUGAAACUUGUUGCACAUACAAAUUUGUGGUUUUAUUAGGUAGUGGAUUGACAACAAUAUAUUGAACCAUAUUUCUAGAGAGACAUAUGGUCGGUCCCUAUGAAAGCAUCUUGAAAGUUUGUAUGCUCGAAAAAUUGAAAAUAAUAAAAUAUUUUUAAUAAAAUAAAUGUUUGGAGUUAAAUACCAUGAUGGUUCUCCGAUGACAAUUCACUAGAAUAAUUUUUAAGGAAUCUUGAAUCAGUUAUUUUCUAUGGAAAUUAUGUUUGAUGGAGAAAUUCAAGACUUCUACUUGAUUUUCUACCAGACUCUUGGGAAAUAUUUAGAACUUCAUUAUCAAAUUAUGCUUUUGAUGGCGUGAUCUCUAUGAAUUUUGUUAAGAGUAGCGUUCUUAAUGAAGAUAUGACACGAAAGUCCUAAGGUUUCUCUUCGUUCGAUGUCUUGAUGACCGAAAUUAGGGGAUAAGUAGGAAUCAUGAUUCUCAAAAUAGAGAACAUUAUACAAGAAAAUCUUAAGACAAAUUUAACGAUAUUGAGAUGCUAUCAUUAUGGGUUAAAAGAGCACAUAAAUUUUUUUUGUCGAAAAUUAAAGAAUGAGAACAAAGAAAAGAAGGAAAAAAAAAGACGACAGUGAAAAUUGCAUAGCCACCAUCACCUCCGAAGAUGUUUUUACUAUUCUUAAUGCAAAUCUAGUAAAUAUUGCUUGUGAUAAGUCAAGUUGGGUUGUGGAUUCUGGUGCCGCAUCUCACAUGGCAUCAAGGACAAAUUUUUUCUUAUCUUAUACGCUACGUGACUUUGAAACCUUGAGUAUUGGAAAUGAGACUGUAUCCAAGGGGCUCGUAUUGGUACAAUUUGUUUGAUAACUAGUACUGGAUCUAAACUAGUUUUAAAUAAUGUAAAGUAUGCACUUGAUAUUUGUUUUGCACUUGCUUUCUGUUGGUGUGCUGGAUGAUGAGGGAUGUAUUAGUACCAAUGGUGGUGGAAAAUUAAAACUCACUAGGGAUUCUUUGGUUGUGGUUCAAGGUGACAAACAUUUUGGUUUAUAUUGGACUACGAUUUCUACUUGUGCUAAUAUAGUGAAUGCAGUUGAAAGCGCUAGCUCUUUAGCAUUAUAGCAUAAGAGGCUUAGCCACAUUAGUGAGAAAGGACUUAAUGCUAUGGCCAAGAAGAAAUUACUAUCAAAUUUGAAUGUUCUAAAUUAUAAAAAUAUGAGAGCUGCUUGACAGAAAAAUAAAAUAAAGUUUCUUUCAAGUCUCAUCCUCCUUCAAGAAAAAUAGAGUUGCUUGAGUUGGUGAAUUCAGAUUUAUGUGAUUCAAUAAAGAUAAGAACUUUGGGUGAUGCACUUUACUUCAUUAUUUUUAUUGAUGAUUGCACAUGAAAAUUUUGGGUCUAUGUCUUAAAGACUAAAGACCAAGUGAUGGGUGUCUUUAAGCAGUUUCAAGCUUCUAUUGAAGAGAAAUAGGGAAGAAGUUAAUGUGUAUUCGUACUAAUAAAAAUUAUGAACAUUAUGGACUAUUUGAUGAAGCUGCAAGCAACAAGGUAUUAGACACCAGAAAACUCUUUCCAAGACUCCUUAGCUUAAUGGUUUGAUGAAAAGAUAAACAAGACCUUGAUGGAAAGAGUUAGAUGUUUGCUUUUUGAAGUAAAGUUGUUGAACUCCUUUGAAGUGAGGCUUUAUUGAUCAUUGCACAUGUUAUUAACUUAUCUUCUGCUUUUAUUUUUUAAAGUGAUGUAACAAAUACAGAUUGAUAUGGAAAGGAUAUUUCUAUGAAUACUUGAGAGUAUUUAAUUGUAAAACUUUUGUACAUGCGUCCAAAGAUGAAAGGUCAAAGUCAAAUAUCAAGACAAGGCAGUGCAUCUUCAUUGGUUAUGGACUUGAUGAUUUUGGUUAUAGACUAUAUGAUCCAAUUGAGAAGAAUUUUGUAAGAAGUCAUGAUAUUGUCUUCAUGAAAAAUCAAAUCAUUAAAGAUAUUGAAAAAGCAAGAAACUAGAACCUUCAAGUUCUAAUAUUGUAGUUAAUCUUGAUCAAGCUCCUCAUACAAGUGCACAUAAUGUUGGUGGGCUUAAUGAUCAUGGUGAUGCCCAGAAUCAUGUUCCAAAUCAGCAUUAUGAUGUUGAUAAUUAUAAUAAUGUUGUUGUUGAUGGUACUUCUAUUCAUGAAGUUGUGGAUGAGUCAAAUAUUUCACUAAGAAGGCUUUAACAACAACAUAUUUUUUCGUUAUUCUUCGAAUAAGUAUGUGUUACUCACUGACGGAAAAGAACCUAAAUAAUUUGAGGAGGCCAUUGAAGAUGAGCAUAAAUAUCAAUGGAUUGAAGUCAUGCAACAUGAGAUGAAAUCUCUGCAUGAGAACCACACUUAUGAGUUGGUGAAAUUGGCUAAAGGCAUGAGACCCUUGAAGAACAAGUAGGUGUUCAAAGUCAAAGUUGAUAAAUACAAUUUGAAGCCUAGGUAAAAAUCUAGAUUGGUUGUUAAGGAAUUUGGUCAAAUGAAGGUGUAGAUUUUGACAAAAUAUUUCUCCUGUCAUGAAAAUGACCUUCAUUCAUAUCGUUCUUCGUUUGGUUGCUAGUCUUGAUUUAGAGAUUGAACAGAGGAAUGUAAAGAUAAUUUUUUUUCAUGAUGACCUCAAAGAAGAGAUCUAUAUGCAAUAAAUUAAGGACUUUAAGGUAAAAUGUAAGGAAAAUCAUGUGUGCAAACUUAAAUAGAGUCUCUUUAGCUUGAAUCAAUUUCCUAGGAAGUUGUACAAGAAGUUUGAAUCUGUCAUAGAGGAGUAAGACUACAAGAAAAGUUCUUCAGAUCACUGUGUAUUUGCAUAAAGUUUUUCUGAUGAUGAUUUUACCAUCCGCUUGCUAUAUGUGGACGAUAUGUUAAUUAUGGACAAGAAUAUUUUUAGGAUUGAUGAGUUGAAUAAAUAGUUAUGCAAGUCAUUUGCUAUGAAAGACUUAGAUCAUGCUGAGCAUAUUUUGUACAUGAGGAUUACUCGUCUCAAAAAUGAAAGGGAGUUUUACUUAUCAUUGGAUAAGUACAUUAAACGUGUACUGAAGAGCUUCAACAUAAAGAAUGCUAAGGUUUUUAACAUAUCCCUUGUUGGUUAUAUGAAUUUGAUCACGAAAAUGUGUCUUACAAUGAAGGAGGAAAACAAAAACAUCACUUAAUUUCCAUAUUACAUUGUUGUCAAAAGUUUAAUAUAUGCAAUUGUGUGUAUCAUCUCAAUAUUAAUCACGAGUUGGUAUUAUAUUUAGGCUUCUUGAAAAUCUAGGAAAGGAUAACUGGAAAAUAGUCAAAUGGAUAUUGAGGUAUCUAACAAGAUUGAGGUAUCUAACAAGAACCUUAGGUGAUUCUUUGUGUUUUGGAGGAUCUGAUCCAAUUUUAAAGGGCUAUACAGAUAUUGAUAUGAUGGGUGAUCUUGAUAACAUAAAAUAUACUAUUAAAUUUUUAUGUAUCUUUUCAGGGGGAGUUAUAUCAUGACCAUCAAAGUUGCAGAAGUGUGUCGCACUGUCUACUACUGAAGCUAAGUAUAUUGCGGCUAGCGAAACUGGCAAGAAAAUGAUAUGGCUUAAGGUGGCUCCUUUAAGAACUUGGAUUGCACCAAAUGGAUUAUGUUGUCUAUUGUGACAGUCAAAGUAAAAUAGACUUGAUUAAGAACCCCAUGUACCAUGCAAGAAUAAAACACAUUAACUUUAGGUACCAUUGAAUUUGUGAACAAGCGGAGAACAAAUCAUUUUAGGUCAAGAAGAUUCACACGAGUAUAAAUCAUGUAGAUAUGAUAACGAGGUGGUACCAAAAGACAAGUUCAAAUUAUACAAAGAGCUUAUCGGCAUGAGAUCUCUCUAAGAAGAUGCGGAUACCUCUUUCAGAUACAUGAGACUGGAGGCAAAGAUUUAUAGGGUCAAGUCCCAUCCUCCAUGAUGCAGGAAAUACAAGUCUACAAUUGUUGCAUGCCCAUAUUCUUAAUUUGUCUAACUUGCAGUUAUUGGCUAGGAAAAAGUCAAAAAAAGAUUUGAUUUUCAAUGGUUUUUUUAUGUCACUGAUGACACUGGCUUGGACAGAUUUUUUCCUAUAAAAGGAGCUCAUCAUCUCAUUGGUUCAUCACACUAAAUAGAGAGAACAAAAAUAAUAUAGAGAGAGCAGCGAGGUAUUCCACAGACUAUAAUAAAAAUAGUCUGUGAAGGAAAAAUUAGAGUGGAUGAUAUUUUAGUUAGGUGAGAGUCAAAAGGAUUUUUUUUUUGAGUAUGUAGUAGUCACUUUAAGUAUUAUACUUGUGACUAUACUGUGUAAUAUUACAUACUAUAGUAAUAUCAGUUGUUCCUCUUGGUCUGUGAUUUUUUUCUUAUUUAAAAGGAUUUUCACGUAAAAUUCUUGGUGUCAUUAGUUUGCCAUUUUAUUUCUAUUAUUUUAAUACUUACUUUUGUUUAGUUGUUAUUCCAUAUUUACCCAACACAAUAUGAAAACCCUACAUAUUACAUUAGGGGCGAAGCUACAUUGUAGCAAGAGUGGUCAGAUAAACACCCUUCACCGAAAAAUUAUAUCAUAUAUAUAGAUAAAUGCUACUUUAAACGGGUUAAAUGUACAAUCUGAACAAUCUUGAGACAUGAAGUUUCUCUAUCCCAGUGGUGCUAGGCGCGUAGGGAAUGGACAUGCUCCUUUUAGUGCGUGGGUUGGAACCCCUGCGAGCUAUGUUUCUUUUAAAAGCAUUUUUUCCUCAUAUUUAGAAGAGCUUCUAAAUGCUUCAAAACUGGAGAAAAAAAUGAAGGAUUAGUAGACAAUAUUUUACUUUGUUUCUUUUCUUUUAUUAACGAUUUAAAUAAAAUUUAAAAGCAAUUAUUUAAUUUAAAAUUAAUAAGUAAAUCCUAAAAUUCUCUAUAAUGUUGCUAAAAGCGAAAAAACUCUAUACAGGAUUUAUUUUAGAGAAGACCUUAUUUAAUUCUUCUCUCCCUCUUUCAUGUUUUGUUGUUAUUAUUAUCAUUACCAUAGGUCGACGAAAGCUUGAAGCAUAAAAUUAUUUUGUUUUCUUUUUUGCUUUUCACUUUACUUCAUAUUAAAUUAAACAUGAACACUAAAGCUAAACAUUAUAUGGUUUGAUUUUAAAAUUUUGAUACAUUUAUUCAUGAAAAAAAAUGAUUAUUAGUAUUAUGUAGUUUGAUUUUAAAAUUUUCAAUGCACCAUUCAUCAAUUUUUUUUUUACUAAUGUAAUAUCUGAACACCCUUCGAGAAAUUUAUGGUCCCCCGCCACUGUAUUACAUCUAUACUUGAAAACGUUACUAGUUUAGGAUGCGUGCUUUGUACGUGUAAUUUAAUUAAAAACGUUAAGCCAAAAAAGAACUAAAAUUAUAACUCAAAAUUAAAAGAAACUUACGUCAAUAUUUCAGAAGCCCAACUCAAUUUGCUAUAUACUACAUAUGCUCCAUUGUUUGUUUAUAUAGACACUAAUUUCUUAAUUCUUUCGUUGUUUUUUCUUCUCAAUAAUAUUAUACUGAAAUAAGAAUCACCAUAUUUUUUGAAAAAAAGAAGAAGAUACCAAAUGAAAGAAAAACACAUAAAAUACAUAAUUUAGGAAACUACAUUAAUUUCAAAGAAAAAGGAGUAAAAUUACCUGAGAGAGAAAAAGGAAAAAACUUUGAAUAGAGAAAUAACUACAUACUUAUAUCCUUUCAACUCAAAAUGUAAUUUUAUCAAAAUGUAAUAUGAAUAAAAUCUUACAGAUAAUUCCAAAUUUUAAUAUUAGUAUACUGAGAUAUGGUACCAGAAGGCUUCAUCCAUGAAUUUCCGAAGUUACGACUUCAAAUUAUCAUUCAAACUGCUCAUAGUCUACAAUUAAGAUGCACAAUUAAAAUAGGAAUUAUCCAGAAUACAUACUCAUGAAGAACUAAAAGUAGAAUAUAUAUAAUAAAAUAGCUAGUAAAUGCACAUUGCUAGAUGUUGUUUCUUCCUUUAAAUUCAAUGGCUAUGUACAUUUUCUUUUGGUAUCAAAAUUUAUCGUCGGCAUCAAAUUAGUUGCUCAUGCUCAUUGCGCUAAUAUUGAAUGCACUGUUUAUGUACAGAUUACCAUAGUCAAUCAUGUAUGAAUAACUUAGUAUAAUACACAUGGAUACAAUGUAUGUGUUGUGUCGUUUACCCUAUGGACACACGCUCUCUUCUCCCUCGUCUUUUUUGUUGGUAAGCUAGGGCAGCCAUGAUUGCCACUAUCUCUCUACAGCCUUUUGCUGUGGGAGGGAGUCCUCAAGAAAUCUUAAGGAGAGCAUACCCGAUUCUAUACACAAUUAACUUAUGCUUCUCUCUUAAAUUCAGACAAAAUAGCCGUAUCUUUACAAAAAAAUAAUGCGACUACUUAAUCUUGAGGGGCCGGGACAUCUUUGGAUUGUCCAAAAGUUUUUGAUUCCCUAAAUAGCUUACAAUGUAGCUUCGAGAGUGUCAGACGGGGCUUGUGUGAUUUACCCUUCCAUGAUCAGGUGUUUUUAAAGUCGAUUGCAGCAAAUGCCCCACCUUUCCAAAACAUAAAAGCAAAGACAAUCAAGCCACACAAAUAUAAGUCAUAUUCAUAUUCUUAUAAAAGCAACAGACUUCAUAUAGUGUUGGUAAUCAAAUAUAAAUGGCAGUUGUAGGUAUGUUUAAUAACAUCCACACUCUAGAAUAGUAGUCACUGCACCAUCAAUAGUAUCCACCGCAACCACCCACUAAGUUAUAACUGGUUAAUAUUGAUUUUGAGUUCGUUUAUAGUAUGUACAGAUUAUAAUUAUAAACUUUAUAUAUACUUCGAAUUAUAAAAAAGUAAUGUUGGAGCCAUGAAAAAUUUUAAUCAUUAACAAAUAAUCUCUUUUACAAAGUCAGUUAUAUUUGUAUCAACCAACUUAUUGGACUAUCAUAUAAAAAGUUUUCUAGCUAUAUACUAAGUUAUUUUUUGUGUACAUGUAGUGAAUGUUGAACCCACUUGGCUUAAUUUUCUGUUAUUUUUUUUUUAUUUUGAAUUGCAUGGGUAGAAGGGAAUGCAGGAGGGGUAGUAAACACCACUAUUUUUUAAUACUACUCUCAUAGUUCAAGUAGAUUUGUCUAAAUGAUCGAUAAUAAUCUUGAUGUCAAAUGGCCAAAGCAAAAAAAUUACUAAUAAAAAGUAGAUUAACACAAAAGAAAGAAAAUGCCUAUAGAAUCCUUGCUAAUUCUUUCAUGAACAGACAUAUUCAACUCUUUCUUUUAUAAUUAUGGUGUUCGAUCUUUCACAUAUUUACCAAUUUCAUAAAGAAGAUAAAACAUAUGAAAGAUUGAUUUCACUAUCCACAUCUAAAAAAUAUUCAAUAGAAACUGUAAAUAUUCAACAUCUACAAACAAACCUUCUCAAGAGGAAAAGCAUUCAAGCAACUGUAAACUAAAAUGAAAGUCAUAUGAGUUGGAUAAAAAGGGGAUAACAUUAACCCAUUCUUUUUCUACCUUCUCCACAUGCUAAUUUGACUUUAAAAUGGCUUAACACCGAAGUUUGUCUUAACUUCUUACGAAAUCAGUGAAAAAUACAUGUUAAAGUGAUUGACAUACCUGAUAAGAGAAAUUAAUCACUUUUCAUAGAGAUUAUAUUUUGAAGUAUAGAAGAAUUGGCUAUAAGCAUGCAAUAGAACUUGCAUAGAAGAAUUGGCUAUAAGCAAGCAAUAGAACUUGCAUUAACAGAGUUAAAUGAGAAGACUUUGGCCUCUGCGUAAAGUGAGUUGACGAAGAGAAUCGAGAUAAGAGAAUAUGGAGAUGAGAGAACCUGGAGAAGAGACAAAAGUGAAAGUAAUUGUGGAUGAAAGAAAAAUAUGGUGAGGUCACUGAAAAGGCGAAAUCAAUAUGACUUUUAUAGAAGUCGGUAAAAGAUACCUGUUUUACAUGGGAUGAGAAUUAUUUUGAUCUUAUUUUGCAUGAAAAAAAUUAUGUUAAAAUCUAUGGAAGAUGAAAAAGAAUUUGUAUUUUUUUAAUUUUGACAAAAAAACGUUCGAAAAUUUAUGUAUUACCGAUUUGGAAAAAGGCCAAAGAUUUUUUUGGGUUUUUUUGGAGUUUAUGGAAGAUGAAAAGAAUUUUUUUUUCUUUUUGGGGCAAAAAAACGCCCGAAAGAUUUUUGGGUUUAUGGAAGAUGGAAAAGAUUUUUUUUUUUAAAUUUUGGCAAUUAAAAAAGGCCGAAAGUUUAUGUAUUACCGAUUUGGAAAAAGACCAAAAAUUUUGGCUUUUUUAAAUUUUAAUGUUUAAUUGUGUUUUAGAUUUUAGAUGGUGGAAAAGGAAUUCUAUUUUUGUAAGGAAAGUUUUUUUUUAAUUUAAUGUUAAUAUUAUUAAAAUAAUAGAAAAGGGGCAAAAAGACGAUUUUGUCUAAAGCGGAGACUUUUAAUGAAGGGCAAAAAGUUCAAAUCACUUUUCUAACGGUCUUCACACUUUUAAUAUAUUACAGAUUAUAGAUUAUAGAUUAUAGAUAUAGAUAUAGAUAUAGAUAUAGAUUAUAGAUUAUAGAUUAUAGAUAUAAAUAUAAAUAUAGAUUAUCUAUCAGAUGGAACGUAUGCACUAAUUUAAUCGCGGUAUUUGUAUACUUAUGAAAGAUCCCAUAUUUUCGCUUAGAAGAACUCUUUAAAUAUAUCUUUGCUAAUUAUUCCAGCAAGCUGACGACCUGGAGUUUGGUAGCAACCCAUGUAUCAUGUAUACUUUUCAAAGUUGCUUACAUAUUCUGACUAUUUAUAAUUACCCAAAUAAACAAUUUGUUAUCUUUAAUGCAUGUUGUAUUUGUAUUAUAUAGUGUUUAGAACGUGAGAAAAAUAACAUAAUAUCUAUGUAUUUUUUUUCUUUAAUUAUCUUCUAGUUACGUUUUUCGUCGUCUUGGUGGUUAUGAAUUGGUCAUAUCUGAAUAUCAUACCAGCAACUUGUAAUUUAUUCAUUUAGUAUUAGUAUUAGUGUAAAUGGACAAAAUGGUGGUCAAAAUCAAGGAUCUUACCGUAAUUGAGGCUAGCUAGCCACAAUAAAAUUGGUGAAAUUUAAGCAUGACUUAAAUACCUAUUUAUGUGGAUUAGAUCUUUGAUUAAAAAAAAGAAAAUUGUGGAUUAGAAUAACAACACAUGCAUCCUUUUACUAUAUCAAUCACGUGGGAGACUAAUAAAAUACUCAGAAUUAAUUAGAGUUAAAAUUGGAAAACUUAUCAUUUAUCAACAUGGAUAGCCGAAACUUAUUUAAUAAUGUGUCCGCAAUAUAGAAAAGCUAUUCACCAAUUAUGUACUAUUAUACUACAAAUACAAGACCUAGGCAUGCUAACUAUUUGUUAAGUCUUUAAUUUUGAUUAUUGACAAACUAUGUCUUUAGUUUUGCUGAUUGACAAACUAUCCUAUUAGGACCUGAUUCCUAGAAAUCAUUUGAUGACAAAGCUGCAACUACUCAGGGACCAGGCUGGUCGGAUUCACUCACUAUCAUUGGUCAGCACUACAACUGGAAAUAGAACGCUUCUGGCAGUAAGUUGGUGGGAAGGCUUUUACACUCUUUUAUCCCAAUUUAUCAAAAUCAUCCUACGUUUUCUUGUCUCUUAUAUAUGCUCAUGUUACAACAAGAAAACCUAAUCUUCCACAUUCUCACAACAUCAAAUAUCUUGAAGCUCUCAGAUUCAAAGCCUCAUCUGCAACAGGGACCUGCUUAGCUCAAUAGUUUGUCUCAAGUUCUUGUUGUAUUUAAUUCCUUGUUUUGUGUGUGUAAAUGUUGCCUACUGCUCUAAUACAUUAUUUGUAGGUAUUUUGUUUUUCAUCUCUAUUACCAAAGUGUUAUCUAAAGUUAGUUGACAAAGAAACUAGAGUUGGCUUGAUUACUGUCUUAGUUUGUUUUAGUUAGAGUUAGCUGAGUCAGUGGAGGCAAUAGAGUUAUUGCAUUAGAGUUUAUUGUAAUUGAGUUAUUGCAAGUGAAAGAAGGGUUAAGAGGUUAAUCCUUGAAGUCAUGGAGUCUAUAUUCAAGGUUGCUUGAAUCUAGUGAAGUUGUUGGAAUCCUACGUGGUGGGUUGUGGUUUUUCCCCCUUGAGCAAAGAGUUUCCACGUAAAACUUAUUGUUUUUCUUAAUUAUUUAUUUUACAAGUUUGCUCUAUUUAGUUUUUUUGUUGCAUACGUUAGUUGUGACCAGGUCCCAAAGUAGGAGGGCAACUCGUGUAAUUCUUCAAUUGGUAUCAAAGCAGGUUCUUUCUAAAAGGUUAACACCUAGGAAGGAUCUACUAAUAUGGCUGCACCUCUAAAUCUCGAAGAAGGUUAAUCAACUACUAGGCCAUCCAAAUUUUAUGGUCAAUAUUAUGGAUGGUGGAAAACUCAUAUGCAGAACUUCAUCAUGGCUGAAGACUGUGAGUUGUGGGAUGUUAUUGAAGAUGGUCCUUUUGUUCCCACAAAACCUAUGAAAGUUUGUGAAGUGACUUCAAAUAUUCCUAAGACAACAAAGGAAUAUGAUGAAGCUGGCAAGAAGAAGAUAGAGAGAAAUUAUAAGGCUAAGAAGCUUCUUGUGUGUGGCAUUGGUCCUGAUGAAUACAACAGGAUCUCUGCUUGUGAGACUGCUAAAAAAAAUUAGGAUUGCCUAUAAACUGCUCAUGAGGGAACUAGUCAGGUAAAGGAGUCAAAAAUAGACAUGUUGAUAACACAAUAUGAAGUCUUCAUUAUGAAGGAGGGUAAGACUAUCCAAGAAAUGCACACAAAGCUCACUACAAUCACCAAUGAACUUCACUGUUUGGGUGAAGAUAUCAGACCUACCAAACAUGUUCGCAAAGUACUUAGCAUUCUUCCAAAGGCUUGGGAAAGUGAAGUGAAUGCAAUCAUUGAAGCGAAGGAUUUAAAGACUAUGAACAUUGAUGAGUUGAUAGGAAAUCUUAAAACCUAUGAACUCAAGAAAAAAUAGGACAAAGCGAGAGGUGAGCAUAAGAAAGAAGGAAACCUGGUCCUCAAGUCAACAAAGAAAGAUGCCAGUGCUGCUGAUAACGAAACAACUUACAUCACCAAGAGAUUUUUGGAGAUUAUGAGAAGAAUUGGUGCACUUCUAAGAAGGGGAGGAUCUAGCAGAUAUAACAAGGAUAAAAAGGCAAAUGAGACAUGUCAAAAGUGUGGCAAGCUCAGUCACUUUAUUAAAGACUGCCCUCUUCACAAGAUUGAAUACAAAGAUUAUGUUAAACAAUCUUGUGAAAGAGAGAAAAAGAAGGACCCGAUCCCUGAUAAGUAUAGAAAAAGGGUUGUUGCUAUCACACCUUAAAUCCCAUCAGGGCAGAUAGGCACCGUAGCUGUGAAGUCCAAAGAGCACCAACCUAUAACCUUUUACAUCUCGUGCAUGUAACUGUGAUAACAAAAGGUUCUGCCAUAUAUAGAUAUAAUGCAUCAAUGAUAAUAAACAACAAGCCCAAAACUAUGUGAACAAAACUUGACCAUUAAGGCCACAAAAUCUAAAAGAUAAGACACUAUCAUGCUUAACUUUACAUUGGUCUACAAAGCCUCUAGAAGACACAUAAACUUAGUGAAGGUUGGCAUAAAUGCUCGCCUUACUCUUAACUACUAUACAAUCUGAAAACAUAUAUAACAGACUCAGGUUGCCUCGAAUCAUCCUGAAGCAUACUAAUAGCCAUUGGAUAUCUUGUACCCCUACUGGGGAGGUGUAUUAGCUAAAACAUAUGUUCCUGCAACAUGAAAUUCAGGCCCCCGUGAGGGAUGUCAGUACAAAAAUAUAUACUGAAUAUAUAAGGCUGAAAGUAAUUAUACAUUAUACAAGAGCUCAAUUGAAAUCAGACACAAGUGUAUAAAUAGUGCUAGUAAACCACCAUUACAUAUACUUGUAGGAUCAGGUGCAUUACAUUCUUUUAUUCAUUUUACCCCUCUUACUUUAUAAUCAUUGUAAGCCAUAUGAUACAAAUGACCAGCUGAUCAAUGGUAAAUACACAAAUUAGAAUCGAACCAUGCUAGGUUUACGCCACUAAGCUGCCAUCCAUGUAUAAAUAUAUUGGGAUCAACCUAUACUAGGAUUUCUCCCCUUAGCUUCCACCCAAAUAUAAAGGUAUAGGGGUCGUACCAUGCUAGACUUACUCUCUUGAGUUGUCACCCCUUCAAUUCAGAUUUGUGUUAGUUUAUUUAGCCUUUGAGAUUAUUACUUUGGUGGUCAUAAAAUUAUUUUACUUUGAAACAAUAAUCCACCAGUAAGUGACAUGUAAAUAAACACUUAAUGCAAUAACAAUGAGGUAGGAAGUAGUUUGUACAUGAAUGAAAUGUUUAGGAGCUAAAAAUAACACAUGGGUUUUAUUUGACUCAAAGGAGAACUCCUGAAACUUGCUAGUGAAAGUAAACAUGAAGACUUGAUAAUAAGCAUGUAUUGAAGUAUUUUAACAUAUUAGAGAGUAAGGAAAAAUUCAUUAGCCACAUGGGAGAUCAUGUGCUGUCAUUUGCUAUAGGAGAACUUUAGAAGUUUACUUUAUAACACAUGUAUUGGAUUUCAUGCCAAAGAAUACGAAAUAGAGCAUGCCUUACAUACCUUGCUGUACAACUCCAAUUUUAAACCAAAUUAACACCCCACCUUUUUGACUUCUUAUCUAUAAUAAAGUAUCUGGUAAAACUAGCAUUAGUAACUAAUCAACUCAUUUAGGAUACUUAAAUUUACCAAAAUAGUAGCCGGGAAGUUAGCUCAUAAUUAUCAAAUCAAGGGUGCUAUUUUAAUCCUUUUCUCCUCCAAUUACAUCCACAUCCCAUAUAUAAUUUUAUAAGAUCCCAUGAAACAACUUUGGCUUAUUUACUCUCUCAAAAUAAUGGACAAAGUGGAAUAGGCAGUAAAUAUAUACAACAUUUAGUUUGGUGGUAUACCACUACACUCCUUCUAGAUAUUUCAAUACAAGCCACUCAUACCUUUCUCGAGCAUCAACCCGGCAGUCCCCAACAUAUACAUAUAAAACAGUCCAUAAAAUAGCCCCAAAAUUCCUUUAUCGUAGUAACCAAAUAUUGUACUCAUCAUCCCUUGAGUUCUCAAUAACAAACAUUCAUAAUUCUUUACCCAAACUCAUACAUAGGGAGGAUAAAUAAAGAAUUCACCUUACCUCCAUUUUCUGUAACUUAUACUCUUAACUUGAACUUCUUUUCACACUUUAAACCAAAGAACAAAAGAUAAGUCGCUUAAUAAGAAAAAAAGUGAGCAAAUAGCUUGUUUUAUAUUCUUCCCUAUAUUUAUAAUUAAGCAUAAACCAUAAGUGCUUUAACUUACCUUGGCUUGCAAAGGUGAGGGUUUCUUCAAGAACCCUAGAAGGAGAAUUAGGGUUGCUCCUUGCUUUUCUAGAGAGUAGAGAAAACUUAUGAAAUAUGAUCCUUUUUUGUAACUUAGAAUUGAAGGAAAUGACAGUAACUUGGCCUUAUAAAGGCCCUAUUUUGGCUAUCUAUUAGCUGCAUUUUGGAUCUCAAAUUGGUCCAAGCAGGUGAUGCACCUACUUAAAGACUUCAAGUUGCUCAAAAGGUCAAAGUAGGUGAUAUACCUACAUGCUUGAUUCUUUGUUGGGCUCAACUAAAUUAGGCCUUAGUGGAUUUGAGUAUUAGGACCUUUCUCCAUUUUCUUUCCCUUUUACUUAAUUUGGGCCCAAAUGAGUCCAUUAAUAUAGGUCCAAAUCUAAUCCAUAGCCUUGGGUCCAUUAACUUGGUCCAUAUAUCUCAAGUAGGUGACUCACCUACUAGCUUAAUUAAGUCAAGCAAGCACUUCAAUAUUAUAUUUCAUUUUUAAUUCUUAAUCUCUUUAAUCCAACUUACAACUUGUAUACAUUUAGUCACGUUAAACUUCAUAUUCAAGUACUAGCUUACUAUCCCAAGUUAAAUAGUCAUAUCGAUAUUAACUUGAUCGCAUCAUAUUAAAACAUACGGGAAGUAUCUAGAAAUGCAUUUACACCAUUAAUACUCACAUAAAAAAUCUAGUCCAUUACCUAGAUCACAAAGUUAUGUCAAGGUCUAUAUAAGUAGAAUACGUACACACAAAAUACAUGGUAUUACAACUGCUGAUGGAUAUGUGAAAUAGGUCCUUGCAGUUUGGGAAGACUCUUCUAGUGAGUCUGAUAAAUUAGAGAAACUAGAAGAUGUCUCCAUGAUGGUGGUUGAGGAUGAUGUCCAGAUCUAUGACUCCCUCUUUUCCCUGAUGGCCGAAUCAUAAGAUGAUGAAGAUGAAAAGCUAACCCUUCUAAACAUCAAAGAUAAUCUGAAAGAUUAUUCUCCUAAGGAAUUAAAUUCUCUUGCUACUGUGCUGAUAGAUACUGUAUGUGAGAUUACAAAAGAUAAGAAGUCAUUAAUUAAAAUUUUUGAUGAAUUUGAAGUGGAAAGGUGGAACUAAUUGAGAAAAUGUUUAAGCUUCAAGAAACCUGCCAAUCCCUAUCCCUUAAAAAUGAUCCAUUAAAAUGAUAAGAUUAGUGAAAUAUCCAAGUUCAAUUCAAAAGAGAAGGGUGAAGAAAGUAAAAUUCAAUUUGUGAUUGAGGAGAAAUAGCCAAGUCCAAUACAGACUUAGCUGCAUCCCUGGAGAGUAACUCUGACCUUAAGAGGGACCCAGUUCAGAUUAAGGCUGAGCUUGAGAAAGUUCCUAAACAGACAACCUCCUCUCAAGUUUUGGCAGGUUUGAUUGCUUAAAAAUUUAACAACUUUUUUAUUUUUAAAGCUCAAUUUCACCAUAUAAUCUACAUAGCAAAUAUGUGCCAGUUUAGAAUAAUCUUCUGUGCACUCAUUUUGGUAAAAAUUGGCAUAUAAAAGACUUGUGUUAUUCAAGGAUGGCUGCUAUAAAAAGCUUGAAGAUACCUUCUAAAUCAAAGAAAAAUAAUGUUAUUCUAUCUGCAUGGACUAAAAAGAACUUGAUUUUUCCUUUGUCCCCCUACUGGGAACUCAAGCUGCAAUGGGUUCCCAAAACUAACAACUAAUGUGUCUGUAGGGUAGAGCAAGAGGAAGCAACCACCACUAGUACAUGGAUAGUGGUUGUUUGAAACAUAUGGAUGGAGGGAUUGGAGACUUCCUGUCAUGAGCCAAAAUAGCGCUUGGUCAUGACGGGCAUCUCAAGUUCCACAUGGAUCGGAGACCAUCCCUGCACCUAACCAAGUGAACACAACAUCUCCGAUGUCGGAUGAAUUCCGAACAUAUAAUAAGAUAGCAUAAUAAUAGGCUAAAUGAUAUUUAAAUCAUAUAUAUAAUAGAAAACUAUCGACUGGCUAAAAUAAUCGAUCAACACCACACAAGUCCACACUAAUCCAACAAAGCCUUCUAACACAAGAACCAAAAACCAGCCUUGGUCGGGACAUGUUCCCGACUCUAACAUAUGAAAAUGAGAAUGAAUAUGGUAAUGUUAAUGAUAAUGAAACUCUCAACUCUAGUCUAUGAUAAGAACUGAUGAAAUGUCUAAGUCUUUCAAAGUAUGAAAGCUCACUACUUCACCAAAAUAAACCGUCGAACUGAGAUGACCAACAUAACUCUUCAUAAGAAAAGUAAAAGUAGCUCUGGUGCCUGCAUCGUGUGGGAUACAAUGUUUGGAGACAGUUAGUAGGGUGAACAUUACCAUGUAACUCAGGGAUAGGGAUAAACUAAUGCCAUGAUCAACGGUUCAAAAUCAUUCAAAACCAAUGCACAUAAUCAAAUGCAUAUAUAUAUAUAUAUAUUAUAUGACGAGAUAGGUGACAAGGCUUAACAUGCACUUUAAAACUUAAGCCUGGAUUGUGUAGCUUAACCAUCAUAACAUAUAAGACACUCACAGGCUAUAUGGGCUCAACUCUUCCUCAGCUAGUAAGGCCCCAGUAUGUGUGGCCACACGAAUUAGAGAGUGAACAUAUGCACUAUAGAAGACUCAAAUCUCCCUGCAUAUCAAGGUCACACGAGUAGUAAAUCAUGUAGUAUAUUAUGGGGGACUUAAACCUCCCAAUUAUAUGAUAAUACUAUAAGGGGGACACGAACCACCCUGUCAUAUAGACCCUCACGUCGGAAAUCAUAGUUUUUAGUGUGGGUCCCUCAGGACCUCUACUUUCACGACUCAACUACACAACCCUCAUUAAAGUUCAGUUAAAAUAAUUAUCACACAUUUCCAUUCAUUGAACCAUAUUUCACAUUAAGGCAUACAUUGUUGGUAUCGUUAUACCAACUAAUAUGCAAAGUAACCACAACAUUCCAAAUAAUUACAUCACUUGGGGGGAAUUCACAAUCCCUUUUGGUUCAAUUAUGCAUUAGCUUGGAGAAUCACACAACCCCAUAAGGUUCAAUUCAAAAUCAUAAUGCAAUAGUUCAAGAAUAGUUCAAUUCCCAUACUUCUCAUAAUUACAACCAAUUUCACAAUUGGGGUUGGGGUCAUAACCACUUCAAAUGUCGCAAGUUUUGGAAAAAUCAUAAUUUUUAGUUCAUUCACCAUAUCAACGCACCCAUAAGUUCAAAACCACAAUUAAAGCAUGAAUAAUCAUAUGUAAACUAUGGAAAAACAUUGUUCAAUUCAUAAGCAUUCAAAACCUUCAAUCCUUGUUUCAAAUCCAACAUAAAUAUCUCCUGAAUAAUACUUUAAAACAUAUGAUUUUAACAAAUUAACAGUGAGGGAACCGUAAAAUACCUAAAAUACCAAGUUUCACGAAAAACAUUCAACCCUUGAGCCCUUAGAUGACCUACUUCUUGGAAACCUUAAGUAUGGUUUCUUAAGAGAAUUUAUGAGAGCUUUGGAAGUGUUUGAGUACGUUAAGAAUGAAAUAUAACCCCCUUAAGUGCUUUAUGAACGUGGAGUUUUAACUGGGAGAGAAGAAAAAUGUCCAAAAUGCCCUUAAUUUAAAAAUCAAAAUUUAGUCGUCAGUAAAUACGGGUCACCAUAUGACUCGUAAGGAUAUAUUAAAACUCAUCACAACGAGUCGUAGUCAAGAUAGAACCACUAAUAUCCUAUACUAAUAUGUCAAUGAUUCAUACCACCAACCUGUAAUACAUGUAACACCCGAUAUUUAACAUGUACUUGUUCUAUUUAUAUGAAACAUGGUAUAGGUAACGGAUAAGAUUUGUUAUGCGAGUAUUGAUGGUGUAGAGAGAGUUCUAGAUACUGCCCGUAUGUUUUAGCAUGAUGCGGCCAAGUUAACAUCGAUACAACUAGUUAACUUGGAAUAGUAAGCCGGUAUUUGAAUCUAAAGUUUAAAGUGACCAAGUAUAAAUGAGUUAUAAGUUAGAUUAAAGGGAUUAUGAACUUAACAUGGAGCAAUUUUUUGAGGUGCUUGCUUGACUUAAUUAAACUAGUUGGUGGGUCACCUACCUGAGUUACAUGAGCCAAGUCAAUGGACUAAGUCCAUAGAUCAAAUUUGGGCCCUUAUUAGUAUACUUAUUAGGACCCAAAUUAAGUAAAAGAGGAAGGAGAUAGAGAAAAGGCCCAAUACUAAAAUCUGCUAAGGUCCAAUUUAAUUGAGCCCAACUAAGAAUUAAGCAAUUAGGUGUAUCACCUACUUUGAAUUUUUGAGCAUCUUGAACCCUUAAGUAGGUGCAUCACUUAGUGGACUAAUUUGUGGAUAAAAAUGGAGUCAAUAAGGGAGGUAUAAGUCUCAAUAUAAACCAACAUAGCUGGUAUUUUUACUCAUUUUAAACAUAAUAUCCACCCUUUUAAUUUCAGCUUUCUCCCUUUUCCAUCAAGGAUAAUAACAACAACCCUAAAAAUCCUUUCUAGGGUUCUUGAAGAAACCCUCAUCUUUGCAAGCCAAGGUAAGUGAAAACACUUAAGGUUUAGCUUAAUUAUCUCAUGAAAGAUUAGAAAAAUAUUCUAUAAGUGUUUAAUUAUAAAUACACGGUAGAAUAUAGAACAAGUUACCUGCUCACUUUUCGUAGUUAUUAAAAGACUUCUCUUUGCUUCUUUGGUUUAAUGUAAAGGAAAGUUCAAUUUCUUAAAGAGUAAAUUUAAAAGAAUAAGCUACAGAAAAUUGAGGUAAGGUGAUUGCUCUAUUUUGUACUUCUUAUGUAUGAUUUUGGUUACAGAAUUAUGGAUAUGUUGUUAUUAAGGAAUUCAAGGGAUGAUGAGUUCAGUAUUUGAUUGCUACGAUAAAAGAAAAUUGGGGGCUGUUUUGUGGAUUGUUUUAUGUGUAUUUAUUAGGGGCUAGCAGACUAAUGUUAGAGAAAGGUGUGACUAUUUUGUAUUGAAAUAUAGAAGAAAGGUGUGACUAUUUUGUAUUGAAAUAUAGAAGAAAGGUGUGGUGGUACACCACCGAACUAAUUAUUGCAUUGUUGCUGAUCAUUCUAUUUGUAUCCCGUUUAGAGGAUGUAAUGAAGCCAAAGUUGUUUCGGGGGAUCUUAAAAGAAUUUGUGUGGUAUGUGGAUGUAAUUGGCAGAUAAAAGGGGUUAAAAUAACACCCUUAAUUAAUAAAUUAAGUGCUUACUGUUCAGCUACUAUUUUGUCAAAGUUAAAUAGCCUAGUGUGUUGGCUAGUAACUAAUACUAGUUUUACCAUAUACUUUAUUGUAGAUAAAUAAUCCUAAAGGCAGGAAGUUAAUUGAGUUGUCAUUAUAUUUAUACAACCAGGUAUGUGAAGCUACUAUCUGUUGUAUUCUUUGGCAUGAAAUCCAACACUUGUGGUACAAAGUAAGCUUCUGAAUCUUUCCCAUAGUAAAUGAUACCUAGUGGCAGCACAUGAUCUCCCAUCUAGCUAACGACCUUGAUCUCACUCCCUAAUGUGUUAAAAAACCUCACCAUAUUCUUAUUAUGAAGUCUACAUUUUUACUUUCACUAGCAAGUAUCAAGAGUUACCCUUUAAGUAAAAUAAGACCUAAUGUUAUUUUCAGCUCCUAAACAUUUCAUUCGUGUACAAUCUGCUCCAUAUCUUUUUGUCAUGGCAUUAAGUGUUUAUUCACAUGUCUCUUACUGGUAGAUUAUUGUUGAAAGGUACCAAAAUGUUAUGACCACCAAAGUAACAAUAUCAAAGGCUAAAUAAACUAUGUAACACAAAUCUUAAUUGAACGGGUGGCAUCUUAGGGGCAUAACCCUAGCAUGGGCCGAUCCCAAUACAUUUAUAUAUGGGUGGCAGCUCAGGGGCGUAAGCCUAGCAUGGGCCGAUCCUAAUUUGUGUAUUUACCACUGAUCAGUUGGACAUUUGUAUUACAUGGCUUACAAAGAUUAUGAAGCAAGAAGGGUAAAAUGAAGAAAAGAAUGUGAUGUAACUGAUCCCACAAAUAUAUAUAAAGGUGGUCUACUAGCACUAUUUAUACACUUAUAUAUGAUUUUUAUUGAGCUUUUGUAUCAUGUGUAGUUACUUUCAGCCUUACAUAUUUAGUACAUAUUUUUGUACUGACGUCCCUUAUGAGUGGCUUGUAUUUCAUGAUGCCAGCAUAUGUGCUUCAGCUAAUACACCUUGCUAGUAGGAGCACAGGAUAUCCAGUGACUAUUGGUGAUCUCCUGGUUGAUUUGAGACUUUUCGAGUCCAUUUUAUAUAUUUUGGUAUUGUACAGUAGUUAAGGGUAAGGCGGGGGUUUGUCCCGACCUUAACUAAGUGUCUAUGUAUGUUUUAGAGGCUUUGUAGACCAUUGUAAAAUUAAGCAUGGUAGUGUCUUGUCUCUUUGAUGUUGUUGUCCCAACGACCAAGUCUUGUAUAUAUAAUUUUAUGCCUGCCCACAUGGUUGUUCUCAUCAAUACAUUGUAUCAUAUUUGGAAGAACCUUUGGUUAUCAUAUUUACAUGCAUGAGAUGUACAAAAUCAUAGGUUGGUGCUCUCAAGCCUUACGACUACAGAUGCCUAUCUUCCCCUAUGAGAUUUGACGUAUGACAAAAGUGGUAUCAGAGUAGGUCAUUCUAGUGAGUAUACAAAGUCGUGUCUACAUUGAGUCUUAAUUAUGGGUGUCUUGUUUACCACAUCUAUAAACAAGAGGCUAUGGGAUAUUUAGGGGUUGUCUUUUUUUCUUUGCAUCUUAGAUCGUGCAAUAGAGGCCAAGUCGUAAGUGAAGUCAUAUUUAACCAUUGAAUCUGUUUUUAUUCUCAGUACAAUAAAGAUUUUGGUUACAAAAAGGAGUAAGAAUACAGGUAAGCAAGUAUAUGUGGCUACCGAAGAAGGGACUAACAAGUCCCAACCUAGACAAGCUAAUCAAAGUGAGGCCCAAGCUCAGUUUGUAUCACAAACUUCUUCUACUCCUUCAUCUCCAAAAGAGCUAAGGAGAGGAACAACAACAUCCUCAGAACCACCUACUAAUGCUAAUGAGCAAUAUCUAAGGAAUGUGGUGCAAUUUCUAGCUUUUAUAGUUACUGGACAAGCUCAAGGACACGCUAUUCCAACCACUGAUUCUAGUGGUGAAGAUAGCGCUGCUAGCCUGCAGAAGCAGGAUUUUCUUAAGUUGGAUCCUCCUAUAUUAACCGGAUCAGAUCUUAAUGAAGACCCAUAGGACUUUAUUGGUCAAAUACAAAGGGCUGUAGAUGUCAUGAAUGUAUCGGGUAAAGAGAUAAUUGAGCAAGUAGCAUAUAGAUUCAAAGGGGAGGCUAUAUUUUGGUAUGAAAAUUGGAAAUGAUCUAGGGGUAUCGAUGCACCUUUAGCUAGUUAGAAAGAGUUCAAAGAGGCAUUUUUUGAUUAUUACCUUCCAUUUGAGAUUCAAGAGGCCCAUGCAGAUCAGUUCCUGAAUCUUCGCUAAGGGAAUAUGAUCUUGAGGGAGUACAACCUCCGAUUUAACUCUUUGGCUAGGUAUGCUCCCAAUGUAGUAGCUAUUAUAGAUGAUAGAGCUCAUCGAUAUAUGGAUAUAUUGGAUCCAUAUCUGGUUAGAGAUUGUAAAAAUGCAGCCUUGAACAAAGACAUGGAUAUAGAAAGGAUACAAGCUAUUGCACAAAAGUGAAGGAUCAGAGGCAAAGAAGAACACAAGAAUUGGAAAGAGGGUAUUCUAAGAGCGCCAGUUCUAUAGGGAAAUUUAUGGCAUCCCAAGAAGAGUUUAGGCCUCGCUUUUCUAAUAGACUGCCUAGGCCUUUAUAUUUUUAUUCUACAGAUAGUGAUCUAUUGGUUUUUAAGGGUCCAAGGGCAAUCGGUUUGGGGAAAUAAGUGAGAGUUAGAGUUUACGAGCAAUGGGGUAUCAAGAUCAAGGAAGUAUGAUCCAAUUAAGAACUCAUCUGUAGCCAUGUGUAUAUAGAAAACUUCAUUUGGGUGCAUGUCAGUUUGGGACAAAUGCCUACUUUUGGUGUGGUACGUCAGGGCAUAUGAUGAGAGAAUGCCCACAAAGGGGCAUGGGUGGUAUGGCAUAACCUACUAGAUCAACUGUUGCAUCAUCAUUAUUGGUGCCUUCUUUAGGUAGGGUUUUAUAGCCUAUAGGUCAUGGUAGAGGUGCUAAAGGGGCAACUAGCUCUAGUGGAGUUCAAAAUCAUACAUAUGUUUUAGUGGAUCAACAAAAAUUAGAUUUUGGUAUUGAUGUUAUUCUAGGUACUCAACCAAUAUCAAUUCCUCCAUAUUGAAUGUCCCUGACAGAAUUAUGAAAUUUGAAAGAUCAAUUAAAAGACUUGAUAGAGAAAGGAUUCAUAAGGCCUAGUAUGUCCCCUUGGGGUGCACCAAUAUUAUUUAUACGUAAGAAAGAUGGACCAUUGAGAAUGUGUAUUGACUACCGGCAACUGAAUAAGGUGACUACUAAGAGUAAACAUCCCCUUCCAAGAAUUGAUAAUUUAUUUGAUCAGUUAUAACGCAUCAAGUGUUUCUCAAUGAUUGAUUUAAGGUUGGGUUAUCACCAAGUGAGGGUCAAGAUAAUGAGAUACCCAAGGCAGUUUUUCGAACAUAGUAUGAUCAUUACAAGUUUCUAGUCAUUUCCUUUGGGAUAACUAAUGAACCCGUAACUUUUAUGGAUUUGAUGAAUAGGGUAUUCAAGCCAUUCUUAGAUGUGUUCGUGAUAGUCUUUAUAGAUGAUAUUCUGGUUUAUUUGAGAUCAAGGAGGACCAUGCUAGCCACUUAUGACAGGUGUUAUAGAUUCUUCAUGAUCGUAAGUUAUAUGCAAAGUUUUAUAAAUGUGAUUUUUGGUUAAAAUAGGUGGCAUUAUUGGGUCAUAUUGUAUAUAAUGAAGGAAUAAAGGUUGAUACUCAAAAGAUAGAAGCUGUGAAGAACUGGCAAAGACCUACAAUGCCUAUGGAGAUUCAUAGUUUCCUUGGGUUACCAGGUUAUAAUAGAAGGUUUUUAAAAGUUUUUUCUUUAAUUUCUGCACCUUUAACAAAGCUAACAUACAAAGCAUCUAAGUUCCAAUGGAAUGACUCAUGUGAAAGGAGUUUCCAAGAUCUGAAGAAUAAGUUGACUUCUACACCCGUAUCAGUACUUCUAGAAGGCCAGAAGGGUAUGCAUUGUAUUGUGAUGCUUCAAGAAUUAGAUUAGGAUGUGUGUUAAUGUAGCAUGGUAAAGUAAUAGCAUAUACCUCAAGACAAUUGCAACCACAUAAAAAAAUUAUCCUACAUAUGAUCUUGAGAUAAUAGUAGUUAUAUUUUCUUUAAAGAUAUAACGCCAUUACUUGUAUGGGAUUCUUGUUAACAUAUAUACUGAACAUAAGAGUUUGCAAUAUAUCUUGAAUCAGAAGGACCUAAAUUUGAGGCAGCGAAGGUGGCUUGAACAAUUAAAAGACUAUGACAUUGAUAUCUUGUAUCAUCUGGGAAAAGAAAAUGUAGUAGCUGAUGCAUUAAGUCAUAAGGCUAUAGUGAGCACUUAUGGAUAGUCUAUAAAAAUACAAAGGAUGACUAAAUAUCUACACCAACUAUCCAACUUAGGGGUUCGCCUUCUUUAAACUCCAGAUAAGGGGCUUAUUGUGCAUAACGCGAUAGAAUCUUCAUUAAUAGCUAAAGUGAAAGAGAAGUAGUAUGCGAAUCCUAUUCUAUUAUAGCUUAAGGAGAAUAUACAAUAUAGAAUGACAAACAUAUUUGAGCUUAUGAAAGAGAGAGUACUUUGGUGCUAAAACAGAUUGUGUGUGCCUAAAUAAAUGGGCUAAGAAAGAGGAUUAUUAAAGAAGCACGUCAUUCAAGGUAUUCCAUCCAUCCGGGGUCAACUAAAUUGUAUCAUGAUUUGAAAGAAGUGUAUUGGUGGGGUGACAUGAAGAAGAACAUUGCAGAAUUUAUAGCCCAAUGUCCAAAUUGUCAAAGAGUUAAAGUAGAGCACCAAAAUCCCGAGGGUUAUAUCCUAUGUAUAGAUCUUUCAAUCUGGAAGUAGGACAUGAUCAACAUGGAAUUCAUCACUAGUUUACCUCGUACAUCUUGAAAAUUUAAUUCCAUAUAGGUAAUAGUUGAUAGACUUACCGAAUCAGCACACUUCCUACCAGUUAGGACCACUUACACAGUUGAAGAAUACACGAAAUUAUACAUCGAAGAGAUAGUUCAGCUACACGGAGUACCAAUAUCUAUUAUAUCAGAUAGGGGAGCUCAAUUAACUACAAACAUUUGUAAGUCUUUUCAGAGAAAAUUGGGAACACAAGUGAAUUUAAGUACAGCUUUUCAUCCUCAAACAUAUGGAAAAUCAGAACGCACCAUUCAAACACUUGAAGAUAUGCUAUGAGCUUGUGUAUUGGACUUUAAAGGUAGCUGGGAUAAUCAUUUACCUCUCAUAGAUUUCUCCUACAUCAAUAACUAUCAUUCAAGUAUCAAAAUGGCACCGUAUGAAGCUUUGUAUGAAAGAAAGUGUAGAUCACCAAUUGGAUGGUUUGAAGUGGGUGAAGUUACCUUGUUCGGGCCAGAUCUUUCUUAUCAAGCUAUGGAAAAAGUGGUGAACCAACAAUGGCUAGAAACAACCCAAAUUCAAUACAGGUCAUACGCAAAUAUUAGAAGAAUAGGACUAGAGUUUUCUAUAGGUGAUUGGGUAUUCUUAAAGGUGUCACUAAUGAAAGAGGUAAUGAGAUUUGGUAAAAAGGGGAUACCAUGUCCACGUUAUAUAGGACCAUAUAAGAUUAUUCAGUGGUUUGGCCAAGUCACUUAUGAGUUAGAGCUACCCCAAGAUUUCUCAAUAGUUCAUCCAUUAUACCAUGUCUAAAUGCUUCGAAAGUGCACCGGAGAUCCAUCUCAUAUUAGUCCUACUAAAGAUGUAAAAGUCAUGAAAGAUCAUACCUAUGAAGAAAUACCUAUUGGUAUUCUAGAUCGACAAGUUAAGAAGUUAAGAAAUAAAGAAGUAGCUUCUGUAAAAGUACUUUGGAGAAACCAACAAGUAGAAGAGAUCACAUAGGAAGCUGAAGAAGUGAUGAAAUCUAAGUACCCCCAUUUAUACAAAUACAAGGAGAAAGUCCAAGAUGAUGAAUUGUAGCAAUAACAAGUAAGUAUAAUAUAUAAGUACUAUGGGAUGAUAGGAAUAAUAAACUUAGGCUUGAGCUUGUUUUGGUUGGACAGUUAUGCUAACAUUCGAAGGCGAAUGUUCCCAAGGGGGGAAGGAUAUAACACUCUAUAUUUAGCAUACUUGUUCUAUUUAUAUGGAACUUGGUAUAUGUAACAGACGAGAUUUAUUAUGCGAGUAUUGAUGGUGUAGAUGGAGUUCUAGAUACUGCCCGUAAAAUUUUAACAUGACCCGACCAAGUUAAUAUCAAUACAACUAUUUAACUUGGAAUAGUAAGUCGGUAUUUAAAUCUAAGGUUUAAAAUGACCAAGUAUAUAUGAGUUUUAAGUUAGAUUAAAGGGAUUAAGAACUGAAAAUGGAGUAAUAUAUUGAGGUGCUUGCUUGACUUAAUGAAACUAGUUGGUGGGUCACCUACUUGAGUUACAUGAGCCAAGUUAAUGGAUCAAGUCUAUGGAUCAGAUUUGGGCCAUUAUUAGUAUACUUAUAUGGACCCUAAUUAAGUAAAAGAGGAAAGAAAUAGAGAAAAGACCCAAUACUUAAAUUUGCCAAGGCCAAAUUUAACUGAGCGCAACUAAGAAUUAAGCAAGUAGAUGUAUCACCUACUUUAAAAUUUUGAGUAGCUUGAAUCCUUAAGUAGGUGCAUCACCUACUUGGAAUAAUUUGUGGCUGAAAAUAGGGUCAAUAAGGGAGGUUCUAGAGGGCUCAAUAUAAACCAACAUAGCUUGUCUUUUUACUCAUUUUAAACAUAAUAUCCAUCCUUUUAGUUUCAGUUUUCUCCCUUUUCUAUCAAGGAUAAGAACAAUAGCCCUAAAAAUCCAUUCUAGGGUUCUUGAACAAACCCUCAUCUUUGCAAGCCAAGAUGAGUGAAAAAACUUAAGGUUUAGCUUAAUUAUCUCAUAGAAGAUUAGGAAAACAUGUUGUAAGUGUUUAAUUAUAAAUACAUGGCAUAAUUUUGAACAAGUUGCGUUCUCACUUUCCAUUGUUAUUAGGAGACUUCUCUUUAUUCCUUUGGUUUAAUGUGUGAAGGAAAGUUCAAUUUCUUGAAGAGAAAAGUUAAAAGGAUAAGCUACAGAAAAUUGAGGUAAGGUGACUGCUCUAUUUUGUCCUUUUUAUGUAUGAGUUUGGGUAAAGAAUUAUGGAUGUGCUGUUAUUAAGGAACUCAGGGGAUUGCUCUAUUUAUAUGGAUCUUGGUAUAGCUUUGUGGUAUAGGUAAUGGAUGAGAUUUGUUAUGCGAGUAUUGAUGGUGUAGAUGUAGUUCUAGAUACUGCCCGUACAUUUUAGCGUGAUGCGACCAAGUUAACAUCGAUACAACUAUUUAACUUGGAAUAGUAAGCCGUUAUUUGAAUCUAAAAUUUAAAGUGACCAAGUAUCUACGAGUUUUAAGUUAGAUUAAAGGGAUUAAGAAUUGAAAAUGGAGUAAUUGUUAAGGUGCUUGCUUGACUUAAUUAAACUAGUAGGUAGGUCACCUACUUGAGUUACAUGAGCCAAGUUAAUGGACCAAGUCCAUGGAUCAGAUUUGGGCCUUUAUUAGUAUACUUAUUUGGACCCAAAUUAAGUAAAAGAGGAAGGAAAUAGAGAAAAGGCCCAAUACUUAAAUUUUGCAAGGCCCAAUUUAAUUGAUCCCAACUAAGAAUUAAGCAAGUAGGUGUAUCACCUACUUUGAAAUUUUGAGCAGGUUGAACCCUUAAGUAGGAGCAUGACCUACUUGGACUAAUUUGUGGCUGAAAAUGGGGUCAAUAAGGGAGGUUCUAGAGGCCUCAAUAUAAACCAACAUAGCUGGUUUUUGACUCUUUUUAACAUAAUAUCUAUCCUUUUAAUUUCAAAUUUCUCCUUUUUUUUAUCAAGGAUAAGAACAACCGCCCUAAAAAAUCCUUUCUAGAGUUCUUGAAGAAACCCUCAUCUUUGCAAGCCAAGGUAAGUGAAAACACUUAAAGUUUAGCUUAAUUAUCUCAUGGAAGAUUAGAAAAAAUAUGUUGUAAGUGCUUAAUUAUAAAUACAUGGUAAAAUAUUGUAAUGCCCUGAGUCUGUACCCUGGACGCUACACUGUGCUAGCGACCCCGAAUGACCAUCAGCUAACUUGUGACUGGUGCCUGCUGUGAGCACUAAAUAAUAAUAACACUGCAAUACUGAUAUUACUGAAAUAAAUGUGGAAGGUAGGCUGAAAUCGCCAUAAGGUUCAUAACUGAAAACAAAUACUGAAUAUUGAAAACUGAAUACUGAAAUAUCUGUCUAAAAUACUCUAGUCUGAAAGCCUCUAACUAUCUGAAUUAUGGAGUUGAUGGGACAAGCCCCCAACUAACUCCAACUACUAAAAAUUAUACUGAAAUAAUACUCUGUCCUCAAAAAAUAAGGACUCACCACUAAGUCUGUUGCUGAUAGGCUGGGCUACUAAGUACGGUCAGGAGCCCGUGUGUCUGAACAUAUGAUAUAAGACAUCAUAGCGCAAAAGAAAAGUAUGUGUAAGUACUUUGAAUGUACCGGUAUGCUAAGUGAGGUAGGCUGAUAUGCAUGAGUUCAUAUGCAUGAACAAUAACUGACUGAAUAAUGUGAACAUAACUGAAUGAGAGUACAUGCAUGAAUACAUAAACUGUAACUGAGAUCAUAUUAGCACUGGUUACUAGGUUCUGAAUACUGAUUAACUAAUAUCUGGGUGUACUGAUAUUGUAAUAUUGAUAACUAAGUGACUAUUUUUGAUAGUCCUGAUUUUGUAGAACUGAACUGAGUUCUAUACUGAGCUGGGUGACUAUAUCUAACAGUCCUAAAUCUAUAGAACUGAACUGAGUUCUAUACAGAGACUGAAACCUAAAUUAAAAUUAUGAGAGGUAAUCAUCUAAUCGAAAUGCCCCUCUCUAAAUGGAUUGGGGUCCAACCUGUAACCCCAGUUGGAAGGGUGUCAACACCGUGCCAUGGUUAAAGACAAGCUGUGAGUUAACCCUCUCUGAUAGAAAGCUCUUUCAUCAACCCUCACUGGCUGGAAAAAUCAAAUGAAAUGUAUCAACCCUAGUCUGGCAGGAAGAUAACUCAACCUACGCUAGCUACAUAGUUCUAUAACGUAGGGAUUGCUACUAAGAAUCCCUAUGCUUGCAGGCAUGCCACCCUAGGUUCGCUCGGUGCUGAAUCCUACUCCCAACUGAAUAGACACUGAACUAAUUUCUUGUCCAUACAAGGCUUGACUGAACCGUUACUGAUCGCACUGUCUAACUGAACUGAACUGAGUUCAUUGGAUUCCGUUAACUGAUGGAGUACUACUAAAUUUGCUUAACUAACUGAGUUCACUGAGUUCUAAACUGAAUACUGAGCUGAGACUGUUACUAAUUUCUGAGUAAUACUGUUCAUAAUACUACUGAGACUGUUUCAUAACUACUAUAGCUCUAGGUAAAUAGCAAAAUUUUUGGGUAUUGAAUACCCCUAGGACUCGAUAGCAUGAAAAGUAAAGCAUAAAGUAAACUUGAAAAGCAUAACACUAUGCACUUUUUCAUAACUCACCCAUAGGGACAUUUUAUCAAACACUUGUAAUGCAUAAGUUUACACCUAUACUAGCAUGGCAUUAUUUUUCCCCAUUUAGUUCACAUGAGCAUUUUAACAAACACAUGGGGAGCACAACUAUGCAAAUGAUACUAAAACAACAUGUAGGCAUCAUAACAUAAAUUCCUAAAUUCACAAACUCAAUGGAUUCCACAUGAAUUCACAUGAUACUAUAAACAUGAUAAUCAAUUCCACAUGAAUUUUGUAAUAAACCAUGGAUUUCAAAUCCAAUUAACAUUAUAAUCAUGAAUACACUUAAACCCAAUUAUGAAAAUCAUAAAAUCAAUCUACUUGAAGUUUAAAAGAGUUUCUUGGACUCCAAGGGAGGAAGGAACCCUUGGAUGAACACUUCACAUACCUUGGUACUUGAAUUGACUAAAGUUGAUGGUGAGUUCUUAAAUCUUGAACACUUCACAUACCCAGGGUUUUGUUCUUGAGGAAUUUUAAGAAUAGUGAAUGGAUUUUGCCUCUAAAGUGGCUAAAUCUCAUGUUUUGGAGGCUGAUAGACGUGGAAAAAUGACCCAAAUACCCCUGAGGAUACGGGUCUUUAAUGACUAAAAACUGGCCUAGUGAUGCGCAGAUGAUGCGCCGUAUUGAAGGGAUCGACGCUAAGGCCGAUGCACCGCGGAUGCGGCGGUUCACUGGAAAUUGCACUAAGAGCUGGGGGAAAAUAUUCAUCAAUGUGAUAGGCGACGCAACGCGUUGAGAUGCAUCGAUACACUGGUUUGGACUCCCAAACGUGCUUCAAAUAAUGUUUAAAAUAUCUGAAACUCGUCCGAGAACACCUACUCAUAUUCUUGAUUAUGAAGCAACUUAAAGAUCGACAUUUAAUGGUUGUAAGGGUCGCGAAAUAAGAUCGCCAACUAUGAAGGCUAAAAUAACUCUAAGUAUGAAUACUUAGCUAAAAUGUCUUAGUCUGGAACCCCUUAACAAGCUUUAAAGGACUGAAUUAAGCUUAGGAUUUUGCGGGGUCUUACAAUAUCUUUCCCUUGGGAACAUUUGUACUCAAAUAAGACUGAUUAAGCUUGGAGAACUGAUAGACUGAAAGUACAUACUGGACAUGCACAACUGAAGCAUGAUUCCAUGGCUGAGACUACUGAUAUACUGAAUUAUCAUACAUAACUGAUGCAUGAUUUCAUAACUGAUAUUACUAAUAAGUUGAGUUUGUAUACUGAACAUGCAUAUAUGAUGCAUGAUUACAUGACUGAACUGAUUCAUGAAUGCAUGACUAAGUAUGCAAUGUUACUUGAUACCAAGUUGGUAACUACAUCUGAAUAUGAAACUAAGUAAUUUAAGAAAAAUUGUUACCUUGAGCUGAGUCUGGGUUUGCAGAGAAGAGGUGAGGAUACUUGGUUUGUAUAUCUUCUUCUGCUUCCCAAGUAGCUCCCUCAACAGACUAAUUUCACCAAAGAACUUUGACUAGAGGAACUUCAUUGUUCCUCAGUCUGCGAAUCUAAUAAUCAAGGAUUUCUACUGGAUUUUCUCAUAGGAGAGGCUAUUCUAAACAUCUAUACCCUCUACAGGGACUACAACUACCAAGUCACCUAUACAUUUCUUUAGCAAAGAGACAUGAAACACUAGAUGCACUGAAGCUAAGUCUGAAGGCAACUCAAGUUCGUAAGCUACCUUUCUGAAAUGGCUAAGAAUUUAGUAAGGACUGACAUAUUGGGGACUGAGCUUCCCCUUCUUGCCAAACCUUUUAAAUCCUUUCAUAGAAGAGAUUUUCAAAUACAUAAAGUCACUAAUCUCAAAAUUGAGAUCCUUUCUGCGCAUGUCAGCAUACAAUUUUUGUCGACUCUGAGAUGUCUUAAGCCUUUCCCUGAUCAACUAAACUUUUUCUAAGGUAUCAAAUACCAAGUCAGGCCCAACCACUGAGACCUCACCCACUUUAAACCAUCCAAUGGGAGAUCUACAUCUCCUCCCAUAGAGCGUCUCCAACGGAGCCAUCUGAAUACUGGAAUGAUAGUUGUUGUUAUAUACGAACUCAAUCAAGGGCAAGUGGUCACCCCAAAUACCCUUAAAGUCAAUGGCAUACGCUCUUAGCAUAUCUUCCAAAGUCUAAAUGGUCCUUUCUACUUAACCAUCUGUCUGAGGUUAAAAGGUUGUAUUGAGGUAAACUUGGAUACCAAGACCCUUUUGGAAGGCUUUCCAGAAAUAAGAGGUAAACUGGGUACCUCUAUCUGAGAUGAUGAUAACGCUCAAUCUACAGCUCUCGUGGGAGUGUAAAGCGGUCGUUAGCAAAUAUAGAACCCAACCUGGGUUGGGUAUCGAUCCCACAGAGAAUAGCUUGGCCAACAAGCAAGAGAAAUUACUAGACUUUUAGUGCAAGUCUCGUAGGAAAGGGGGGAUUGUAGUAUGUAACCAAAACAAGAAGGUAAGAACUGAAAAUAGCAAAAUAAAGAGAGAUUGUCACGUGUGUUGUAAACAAUGAGAAUUGAGGCGUUGGGGUUAUGUCCACCUUCUGAGGUAUACGUCUCUAUUGGCUAUGAGUGUGUAGAGUCUUGACAUGUAAUUGCUUAUAGAGAAUUGUAGUCGAUGGUAAAUCCAAGCGUCUCUCGACCUAAACAAGGACUAUUUCACUUUAACUCUCUCGAGCUUAAAGCGUGACUAACGGUACGAAUUCUCCAAGAAGUUAGUCCAGGUACGGCACUAGCUUUUUAAUAGGAAAGGGUGUCCUACUACCUUGACAUUAUCUCUUUUCCAGACAAAUAACUUUUCUCUCGAACAAGUCAGAUGUUAGACUGGCGUUGGUCUAUGCGUCUUCUUUUCUAGACAAAUAACCUUUCUCUCGAACAGGUUAGAUGUUAGAAUGGCGUGUUCUUGUGUUUGAACCGCAAAGAAUGUAGAUUUAAGAUGAAGAGAAUAAUGAUAUAAGCAAUAUACUUGUCUUGAACUCACAAACUCAUAGCUAUAGAUAGUAACUCAUUCGGCUUCCAUAACCCCAACUAAGAGAUUUAGUUACCCAUGAAUGCGAAGGAUAUCACGUUUUGCAUGGUGGAUGGCGUGAAUAGUAGGUGUUUGGCGUGUGGUUUUAGUGAUUCCGUAGCAAGUAACGAUUCUCUUGUUGUGGAAUUUAAGAGUAGAAGAAUGAAGAAUUGAGAAUGGGUUGUAGGAAGAUGUCUUAAUUGUAAGGAGAUGAAUGAAUUGUCAGAAUGUCUCCCUUCUUGAAAAUCUCUAACAUGAUAGGGUAUUUAUAAUACUCCUAUCCUACUCCUACUAAACUAAUAAAAUAAAUAACCAAAUCCUAAUAUACUAAUGAAAUCCUUGACCCAAUUGUACUAGGGUAAGGUUACAAAAUUAUAAUCCAAAUAGAAUGAUGAAACACAUAACCUAAUUGCACUAGGUUAAUGUAUUAUGGCAAAAAUCCAGCUUUGUGUCUGUAAGUCCCAAAGUCUUCAGAAAUGCUGUUUUAGCCCGGGACAGAUUUUCCAUGCAGCAGAUUUAGUCCUUUAUGCGUCCAGCUCCUUUCCAUCUCGUUUGUGAGCUUUCUUUUGCGUCAAGUAAGCCAUAAAUUGCUGUAUUUUGCAUCAUUUAUACCUGAAACUUUCCUAAUCACAUUUGUUAGCUCAUUUACAGGAAAAAGGACUAAAAGUGUACGAAAUAGAUAAUUAGUUCUCGAAACUAGGCUAAAAUAUGGGCAAAAUAUAUUGAUAUAGGCGCGUAAUUUCGCCUAUCAUCAACACCCCACACUUAGAGCUUUGUUCGUCCUCGAACAACAUAUCAUGUCCUUCUAAGCAUUGACUUAAGGUUUUUACAGAAACAACACAAAACAUUCUUCAAGACAAGCACAACAAUUAUCAACGAAGAGUAGCUUUCCGAUUAUAAGUAGAAACAAUUUAACCUCAAGCAUAGACUCGUGAUGGUGAUCAACUCGCAUGCAAACGUUUAAGGUACAUAGAAUCAUAUACAACUAUCCAAAACUCAUCAACCAUGUGUGUCUCACAAUAUAGUACCCAUAAUCACUCACAAGUAUAGCAUAUUUUUCAAACAUGGGCAGCAAAGUAUCCUUGCGCUCACUCUCACAAAGAAUUCAUAUGUAGCAGCUAAUGACCAUAGGCUUGCCCUUAAUGUAGUACUCCACUAAAUGUCGGAAUGUUAAGGUUAGGAUCAAGUAGGUCUUUUGAUGGUUGUAAUGUAGGCUAAGGGACGGGUAGGAUCAACUAUUUUGGCCAGAAAUAGUGACUAAGUUCCUAAGCACUUUAAUACAUCACAUUGUAUUAUUGACACUUUUUUGUAGCACCCUUGUUCUCCUCUUUUGUUUUUCAAUUUUAAAGCACAACUCACUUUUCAGCUUUCUUUUCCUUUUUCUUCUCACAACAUACCUCUUAUGAUAGCACUUUCUUUUUCAUAACAUAUUCAAGCACCAUUACAAUUUAAAGCAUCAUACUCAACCAAUUUCCUCUUAUGUUGUCACAUGACUUUUUCACUUUAAAGCACUUAGGAAUUUGGAUCAAAUUACGGUCUUGAAAAAAAAAUGAAUUAGGCUUACAUACAAGGUUGUCAAAGAAAUAGGCUAAAGGCUCAAAAGGGUUUAACUAGGAUGAUGUCCAUGGGUAGGUAAAACUGAAGGUAAACAAAUAUAGGUUGCCAAAGAAAUGCCUAAAUCAUAUCCUAAACUUACACUCCUUAUUUUCGCUUUGCAUACAUACCAGGCAAGUUCUAGCAUCAGCCACAUACAUAGAAUAUACUAUUAUCUCACACACACAAGGCACAUGGUCGACUUGAUUGGUAGCAAUAUAGACUCUCAACCCAACAAGUGAAGGAAUUGAAUCACACACUAUCACAUAAUGAGUCACAACUAGAGCCUAAAUGUCUCAAUAGUCACAAUUGUAAUACAUACUAUUGUUAUAAUCUCAUGCUGCCUAUUAAAAUAAUUUCAUGCGAGGCUAGAAAAAUUUUAACUACUAAAAACUAAAAAAAAAACGUCACACGAAAAAAAUCACAAAAAAAAAUCGGACUCAAAACAAAAUAAAUAAAACAAAAUAAACAAGCAAACAUACAAAUAUAGCAUGCAGAUUCUGCCGACACCCCACACUUAGACUAGACACUGCCCUCAGUGGAAAAUAAAGUCGAAGAACCUGAUUAGUCGGACUCUUCCUCAAUGUCAUACCCCCUUCGUUCGAGUCAUCGUAAGAGUCAUCGUCAGAGUUCUCCUCAGCAUCAGAAUCAGGCAAGCGUCUAUCAUCAUCAGUUGGCACGUCAUCAUCAAGAGGUUCCUCGAAAUAUACUCCCACUCCACACAUCUCCCGGGCAUGUCUGUUCAUUGGGUAGUCGUGGUCCAGCUGUUGGAGCUCUUCAGCAGUUGGAAUACGUCCACCACUCAUCAUAGUGAAUCUCGUCAUGCCAUAGAGAUGACGGAAGAAACUCUCGUCACGAGCAUGUCUCUCCGCAGUGGUAAGGUUGACUCCAUGCGUUGUUUCAGCAUCUUUGACCUUGGUGAGGUCAACCUUCUUUGGGGUAUGUGGGAGUUUGUGGUCAGCUGGUUCCUCCUCUAUAUCCUCCUUCCGCAACAUUGCUGUCAACAAAUUGCCGAAUGUGAAAUAGGACCAUUCACAUUCACAUCAGUCUGGCUUUCCUCAUGGUGGAUCGAAUGAUUGCCCCAAAGUUGAUAGGGACAUUCGUCAUUAAUGAAUAAACCAGGCACACUCUAUCUCUCGAUAUCUUUGUGUAUUGCGUCCCAGGAAUGAGGCAUGAGUUGACAAUGCGCAUCCAGAUUCUUGCUUCCCUAUUUAGUGGAGCAUAGGGGAAUGUGUUGUGACGGCCUGUUUCCUUAUGUCUGCCCCAUCUCGCCAUCGAUCUGCUUCCACAAAGCGUGUGUCUUAUAGCUCUGUAAGGAGGUCUGCUGUACAGCUCUUUGUAUGGUGCAGUGUCGACCGAAGGUAGGCCUAGAAACGAGUUGAUCCAAUCCGCUGUAAGCUGUAACACUUGGCCCCGAAUUUUGACUUCGUUGCCUGUUGUGUUUGGCGACCAGUUGGCAUAAAACUCUCUUGUCAAGUCAAGAUUGCACUCUCCCAUGUCACGGAAGAUGAAAUCCAGCUUCAAAGCCAUAAUCUUAGCCAACAUUUGCGGCUCCUUCUUUGCUAAGGUCUCCUUAUUGAUUAAGUCGACGUGCACAUAUUUCUUUUCUUUGUUGCUGCUGUACCAUGCCUUGGCUUCUUCCUCAAGAACCCAUUUGAUUCCGAACAUUCUGCGUGGUAGGUGUGCGGAAGAUGAUUCGCCUUGGUCUUUUCGGCUUCUCUUUUUGUCCUUGCGGGUUGUGGUAGCCUUCUCCUUGCCUUGCCUUGCUUUCGGUGCCAUUGUACCGCCUUUACCAUACAACGCGACCAAAUCGUCAAUUGAAAUCAAUCUCCUCGUUGCAUACUUCUUACACCUAUAUUUGCUCAAACAAAUGAAAACGAUUAGUACGAUGGGUUGCCUCCCACCAAGCGCCUUAGUUUUGGUCGUGGCACGACUCUUAUUUUUGGAUUUUCAUUUAUCAAAAAGAAAAAAUACUAAAACGACAAAACGAUAAAACAAUAAAACGAAGGGUUGCCUCCCAUCUAGCGCCUUAUUUAUUGUCGUGGCUCGACGUAGUAAUCUCGAGUACUUAGACUUCGUCGAGAUAAGUGAUGGCCAUGUCAUUUAUCGAGUCAAGAGGACCGAUAUAUGGCUUAACACGUUGGCCAUUCACCUUGAAGAUAACACCCUCAUUAUUUUCCAAUUCGACUACUCCAAACGAGUAGACGUGGGUGACUUUAAAUGGACCAGACCACUUUGAUUUUAACUUACCUGGGAAGAGCUUGAAUCUGGAGUUAAAGAGUAGCACCAUGUCACCUUUUUGGAAGUGUCGUCGAACAAUCCGCUGAUCGUGAUACUUCUUCAUCCGCUCCUUGUAUAAAUCUGAUCUUUCAUAAGCAUGGAGACGGAAUUCAUCUAGCUCGUUCAGCUGCUCCAACCUCAGGUUCUUCACAUCAUCCCAAUUCAGAUUCAAGUGCUUCAAUGCCCAUAAUGCCUUGUAUUCAAGCUCGAUGGGUAGAUGACAAGCCUUCCCAUAAACUAGCUGAUAAGGUGACAUGCCAAUGGGUGUCUUGAAUGCAGUCCUAUACGCCCAUAGUGCAUCAUCUAGCUUCCGAGACCAAUCCUUCCGAUUCGCAUUGACCGUCUUGGCAAGGAUUUGCUUGAUCUCCCGAUUGGAAACCUCUACUUGUCCACUAGUUUGGGGAUGAUAAGGCGUAGCUACCUUGUGUUGCUUGACUCCAUACUUGGCCAAUACAGAUUUGAAUAGCUUGUUGCAGAAGUGAGAUCCUCCAUCACUUAUGAUAGUACGAGGUACCCCAAAGCGAGAGAAGAUAUUCUUCUUUAAAAACGCUACAACACGCUUUCCUUCAUUAUCGGCCAAUGCUACAGCUUCAACCCAUUUCGACACAUAAUCCACAGCAACCAAGAUGUACUUCAUUCCAAACGAAUUUACGAAUGGUCCCAUGAAAUCAAUACCCCAUACAUCAAAGAGUUCUACCUCCAGGAUUGUGGACAUGGGCAUUUCAUGGUGUUUUGAAAUAACACCUUGACGUUGGCAUUGGUCACACCUUCUCACAUAGUCGUGUGCAUCUCUGAAUAUUGUAGGCCAAUAAUAACCACUUUGCAAGACUUUUCUUGCUGUUCGAUUACCCGCAUGAUGUCCUCCAACUUGCGAAGUGUGGCAUGCUUCUAAUAUAGUGGGCACUUCGUCAUGGGAUAUACAUCGUCGAAUGAUACCAUCCGCACAUCUUCGAAACAAAUAAGGCUCAUCCCAAUAAUAGUGCUGAACGUCAUGCAUAAACUUCCUCCUCUGGUGGUAAGAUAAAUUUGUAGGUAACACAUUACUCACCACGAAAUUCGCAAAGUCGGCAUACCAUGGUAAGUCUUCUAUUGUUGUCGCUAAUAUCUCCUCGUCAGGGAAUGCAUCGCCAAUCUGAUUUUCUGAUUGCGCCACAUACUCAUUCUCAAGUCUAGAUAGGUGAUCAGCCACUUGGUUCUCGCAACCUCUUCUAUCUUUGACUUCGAAAUCAAACUCUUGCAGCAGCAACACCCAUCGAAUCAGCCUUGGUUUUGCAUCCUUCUUUGUCAUUAGAUACCUAAGAGCUGCAUGGUCUGUAUGAACGAUCACUUUAGUACCUAAUAGGUAGGCGCGGAACUUCUCAAACGCAUACACAACCGCUAAUAGCUCUUGUUCAGUGACGGUGUAGUUCCUUUGGGCUUCAUUGAGGACCUUACUCGCAUAGUAGAUAGGAUGAAAUAAUUUCUCCUUUCUCUGUCCAAGAACAGCACCAACGGCUACACCACUAGCAUCACACAUGACUUCGAACGGGAGCGUCCAAUCUGGUGUUACCAUGAUAGGGGCUUCAACGAGUUUUUCUUUAAGGCAUUCAAAUGCCUUUAAGCAAUCAUCAUUAAAGUCAAACUUCGCAUCUUUCUCCAAUAGCUUGCAUAAUGGACUAGAAAUUUUGGAGAAGUCUUUGAUGAAUCUACGAUAAAACCCAGCAUGGCCAAGAAAACUACGAACUCCCUUCACCGAAAUUGGAGGUGGUAGCUUCUCAAUUACCUCUAUUUUGGCGCGAUCAACCUCUAUUCCUUUUUCGGAGAUCUUGUGCCCAAGAACAAUUCCUUCUUUUACCAUGAAGUGGCACUUCUCCCAAUUCAGCACAAGGUUGAACUCUACACAUCUUUGUAAUGCCAUGCUUAAAUUCACCAAACAUGCUUCGAAAGACUCCCCAACAACUGAAAAGUCGUCCAUAAAUACCUCCAAAGUGUCUUCUACCAUAUCAGAGAAAAUAGACAUCAUACAUCGCUGAAAGGUGGCUGGUGCAUUACAUAACCCGAAUGGCAUACGUUUGAAGGCAAACGUACCAUAUGGGCAUGUAAACGUUGUCUUCUCUUGGUCUUCUGGUGCAAUAAAAAUCUGAUUAUAACCUGAAUAACCAUCAAGAAAGCAAAACCAUCCUUUUCCCGCUAAUCGAUCUAGCAUUUGGUCCAUAAAUGGCAUGGGGAAGUGAUCCUUGAGAGUCCAAGAAUUCAGCUUGCGGUAGUCCAUGCAUACUCUCCAUCCAGUGACGGGCCUGAGUGGAAUAAGCUCAUUCUUUGCAUUCGCAACCACCGUCAUACCUCCUUUCUUGGGAACACAUUGUACUGGGCUUACCCAUGUACUAUCAGAAAUAGGAUACACAACUCCUGCGUCUAACCACUUGAUAAUCUCCUUCUUCACCACCUCUUGCAUUGGUGGGUUUAGACGUCUUUGGUGUUCGAUGGUGGGUGUGCACUUUUCUUGGAGCUGAAUUUUAUGAGUGCAAAUUCCAGGUGGAAUACCAAGGAUAUCCGCAAUGGUCCAUCCAAUAGCUCUAAUAUACUUGCGUAAAAUUGCAAUAAGAGCUGCAACUUGUUGCUCACCUAAAUCGGCUGCCACUAUGACUGGAAGAGUGUUUCCGCUUCCUAAGAAUGCAUACUUCAAAUGGCUUGGCAGCUCCUUUAAUUCUAAUGUGGGUGGUUCUUCAAUAGAUGGCUUAGCUGGUGGUGUGGGUCGAUUCUUGAGAUCAAGAUCCAGCUUCUUAGGAGGAUAGCGAUAUGCUCCUAAUCCCGAUAGAGCACAAAUAUCAUCUUCAGAAAUUUCAGCAUCAUCAUCAUCUUCUUCCAUGAGCAAAACCUCCAAAGGAUCAUCAAGAAUUUGUUCUUCAGCAAGUAACUCAUCCUCGUCAUCAACGACAACAUCAGUCACAGAAAAUACACUUAGAUCUUUGGGUUGCUUCAUUGAUUUGCAAACAUCAAAGCGCACCACUUCAUCAUUUAUUCGGAAUGAAAGUUCAUUAGCUCUCAAAUCUAUGAGCACACUUCCCGUAGCAAGGAAAGGGCGUCCCAAGAUUAUGGGAACCUCUGAAUCUGCUUCGCAAUCCAAGAUGACAAAGUCUGCUGGAAAUAUGAAUGAAGAUACCUUCACCAAGACAUCGCAUAGAAUACCAACCGGUCGUUUUACCGACCUAUCCGCCAUAACAAGCUUCAUAUUAGUUGGUGUAGGAUCUCCCAACCCCAACUUCUUGUAGAUUGAUAAUGGCAUCAAGUUGAUGCUGGCUCCUAAGUCACAUAAUGCUUUAGCAAAGUCCAAAGAUCCGACGGUGCAAGGAAUAGUGAAAGCUCCGGGGUCGGCCUUCUUCUGAACUAUGGAUCGGGUAGCUAUUGCACUACAAUGAUGCACAUCUUCUUUCAGCUCAUAGCUUGCUGCCCUCUUCUUAGUCAAAAGAUCUUUCAUAAACUUCGCAUACCCAGGCAUUUGUUCAAGUGCCUCUACCAAUGGGACAUUAAUAGUCAGCUGCUUCAAGAUGGUCAUGAACUUGCUGAACUUAGUGUCAUCGGCCGCCUUCUUCAGUCUUUGUGGAAAAGGUGGUGGUGGGUAUGGAAGUGUUCUUUCCAUGGCUUUCUUCUCCUCUUGCUUCCGUUUAUUACUUUUUUCAGGCUGCACGUCACUAGGCAACACGUCCUUGACGUUGGAAGUGGAUAUUGCGGCGUCUUCCCUAGUGGCGUCACUAGGUGUGGCGGUUGUGUCUGCUGUUCUGUCAACUAUUUGCUUGCCUUCUGCUGAAGUUUCCAGCACCUUACCACUCCUCGUAGUGAUGGCCAUGCAUGACCCAUCAGUCCUUGGAUUUUGCACCGUAUCGCUAGGCAAGGUGCCGGCUUUUCUUUGGUUGAGUGUUGCUGAAAGUUGACUGAAUUGCUGCUCUAGUUGCUUGAUAGAAGUGGAAUGAGAAUCAACUAAUUGCUUCAUGGAGGCCAAAUCGUCAAUCACCUCCUUAACUCCCGCAUUCGUCGCUUCCACUCCUUUCAAUAACUUAGCCAUCAUGUCUUCCAUAGAAUUAGAUGUGGUGGUAUCACGUCUACCAGGGGGAACGUACAAACCACUGUUUUCAUUAUUUUUCUUCCAACUACCUUGGUCUUUACCUCCAGAUUUGUCAUAAUAGUUCCGACCUUGGUUUCCUUGGGCAUUCCCACGGAAACCCCCCUGAUUGUUCAAGUAGUUGGCCUCCUCUUCUGAAUCAGAUUCGUCUCUUCCUUUUGACGCAAUAGAUUUCACUUUUUCAGUCUUCCCUAAUAGAUGCUUUGUAAGAAGAUCCAUUUGGGUUUUCAUGUGCGCCAUAUCUUGAUCACGUUCUUCUUCUCUCCUUCUUUGAUCUGCAGACAUGCCAAUAGAUAAAGUGGGGCUUGCUACCUCAGAAUCCCUGGUAUGCCAAGCUCUACUUUGUUUCGUCAUACGAUCUAGCAUGUUGCUUGCUUGACCAAAGGUGAGGUCCAUAAAAGAACCUCCAGCUGCGUUGUCCACCACUGGUUUAGUUACUGAAUUCAAGGCUCUAUAUAAGAUCUCCAUGAGGUGAACAUUAGUCAUGUGAUGGUUUGGGCAUCUCGCUAGCUUUGUCUUGAACCUCUCCCAUGUUUCGUGAAGAGCUUCAGAGGGAAGCUGACGAAAGUUGCUGAUUUCAUCUCUCAAUUGAGCCCUCUUGGAUGGCGGAAAGAAUCUUUCUAGGAAAGCGUCUCUCAAUUGCCUCCAAUUUGUAAUAGAAUCAGGAGUCAGCCCAUUCAACCAUAAUGUUGCCUCCCCAGACAGAGACAAUGGAAAUAGACGUAAUCGAAUAGCAUUCUGACCAACUCCAGGAUUGUCAAAAGACUUGCAUGUAGAAAUAAAGUUGAUGAGAUGCAUAUUCGGAUCAUCGCCUGCUAGUCCACCAAAUAAUCCCUUGAGUUGCAAUAACUGAAUCAUGGUGCUAGUGAUGUUGAACUUGGCUCCGGGCGCUAAUGGUGGUGGAAUUAUAGCUCCAGUGGCUCCGGCACCAUCAAGAUCAUCAUCAUCAUCGUCGAAAGCUGGUUGCAAAGGUUGGCGAUCAUAUCUGUACCGAGCUUGUCGACCUCGUCUGUUGGUAGGUGUUGCCAUUUCAGCGCCAUGCCUUGGGUUGAUCAACUCGUCAUCUCCUAAAUCUUCAUCGUCAGGAUUUGUUGCUCGUCCAGGAUUAUCAAUGUUUUGUUGUUGGACUUGAGCAGCGGCAAGAGCAGCUAAUCUUGCUUGCUCAUGUUGAGCAGCCAUCCUGUCGAUUUCCGCUUGUGCUUCCAUUCUUCUGAUUCGUUGUGGUUCCGGAUUGAUUGGUAAUAACGGUUGACCAGAACUUCUAGUAUGGGGCAUGCACUAAAAGAAAAACCUGCAAUAAACAAAAACAAAAACUAAACGUAAAAGUACGAGAAUCUUUGACCAAAGGGUCUAGUAAUUUUCACGAACUUGAUUGACACUCGUAUUCCCCGGCAACGGCGCCAAUUUUUGAUAACGCUCAAUCUACAGCUCUCGUGGGAGUGUAAAGCGGUCGUUAGCAAAUAUAGAACCCAACCUGGGUUGGGUAUCGAUCCCACAGAGAAUAGCUUGGCCAACAAGCAAGAAAAAUUACUAGACUUUUAGUGCAAGUCUCGUAGGAAAGGGGGGAUUGUAGUAUGUAACCAAAACAAGAAUGUAAGAACUGAAAAUAGCAAAAUAAAGAGAGAUUGUCACGUGUGUUGUAAACAAUGAGAAUUGAGGCGUUGGGGUUAUGUCCACCUUCUGAGGUAUACGUCUCUAUUGGCUAUGAGUGUGUAGAGUCUUGACAUGUAAUUGCUUAUAGAGAAUUGUAGUCGAUGGUAAAUCCAAGCGUCUCUCGACCUAAACAAGGACUAUUUCACUUUAACUCUCUCGAGCUUAAAGCGUGACUAACGGUACGAAUUCUCCAAGAAGUUAGUCCAGGUACGGCACUAGCUUUUUAAUAGGAAAGGGUGUCCUACUACCUUGACAUUAUCUCUUUUCCAGACAAAUAACUUUUCUCUCGAACAAGUCAGAUGUUAGACUGGCGUUGGUCUAUGCGUCUUCUUUUCUAGACAAAUAACCUUUCUCUCGAACAGGUUAGAUGUUAGAAUGGCGUGUUCUUGUGUUUGAACCGCAAAGAAUGUAGAUUUAAGAUGAAGAGAAUAAUGAUAUAAGCAAUAUACUUGUCUUGAACUCACAAACUCAUAGCUAUAGAUAGUAACUCAUUCGGCUUCCAUAACCCCAACUAAGAGAUUUAGUUACCCAUGAAUGCGAAGGAUAUCACGUUUUGCAUGGUGGAUGGCGUGAAUAGUAGGUGUUUGGCGUGUGGUUUUAGUGAUUCCGUAGCAAGUAACAAUUCUCUUGUUGUGGAAUUUAAGAGUAGAAGAAUGAAGAAUUGAGAAUGGGUUGUAGGAAGAUGUCUUAAUUGUAAGGAGAUGAAUGAAUUGUCAGAAUGUCUCCCUUCUUGAAAAUCUCUAACAUGAUAGGGUAUUUAUAAUACUCCUAUCCUACUCCUACUAAACUAAUAAAAUAAAUAACCAAAUCCUCAUAUACUAAUGAAAUCCUUGACCCAAUUGUACUAGCGUAAGGUUACAAAAUUAUAAUCCAAAUAGAAUGAUGAAACACAUAACCUAAUUGCACUAGGUUAAUGUAUUAUGGCAAAAAUCCAGCUUUGUGUCUGUAAGUCCCAAAGUCUUCAGAAAUGCUGUUUUAGCCCGGGACAGAUUUUCCAUGCAGCAGAUUUAGUCCUUUAUGCGUCCAGCUCCUUUCCAUCUCGUUUGUGAGCUUUCUUUUGCGUCAAGUAAGCCAUAAAUUGCUGUAUUUUGCAUCAUUUAUACCUGAAACUUUCCUAAUCACAUUUGUUAGCUCAUUUACAGGAAAAAGGACUAAAAGUGUACGAAAUAGAUAAUUAGUUCUCGAAACUAGGCUAAAAUAUGGGCAAAAUAUAUUGAUAUAGGCGCGUAAUUUCGCCUAUCAUCAGAUGAUAGAUAAUGAAACUCCAUGAAAUCUGACCAACUCUAUGACAUAGAGCUUGGUAUAAUCCUUGACUGAAUAAGAGGUAUGGACUGGUAAGAAAUGAGCUGACUUGGUCAUCCUGUCUAUGAUAACCCAUAUAGAAUCAUACUGACGACGAGUACGAGACAAACCUAUCACAAAGUCCAUGUUCACUUCUUCCCAUUUCUAUGUGGGAAUACUGAACGCCUACAUAGACUUACUAGGCUUCUGAUGUUUAAUCUUAACGUACUGACAUGUUGAGCAUUUAGCUACAAACUUUGUAAUAUCUCUCUUCAUCCCACUCCAUCAAUAGACUUCCCAUAAGUCGCGGUACAUCUUAGUGGCCCCUAGAUGAAUAGAGUAGCGUGCACCAUGCACUUCUGCAAGAAUCCACUACCUCAAGUCAUCUAUACCUGGCACUUAUAGCUGACCCUGGCAAUGUAAAAACCAUCUCCCCUUGGGAGAAAACCUCUACUUUCUGAUCUCUGACUGACUCUUCCAACUUAACAAGACUGGGAUCUCUGUCCUAUUUUUCCUUCACCUCAAAAACCAUAUAUGAUUCUGAACUACUCUUGACCCUGGCAAUGCAAACACCAUCUCCCCUUGGGAGAAAACCUCCACUUUAUGAUCUCUGACUGACUCUUCCAACUUAACUAGACUAGGAUCUCUAUCCUACUUUUCCUUUACCUCAAAAACCAGAGAUGAUUCUGAACUACUCUGCACCCAUACACUACCUUCUACUAAAUCGACUAAGUGGAUACCUAGUCAGGAAAGCUGAUGAACUUCCUGAACUAACUUCUUCUUAUCAUCUUCCAUGUGAGCAAAACUAUCCAUACAUUUUACUGAGAGCAUCAUCCACUAUAUUGUCCUUGACCGGAUGGUACAGGACACUUAUGUCAUAGUCUUUCAACAAAUCUAACCACCUUCUCUGAUGGAGGUUUAGGUCUUUCUAAGAGAAUACAUACUGAAGGCUCUUAUGUUCUGUGAAAACAUCAACAUAUACCCCAUACAAAUAGUGCCUCCAAAUCUUUAAGGAAAAUACCACAGUCGCUAACUCAAUACAUGAGUGAGGUAGUUCUUCUCAUGGGGCUUAAGCUGUCUAGAGGAAUAGGCUAUGAUCUUACCUAUCUGCAUCAAAACACACCCUAAACCAACUCUAGAAGUAUUACAAUAUACCAUAAAUCCGUCUAAACCAUCUAGUAAAUUCAAAACUAGAGUUGUAAUGAGUCAAGUCUUUAACUCCUGAAAACUCUUCUUAUAAGAAUCUGACCACUGGAACUUGACUUUAUUCUGAGUCAAUCUGGACAUGGGGGAUGCAAUAGACAAAAAUCCCUUAACAAACCGUCGGUAAUAGCCGGCCAAACCUAAGAAAAUCCUGAUAUCUAUUGGAGAAAUAGGCCUGGGCCAGUUUCUUACUUCUUUGGUCUUUUGAGGAACCACGCUAAUGCCAUCACCGGAAACUAUAUGACCAAGGAAGGCUACUGACCUUAGCCAAAAUUUGCACUUACUAAAUUUGGCAAACAACUAAUGGUUUCUGAGAGUCUGUAACACUAUUCUGAGAUAGUCUGCAUGAUUAUGUUCACUAUGGGAGUAGACAAGAAUGUCAUCAAUGAAGACUAUGAUGAACAUAUCCAAGUACUGCUUGAACACACGGUUCAUCAAGUCUAUGAAAGAUGUUGAGGCAUUGGUAAGACCAAAGGACAUGACUAGGAAUUCGAAAUGACCAUACCAAGUGCUGAAAGCUAUUUUUGGAAUGUCACAUUCUUUGAUUCUGAGCUGAUGAUAGCCUGAUCUGAGGUCUAUCUUAGAAAAGUAACUAGCACCUUAAAGUUGGUCAAACAAGUCAUCGAUUUUGGGAAGUGGAUACUUGUUCUUGCUCAUGACUUUAUUCAACUAACUGUAGUCUAAACACAUCCUAAGAGAAUUGUCUUUCUUACGCACAAAUAGAAUUGGUGCACCCCACGGGGAUACGCUAGGUCUGAUGAAUCCCUUAUCUAGGAGAUCCUUCAACUAUUUUUUUAAUUCUUUGAGUUCUGCUAGAGCCAUUUUGUAUGACAAAAUAGAUAUGGGUUGAGUAUCAGGAAGAAGGCCUAUUCCGAAGUUAAUUUUCCUCUCGAGAGGAACUCCAGGAAGAUCUUCGGGAAACACAUCUGGGAAUUCACAUGCUAUGCCACUGGAACUGACUCAAGACUGGCAGUAUCAAAACUAGAAUCCUUAACUCGAACGAGAUGAUAGAUGCACCCCUUAGAUAUAAUUUUUCUUGCCCUUAGGUAAGAAACAAGCUGACCCCUAAGUGCUGAGGUACUACCCCUCCAUUCCAGGACAAGUUCAUUCAAAAACUAAAAUUGGACAAUUCUAUUUCUAUAAUCAACUGAGUCAUAGCAUUAAUGAAGCCAAUCCAUGCCGAUAAUGACUUCAAAAUCUGUCAUCUCUAAUUCUACUAUGUCUACUGAAGUGACUUUUUGAGAUACCAUAAUCAGACAGUUCCUAUAUACCCAUCGGGCUAUGAUAGAUUUACCUACUGGGGUAGAUACUGAGAAAGGCCCUACUAGUAUUUUCGGACAGACUCUGAAGUCAACAGCUAUGUAAGGAGUUAUGAAAGAAAAAGAAGUUCCUGGAUCUAGCAAGGCAUAAAUAUGUAAAUGAAAGAUCUGUAAUGUACCAGUGACCAUAUCAGCAAAAUUUUCUUGAUCUUGUUUGGACUAAAGUGCAUAAAGCCUGUUUAGGCGUUGCCCACUGGUGGCACUGGAUGCGACACCCUGCUAAUUCGGACAACUGAACUGAGCUGGGGGGCGAUUAUACUGACUCUACAAACCCACCUGAGGAUACUGUCUGACCCUGUGGCCUGGCUUACCAUAUCUAAAACAUAUAUUACUUCCAGCUCUACAGACACCUUGAUAGUUUCUGUCACACUUCUGGCAGAGAGGAUUUAUUUGGGCACUGCUAACACUACCCUUGGGUUUAGGGCCUAAUUCCCUAUCUCUGUUGCUGUCUCUGAAUUUUGGUACUGGAGCACUGGCUGAGGAUGGAGUUGAAACUGAAGAUUUUGGGUGGAACUAAGAAUGAUUACCAUCCUCUUACUUAGGCUAGAUGAAGUUAAAGGUACCUGUUUUGGCUCUCUUAUUCUCUCUCCUUCUCCUUAUUUUUAGCCUUUUUUAUCUACUGAGCAUGGAGCAUGAGCCUAGAUAUAUCCAUCUCCUUAAUCAGCAUUGGGGUCGUACACUCCUUGACCACAUUGCUAGACACACCAGACAUAAACUUACUCUUCUUAGAUCUACUAUUAGCUACCACAUGAGGGGCAUAUUUGGCUAACUGCGUAAACCUAAGAGAAUACUCUUGUACUAUUAUGUUGCCCUUCUUCAUAUUAAUAAACUCUAAAACCUUCACCUCCCUCAACUCUAGCGGGAAGAACCUAUCCAGAAAAGCAAUAGCAAACUCCUCCCAUUCUAUGGGCCCUGCAUCUAUGGCCCUCUCUACUUUACACAGUUUGAACCACGAGUGAGCCAUAUUUGUAGGUGAUAUGCGGCUAACUCAACACUCUCAUUAAUAAUCACCCCCAUAAUAUCUAUAACUUUUUGCUCCUGAUCAAGAAAUUCCUGUGGGUCUUUAUCUGACUUUAACCCGGUAAAAGAGGGAGGGUUCAUUUAGGUAAAGUCCCAAAUUCUGGCUGCAGCAAUAUUGGCCACUGGAUUAGCUGAAAUAGCCGUUGGAUGUACAUACUGGGCUGCCACUAAAUUUGCUAGAGUGGUAAAUGUAGCCCUGAAUUUCGCAUGGGAGGCAUGCUCAUCCAGAGGAUCUGCCUGGGCGGGUUAAGGGACUGGCUGAUUUCCUAGUCUUUUUUUGUUCUUCUUUAGAGGCAUGUUCUAUAAACGGAAGGGAGAAAAAGAUUAGACUGAGAGUUUAAUUUGAGCCUAUGCUCACUUGUACGAUAUGCAUAGUGAAAGAAGGGAAACUUUUACUAAAAUAUCUCGUAUUCUCCUGUCCAUAAGUGUGGUGCGCUACACACCCAUACACAAGACUCUACUAGAUGCGACUUUCAGACUUCUUAGGACUCUGUUGAACCUUAGGCUCUGAUACUAAGUUUGUAGCGCCCCGAUUUUGUACCCUGGACGCUACACAAUGCUAGCGACCCUGAAGGACCACCAGCUAACCCCUGACUGGUACCUACUGUAAGCACUGAAUAAUAAUAACACUGCAAUACUAAUAUUACUAAAAUAAAUAUGGAAGGUAGGCUUAAAUCGCCAUAAGGUUCAUAACUGAAAAAAAUAUUGAAUACUAAAAACUGAAUACUUAAAUAUCUAUCUGGAAUACUCUAGUCUGAAAGCCUCUAACUGUCUAAAUUAUGGAGUUGGUGGGACAAACCCCGAACUAACUCCGACUACUAAAAAUUAUACUGAAAUACUAAAAUAAUACUCUAUCCUUGAACUACGAGGACCCACCACUAAGUCUGUUGCUGAUAGGCUGGACUGCUAAGUACGGUUAAGAGCCCGUGCAUCUGAACCUAUGAUAUAAGACAUCAUAGCACAAAAGAAAAGUAUACGUCAGUACUUUGAAUGUACUGGUAUGCUAAGUGAGGUAGGCUGAUAUGCAUGGGUUCAUAUGCAUGAACAAUAAGUGACAAUGUGAACAUAACUGAAUGAGAGUACAUUCAUGAAUACAUAAACUAUAACUAAGAUCAUGUUAACACUGGUUACUGAGUUCUGAAUACUGAUUAACUAAUAUUUGAGUUUACUGAUACAGUAAUACUGAUAAUUGAGUGACUGUUUCUGAUAAUCUUGAUUUUGUAGAAUUGAAAUAUGUUCUAUAUUGAGCUGGUGACUGUAUCUGACAGUCUUGAAUCUAUAGAACAAAACUGAGUUCUUACUGAGACUAAAAUUAAAAUUAAAACUGUGGGAGGUAAUCAUCUAACCGACAUGCCUCUCUCAUAAUGGAUUAGGGUCUAACCUGUAACCCUAGUUGGAAGGGUGUUCGUAUCGUGCCACGGGUAAAGACAAGCUGCGAGUUAACCCUCUCUGAUAGAAAGCUCUUUCAUCAACCCUUGCUAGCAGGAAAACUCAGAUGAGAUAUAUCAACCUUAAUCUGACAGAAAGAUAUCUCAACCUAUGCUGGCUACAUAGUUCUGUAACACAGGGAUUGCUACUAAAGGUAAAACCUUAUACUGGCAGGAAUGAUCCCAUCCUUGAGUUUUCUCGGUGCUGAAUCCUACUCCCAAUUGAAUUGACACUGAAUGAUUUCUAGUCCAUACUAGGCUUGACUGAACUAUUACUGAUCGUACUGUCUAACUAAAUAGAACUGAGUUCACUGGAUUUCGCUAACUGAUGGAGUACUACAAAAUCUGGUUAACUGUGAGUUCACUGAGUUCUGAACUGAAUAUUGAAUUGAGACUGUGACUGAUUACUGAGUACUACUAUUCAUAAUACUACUGAAACUAUUCUAUAAUUACUAUAGCUCUAGUUAAACAGCCAAAUUUUUUAGUAUUGAAUACCCACUAGGACUCGAUAGCAUGAAAAGUAAAGCAUAUAGUAAACUUGAAAAGCAUAACACUGUGCACUUGUUCAUAACUCAUCCAUAGGGACAUUUUAUCAAACACUUGUAAGGCAUAAGUUUACACCUAUACUAGCAUGGCAUGAUUUUUCUCCAUUUAGUUCACAUGAGCAUUUUAACAAACACAUGGGGAGUACAACUAUGCACAUGAUACUAAAACAACAUAUAGGCAUCAUAACAUAAAUUCCCACAAUCAUAAACUCAAUGGCUUCAACAUGAGUUCACAUGAUACUACACAAACGAUAAUCAAUUCCACAUGAAUUUUGUAAUAAACCAUAGAUCUGAAACCCAAUUAACAUUAUAAUCAUGAAUCAUUUAAACCCAAUCAUGAGAAUUUUGAAAUCAAUUACUUGAAGUUUAAAAGAGUUUCUUGGACUCCAAGGGUGGAAGUAACGCUUGGAUGAACACUUCACAUACCUUGGCACUUGAAUUGACUAAGGUUGAUGGUGAGUUCAUAAAUCUUAAACCUUGAAUUAGAAGCCCUAGGGUAUUGUUCUUGAGGAAUUUUGAGAAUAGUGAAUGGAUUUUGCCUCUAAAGUGGCUAAAUCUGGUGUUUUAGGGGCUAAUAGACGUGGAAAAAUGACCCAAAUACCCCUGAGGACGCAUUUUUUUAGUGACUGAAAACUGGCCUAGCGAUGCGCAGAUCGACGUGCCACGACGAAGGGAUCGACUCUAUGGCCGAUGGCCCGCGUCGAGUCCAUAUUGGUUCACUGAAAAUUGCACUGGGAGCUGGGGGGAAAUAUUCAUCGACACGAUAGGUGACGCAUAACGUUGAGAUUGGGUCGAUACACUGGCUUGGACUCCCAAACGUGCUUUAGACGAUGUUUGAAAAAUUUGAAACUCAUCCGAGAAUACCUACUGACAUUCCUGAUCAUGAAGCAACUUAAAGAUAGACAUUUAAUGGUCAUAAGGGUCGGAAAAUAAGAUAUCCAACUAUGAAGGCUAAAAUAACUUUAAAUAUGAAUAAUUAGCUAAAAAAUUUUAAGUCUGGGACCCCUUAACAAGCUUUUAAAGACUGAAUUAAGCUUAGAAUUUUGUGGGGUCUUACAAAUAUAUAACAAGUUGCCUGCUCAUUUUUUGUUGUUAUUAAGAGACUUCUCUUUUCCUCUUUGGUUUAAUAUGUGAAGAAAAGUUCAAGUUCUUGAAGAGUAAAGUUAAAAGGAUAAGCUACAGAAAAUCUAGCUAAAGUGACUGCUCCAUUUUAUCCUUCUUAUGUAUUGCUCCAUUUUGUCGUUCUUAUGUAUGAGUUUGGGUAAAUAAUUAUGGAUGUGUUGUCAUUAAGGAACUCAAGGAAUGAUGAGUUCAAUAUUUAAUUGCUAUGAUAAAAGAAAAUUUGGGGCUAUUUUGUGGACUAUUUUAUAUCUAUGUGUUGGGGGCUGCCAGGUUGAUGUUGGAGAAAUGUGUGACUAGUUCAUAUUGAAAUAUAGAAGAAAGGUGCGGUGGUACACCAACGAACUAAUUAUUGCAUAUGUUGUUGAUCAUUCUGUUUUGAAUACCAGUUGGAGGGUGUAAUGAAGCCAAACUUGUUUCGGGGAAUCUUAAAAGAAUCUGUAUGGUAUGUGGAUGUAAUUGGUGGAUAAAAGGGGUUAAAAUAACCCCCUUGAUUGAUAAAUUAAGUGCUUACUGUCCAGCUUCUAUUUUGGAAAAGUUAAAUAGGCUAGUUUGUUGGCUAGUAACUAAUACUAGUUUUACCAUAUACUUAAUUUUAGAAAAAUAAUCCUAAAGGAAGGAAUUUAAUUGAGUUGUCAUCAAAGUUAUACAACUAGGUAUGUAAAGCUACUAUAUGUCGUAUUCUUUGGCAUGAAAUCCAACACUUAUGGUACAAAGUAAGCUUCUGAAUCUUUCCCAUAGUAAAUAAUACCUAGUGGCAACACAUGAUGUCCCAUCUAGCUAAUGACCUUGAUCCCACUCCCUAAUGUGUUAAAACAUUCCAUCACAUGCUUAUUAUCAAGUCUACAUUUUUACUUUCACUAGAAAGUAUCAAGAGUUCCCUUUUAAGUAAAAUAAGAUCCAUAUGUUAUUUUCAGCUCCUAAACAUUUCAUUCGUGUACAAUCUGCUCCAUAUCUUUUUAUCAUGGCAUUAAGUGUUUAUUCACAUGUCUCUCAUUGGUAGAUUAUUGUUCAAAGGUACCAAAAUGUUAUGACCACCAAAGUAACAAUCUCAAACUCUAAAUAAACUAUGUAACGUAAAUCUUAACUGAAUGGGUGGCAUUUUAGGGGCAUAACCCUAGCAUAGGCCGAUCCCGAUACCUUUAUAUAUGGGUGAAAGCUCAGGGCGUCAGUCUAGCACGGGUCGAUCCCAAUUUGUGUGUUUACCACUGAUCAGUUGGACAUUUGCGUUAUAUGGAUUACAAAGAUUAUGAAGUAAGAAGGUAAAAUGAAGAAAAGAAUGUAAUGUACCUGAUCUCACAAAUAUAUAUAAAGGUGGUCUACUAGCACUAUUUAUACACUUAUAUAUGAUUUUUAUUGAGCUCUUGUAUCAUGUGUAUUUACUUUCAGCCUUACAUAUUCAGUACAUAUUUUUGUACUGACGUCCCUCAUGGGGGGCUUGUAUUUCAUGAUGCAGGCACAGGUGCUUCAGCUAAUACACCUCGCUAGUAGGAACACAGGAUAUCCAGUGACUAUUGGUGAGCUCUAGGUUGAUUCGAGGCUUUCUGGCUCUAUUUUAUAUAUUUUGGUAUUGUACAGUAGUUAAGUGUAAGGUGGGGAUUUGUCCCGACCAUAACUAAGUGUCAAUGUAUCUUUUAGAGGCUUUGUAGACCAAUGUAAAAUUAAGCAUGGUAGUGUCUUGCCUCUUAGAUGUUGUGGCCCCAAUGACCAAGUCUUGUAUAUAUAAUUUUGUGCUUGCCCACAUGGUUGUUCUCAUCGAUGCACUGUAUUAUAUUUGGCAAAACCUUUAGUUAUCAUAUUUACAUGCAUGAGAUGUACAGGGUCAUAGGUUGGUGCUCUUGGGCCUUAAGGCUAUGGAUGUCUGUCCGCCCUAGUGGGAUUUGAGACGUGACACCACACUUAAUGACUGGUAACCACUUCUCAUACUCAAGACAACAAUUUGGGAUGAUACACUAGACAUUCUACAAUUGGUACGUAAUGACUCGUGGCCUCAAGUCGUAAUGAAGACUGUGUCUUGGGCCAAACUUACUAGACACCUUACGACCCGUAAGAAGUCUUGAAUACUAGUUGAGAUCCACUCGUACUCAAAAAAGAAUACUAAGCCACUUCUUCUGAUUAAGUUAACCGAGUCCCUACGACCCAUCAUGACUCCCCAUGACUUGCCAUAGGAGUUGUAGUCAGGACAGUGAGGAUAAAAUUUUUGAUAUUUUCAAGGACCAAAAACUCGGUGCAUUACAUACUCCCCCCUUUAGGAUUAUUGUCUUCGAAUGAUUGGAAAACGCAUUUAUUAGCACGAUUUGAUUCCACAUACCACUGCUCUUACUUUUACAAAGACAAAAAACAAAGAUACCAAGGAAAUCACUAUUUUCUUUAACAAAGUCAGUAAACACAGAUGUUAAGGAAUAUACAUACCUCAAGAAUGAUUAUCUGGGAUGGGAAACAAGAAUGGAUACUUGAAAUUCAUGUCCUCCUUGGCUUCACAAGUAGCUUCCUCAACUUUUUGGUUUGUCCAAAGAACCUUUACUGAAGCCACAUCCGUUGUCCACAAUCGACGGACUUGCCAAUCCAAAAUUUCAACUGAGACCUCUUCUUAAAAUAAGGAAUCUGAAAUACCUACCUCCUCCAAGGGAACAACCUUUGAAGUAUCACCUAAUCACUUCCUCAAUAUCAAAACGUGAAAUACCGAAUGAAUGGAUCUCAAGCUAGAAGGUAACUCUAAUUCGUAAGCGACAUUAUUAAUCCUCUUCAAAACCAAGUACGGACCGACAUAACGGGGAUUGAGUUUCUCAUUCUUAACAAACCGCAUCACUUCCGUCAUAGGAGACACUUCAAGAACACUGAACUCCAACUCCCUUUGCCUCACAUCUACAUAGGACUUUUGGUGACUUUGGGCGGCCGUAAGUCCAUCCCGAAUCACCUUAACAUUCUCCAUGGUUUGGUGAACCAAAUCUGGGCCAAACAUCUUAUUUUCACCUACCUCAAACAACCCAAUAGGAUACCUAUAUCUCCUACCAUAUAAGACCUCAAACGGAGCCAUACUAAUACUAGAGUGAUAAAUGUUGUUGUAGGAAAAUUCUAUGAUAGGAAAGUGGUCAACCCAACUACCUCCAUAAUAAAAUACAUAUGCCCGAAGCAUAUCUUCCAAGACCUAAAUUAUCCUUUCCACUUGACCAUCCAUCUGUGGGUAGAAAGCAGUACUAAGGGUUACCUUAGUCCCCAGACCUUGCUGAAACGACCUCCAAAAGUAAGAUUAGAACUGAGUACCUCGAUCAGAUACAAUGGAAACUAGAGUACCAUGCAGCUUCACGAUCUUCUCAAUGAAUAACAUGGCAUAAUCCUCUAAAGUGAAAUUAGUCCUAACUGGCAAGAAGUGAGCAGACUUAGUUAUCCUAUCCAUGAUGACCCAAAUCGAAUCAAACUUCUAGCGAAACCACGAAAGACCAGUAACAAAAUCCAUAUUAAUUAUCUCUUAUUUCCACACCGGUAACACUAUCAUUUGAGUCAACCCAACGGCCUCAAGUUCUCCACCUUCACUUAUUGACAUACCAUACACUUAGCCACAAAAUUAUCAAUAUCCCACUUCAUAUUAUUCCACCAAUAAAUCUUUUUAAGGUCAUGAUACAUUUUCAUCGAACCAAGAUGAAUCAUAUAACACAACUCAUGAGCUUCGACAAAAAAAUUUUCUCGCAACCCAUCAACAUCGAGAACACAUAGUCUACCUUGGUACCUCAAGAUACCAUCACCACCAAUCUCGAAAACUAUCACCUUCUGCCUACCUACAUCAUUCUUGGUUUGCAUCAUAAUAGGAUCCAACACUUGCUUCUCCUUUACUUCAGCACCAAGAGAUGACCUUGCCACCUCUUAAAUAAUCACACCAACCUUCUCGAAAUCUAAGAGAUAAACUUUAAGAUUAGCCAAAUGGUGAAUAUAUUUCACCAAAUACCACUUCUCCUCAUCCACAUAAGACAAGAUUCCCAUGCACAACCUGCCAAGAGCAUCAACAACCACAUUAGCUUUACCUGGAUGAUAGUGAAGACUCAUGCCAUAGUCCUUCAGCAACUCAAGCCAUCUUCUUUGCAUGAGAUUCAAUUCUUUUGGUGUGAACACGUAUUCCAGGCUUUUAUGAUCAAAAUAUAUAUCAACAUGGACCCCAUACAAAUAAUUCCACCAAAUCUUUAAUGCAAAUAUCACAGCUAAAAUUCUAAAUCAUGAGUUGGAUAAUUCUUUUACAUGAACUUUCAACUAUCUAAAAGCAUAAGCAACCUCCGGGGGUUUAUCGAAAAUAGCCUCUCUACCUCAUCGGAGGUAGAGAUAUGGACUGCAUACGUCUUACCCUCCCCAGACCCCAUACUGUGGGAAUACACUGGGUUUGUUAUUGUUAUUGGAGAAGCAUAAGCAACCACCUUGCCAUACUGCAUCAACAAAUAGCCCAAUCUCAUCGGGACGCAUCACAAUAGUCAACAAAACCCUACAUACCCUCAGGUAGAGUUAAGACUGGAGUCAAAGUCAACUUAUUCUUUAGCUUCUCAAAACUACCCGCACAAGUAUCAGACCACAAGAAUUUCACCUUCUUCUAAAUUAAUUUAGUAAAUAGGGCAGCAAUAGAAGAGAAACUCUCUAAGAACAUUCUAUAAUAGCUGGUUAACCCUAAGAAGCUCUAAAUAUCAGAUGGAGUCGUGGGUCUAGGCUAUCUUAACCAUAAUAACCUUCUGUGGAUCCACGAUGAUCCCCUUACUAGAAACAACAUGGCCCAGGUAAGUCACAAUAUUCAACCAGAACUCACACUUAGAGAAUUUAGCAUACAAAUGCUACUUCUUAAGGGUCUGUAACACAAGAAAGAUGUUAUCGGCAUGAUCCAUCUCACUCUUGGAAUACACCAAAAUAUCAUUAAUAAAGACAAUGACAAACAAGUCUAAGAACUAACAGAAAACCCAAUUCAUAAUAUCCUUAAAUGCUGCUGGAGCAUUAGCCAAGCCAAAAGAUAUCACCAAAAACUCAAAAUGACUAUACCAGGUUUGAAAAGUAGUCUUAGGGAUAUCCCUAUCCCUAAUAUUCAACUGAUGGUACCCAGAGUAAAGAUCAAUCUUGGAAAAAAAUUUAGCAGCCUAAAGCUGAUCAAAGAGAUCAUCAAUCCUCUGAAGUGGAUACUUAUUCUUCAUGGUUACCUUAUUUAAUUAGUGGUAAUCAAUACACAUUCAAAGGGACCCAUCCUUCUUAGGAACGAAAAGAGUAGGAGUACCCCACGAAGCCACACUAGGGCAGAUAAAACCCUUAUCCAGAAGAUCUUUCAACUACACCUUGAGUUCUUUCAACUCAGUCGGAUCCAUUCUAUUAGGAGAAGUAGAGAUAGGAUGAAUGUUCGAAAGAAGAUAAAUCCCAAAAUCAAUUUCCCUAUUGGGAGGAAUACCAGGAAGAUCAUUAGGGAAUGCUUCGGGAAAUUAUAGACCACAGGAACAGUCUGCAAAGGCACCCUUUAGAAACCAAUUUCUGAGCUCUAAGAUACCAAAUAAACCUUCCCUUAGGAAAUAAGGAACUACCUUCCCAUUCGAUCACCGAUUUAUUUAGGGAAUAGAAACUGACGCUUUGGGUUCGAUAAUCAAGAGAUGUAUAGCACAAAUGCAACUAAUCCAUCUCCAAUAUCACAUCAGAGUCUAACUUGUCCAACCCUAUUAGAUCCACCAAGGUCUCCCUACCAUGGAAUGACAUCACACAACCCCUAUAGACCUUUCUAGCCAUAAUGGAGUCACCCAUAGGGGUGGACAUCGAAAAGGGGUCUAAAAUACACUUAGGAUCAAAAUCAAAAUAGAUAGCCACAAAAAAAGUUACAUAAGAGAGGGUAGACUCAAGAUCAUGCCAAAAAUAUAUAUCACGAGAGAAGAAUUUGAGCAUACCAAUAAUAACAUCGAGGGAUGCCUCAAAAUCUUGAUAGGUGGCAAUAGCGUACAAUGGUUUUAUCCAACGCCGGGGCUAGAAGCAGAAGUAGCACCUUUUGGUGCAAGAGAGGAUGAAGUAGAAACAGGAAUAUUAUUCUCUCCAGAAGAAACCUUCGAAGGAAAAUCCCUCUAUAUAUGACCAAUCUGACCACAAAAUCUACAAGGAUGAUAUGAUGGAGUUGACUGAACCCCACUAUCCUGAGGCUGGGAUCCUGGUACUCUAAACCCACUUUUAUACUGAGAAUGAUGAUCACCCAACAACUUUGGAUAAGGAGCACUAGUCGUAGAGUAGGAACCCAAAUUGCCCCACUUCUUCUUAGGCCAUUUUCUACUAUCUAUACACUCUGCUGGUGACGUCCACCCUGUUCUAAAUAGCAAAACUUCUUACUCUACCUUUCACUUAUCUCAAUUUGCUUCUUUUUUUCCUCUUCCACUUGUUUCAUAUACACCACAAGUCUAGAGAUGUCUGUAUCCAUAUUCAAUAAGGUAGCCUUGUUCUCCAAGAUCAACUCACGGGACAACCCUGAGGUAAACUUCCUCAUUCUAGCACUCAUGUUACACACCAACUUAAGAGCAUAAUGCGACAACUGAUAAAACUUUAAGGCAUACUCAUAUACGGAUAUCCUGCCUUGCUUCUAAUUCACAAAUUACUCAGCCUUCGCCUCCCAUAACUUCUAAGGAAAGAAGCAAUCAUGGAAAGCACUAGAGAAAUUAUCCCACAAAGUGGACUCAACAUCAUCGCCCCUAGACUGGUCCCACUUCUUAUACUAUUGGUAUGUUACAUCCUUCAGUUGAUAAACUGCGAACUCUUCACAUUCUAUAUCGGUAGCAUGCAUCACAUGAAAGAUCUUUUCUAGCUUAUCAAUAAAAUUUUAAGGAUCUUCUUUAACUUUAGAAUCGAUGAAAGUAACAGGACUUAACCUCUUAAAUUUUCCAAAUCUAGUGGCCUCGAAGGACGAAGUAAUAGAAGUAACCCGCUUAGUCUGUGAGGCCACCAAUUGGGUAAGCAAAUUAAUCGAUUGGUGAGACUCAGCAUUAGACACACUUGCUUGAGGUGCCUGGGGAGGGAUAGGGGGAACUAGUAGAGCUCUUCUAGGGCAAUCAAAAGCAGCGACCCUCGACUGGGUCUAAACUCCUAGGUAGGAUAAGCUCUGUCCUUAUUAUCCACAGAUGGAAUUGAAGUGUGCAAGCAUCAGAUUUUCUUGGAGGCAUGAUCUAAAAAGCAAAUAUAUGAGAAUUAAAGAAGAAUUAAGUUCUUAGACUCUAUAGCUUGAAAUAGAACAAAAAGAAAAAGAAACAUUCCUAAAUGCCUCAUAGCCUCUCCCCUAUAAGUGUGGUGCGCUACACACCCAUAAAGGAGACUCUACCUGAUACAACUUUAUGGACACCCAAUGACACUAAACCUAUGCUCUGAUACCAUUUUUGUCAUGAUCCAAAAUAGGGCCUGGCCAUAACAGACAUCUUAAGUCUCACAUGUAUCAGAGAUGACCCCUCUGAAUCUAACUAACUAAACACAACAUCCCCAACAUCGAAUGAAUUCUGAAUAUAUAAUAAGAUAGCAUAAUAAUAGGCGCAAUAAUAUUUAAAUCAUAUCUCGGCCAAUACAAUGGACCAACACCACCCAAGUUUAGAGUAAUCCAGCAAAGCCUUUUAACACAAAAAAUUAAAAUCAAUCUUAGUCGGGACAUGUCCUAGACUUUGACAGAUGACAAUAAGAAUAAAAAUAAUAAUGUUAACAAUAAUGAAACUCUCAACUCUGGUAUUUGAUAAGAACUGAUGAAAUGUCUAAGUCUUCUGAAGUAUGAAAUAUUACCACUUUACCACAAUGAACCUAAGAACCGAGCCGACCAACCUAACUCUACACAGAAAAAGUAGAAGUAGCUUCAGUGCCUACAUUACAUGGGAAUACAGCAUCUGGAGACAGUUAGUAGGGUGAACACUAGUAUGUAACUCAGGGAUAAGUAUUACAUAAUGCCAUGAUCAACAGUACAAAAUCAUUCAAAACCAAUGCACACACAUACAGAUAUAUAUAUGCACGCAUAUCACAUGUCAGGAUAGGGAACAAGGCUUAACAUGCACUUUAAAACUUUAGCCUGAAUUAUGUAGAUCAAUUGUCAUAACAUACAAAGCACCCAUGGGCUAUAUGAGCCCAGCUCUCCCCCAGCUGGUAGGGCACUAGUGCGUAUGGCUGCAAGAACUAGAGGGUGUACACAUGCACUAUGGGGGACUCGAACCUACCUUCAUAUCAAGGUGACACAAGCACCAAAUCAUGUAAUAUAUUAUGGGGGAAUCGAACCUCCUAAUCAUAUGAUAAUAAUAUUAAGGGGGAUUCAGACCACCCGGUUAUAUAGACCCCAUAUCGGCAAUCGCAAUUUCAAGUGCGGGUCCCUUAAGACUUUUAUUUUCACUUAUAAUCUACAAAACCCUCAUUAAAUCACAAUUAAAAUAAUCAUCACACAUUUUCAUUCGUUGAACCAUAUUUCACAUUAAGAUGUACACUAUUGGUAUCGUCAUACCAACUAUACUUUUAAGAUAACCACAACAUGCCAAAUAAUUACAUCACUUCGGAGAAGUUCACAACUAUUUUUGGUUCAAUUAUGCAUUAUCUUGGAGAAUCACACAACCCCGUAAGGUUCAAUUCAAAAUCAUAAUGUAAUAGUUCAAGAAUAGUUUAAUUCCCAUAUUUUUCAUUAUUACAACCAAUUUCACAAUAUGGGGUUGUGGUCAUUAUCACUUUAAAGGUCACAAGUUUGCAGAAAAUCAUAAUUUCUUAGUUUAUUCACCAUACCUAUGUACCCAAAAUUCAAAACCACAAUUAAAGCAUGAAUGAUCAUAUGUAAACCAUGGAAAAACAUUGUUCAAUCCAUAAGCAUUCAAAACCCUCAACCUUAUUUCAAAACCAACAUAAAUAUCGCAUGAACAAUACUUUAAACCAUACGCUUUUAACUAAUUAACAAUGAGAUAAGAGUAACAGGCCUAAAAUAUCAAGUUUUACAAAAAGAAUUCAACCCUUUAGCCUUUGGAUGACCUACUUCUUGGAAACCCUAAGUAUGGUUGCUUGAAAGAAUUUAAGAGAGCUUAGGAAGUAUUUGAGUACACUAAGGAUGAAAUAUAAUCCCCUUAAGUACUUUAUGAACCUGGGGUAUUAAUUGGGUGAUAAGGGAAUUGUUCAAAUUUUCCUUAAUUUAAAAAUUGAAAUUUAGUUGUCAGAGACUACAGGUCACCAUACAACUCAUAAGGAUACAUUACUACUCAUCACAAGGAGACGUAGUCAAGAUAAAACCACCAAAUCCCUAUAAUGAUUUGGCUAUGAUUCAUACCAUCGACUCGUAUCCUCACUUAACGAUUCAUAACCACUUCACGUACUCAAGACAACAACAAUUUGGGAAGACAUACUGGACACCCUACAAUUGGGACAUAAUGAAUCUUCAUGAGUCUUUAUGACUCGUGGACUCAACUUAUAAUGAAGACAGUGUCUUGGGCCAAACUUAUGGACACUUUCCAACAUGGUAUUUACGACCCAUAAGAAGUCUUGAUGACUAGUUGAGAGCCACUCAUACUCAGAGCAGAAUACUAAGCCACUUAUUCUGAUUAAGUUAUGACUGAGUCCCUAUAACCUAUCAUGAUUCCCUAUGACUCGCCAUGGGAUUCGUAGCUAGGACAGUGAGGAUAAAAUUUCAGAAAUUUUCAAGGACCAAAAAUUUAGGGCAUUACACUUUCUCUCGCUCAAAAUCCAUGAAGGAGGUAAUAUAUUCUUUGGUGAUGGGAAAAAGGAGUACAUGGUAGGGAUUAGAAUAGUUGGGUACAGUUUGGGAAAAGCCAUUGAUGAUGUUCAUUUUGUGAAUGGUCUAAAAUUCAGCGUGUCAAGUGUUUCACAGAUUUGUGACAAGGGAAAUAAAGUAAUGUUUAUGUCAAACAAGUGUGUGGUCAUAAGACUCAAGGAUGGUGAAGUUAUUCUUACAACCUUGAGAAAUAAGAAUAUGUAUGUUGCUGAUCUGGGUUAAGCAAACCCAAGAAUCUGACUUAUCUGAGUGUGCAAGAAGUUACUACUAAAUCAUAGCAGAAAAGAUUGGGUCAUGUAAGCUGCUCACUGCUGAAUAAAUUGGUCUCUAAGUACCUAUUUUGAGGUCUACCAAAGUUGAAGUUUGUCUAAUCCAAUAUGUGUGAUGCAUGUGUGAAGGGUAAGCAGACCAGGUCCUACUUCAAUUUAAAAAAAGAAGUGAGUACGUCCAGACGUCUACAACUUCUCUAUGUGGAUCUGUAUAGACCUAUAAAGAUUAGAAAUAGAUGAGAGAAGAAAUACAUCAUGGUGAUACUUGAUGAAUACUCUAGAUUCACCUAGACGACCUUCUUUCUGAAGCAAUUACUAGAUAGAUCUUAAGUGAAAUACAAUAAGAAGAAAGAUGGAAUCAGAUCACAUCAUCGCAUAGAAUUUGAAAAUGUUAUGUUCAAUUAAUUUUUCCAUGAUUUUGGAGUCAAUCAUAACUUCUCAACUCCCAAAACACCACAACAAAAUGGUACUAUCGAAAGAAAGAACAGAAUACUAGUGGAAAUCUCCAGGACCAUGCUGAUUGAUGCACGAAUAAUUUAGAAUUUUUGGGCUGAAUUAGCUAAUACAACAUGUCAUAUGAUCAAUAGGUGUCUUAUUAGGUCUAUUCUUAGUAUGACUCCUUAUGAGCUCCUGAACAAGAAGAAGCCAAGUUAAGCUACUUCAAACCUCUUGGACGCAAAUGUUUUAUGUUAAAUAAUGGUAAGAAUAAUCUUGGUAAAUUUGACCCAAGAUGUGAUGAAGGCGUUUUUGUUGGUUAUUCUUCAAACAACAAAUCUUACAAAAUCUUUAACAAAAGAACCUUAUGUAUGAAGAGAGUGUUGUGUGAUUGAUGAAGAUGGAGAAGCCAGUGGAAGCAAUUCUCUUGAUGAUUUGACCUUGAAAAACUCUUUAAGGUUCCAAGAAAUGCAGUUGAAAAUGAUGAUGAGUUAGAAGAAGGAAUCAAGGAUGGUGAAGACUCCCAGGGGCUAGGUUCGACGCAUAAAAAUGAAGAUGACUCAGGAGAUCAUCAAGAACCUAGUUCAUCACAGACCCAAAAUAAAGAUAUUGAUCCUCACUCCAUCUUAGUUACUAGUAUCCUGAGGGUAAUACCUCAAUGGUAAAUGGUCCCAGUUCUAGCCAGAAAACUCUACAUAUAUCCAGCUGGAAGCAUCAGUCCUCUCAUCUUGUUGAUAAUUUACUUCUCUCUCUGGAUUCAAGAAUGUAAACUAGGAAUAGAGAAAGAAAUCUAUGUUCUUUCUAGUAUUUUUAUUGCAAAUUGAGCCCAAGAAUGUGAAGGAAGUAUUGAAAGAUGUAGAUUAGAUAAAUGGCAUUUAGGAAGAGCUAUAUCAGUUUGAGAGAAGCAAGGUGCAGCAUAUGGUUCUACGCUCCUCAGAUAGAAUAAUCAUAGGGACCAUGUGGAUUUAUAAAAACAAGGAUGAUGAGCAUGGUAAUACAAUUAGAAACAAGGCUAGGCUGGUGGUGCAAGGUUAUAACUAGGAGAAAGGCAUAAAACAUUUGCUCCAAUAGCUAGAAUGGAGGCUAUUCGAAUUCUCAUUGAUUUUUCUUCCUACAUAGAGUUCAAACUAUUUUAGAUAGAUGUAAAGAAUGCUUUUUGAAUGGAAUGCUUGAAGAAAAAGUGUAUGUGAAGCAACCUCCAGGAUUUGAAGAUAUUGAUUUUCCAAACCAUGUGUUCAAAUUAGAUAAAGCUCUAUAUAGUUUGAAGCAAGCUCCUAGAGCUUGGUGUGAGAGGUUCUCAAAGUUCUUGCUUGACAAUGGCUUCAAAAGAGGAAAGAUUGACAACACAUUAUUCUUGAAGGCAAGAGAAAGAAUUUGCUUAUAAUUCAGGUGUAUAUUGAUGACAUCAUAUUUAGAGCUACAACCAGUUCCUUAUGUGAUGAAUUUGCCAAGUUGAUGAGAAAUAAAUCUAAAAUGAGCAUUAUGGGGGAGCUUAACUUCUUACUUGGGUUGAAUAUAGAGCAUAGUACUUCUAGUACUACUAUCUUCCAACAAAAAUACAUUCAUGAGUCACAAAAAAAGUUCCAUAUGGAGGAUCCAAAGCCUAUUAAUAUCCAAGUAGAACCUUCUAAAAAAUGCACUUAGAUGAACCUGGUACCUUUGUAAAUAAAACUAUAUACAGGUGAAUCAUUGGUUCAUUGCUCUAUCUUACAUCUAGCAAACCUGAUGGGAUGUGUGCUGGAUUCCAAGUAAGUCCAAAGGAAUCACACCUGAAAGCUGCCAAAAGGAUUCUGAGAUAUCUCAAGGACACCCCCAUCCUGGUUUUCCUCUAUCUUAUUCAUGAUAAUUUUGACCUUGUUGGGUAUGCUGAUACUGAUUAUGCUGGGUACCUAGUUGACAGAAAGAGUACCUUAGGAAUGACUCACUUUUUAGGGUCAUCCUUGAUCUUCUAGGUCACCAAGAAACAAAACUUAAUGGCUAUUUCAACUAUUGAAGAUGAUUAUGUGAUAGUUGGCUCAUGUUGUGCUUAAUUACUUUUGAUCAAAAAACAACUUAAGGGCUUUGGUAUUCUUUCAAAUUGUGUUCCUUUAUUCUAUGGCAAUACAAUUAUUGUUAAUAUGGCUAAAAAUCCAAUUUAACACAAAAGGGCCAAGCAUAUUGACAUAAGGCAUAAUUUUCUCAAUGAUAAUAUAUAGAAAGAACUGAUCAAGAUAGUCUUUUAUAGUAUUGAGGACCAAGUAGCUGAUGUAUUCACUAAGGCACUUAGUAGGGAACAGUUUAAAAGGAAUAGAAUAAUGUUAGGGUUGAUGAGACCAAGUUGAAAACAUGUUGUUCUUAAUCCUUCAAAAUGGAUAUGAUUUCAUAAAUAGGUAUCCAUGUAAGAUAAUGUUAUAAAUAUCUAACUCAAUCUCAUAUCUUCUGCAGAGAUACACCCAUUGUAAAGAGAAGAAUAUUAAGGAGGAAAAUGAGACAAUUUUAAGCACAAAGAAUUCAGAAAAUCACAUAAGCACUAGGUCCCUUAUCAGGUUAGCAUCACACUCUUUUCUUAAAUGGUAACAUUUUAAAAUCAAAAACAAACUUUCUAUGUAGACUUCCCGCUCUUUUAAAAGAAUUCCACCCCACUUUAAGUCCAAGAGACAUGUUCAUCUAAUCGAACACGUCUUCUAUUUUACACCCUUUCAAAUUAAUCCAAUCUGUUCCUUCCUCUUCUAUUUAAAACAAAUUUGCAUUCUUUUUUUACUUAUUUAAACCUUCCGCUUUUACCAUUUUAGUUCCCAAAUAGGUUCUCUUUCUUCAUAUUUCCUCAAACGCAAAAAUCUCUCACAAAUUUAAGAAAAGUAACACCUAAUCAUCAUGUCCAAUCCAUCUUCAUCAUCCCCUUUAAGAGAUGAGCCUACACCUUUUAAAGUGGUUUAUCCUACUUCCUCUCCUCCUGACUCUAAUUUUCAUAACCCUUUUGUCAUAGUCGAGUAUAUCCCAUCCCCUAGUCUUAAAAAUAUAGAUCUUUUAACCUCUCAGAAAGAUAAUGAUGCUUCAGCAUUAUCUCCUCACCCAAAGAAAGAUUAAAAUGCUUCCCCCACUUCUAGCCUAGUGAUUGAAAAAGGUGCAAAAAAUAGUCCAAAACCCUUAGACCAACCUGUUCCUACCGAGUCAGUUUCAGUCUCCCCGUCUAAAGUUCAAUCCCUGAAAAAAGUUGGUUAUCAAGUAUGUCAAAAAGCCCUACAGUAGAUGAAAACAUAUUUGACGGUGAUUUACCCACUGCAAAAGGUACUUCCUCCAACAUCCUUGCAAUGAGUGAACAAAUUUGGAUGCAGGUCCUGACUGCCUUAAGUGAAGAGCCUCCUAGAUAUUCUAGUUUCCAUGUCUCUCCAAAAUGGGAUACGACACCUGUUAUGUUGUCUACAAGGAGGAAAAUGAAUCUCCUGAAAGUGAUGAAGAGCACACCAUGGUGUUGCCCCUCAUUCUUGAUCUGCCUGACAUAGGUGCUGAAGAUAAAUAAACUAUGGAUAGUAAGAAUGACUUGGCCUUGUCGUGGAAAAUGUCCAAGAAGGGUGUGUCUACUACUGCCAAAGUUCCAUCUAAGACUAUCAAAUCAUAUGGGACUAGGUUGAGUUUGAAAAAGAUUAUGGAUGAAGCAUUAGUGGAAAGCAAAUAUAAUCUAUAAUAUAUUAAAAGUGUGAAGACCUUUAGAAAAGAGAUUUGAACUUUUUAUUCUUUAUUAAAAGACUCUUCUUUAGACAAAAAUGUCUUUUCACUAUUUUUAAAUUUAUUAUUUAAUUUUUUUAUUAUAUUAACUAGACUUCCUAAAAUAUAUGGGACUCCUAAAAUAUAUGGUAGGAGAAUUAAUUAAUAUUUUUCUUUCUACUGUUCAAUUAGAAAAAUACUCCUAAAAUAGGACUUUAUUAAGAAAAUACUUCUAUAAAUAUUGAGAUGUACGUAAACACAAACUAGUUUGCCUAUUGGGAGAAUAUGAUUAAUGUUCAUCUAACUUGAUUCGAUUGCAUGUCCAGAUGGUAGAUGCUUGAUUUUCUAACCCUAAACUUAUUUACUGUUUUUGUUAGCAUAAUAGAAUUCAACAUGUGCAUGUAUAUUAUAAGAAAAAAGAAGGUGUGUGUAUAUAUAUAUAUAUAUAUAUAUAUACACCUUCUUUGUUCUUAUUAAGAAUAAUUCUUUAGGGUCAAAAUUUUCCCUCAGACAAGAGUUAGUUGGAUCAAAAUCAAAGCUUUGUAAUCAUUGUUAUAUUUUUUUUCUUGUGUAAAGGUUAGGUUUAAUUGUAUUGUUUUGAUAUUUUUAUUAUCUUAUUGUUUUAUUUUAAUUUACAGAUGCUAGAUGAAUGUGGGUUGACUUUGCAUUUUUUUUACGUAAAUGUUAGGUUUAAUUGUAUUAUCGUAAUAUCUCUAUUAGUUUGUUAUUUUGUGGUAGUUUACAGUUCAUAGAUGAAUAUUGAUCGACUUUGAGAAAUUUUUUAGUGUAAAAUUUAAGUUUGAUUGUAUUAUUUUGAUAUCACUUUUAUCAUAUAAUUUUGUUGCAGUUUACAGGUGAUAGAUAAAUGUUGGUCCUAGUUCUAAGACCUCUACAUCAAAAGAAAAGGAGAAAAGGUUAAAAAGUAAGGAGAGACAAGAAAUUCUAAAGACCUAGGAGAUUUUAAGGGGGAGAGUUUUUUAAUCCUGAAAUUGUAAUCAUGCCUGGCAUGGUUGAUUUGAUAGAAAAGGUCAAAUUUCAGAGUUGGGAGCAUCUCUUCGUCUACCAGUUCCCACUCUUCAUGAGAAGGAGGUCAGUAUGUUCUAUCAUAAUCUUCUCUUCUCUACCAAUGCUCUGUAUUAGAUAACUCAAGUGAAUGGAGUAAAUGUUUCUUUUGAUGAGCAAUUGCUAGCUGAAAUCUUUGGAGUCCUACGGAAGGGACCAGGUUCCUGGCUGAUAAAAAGAAAUCUGAAAAGUUUUUGAAGAUUUGUGGAAAGUUAGAUUAUCUGAAUAUAAAGAAUGUGAGUAAGAAAGCCUUAAAAGGAGAGUUCUAGCUCCUCUUUGAACUAGUCAUCGAGGCAUUGUGUCCCUACACUAAGAGAAAAACAACAGUCACAGGUCCCGACCUAUUUCUGAUGUAGGCCCCGUCAUAGUUCAAAAAGGUGAAUCUUCCUAUAGUAAUUAUUGAGCAUAUGUACAAGGUUAUGACUGCCAAAGAUAUAAAGCAUGGGUUGGCGUAUCAUUUCUGGUUGUAUAGGAUAUUUGCCUAUUUUGGUAUGGAAUAUGGACCUGGGAAAGAAGGUUUUAUGAAGCAGAUGUUUAACUUGACAAUUUAAAAGGACAGUUAAUGCAUUCCUAGGAGGAGUGGCACUAAGUCAAAGUCUGUAGUUGCUGACUUGAUAGAUAUGCAAACUAGGAUUAGAGAGAGUUGGAAGAAAUGACUAUCGUUAAAACAAAAAAAAAGAUAUUGAAAUUGUGGCCUUGAAGGACGCAAAUGUGAAAUAUGGUGAUGAGGACCUGGUCAUAUUGAAGGUCUUCAAGCCGAAAAUGAGAUGCUGUGUGAUAAAGUCAAGAACCUAGAAACCAAGGUUGAGGAUUUAACUCAACAGCUUUUCCGACAUUAUGCAGCUGAGAAUGAUAGGAUUGAUCUACUCCUUCGUCAGCUAUCUCAUGCCCCUCUUUGUGUCUCAUGCUAAAUCUUAGUUAACCUAGUCCUUGUUGUGUCCGCUCUUCUUAAGCUCUGUUGCAUUCAGUCUUGGGUCUCCUUAAGGCCUGUUAUCAAUUCCCUUUUUUACUUUAUUCUAUGGCAUUACCUGUAUUUAGGUUUGUUAAUGUUAUUGUUUUUGGAUUAAUGUAUGAUGUUAUCUGGCUGAUCAAUAAAUGACUUGUGUUUGAUGCUAUCAUCCCUCUUAUCUUUUUCUAAUUUUUCUUACUCAUGUCGGUGUAGCCUCAAUGGCCAAGCGUUAACAUGUGUUUUUAUCUUUGCUUGGUUUACUAUAUUGUCACUUUAAUGAUGCCAAAAGGGGGAAGAUGAGGUACAGUGCACACUGUGUGGUGGUCCUAUCCUCACACUCAGGGGAAAAUUUAAAAAAAUCAAAAUCUUAGGGUGCAAUAGGCAGGGGAACACAUAGGGAUGGUAUCAGUGACAACGGGAACAAACUAUGAAUGCUUAAGGUUAAGUAUGGGUUUGUCAUCAUCAAAAAAGGAAAAAUUGUUAAGUCUUUAGUUUUGAUGAUUGACAAACCAUCCUAUUGGGACCUGUUUCAUAAAGAUCAUUUGAUGACAAAGUUGCAACUACGUAGGGACCAUGUUACGUUGGUUGCAUUCACGUCACUAUCAUUGGUCAGCGUUACAACUAAAAAUAGUAUGUUUCUGGCAGUAAGUUGGUGGGAAUCAGAAUCAUCCUAGGUUUUCUUAUCUUUUAAUAUAUGCUCAUGUUAAAACAAGAAAACCUAAGCUUCCACAUUCUCACAACCUCAAAUAUCUGGAAGCUCUCAGAUUCAAAGCCUCCUCUGCAACACCUCCUCUGCAAUAGGGACCUGCUUAGCUCAAUAGUUUGUCUCAAGUUCUUGUUGUAUUUGAUCUUUGUUUUGUGUGUAUAAACAUUGCCUACUUCUCUAAUAUAUUAUUAGUAGGUAUUUUGUUUUUCAAUUUUGUUUUCAAAGUGUCAUCUAGAGUUAGCUGACAAAGAAGCUAGAGUUAGCUUGAUUAUAGUCUUAGUUAGAGUUAGCUGAGUCAGUGGAGGCAAUAAAGUUUUUGUAUUUGAUUUCAUUGUAACAGAGUUAUUACAAGUGAAAGAAGGGUUAAGAGGUUAAUGCUUGAAGUCAUGGAGUCUAUAUUCAAGGUUGCUUGAAUCUAGUGAAGCUGUUGGAAAUCCUACGUGGUGGAUCGUAAUUUUUCUUCGUUGAGCAAGGAGUUUUCAUAUAAAACUUGUUGUGUUUAUUAUUUAUUUAAUUUACAAGUUUGUUCUAUUUAGUUUUCCUGUUGCAUACGUUGGUUGGGACCAGAUCCCAAAGUAGGAGGGCAAUUCAUGCAAUUCUUCACUAUUCAAUAAACUAGAUCACUCAAAGAUAUUUAAUUAUAAUUCUUCCUUUACAAUACUUACAUGUAUGCACAUACACAUUUAUUUUUCUUUUCUUGGAUAAUAUUGUUUUUGAGUAAUGCUUACGCCUAGAUGAGUAAUUACUAAUAUUCACGUAUGCAACAAUUUUGUAAUUGUUUUGAAGUUACGCUUACAUAUGCUAGUUUGUAAGAAAAAAAUGAUAAAUACAUUUUUUUUUUUUGGUUUUCCAAGGUAUCCCCAUAAUCGUGAGACUAAUCCUCCAUUCCUCAAUCAACGCAUUUUGCGGUAGGGAAUUGACCACAGAAUUUGCUACAUGUGUACCUCAUAUCAAGAAUAUAAUUAUUUCUUUUGUGCAGUAGAGUAAAAAGCUUAUAUUAUCAACGCGUACUUAUUUUCGGCUUGUUUGGUUAUGAUACAAUUCAAAGUAAUGCAGCAGUACCAUUAGUCAACAUAAAGAUAUUUCCUAAAUCAUUAUGGUAUAGGAAGGCAAAUCUAAUUGGAUGUUAAUACUUGACUAUUUAGAGGAUCUAACUAGCUCAACUGAGUUUUUGGGUAGGUUAAUUCUAGGAAGGUCAAAUCUAAUCGGAUGUUAAUACUUGACUAUUCAGAGGAUCUAACUAGCUUCAACUGAGUUUUUGAGUAGGCUAUUCUUUUGUCUAUUAAAUGUUUUGAAUAAUUUCAUUCUUGAGUUGAUUUUUAUCUUUUUUAUGUGUUGAGCGAGUUUGGAAAGAAGCCCCGAAUUAUUUUUGUACGAAGAAGAAGAACCCUAUUUUUUUGUCUUAAGUGAGUAUAGAUUGUGAGUAAAAUUUCAAGGAACAGAGAUCGAGCGUCGAAAUAUCAUGGAUCAAUAGAUGAAAUUUCAGUUGAUUUAAAAUCUUAUAAAUACUAGGACUUUCUACAAAUUUUGGAUCAAAAUGGUGUUGUAUGAGGAACAAUUCCAAUAAAUGGAUUUGUCAGAUUUUUCAUCACCAAAAUGGUGAAAAUGCAUGGUAGGAGAGCAUCUUCAAUGUGUAGUUUUCACGUUUAAAAACAAAUGGAUCGUUAUGUAAUACUUACACUGAAGGUGCUCUAAUUUCAUGAGCGUUAAAUGAGUUUUUUACAUUUUAAAGAAAGGCUCAUGAUGGUCAUAAGCCUUUUGUGAAUUUACAUUUUUAAGAAAGACUCGUUUCAUCAAUGCACCUUCAAUACAAAAUUUUAUUAUCCAAAAAUUUAAAAAGGCUGUCAUUUUCUAAAUUGGUGAGACAACAAUAGAUCAUUUUUUUCACAAACUAAAGACGCAGUUCAUCAAUACACAUUUAAUCAAAUUACAAAACUCUCCUAAGAGUUAUCUCCAAAAGUGAUAACUCUUGGAAUGUAUAUGCUGUUCUUCCGGCGAACCUCCAAGAACAAGAAAUAUUUAUUCGCGAUAAAAUAAAAAGAAUCCGCAGGAUUAUCCUACUGAUGUUCCUUUAGUAGUUGAAACUACUUGUCUAUCUUUCCUUAUAUAAUCUUUUUCUUUAUUUUUAGUGCAAAUUCAUUAUAUGAAAAUGCAAAAUAUUAUGGAUUAAAUUGAUAUUAACUGAAUUAAUGUAUCUCGCAAAGUUGAAGGUGAAAUUCCAGAUCUCGUAUGACUAAGAAAACCGGAAUCAAUCUGCUGAACAUUUUUACCUAAUAACAAAAGCAAAAACUUAGACCAUCAGGAGAAUAUUCAUUUUUAUCAAAAAAAAAAAAAAAAAAAGUAGCCAAAAGGUGCAUAGAUGUAUUGAGUCUUUAGUUAUUUGCCAAAAAAAAUUAUCUCUUCUUGUCCUGUAAGUUCAGAAAAUAACAUCCUUUUUAAAUUCUUCUUGGAUAAUAAAAUUUAUAUUAAAGGUGCAAAAUGAGUCUUUCUUCAAAAUGUAAAAUUCAUAGAAGGCUCAUGACCAUAAUGAGCCUUUCUUUAAAAUGUAAAAAAAAUCAUUGAAGGCCUUCAAUGUAAAUGUUACUUAACGAUCCGUUUGUUUUUAAACGUGAAAAUACACAUUGAAGGCGCUCUCCUGCCAUGCGUUUUUAUCAUUUUGGUAAUGAAAAAUUUGACAAAUUCAUUUAUUGAAAUUAUUCUUCGUUCAACACCAUUUUGAUCCAAAGUUCACUUUCUACAAAUUUAAAAGGAAAAAUUGCAUUCAUAUACGAAAAAAAAAAAUAGUUUAUAGUAAACAUAGUUAAGUUUUUAUUUGCAAGAAAAAUAGCCAUUGCGCCAUUUUCUUUCCUUUUUUUUUUUUCAGCAAUAAUUUUAAAAUGAAAACUUUUUGUUAUUGUUGUUGUACUUUUUGCUGCAUUUUUUGCUAAACUUUUUUCUUUCUUUUCGAACUUUUUCCCUGUUUUUGUUUUAGGAUAGAACAUAUAUAUAAGAGAAUAUACUAGAGAAGUAAUCAACAUAUUAAUCAAAGUAGUAUUAAUCAUGUAAUAAUUUACCUAUCUUUGGUUAAAAACCGAAAAAAGGUAGCUACUUAGAGAAGUUUGUCCCACAUUUUUUGUAACUUUCCCCAUACAACUUUUAUUCAUGUAUUAAAUAUUAUAUAAUAGUGUAUAAACAUGUAUAUAUGAUGUAUAAUAGUUAUAUAAUGUAUCGAUAUUGUAUAAAUAGCUAUGUAGUGUAUAUGGAAUGUAUUGAUAUUUUGUGAAUAAUGUAUACACGUGUAUAUGAUGCACAAAUAGUUAAGAAGUGUAUAUAUAAUAUAUUGAUAUUGUAUAAAUGGUAUACAAACAUUUAAUGGUAUUGAGUAAAUGUGUAUCGAUGGUUUAUAAAUGGUGUAUAAACAUAUAAUAUGAUGUACAGAUAGUUAUGUAGGGUACAUGUAAUAUAUCGAUAUUGUAUAAAUGUGUAUAAACAUGUAUCAAUAUUGUAUAAAUAGAUAUGUAAUGUAUAAAUAGUUAUGUAAUGUGUUAAUAGUGUAUAAAUGUGUAUCAGUAUUACUUAAUAAUUAUGUAAUGUAUGGAUAUCAAUAUUUAUUUGACUAUCAUGUGUUUCACCUUAAUAAAUAAAAGUAUAAGCAAAAAAUAAUAAAACAACAUAAAUAAUUUUUUUUUCAUAAAAGAAAUGAAACAAAUAGAAUAGCAAAAAACGUUUUAAAAAAAAAACAAUUUAAAAAAAAAAUAGGAAAAACAUAAUGAAAAAAUAGCAAUCAUUUUUGUUUUAAAAAAAAAAAAAAAUGCGGUGAAAAGAAGUUUUAAAAAACAGCGAUUUCUGGAAUUUAGUUACUUUAUUAUUUUAAUUAUGCUAUCGUCAAGUUAGGACUAAUCAAUUGCCGGAAAAAUGUUGUAUAAGAUCUUUGUCAAUAACUUUUAUUAUUAAUUAUUUUAAACAAUGAUUUCUUUUAAGUAGCAAAGAAAAAAAAAGCAGAAAAAAAAGUUUUUAAAACAACACACAAAAUAAACAAAAACUGCAGACAAGCUGAUCGUAUUCAAUUUAUUGUUGAUGUUUUUUUUAUUGGUAAACUAUUUAUUGUUGGUUAGUACUUCAAGAAACAAAUUAAAAUGAAUAAGUAAAGGAAUGGAAUGGCCGAAUGGCCAUAUUUGUUGUAAAUAAGAUAGCCGACUACCUAUUUUUGGUAAGUAAACUUCACUGAAAGGCCAUUUUGGGUAGAAAAGGAAUACUCCCUCUUUCAUAUUAGCGGGCUUUUUUGCUAAAAAUAUUUAUUUUAUUUUAGUUGUUCAAUUUUUAAAAUUUGGAGAAGUUUAUUGUACUUUUUAAUAUUAUUCCUAUCAUUAAAUGAUUAUAUAAAAUGUAUAUAAUCAAAUUUAUAUUUUCAAUGCAUAAUUAAUAGAAUUAUUUUAAUAAAAUAAAUUUCUAUUAAAUUUUUCUUAAUUUUUAUUAAGAGGAGUAUCAAGUUAUUUAGGAUCAACUAAAAUAAAAUAGGAAGUAGUUGGCUAUUUUUUUUUGUAAAAAUUUAACUCAACGGGCAUAUUUUAUAAUUUUUCUUACUCAAAGUGAAAAUUUAAUAUCAAAAAUUUGAUUACUUUUAAAUAAUUUGAGUCGAACAAGGACUAGAUAGAUCCAUCCAUGCAUGUGGCCUGCAGGUCAUUAUACUAUGUGGAGCCACCGAAUGAGUUUGGUGCAUGGUUCUACAUCUCAUUAGUCGUUAUAUUGGUACUAAACUGGUGUAUGAGUCCUCUUUAGAUACUGAUCAAAGGGAAAGGAACGCCCAUAAUAAAAUACAGAGGAUAAAUAAUAUACGCCGGUAUAAAUAUUAUUACAGUAGGUAGCAUAUUUUAUUUUCAAAAUUUUAAAUUCACAUUUGCAUGAUCUCUCGAUUUUGAGGUAUAAAAAAUUGUCUACACAUGCAUGUCUAAAACCACAAGAAAACUUAAGUUAACAAAGAAACUACUAGAAAAUAUGAAAUUAGCUACAAAAAAAUAUCGAUAAUUUGUAGCUAAUCUAUCGAUAAAUAGCUCCUAGCUGAUUGAUUUUCUCUUAUAAUCCAUCGCAAAUCCAUAGAUAAAUAGGAUUAGCGUGAAAUUUAACUAUUUAGCUACAAAAGUUUGUUCAUCGUUAAUCUCUUGUUUUCUAGCUACAAACUUCUUGUUUUCUAGUUGAAAAAUAAACGCCACACAAAAGAAGUGUCUCCUAACACUGACAUAACUUAUACCAUAAAUCUAUUAUCUUCACAGAAAUAGACUGAAAGCAACACCAGAUUCACUAAAGAUCCAUAAUAUUGAUUAUUUAGCAAAUCAUUAUUGGUGGUUUUUGCAAGGUUUGCAUUCCACGUUUUCUUCUCUUUUUAACCUAUACUAGACAAGCAUGACCCGUGUCAUCACGGGCCCAACAUUAAGAUAUUUUGAUCAUGUACGAUAAGUUAGAUUGAUAUCAAUUCCAAUUAUAAAUUAUAUAUAAAAUAUAAAUAUACAAAACAUAUUAACUACUUGAUAGUAUUUUUCAAUGAGCCAAAUUAUCUGACAAGAUAAUUAUGUAUAACUUACUCAUGUAAAUAAUAAAAGUUGUUCUUGUAAUUUAUCAUAUUUUUUAUGUAAUUUUCAAAUAAUAUACAUUGUUCAAACUUUUGUGGCAUUAAUAGUCAAUUAUAUUUUUAAAAUAAUUUUAGUUUUUUAACUAUUGUAAUUUAUAAUACUUUUUAUGUAAUUUUUGAAUAAUAUAUGUUAAUUUCCUUGUCCGAUGUUUUGUAUUGUCGAUAGCCAAUUAUAUUUUUUAAAUAAUUUAUAUUUUUAGUUAUUGUGAUUUAUAAUAUUUCUUCUAUUUCAAUUAAGUGGUACAGUGCUUAGAUGGUCAUAAUAAUUAAUUAGGGGCGAUAUAGUAAAAUCACGAUUGAAGCAGCGAAACAUAAAUGUCUUAAAUGGCUUACAACAAAUAAUUAGAGUGACUUAGCCAAAUUACUAUAAAAGAUGCUCGUAAAAAAAAAAUUAAGUGGACCUCAUAUAAGACGUCAAGUUAAUUUUAAACAUCAAAUAGUAAAAUUACGAUUGAAACAGACCUAUCAUAAAUGUCUAUUUUAUAUUUUAGUUAAAUAUUAUUAAUUUUUUAAUAUAUAAAUAACGUAUAAUAAUUAAUUAGAGGUGAUAUAAUAAAAUUAUGGAGUAGUAAAAAUUUAAAUGCAAAAAAUAGUGAAGAAAUUAUUUACUUUUAAGAGAGUAAAAUAAAAAAAUAUGAAAUAUUUAAUUAUACAUUUUAAUAAGUAUGGGCCCCACCAUAUUCAAUAGAACUUAGGCAUUAUUGUAAUUAAAUAGAAAAAGGAGGACUUUUAUUUAAGGUUAUGGUUGUAAUAAAAUAAAAAUGGGUGGAUUUUUUCUUUAAAAUUGUUGCUAAGGUUCAACAAGUAAAACAUUAAAGAUAAUAUAGAAAAGCAAGUUAAUUCUACAAAUAGACCAUUAUAUCUUUAAUCUUUUUAUUAAUACCUUUAAGCUACCAUGUUGAAACCAAUGCUUCUAUAUAAUAGACAAGAAAAGAAAAAAAAGAAAAAGAAAUAUAAUAAUUCGAUAAAUGGUGGAGUACACAUAAUAAUUCACAAAUCUUGCAACAUAUAUGCAUGCAAGUGACUGAUGCACCUUAUAAUAUUAUUGUUGCAUGGAAGGUCUUUUCUUUUAUUACAGAAUUCAAAAGAAAGGAACCAUGGACUAAAUAAGCAGUUUUAUCAUUGCGGCUAUUAAUUACUCUCUUUUCCAUUUCAUAUAGCCUAUAUUUUUUUAUCAUACGUUUGAGAAAAAAGAGUGAUGCCUUUUCUUAUUUGAAAAUUAAAGCAAUACAAUUUAUGUUUUUCACUUUAUUAAGUUAGGAAACACCUUGUAGUCUUUCACUUUCACUAAUUGCAGAAUAGUUGAUUUUAUUACCAAACAUCAUAUACACAUAUUUUCUUCUUCCAUAACGUAUGUAAAUCAAACAUUUAUCUUAAAUUCAAUCUUACUCGAGGAUCAAGAGCCAAGACAUGAUAUUUUGAAUUCUUAAAUUCUUACUAGCAGUAAAAUAAAGUGGAGGUGAUGAUGAUGAGAAGUUAGAAACAAUCACAAUUGCACUUCAAUAUACCAUAUGGUUUGCGUACGUGUGAAGAGGGAUUAAGUGAUAAGUAAGAAUAAUGAUGGAAGUCAUUUAGAUUUGCAAUUAUCAUGACAGGAUGCUUUCCUCACAACCCAAUAUUUUUUUUCUUCCCUAUUUUUUAAUCUAAUCAAUUGCAGUCCUUUUUUUUCUAGAUCUCUUUUAAUUAUUAUUUAAACUUCAACAAAUGCUUAGUGCCUUUAUAAAGUGGCAAAUUUCAAGAGACAUGAGGCGUACACACGGCAACGUCCAUUUGUUUUUGUCUGUAAUGAGUUAUACUCAACUGAUAACAAAUUUGAUUUAGUGGAUUGCUAUUGCACCUUUCUCUUUUUGGCCUUUUCAAUUCUCAAUCUUUGUUCAACUAUAAUAUCUGAAAUAUAGAAAAGGGAAAAGGACCUAUUGAAAAGAAUAAAUAUAUUCAGUAAUUCAUGUGAUAAUAGAUAUUAGUUAGAAUUUAAAGUUUAUGAAUCAUAGUACUUAAUAAAUUAAAAUAAUUAAAAUAUAUAAAUUAAUUUAAAAAUUGAUUAAUUUUUUAAAUUUUAAUUGCGCCACAAAUAUUGAAUCGAAAUGAAUACUAAAUAAUUAAUUCAAACUCGAAUUUUUGUAUUACAAAAAAUGAAUAAAGGUCAGAAGUGGGUCAACUACCUCUAAAUGAAAGAGCGUCAAGUUGUUUAAAAAAACAAAUAAAUUCAAUAAAAUUCAAAUGGAUUGGAACUCAAUUUUCAAAAUUCGUUAUCCACAUGAAAUUAAGUGAUUUUUACUACGUAUAUACAAACUUCCAAUAAAGCAUGAGAAUCAUGAUUCACAUGACACCAACACAAGUGGCUUAGAGCUUAGCUGCCACAUUAAUUCCCCACAGACAUAUUUCAUCAUUUUUCCAAAAAAAAAUCUUUUACCAGUUUCUAUUCCAAUCUUCUCUAAUUUUCUACGUAUUUUAUUAUUAUUUUUCUUUCUUUCUUUUUUUUUUUUUAAAAAAAGUUCCUUUUAAGAGACCAGAAUAUAAUGAUUACUAUUGAACCUUACGUUACUGGAUAUAAAAGCAAUAAUUCUACGAAUCGUAACUUCACGGUGAAUCUCAUUCAAUUUCAUGUUAUUUGUUUCCUCCUAGUGAAGAUUUUGAUAUUUACUCAAAAUUAAAUUGCUUCGUAGUGGUAUGAAGUAAUUUAGUUAUUUUCAUAUCAUAACAUAAAUAACAUUAAGUGAUUUUUACUAUAAAAUUUAUGUUGAUAAUUUUGAUAAUUUCAAAGUAAAACUUGAAUGAUUAUUUCAUAAAAUUGUACACUGAGUUAUUGCUUAGUUCUUUAAAACUAAGUAACUUUUCCCUUUUCCUCUCCUUGUAAUGAAGUGCCCGAAGUCAUUUCCAACGGGAGAUAAGGAUAAUAAAUGAAGAUAAAAUUUGAGAUUAAUUUUAUUUUACGUUUAGUUUGAAUAUUUGCUAUUUUCAAAAUUAUUUUAUUCCAUCAAUUUACUGUUUCAUAUAGAAAAUGAAAUAAAAUAAUCUCAUGAAUUAUCUCAGCCAUCAACAUUCUUGUUUAUCCAAUCUUGUGGACCAAAUAAUUUCUUAUGUGCAGGGGUGGAGCUACAGUACGCUAUGGGAGGUCAGGCCCUUUAACUUUUGCAUAGACCUACAUUUAUACUGAUAAAUUCUGAAUGUAACUAUAUAUAUAUAUAUAUAUAUAUAUAUAUAUAAUUUAUAAUUUAUAUCUAUAUCUAUAAUAUAUAAUAUAUUAAAAGUAUGAAGAGCCUUAGAAAUAUCGUUUGAAAUUUUUGUCUUUUAUUAAAUGUCUUUAUUUUAAACAAAAUCAUCUUUUCACUAUUUUUUCUAAUAUUUAAGAGUUGAAAAUUAAUUAAAUAUAUUUUUGAUAAAACCUUUUCUUAUUAUAAAUCAUCAAAACUAAUGACAACUAAUAUUUUUUCAUUAGUUUAAGAAUUUUAAAUCAACUAAAUUUGAUUUUAAAAGAUUUUAAAAGUCUAUAAAUCUACCUCUACAUCUACAAUAUAUUAAAUCUAUUAACCCGUUCAAACUUCUAGUGGUAAAUAUAUAUGUGGUUGUAAUAAAAUAUAUAUAUUUUAAACUUUUUACACUUUAUUAAAAACAUUCAUAAUACAUAAAAUCAUCUAAUUUUAAAUAAUUAAAAAUGAUACGUGCGAGACACGUACGACUAAACUAAUAUAAUUUAAUAGUGCAUGCGAACCCACAUACAAAGAGGCCCCUAAUGUGGGUUCUAACCCCGCCAAUAACAUAUACUUCAUCCAUCCCAAAUUAUUCGUCCCAAAUUGAAUACAUUGAUUAAGAAAAAUAAUUAAUAACAUGUCUAGUUUAUUAUAGUACCCCUAUUAAAUGAUAUUUACAAUUUAAUUUGAAGAAAAAGUAAUUAAUGCAAAGGGUAAAACAUGAAAAAAAAAUUAUCUUGCCUUAAUUAAUGAAAAAAUACAAAUAAAAUGGGACAUCAAAUUAGAAAAUUUGGGACCGAGGAAAUAUUUUUAUUUUUUUACUUUUUACGCAUUUUCUUAUAACCCACAGAUUUUAAAUUUUGGUCUGCCUCUGAUCAUACGGUGUACUGCAAAGCGCUGAUGCUUGCAUUUAUAGUCUCAUACUCUCUACUUUCAGUAACUUUUAGACUGUGAUUACUAUAUGAUUAUCUCAGAAUUACAAAUGGAAUCACAGCCACUUACUACCAUUUGUGUCCAUUUUAUCUUGAAUGGUGACACCGAUAUUAUGAUAUUAAUUUAGAGUUAGUAAUAUCGCAUGCAUAACCAUCAAGGACAAUCGAUCGAUACGUAACGUGCUAAUUUGAUAUGAUCUAUUACAAAGUCCUGUUUUAAUACUAUAAAAUGUUAAUAUAAAUUAUUUGCAACUUUGCACUCUCUAUCUUAAUAGCUUAUUUUUGAAUGUGGUUCUCCUUCGUCUAUAACAUGAAGCUUCUCAUUUUUGGUACUACUCCAUUUGUUAUUUAGAGUUAUUCAUGGUUGGUGAGGAGUGGGGUAAGUUAGGCGGCUUGUUCGUGAAGAAAAUAGAACCAAACAUCUGACUAUUGCGUGUUUCAAAAGAGUAAUAAUAUAAAGUACUCUCAUUAUGCAAUAACAACAAAAAGAAACCAUAAAAAUUGAAAAUUAGAAACCAAACUUUGAAUUCUCCUUUAUUUCAAAAAAACACUACUAAUAGUAAAAGACGAUAGAGUUCCUUAUUAAUAUUCGUUCCGGCUCAUUUUAUCCGUCCCAAAUUCCUAAUUUGAUAUUCCAUUUUACUUGUUCUAAUUUACUUAUCAAAAAUAAGAUAAUUUUUUUUUCAUUAUACUCUUAGUGUAAUUGAUUACUCCUUAUUAUUAGUAUUCUUGAAAAAUGUUUCAAAGAGGAGUACCAUUAAAAAUAUACCAUUAAAAAUAUAAAUAGUGUUUUGGUAUUAGUAUCCAUCAAUAUUGAAACUAAAAAUAAGACACAAUUAAGAGGGGUAAAAUUAUAAAGAUUGUCUUCUUAAUAGCUGUGACAUGCCAAUUUUAAAUGGGUAAAAUGGGACGGAUGGAGUAUUUGCUACUAGUAAUAAUAAUAUCUAAUAUGUGAAUAUUCCUAAAACCCAUGAUAAAUAUAUUUUUUUUCCAAUUCCAAUACCCAUGUAUCUGCAUAUUUACCUCUUCCACCGUUCUGUUCUGUUCUGGGACUUUGUGCUUCCUUCUGGAAAUACUUUCUUCUUCUUCUUCUUUUUGGUAUGUUUAUAUCAUAUGGAACUUCUAUUCUGUAUCAACUUGUUUCUGAAUAAUUCUUGGAAUACGUGGCUCUGUAUUUUUUUUUAUCUUAUCUAUGGUGGAUAACAUGGUUCUGUUUCUGUGUAUCUAGUUCAUACUUAUAUAGCUGCUCAUGAUUUUCUUCAAGUUUCUGUCUUGAUAGUACUCUCUUCUUCCAUUUUACUAGUGUUAUCUUUCUUUUUAAUUCUGUUUGUAUCAAUAUUUUGUAACCUUAGCUUCAAUCAAAGAAUUUUUUAUGAAAAUGAAAGAAAACAAAUACUCCCCCACCCAAAGAAAUUGUCUUAGGUACUAGUAAGAAAGUCAGAGAAUUUUUUUGUUUUGCCAUAAUUGUUUCAAAUAUUUUGAAUUAUUAACUAUGGUGAGUUGUAGUAUUUUUUUUUAACGUGAUUUAAAACUAUGUAAAUGUCAUUUCAAACAAAUAAAGAUUCUAUAUCAAAGACAAAUUUACAUCAAAUAUUAGUUAGUUAGUUUAACCUUCGUAUUACUCAAAGGUGGAUUUUGAGGUUUCGGGUGCCACGUCGUAUGAACAGUAGCACCAUAUUUACAUAGGAGAAAAGACUAAUAGCCGUUGCUCCUAAAAAUUCUUAUUUCUAAAAAAAAGAGAGAUGUUUGAUCAAGUUUUUUUGAUCCUCCCCUGGUAUUACAUAUCGAAAACACUCUUUUUGGGAGUAAUAGACUAAUAAUUUUUGGGAGAUGCUCUGUUUUACUUGUUAAUUUCCAUUUCCUUGAGUUCUGUGUCAGCAUGUCUGUUUUUACCAUGGAUAUUUUGGCCUUAACUUGCUCUGUUCUUAAAGUUGUGAACUUUUUUCCUUUUGUUGCCAUCUAUAUAUCUUAGUUUCUUUAUUAAUUAUAAUGAUUAAUCCUUUUAAAAGCUUUUAUUUCUUCUUGAUUUUCAACUCUGCAUGAUAUGAAAAAUCAUUGUAUAGGUUUUAGUUCAUUAAUCUAACAUGUUUUUUCUUACUUCAUAGUAGGCGUAUGAGCUUUAGGCGUAUGGAGAAAGGAAAAGUGAAUACAUGUUCUCCUGAUACAGUUCUUGAGGACUUUCUGAGGACAGCAGAAUCUGAAUCAGACUCUUCAAAAGCCAGCACUUCAGAAUUUGAUGGCUCGAAAAAUCAAAGAUCAGGUUCGCGAUGGGCUGGUUUUCUCGAGCUAUUCAGAAGUAAAUCGAAAGGACAUCUGACGAAAGAUCCUUUAAUUAGUUCUAUGAAGCUGUCUAAAAGAUUCAGCAGAAGCAUGAGAGAGACAAGUAGCAAUGUCAUGACAAAUUCCAUCCUGGAUAAUGGUUUGAGCUAUUUUAAGCCACAAUGGAAACUUUUCACCCUCUCUGAGCUCCAAAAUGCAACCAAUAAUUUUCACCAAGGUUGGCCAUUUUGAUUUUAAUUUGCCUACAUAGUAGUUGUUAAAGUUUUAGUCAUGUUAGUACAUUUGAUUUAGGUCUAUUGUUUGCAAGGAGUCUUUUGCGCUUGUUAAAGAUAAGCUAGCAGAAAAUGUGGAGAACUUCUAGUGCUAGAGAUGGAAAUUUUUAUAAUAUUGAACUGUGACGGGCUUAAAAGGAGUGAAAUGGAUAAUGCAGAUUCAUAUAGCCGACUAAGCUUACUUGGGAUGGAGGUCGAGUAGUAGUAGUUAUUGUUGUAUGACCAUUGUUAAAUGAAAAAACUUUCAGUUUCUUGUAGUUUCUGAUGGUUAGAACUUUGGCAAUUCUUUGUUGUAGACAAUUUGAUAGGAAAAGGGGGUUAUGCUGAAGUUCACAAAGGACAGUUGCGAAAUGGCCAAUUUAUCGCAGUUAAGCGGCUGACGAGGGGACCCCAAGAUGAGAGAAUAGGGGACUUCUUAUCUGAGCUAGGGAUAAUGGCACAUAUCAACCAUCCAAACACUGCUAAAUUGUUUGGUUAUGCUGUUGAUGGUGGACUCUUUCUUGUGCUUGAGCUAUCUCCUUAUGGAAGCUUGACCAAUAUGUUGCAUGGUUAGUACGUUUUAAUAGAGCUUAUGUAUUAUGUUGAUCUUUCUCUUCUACGUUUUUUAACUCAAUUCUAUGGUAUUUCACAGCAUCAAAGCAGAAACUAGAGUGGAAAAUCAGGUAUAAGGUAGCCAUAGGGAUAGCUAAAGGGAUAUUGUAUCUUCAUGAGGGUGGUCAAAGAAGGAUUAUCCACAGAGACAUUAAGGCAGCAAACAUAUUGCUCACAAAGGACCUUGAACCUCAGGUAUUAAAAUUUCCUUCCUAAUUGUUGAGCGCUUUAAAAGUAUACCCAACGAGAAAAGAAUCCCAUUAUUCUUACUUCCAACCUUCGUGGUGUCAAUUAAACGGGAAUUUCUGCUUUAAAUUCAGAUAUGUGAUUUUGGGCUUGCAAAAUGGCUGCCAGAGCGAUGGACUCACCUCACUGUAGGCAAAUUUGAAGGAACAUUCGGGUGUGUACAUGUUUGGCCUUUACUUACUUUCAUGCUUGUGAUACAAUGCUUCUAAUUCUUGCGAGUUGGUCUUUCUAUAAUGUUGUCAUAAAACCUUGUGACUGCAGCUAUCUUGCUCCCGAGUUCUUGAUGCAUGGCAUAGUGGAUGAAAAAACUGAUGUUUUUGCUUUUGGAGUGGUACUUUUGGAACUUAUUACUGGACGUCGAGCCCUUGAUUACUCUCAGCAAAGCCUCGUCAUUUGGGUAUUCCUUGUUUCUCCUCCGCUAUUAUACGAGUUGAACUUAUAAAUACCAACUGUGCAAAAGAAUUUUCACACUAACCAGAUCACCUAAAAGAGAACUUUACAUAAUUAGUGGGACUAGUAACAUGAAAAAUAAGAUAGGUACACUGCUACUACAUGUUAAAAUGCACUGAUUAUGUAAAAAAGGCAAAUUACAAUUGUUAGUGCAUAUAAGUUAUCCCCAGAGUGUCUGCCUUUGCAUAUCUUAUCUGCCAUAUUUACGUCAGAUAAACAUGCUGAACGCUCUUUCUAUUUUUUCUUUUUGCUUAUUCUAGGCUAAACCCCUGCUGAAGAAGAGCAGAAUCAGUGAGCUCGUUGAUCCUUCACUUGCUGAUGACUACAACUUACUACAGAUGAACCUCAUGGUCUUAGCUGCUUCUGUGUGUGUGCAGCAGUCUUCAAUUAAGCGACCCCGAAUAAAUCAGGCAAGUACUGGCUGGAAGUUCUUUGAUCAAUUUUAAUCCUCAAGUAGGCACUGAGGAUAUGUUUAAUUGAAUUUUGGCUUUUGGCUUUUGGCUUUAUCCUAUGUUUUCUCUUUCCAUCCGCCCGUACAAUUCUGUCACUAGAAUUGAUCAUAACUUUGGAUUGAUACAGAUACUUCAGCUUCUAAGAGGAAACGGCGAAAGCUUGGAUUUAAUCAGGAGAAUUAGAAAACCAUCACAUUGGAAGAGGUAUUACGAAGAACUCUUUAAUGCAGAAGAAAACAAAAUGACUAGAGGCUUAAGUGGUUUAAGUCUGCAGGAACAAAUAGCAUUGGAAGUCUCUAAUAUAGUGAGAUGAAUCUGCCUCGAGGCUCAAAUGCUUGUUUGGGUUGUUAAAACCAGACAUCUUUUUGAAGAGCGGAAGAAAUGUAUUCAGUUUGUUUCCCCUUCGUAGUUACACCGCAAAGUUUCUCCCUGCAUCAAGGCCUGUUGGUACUCGGAGGCGGAUUCGGGACUAGUUUUGUGAGCUCAACUAAACCCAAGUAGAACCUAUUACUUUUGGAUAACGAUGUAUGUAUAUAUGAGAGAAGCAUUUAAUAUAUAUAUAUAUACACACACAAGAUCUUCAAUAUCCAACUCCUAAAUUAUCAAAAUCUAUGAUCAGUGUGGGAAGAACAAGCAAAUGAGAUGCAGCAAAAUUUUUGGCAAGGUUGAUUUUUCAGUUGUACAACUGGACAUGCUUGUACAUUUUCAACAUGUAAAUAUUUACCACCACAAUCACAGUAUGUAUUGAAAUUCUUUGCUAAAGUUGGGUACUUCUUUUUACUGUAUUUUUUUUUCUUUUAGGGGAAUUUAAAAUUCUUCUUAGAUAUGAAAACCAACUUUAUUACCCUAUUCGAAAUUUUAAUCAUAGAUGAGGAAAAAGGGUCCAGCCUAUUUGAAUAUUUCCCUCUCCAGUUUGGAUCUUAACAUCCAAAAUGUCUAUGUACAAACAAUUUAGCCGUGUAUUUUGGAGUUUUUCUGGAGUUGAUCAGGGAAACGGGAUUUCACUCGGGGCAUUCUGAUUGCUCACUUUAUUAAAAUUAGAUUUUACAUAAAUCAUAUUCGCGUUCAACUAAAUUCAGAUUUGUGUCGAAAAAUCUUAUAUGAGGUAAAACUAACAAAGAUGAUUUCUUACUCUGGAGGAUGCAAAUUUGUGACCUCUGGUUAUUGAAAAUGAACAUGUAGAAAUUUCUGGGUGUAGCCGUGUAGGUGAUAUUUACUCUAGACUAGAUAAUACUUUGUUUUUAUUUGGCACAUUUUGAUUUGACAAAUUUAUUAAGAAAAAUAAUUGUUAAUAAUUAAUAAUUGUUUUAUCAUAAUAUUCCUAUUAAUUAAUAUUAUUAUUGUGUCUUGAAAUUAAUUUUAAAAAAUAAAUAAUUACUGUUAAGGAUAAACUAAAAAAAAUUACCAUAUAUCAAAAAUAAAAAGCAAAAAAAUAAUAAUAUAAAUAACAUAAAUACCAACCCUUUUGAAAGUAAUUACGUUCUCUCCCACUUUUUUAAUUACUUUACUCUCUCGGGGCUUUAGGCUCUAGGUGACAAAAGAGUUUUAAAAUGAAGUGUGGGUGACACAAUUUUUAAUAAUUGAGUGGAGGUGACAAUUACUUUAUUAAGAAUUAAGAAAGUAAGAAAAUGUUGAAAAUAACCUACAAGUUUUUUAAUUUACACUUUGAUCCACUAUAAAACCUAAUAUAACUAGAAAUGAGGGAAAAAAAAAAGGCACAUUUCCCUCUCUUCUGAUUUAUUGGAGUUUUCUUUCUCUUCGUGAUUUUUGUUGUUCAUUGUUGUUGUUGCUUUAUUCAUCAUCUUCUUCUUCAUUAUCAUCAUCUUGUUCUUCAUUAUCAUCUCUUAUUGUUCAUCAUCAUCAUCUUCUUAUUUUUGAACAUUGUUGUUACCGCUACUAUUGCUACUUGAUCAAAUUUUUUUAGGUUAAAUUUUAUUCGUAUAUCACUUGGGAAUUACUUAUAGGUGAUUUUAGUAAAUAAAUUAUAAUUUUUAGUUGAAUUUCUCAUCUGGGUGUAUCUGCUACUGCUGUUUUUUCAACAGUAGAUAAAACAUGUAACGUGAAUCCAACAGAUGAGUAAUCUAUUGCACAGAUGUGUAAUCUGUUGCACAGAUGUGUAAUCUAUUGCAACAUAUUGACUAGUCUGUNNNNNNNNNNNNNNNNNNNNNNNNNNNNNNNNNNNNNNNNNNNNNNNNNNNNNNNNNNNNNNNNNNNNNNNNNNNNNNNNNNNNNNNNNNNNNNNNNNNNNNNNNNNNNNNNNNNNNNNNNNNNNNNNNNNNNNNNNNNNNNNNNNNNNNNNNNNNNNNNNNNNNNNNNNNNNNNNNNNNNNNNNNNNNNNNNNNNNNNNNNNNNNNNNNNNNNNNNNNNNNNNNNNNNNNNNNNNNNNNNNNNNNNNNNNNNNNNNNNNNNNNNNNNNNNNNNNNNNNNNNNNNNNNNNNNNNNNNNNNNNNNNNNNNNNNNNNNNNNNNNNNNNNNNNNNNNNGGUAAAGAAGACAAAAAUAGUGUAUCAUACAUCAAAUGCAAAAGGAUCGAGGGGACAAACGUUUGAGUUCUCCUAAAAACAUUUAAGUUCCCUAGUAUUUUAAUUGCUUUCUAAUGGAUAACCCAUCUAUUAUAACAAAUUUUCUAUCUGUUUGUUAAUUUCCAAUAGAUGAAUCAUCUGUUGCAACCUGUUAGUCAUUUGCUGAUUCAAAUUAAGCAAUUAUUAAUAAUAAUUAAACUGAUUUAACUAAAAUUGAAUACAAAACAUUAGACAAGGGGAAAAAUGCUUGAGUUCUCCUAAAAAUAUUUGAGUUCCCUAGUAUUUUAAUUAUUUUCCAACAAAUCACCUAUUUGUUGCAACAAGUUAGUCAUCUGUCGUAAUAAAUGCGUAUAACAGGUUAGUCAUUUGUUGAUUCAAAUUAAGCAAUUAUUAAUAAUAAUUAAACUGAUUUAACUAAAAUUGAAUACAAAACAUUAGACAAGGGGAAAAAUGCUUGAGUUCUCCUAAAAAACAUUUGAGCUUUAGUAUUUUAAAUUGCUUUUCAAUACAUAUUUUGUCUAUUUAGUAAUUUCCAACAGAUGAGUCAUAUGUUGCAACAACUUAGUCAUCUGUUGCAACAGAUGUCUAUAUCUGUUUGAUAAUUUUUAAUAGAUGAAUUAGUUGUUUCAACAAGUGAUUCAUUUGUUGCAACAGAUGUCUAUAUCUAUUUAGUCAUUUUCAACAGAUGUUUUUAUUUGUUUUGUCAUUUUAAACAAAUUACUCAUCUGUUGUAACAUGUUAGUCAUUUAUUGAUUCACAUUAAGUCAUUAUUAGUAAUAACUAAAUUUAUUACUAAAAUAAAUAUGAAUUAAUAAGUUCAAUUACAGUUUCAAUUAAUCUCAUGAUAAUUACACGAUCAAUUAAGUAUGUUCGUCCUGAGUAGAGUGAUUAAUUAACCAAUUUUAUUUGAAAUGAUUCAAACUAAGUCAUCAUUAGAAAUAACUAUAUUGAUUUAACUAAAACUAAAGAUGAAUUAGUAAGUUCAAUUACGAUUUACAUUAAUAAUUUCAUAGUAAUUACAUGAUCAAUUAAGUGUUUCGUACUGAGUAGAAUGAUUAAUUUAUAAAUUUUAUGUGAAAUAAUUCAAAUUAAAUCAUUAUUAGAAAUAACUAUAUUGAUUUAACUAAAAUUAAAGAUGAAUUAGUAAGUUCAAUUACGAUUUCAAUUAAUCUCAAUAAUUAAAUGAUCAAUUAAGUGUUUCAUCCUUAGUAGAAUAAUUAAUUGACCAAUUUUAUUUUAAAUGAUUCAAAUUAAGCCAUUAUUAGUAAUAACUAUGUUGAUUUAACUAAAAUUAAACAUGAAUUAUCAAUUAAUCUCAUAGUAAUUACAUGAUCAACUAUGUGUAUUCGUCUCGAGGAGAGUGAUCAAUCGACCAAUUUUGUUUCAAAUGAUUCAAAUUAAGUUAUUAUUAGUAAUAAAUAAAUUGAUUUUGACUAAAUUAAAGAUGAAAUGAUAAGUCCACUUACAAUUUUAAUUAAUGUAUUUGACCUUAAUAGAAUGAUCAAUUGAUAAAUUUUAUUUAAAAUAAUUCAAAUUAAGCAAUUAUUAGUAAUAACUAAAUUGAUUUAACCAAAAUUAAAGACAAGACCUUACACAAAGGGACAAAGAUUUGAUUUCUCUUAAAAACAUCUGAGCUUUACUAUUUUAAAUUAUUUUCCAACAUAUAUCCUAUAUGUUUGAUAAUUUUCAAUAGAUGAGUCAUCUGUUGCAACAACUUAGUCAUCUGUUGCAACAGAUGUCUAUAUUUGUUUGAUAAUUUUCAAUANNNNNNNNNNNNNNNNNNNNNNNNNNNNNNNNNNNNNNNNNNNNNNNNNNNNNNNNNNNNNNNNNNNNNNNNNNNNNNNNNNNNNNNNNNNNNNNNNNNNNNNNNNNNNNNNNNNNNNNNNNNNNNNNNNNNNNNNNNNNNNNNNNNNNNNNNNNNNNNNNNNNNNNNNNNNNNNNNNNNNNNNNNNNNNNNNNNNNNNNNNNNNNNNNNNNNNNNNNNNNNNNNNNNNNNNNNNNNNNNNNNNNNNNNNNNNNNNNNNNNNNNNNNNNNNNNNNNNNNNNNNNNNNNNNNNNNNNNNNNNNNNNNNNNNNNNNNNNNNNNNNNNNNNNNNNNNNNNNNNNNNNNNNNNNNNNNNNNNNNNNNNNNNNNNNNNNNNNNNNNNNNNNNNNNNNNNNNNNNNNNNNNNNNNNNNNNNNNNNNNNNNNNNNNNNNNNNNNNNNNNNNNNNNNNNNNNNNNNNNNNNNNNNNNNNNNNNNNNNNNNNNNNNNNNNNNNNNNNNNNNNNNNNNNNNNNNNNNNNNNNNNNNNNNNNNNNNNNNNNNNNNNNNNNNNNNNNNNNNNNNNNNNNNNNNNNNNNNNNNNNNNNNNNNNNNNNNNNNNNNNNNNNNNNNNNNNNNNNNNNNNNNNNNNNNNNNNNNNNNNNNNNNNNNNNNNNNNNNNNNNNNNNNNNNNNNNNNNNNNNNNNNNNNNNNNNNNNNNNNNNNNNNNNNNNNNNNNNNNNNNNNNNNNNNNNNNNNNNNNNNNNNNNNNNNNNNNNNNNNNNNNNNNNNNNNNNNNNNNNNNNNNNNNNNNNNNNNNNNNNNNNNNNNNNNNNNNNNNNNNNNNNNNNNNNNNNNNNNNNNNNNNNNNNNNNNNNNNNNNNNNNNNNNNNNNNNNNNNNNNNNNNNNNNNNNNNNNNNNNNNNNNNNNNNNNNNNNNNNNNNNNNNNNNNNNNNNNNNNNNNNNNNNNNNNNNNNNNNNNNNNNNNNNNNNNNNNNNNNNNNNNNNNNNNNNNNNNNNNNNNNNNNNNNNNNNNNNNNNNNNNNNNNNNNNNNNNNNNNNNNNNNNNNNNNNNNNNNNNNNNNNNNNNNNNNNNNNNNNNNNNNNNNNNNNNNNNNNNNNNNNNNNNNNNNNNNNNNNNNNNNNNNNNNNNNNNNNNNNNNNNNNNNNNNNNNNNNNNNNNNNNNNNNNNNNNNNNNNNNNNNNNNNNNNNNNNNNNNNNNNNNNNNNNNNNNNNNNNNNNNNNNNNNNNNNNNNNNNNNNNNNNNNNNNNNNNNNNNNNNNNNNNNNNNNNNNNNNNNNNNNNNNNNNNNNNNNNNNNNNNNNNNNNNNNNNNNNNNNNNNNNNNNNNNNNNNNNNNNNNNNNNNNNNNNNNNNNNNNNNNNNNNNNNNNNNNNNNNNNNNNNNNNNNNNNNNNNNNNNNNNNNNNNNNNNNNNNNNNNNNNNNNNNNNNNNNNNNNNNNNNNNNNNNNNNNNNNNNNNNNNNNNNNNNNNNNNNNNNNNNNNNNNNNNNNNNNNNNNNNNNNNNNNNNNNNNNNNNNNNNNNNNNNNNNNNNNNNNNNNNNNNNNNNNNNNNNNNNNNNNNNNNNNNNNNNNNNNNNNNNNNNNNNNNNNNNNNNNNNNNNNNNNNNNNNNNNNNNNNNNNNNNNNNNNNNNNNNNNNNNNNNNNNNNNNNNNNNNNNNNNNNNNNNNNNNNNNNNNNNNNNNNNNNNNNNNNNNNNNNNNNNNNNNNNNNNNNNNNNNNNNNNNNNNNNNNNNNNNNNNNNNNNNNNNNNNNNNNNNNNNNNNNNNNNNNNNNNNNNNNNNNNNNNNNNNNNNNNNNNNNNNNNNNNNNNNNNNNNNNNNNNNNNNNNNNNNNNNNNNNNNNNNNNNNNNNNNNNNNNNNNNNNNNNNNNNNNNNNNNNNNNNNNNNNNNNNNNNNNNNNNNNNNNNNNNNNNNNNNNNNNNNNNNNNNNNNNNNNNNNNNNNNNNNNNNNNNNNNNNNNNNNNNNNNNNNNNNNNNNNNNNNNNNNNNNNNNNNNNNNNNNNNNNNNNNNNNNNNNNNNNNNNNNNNNNNNNNNNNNNNNNNNNNNNNNNNNNNNNNNNNNNNNNNNNNNNNNNNNNNNNNNNNNNNNNNNAAAAUGAGCCACAGAAUUUAAAAAGUGACCAAAAUAGGUCACCUAUUUAAAAAGUUACCAAAAUAGGCUAAACGUAAUAAUUUAUUACGUUUUCUAUUUUUUCUUAACGAUCAACUAACGGAGUUGACUUUUACAAAAGCGUAAGAAUUUCUUACGUUUUACAUUUUUUUUCGUAAAAUAUAAGAAAUUCUUAAGUUUUAUAAACAAAAUAUAAAACGUAAGAAUUUCUUACGUUUUACACGAUAAUUGAGGAAAAAAUGCAGUGAAUUAUCAAAUCAAUUAAAAAGAUACUAAAAAACGAGUUGUUCAACAUAACAAAAAGUUUCGUUCUUAAUUUUUUUAUAGCAGUGGUCCCUCACUCAUAAUUCCUUUUUCUAUAAAUGUCCCAUCACUUCUACUUUUUCCUCUUUUUACAUAUGAUAAGUAUGAAUUUUUGAUUAGUUAAAUUUAUUUAUAUAUUACAUGUAGUUCAAAUAAUUUAUUUUUUCCUCUAUGUAAUAAAUUUUUAAGUUUUACAUAAAAAAUUAAAAAAAAUAGAAGUAUCAAUUACCUCAUUAACUAGACAAUUUUCUUAUACUUAUUCUAUAUAAAAAAUAAUCACUUCUAUCCUUAAUUAUCCGAUUUCUCUCUAAAAAAAUUAUACUUGAGUUUUCCUUUACUCCAAAUUAGUAAAAUGUUGAAUUAUCGUCGAUCAAAUAGAAGAAUUAUAUUUUUUUGGCGUGUUAAAAAUAUGAAAUUAAUUUUUUUGGAUAGUGAUUCAUCGUAGUUUUCGAUUAGUGUUUCCAUUAGGAUAUUGAGGAAACUCACAUGCACAAAUACGUUUCAUAUUAUAAUUAAUGGAGUAAAAAAUCACAAUUUAAUUUAGGAACACUCCUAAAUUAAUAUAAGAAAAUAUAUUUUUUUUAGGAACACUCCUAAAAAAAAUAUAAUUCUUGUAUAUAGUAGCAUAUUUGAUCGACGAUAAUUCAAUAUUUUACUAUUUUGGAGUAGAAGAAAACUCAAAAGUAUAAUAUUUUUAAUGAGAAAUCGGAUAACUAAGGAUAGAAGUGAUUAUUUUUGAUAUAGAAUAAAUAUAAGAAAAUUGUUAAGUUAAUGAGGUAAUUGAUACUUCUUUUUUUAAAUUUUUUUUAUGUAAAACGUAAAAAUUUAUUGGAAUUUUUUUUUAUUUGAACUACAUCUAAAAUAUAAAUAAAUUUAACUAAUAAAAAAAUUCAUAAUUAUCAUAUGUAAAAGAGGAAAAAGUAGAAGUUAUGGGACAUUUGUAGAAAAAAGAAUUGUGGAUGGAGGACCACUGCUAUAAAAAAUUAAGAACGUAACUUUUUAUUACGUUGAACAACUCUUUUUUUAUAGUACCUUUUUAAUUGAUUUGACAAUUCAUUGUCUUUUUUUCUCGGUUAUCGUGUAAAACGUAAGAAAUUCUUACGUUUUAUAUUUUUUUUAUAAAACGUAAGAAUUUCUUACAUUUUACAAAAAAAUGUAAAACGUAAGAAAUUCUUACGCUUUUGUAAAAGACAACUCUGUUAGUUGACCGUUAAGAAAAAAGUAGAAAAUAUAAUAAACUAUUACGUUUAGCCUAUUUUGGUAACUUUUUAAAUAGGUGACCUAUUUUGGUCACUUUUUUAAUUAUGUGGCUCAUUUUGGAUCCGAGUUCGAUAUAUGUUGAAAAGCAAUUUAAAAUACUAAAGCUCAAAUGUUUUUAGGGGAACUCAAACAUUUGUCCCCUUGUCUAAGGUCUUGUAUUAAAGACUUGUCUUCAAUUUUAAUUAAAUUAAUUUAGUUAUUAUUAAUAAUUGCUUAAUUUGAAUAAACAAAUGACUAACCUGUUAUAAACAUCUGUUGCAAUAGAUGACUAACUUGUUGCAACAAAUAGAUAAUCUGUUGGAAAAUAAUUNNNNNNNNNNNNNNNNNNNNNNNNNNNNNNNNNNNNNNNNNNNNNNNNNNNNNNNNNNNNNNNNNNNNNNNNNNNNNNNNNNNNNNNNNNNNNNNNNNNNNNNNNNNNNNNNNNNNNNNNNNNNNNNNNNNNNNNNNNNNNNNNNNNNNNNNNNNNNNNNNNNNNNNNNNNNNNNNNNNNNNNNNNNNNNNNNNNNNNNNNNNNNNNNNNNNNNNNNNNNNNNNNNNNNNNNNNNNNNNNNNNNNNNNNNNNNNNNNNNNNNNNNNNNNNNNNNNNNNNNNNNNNNNNNNNNNNNNNNNNNNNNNNNNNNNNNNNNNNNNNNNNNNNNNNNNNNNNNNNNNNNNNNNNNNNNNNNNNNNNNNNNNNNNNNNNUUGGAUUCAUAUUACAACACUAUAAAAUGAAUCCAACAGAUGAGCAAUCUGUUGCAACAGAUUAGUCAUAUAUGUUGCAACAGAUUAGUCAUAUAUGUUGCAAUAGAUUACUCAUUUGUUGCAACAAAUUAGUCAUAUAUGUUGCAACAGUUUAGUCAUAUAUGUUGCAACAGAUUACUAAUCUACACAACAUAUUAGUCAUAAAUGUUACAACAGAUUACUAAUAUGUGCAAUAGAUUAGUCAUAUAUGUUGCAACAAAUACUCAUCUGUUGGAUUCACGUUACAUAUUUUAUCCAUUAUUAAAAAACAGCAGUAGCAGAUACAUCCAGAUGAGAAAUUCAACUAAAAAAUAACAACAUUAAGAAAAUAACAAAAAUAUAAAAAAAUAACAAACACCAACAAAUCAAGUUCCUCAUUUUCGUCAUAACUUAAAAGCCCUAAUUUUUUACUUGUGAAAAUAAAAAAAAAAAUGAUAAAGAGCUCGAAGUUGUUGUUGCUGGAGAAUGUUGUCACGUUGAUUGACGGUUGAAAGUAACAAAGGAACGGGCAAGAACUCAAAACUAUUUGUUGCCAGAGGUUGAAGUUGCAUAAGAUUGAAGGGAGAAAUUUAAAAAGUUGUUGGUUGGGAGAAGUUAGAGAGAGAAACUAUCGAGAGAAAGAGAGAAGAGAGAGAGAUUGAUUUGCAGAGGGAGAAAAGUUUUGUGGGUGCGGAUUAAUUUGCAUUUUUGAAAACAUUAAAAAGUUUAGAAAAUAUUAAUCAAGUCCACAAUUAACCUAAUCAAGUUUUUUUAAUUAUGUUUGACCCUUUAAAUUGGUCAAUGUCACCAAUCCUUCAUUCAAGACUUAAAAGACAUCUUUCCUUCAAUUUUCUCUAUUUUCUCUCCCUAUUAAUAUACAUAACAUAGCCGACAUAUACAUAGCAUUCUGUGUAUAUGUUAGAAUUUUUGUAAUAUGUUUAGCGAGUUGAAUAUUUUGUAAUAUUGAAAAUAUAAGUUGUGUAUUUACAAAUUUUUAGAAAAUAAAAUAAGCUAACGGAGGAAAUAGUGUUCGAGGAUGAUUCUUCAUUAGCCCAUUUCCCUCGAAAUGGAAAAGUCCAAUAGUGUGAGGGUGAUAUUGUCACAAUGGGAACAAAAGUAAGUGGAUAGAAAGGUGGAUUUGUCCAACUGUCAAUAAAAUCUUAUGUCUUAUUUAACUUCACUUAAUUUAAAAUGGUAAAGUUCGUAUGUACACAUUCCACCUAUUUGCAAGGUGGCCCUAGCACAAAUGAAAGUUAUUUUAAGUAACGUGUUAUAAAACAAUGAAGAAUAAGAAGAAGAGUAGAGAGAAUAUAGAGAAUGAUUCUUCUUACUUCUUUUGAGGGAUGAUUUACAAUGAAGGAAGCCCUUCUAUUUAUAGGGGGAAUUUGCCCCUAGUUUCACACUAAAGGGCAAAUACAUCAAAUUCUAAUAGACAUCAAAUAGAUCUUGAUAUACAUUCACUAUAAUUGAUAUAUGUCAAGUAACAAUAUCCAACAUGUCAAGUGUGACAUCUUCAAGUGUCUGGACUGCAAAUCAAAUAAGUUUUACGCUUACCAAAAUGCAUCAUUUCAGGUCACUUGAUAAAUAUUUCUACGUCAGCAUGCUUAAAUUAACGUAGAAUUCAGAUCCUCAUAAUCUUUUACAAUAUUGCGCCAAUAUUGUAUCAAAGAUAUCGUCGAUGAUUUCUUAUUUUGUAUCGGUCCACAAUGCGACAUAACAUUUUGAGAUCUCAUCACUUCAUUAUUUUCAGAUACCUAAACCUCUCAUAAGGUUUCAUGAAGUGUUAUGUCGUAGGCUCUUCAAGAGCACAUUGCCUUCUUAUCAUGAUUAUUUGCUCUUUAUUCUUUCCAAGGAUUAUUUCAUUUGAACCCGAUUGGUCUAUCAAGCUUCACGCAUGCAUAGACUUUAUCCUUUAAGGACACAAAAUAGGAGCACUUGCAGCUAAAUAUGAGAUGUUUUUGACAUUUGACUUGAUUUAUCUUUUGAAUGAAGAUCCGAUGAUAAUUCCUAACAUAUUUCAUAGCUGCUUAUAAUCUCCCCCUUAUGUUAGAAAAAACUAACAUACAUCCUCCAUCUUGUUUUGAGGAAUCCAUCUUUGUGCAUCAUGGUAUAUUUAUUAAUCGUAUACCACACAUCAAAACUAUUAGAUGAAAUAGUUGGUUCCUGACCUUGAUCCAAUUGAAAGGGAAAAAAUAAUCAUAAUAUAUUGGUCUAAUUCAUACAAGUGCUAUUGUAUGCAAUAUAUCAUAUUUCAUACCAAUACAUGAAACUUUGUUCUCAUUAGUAAUGGUUCAACUAUUUAUGGAAAGUAUUCAAUGCUAAACCUUCAUCAUCGAGAUGAAUUAUCUUGAUUAAACAAUAUGAAAAUUAUGCUCAAUUUAUAUUGAACAAGUAACUUUAUGAAUGUCAAACGUAGGUUGACCAUGAAUGUACACAUGAUCUUCUUAUUGAUGCAUCUUUUCAACAUAUCACAUGAUAGGUGAACGGGCCCUUAUUCACCUUUUAUUCUUUUCAAAUUUUGAGGGAUCCAAUCCCAAAAUUAGUUGGUCCAACCAACUGAUCAUCAGAACAAGCAACAUUAAAGUUCAUGAAGAAUUUUCUAAUUCUUCAAUAUAUGUUCAAUACUCAGUAUGCACAUCUUUGGGAUAUCACAAUCGUUCAUGUCAACUUAUGAACUUUUAAUCUAGUAAACUCCAAGUUUACCAUGAUAUGUGUUUUACUUUAGUAAAUUUCAGAUUUACUAUUAUAUGAAUAAAUUUCAGAUUUACUACUUCAGAAGUAGAUUUCAAAAUCAUUCAACCUCUUUCGGAGGUGAGUUGUGAUACAAUCACAAUCAAGUGCACGUUUGCAUUAAUAAGUUUCUCAUUCCCCAGGAAUGGAAUAUAAUCGUGCCUUAAGUCUAUCAAAUUAUGAUAGCUUAUAAUCUCUUUCAAGAUUUUACUACUUCAGAAGCAAAUUGAGGCAUACAUAUGAUGUAGAGAAUUUUUCUCUAGUAUAUUUUAUAAUCAUAUAAGCGUGUGAAAAUAUCACGAAUUUCAUACUUUUCAUUAAAUACCCAUUAUUUUGCCCUAGCCAUCAUAAUAUCAUCAAUAUGGUGUAUUGAGAUUCAAACUCAACAUCUUAUCCAUAUAAAAGCGUCUUAGGCAUGAAUCGAUGGAACUUUAACCCAACAUAUUAUCAUUCUUUUUGAUAAUAUUAUUCUUGAUGAAUAAAUUUAAAAUAUAAAUGGUUCCAAACCAAUUAUUUUUCCUCAAAUCCAAUAAUAAUUAUAUUAGUUGUAGCAAAAGAAAGAUAACAUAAAGAAUUACUAACCUUGAAAUCCUGCAGAUUUAUAAUCUCACCUUGUUUGGCAGAGUCUCGUGCUGAUAACGUGUUAUAAAAUAAUAAAGAAUAAGAAUAAGAGUAGAGAGAAUAGAGAGAGUGAUUCUUAUUACUUCUCUUGAGGGAUGAUUUACAAUGAAGGAAGCCCUUCUAUUUAUAGGGGGAAUUUGCCCCUAGUUUCACACUAAAAGACAAAUACAUCAAAUCCUGAUAGACAUCAAAUAAAUCUUAAUAGAUCUUGAUAGACAUUCGCUAUAAUUAAUAUAUAUCAUAACAUAACGCAUAUACUCUCAUUUACUUCUUUAUUCUUAUUUUAUGUAUCGUUAUUUAAUCAGACACAAAAUUUUGAAAAAAAAAUAAUGACUUUAUAAAGUUUAUAAAAUUGCUCCUCUUAAAGUCAUUUUUAUGUUUAUCUUUUAGUUGUCUUUUCUUAUUAUGUGAGACCUAGUAAGGAUUAAAUGAAAAUGAUGCCAUUAAAUAAUUAUCAAAUAAAGAAAUAUGUCAUUCUUUUAUAGACGAACGAAAAAGGAAAGUAUGCCACAUAAAUUGAGAUAGAUAAAAUAUUUAUUUUAUUUUCUAUUUUUCCUUAUUUAAUUAGAUAAGAAAUGCUUCUAAAAAAAGAAUUGAAAAAAUAAUCACUUGAAGUGAAGAAUUUUUGGAGAUUCAAGUUGGUUAUUGAUCGCUUGGCUAAAACAAUUAAAAUCACAAGCUAAAUAUACAAGACACACACACACACACACACACAUAUAUAUAUAUACACAUACUAGUUAACCGUACAUGCGUUGCACGUGUAUAUUAUAUUGAGCAAUAAAAAAUUAUUAGCAUUAAAAUAAAUAUAAUAUUUUAACUAAAAUCAAAAGUAAAUAAUUCAAAAAUAAUUCUCUUUGUUUACUUUUACUUGUUAGAUUUUGCAUCUUGAGAGUCGAACUGUAUCAUGACUUUUAACCAAUAUUUUAAGAUGUAUCUUUUAUAAAAGGAAUUUCAAAUUUAAAAUAUCGAAAUUAAUCUACUUAAAUUUAGCUUCGAAAAUUAGUUAAAUUUACUCUAAUAAAAUGAAGCAUGACAAAUAAACGUAAUUAAAUAGAGGGAGUAUUUUCACUAUUAUUAGUUAUUUGUAGCAUGUAUAACUAAUAAUAUGUGAUGUAAUUGGUGCUGAAAUUAAGUAAUGAAAUUUUAGCCUUUCGGUAUUGGUACAUUAUGGAACUUAAAAUGAUUAAUGAUGUUAUCUUUCUUGCUCUACAUACAUUUGCACCUCAAAUUUCUUGUGACUAACAAAAAAUGGCAAAUUCUUAAUUUAAUAUUUUCCAACCUAUUGCCUAGUGUUAGAUAUAAAAUGUAAUAUUUUCCAACCUAUUGCCAGUUCUAGUGGAACAAUAUUACUUCUGAAGUUUACCAAAAUACUAAUCUAUACAUAAGUCCUUUUGUGACUCCAGUUGUGAUAAACCUAGCUCCCAAUUAUAGUUACUGCCACUUCCUUAUGAAACUUGUUCAUCAUAACUUGAUUGUUGAAAAUAGAGUAAAAGUUAUUAGAUAUAAAGACAAAAAUAUAAACGUAAAUAUGUUGAACAAUAUUACUUCUGAAGUUUAUCAAAAUAUUAAUCUAUAGAAAGAGAAAAUUAUGUAGAACUUCAAAACGCUUGUCAAAUUUGAAAUUGAGUCUUCGAAUCAUGUUGAUAAAUUCAUAAGUCUCAAAUCAACAUAAAUGGUGGUGAAAUGAUUGAAGUCCUUCCACUCAACAUAAAUGGUGGUGAAAUGAUUGAAGUCCUUCCACUCUUAAUCAUAUGUCGAAAAAUCUUUAUCUUCACUCCAACAAAAGAGUUUUUAUGCACAACAUUGAUUGAACAAAAUAAAACAUCGAAAAUCAAUUUCCCUUUAAAAAUUAUGUUCAUCGAUCAUGAUGAUAUCAUCACCCAUCUUCAAAUACCUACAAAAUCGAUACAAAAUAAAUUAAAUAUUAUAACAUGAUUUUCGAGAAAAAAAAUUCUAAAUCAAACAACAAGAACAAUCUAAAUCCCAAAAGAAAGUAUGUUCACCAUAAACACGUAAUAAAUAUACAUGAACUAAGAAUUCUAGAUGAAAAAAAAUUGAAAAUAUUGCAUGUGUGAAUUUUUUUAAUCAACUUUUUAUUCUUUUCCAAGUUUACAUAGUAUCUUUUAUGGUAAUCCUUGUUUAAUUUUUUUUACAAUAUAUUUUAGGAUUCCUUAAUUAUUAUCUCCUAAUAUUUUUGCCCUAUAUUAAAUUUUUCUCUUAUCACAUAUUUUAAAAUUUCUUAAUUUUUAAAAUAAAAUUUUAUGGUUUAAAUAAGGAAAAUUCUGCAAAAUUUUAUAUUGUUUACCUUUCCUAUGUUCUUUUUUUAUUUCUUUCUCGUAUCAUUUUUUUCUCCUAAUUUAAUUAUUCUUUCUUUCCUUUUAUUUGUUUAAUUUUUAUUCUUUUGUUACUCGAGUUUUUUUUCUUACAUUCUUAGUUAAUUUCAAAUUAUUAAAUUUAGAAAAUUAGUAAAAAGACGAUUUUGUGUAAAGUGAAGACUUUUAAUGAACGACAAAAAGUUCAAAUCACUUUUCUAUGGGUUUCCACACUUUUAGUGUAUUAUAUAUACACACACACACACACACACACUAUAUUAGUAUACGUGCUUUGAACGUGUUUUUUACGUCAAUUAAUAAAAUUAUAUAUAAAACAAAAUUAUUACGUAAAGGACAGUAGUUAAUGCUAAAAUGAUUGUUAUAUCUAUUUAAAUAUGAUAAAUAACUAUUGUAUGUUCUAUAUAUUAUUGUUUGUCGUGUCUCACCUAAUCUUUUUAUUUUUACAAAUAAUUUAUAAAUUUAUAUCAUGAUAAAAGCUUUAUUUUAAUAUAUUGUCAUUAUAUAAACAAUAACUAAUUUACAUGGCGUAGACCAACUCAUUGCACGGUCAUUCUUCAAAAUUACACAAUAUUCAUGUAGAUUUUAUUAAAACAUAUUUCUUAUAAUAUAUAACAACGUUUUUUUAGAUAUAGAUUUACAAAUUAAUAUCUAAUAAAAAUUUAUUUGUAAUAUUUUAUAAGUAGUUUAUUUAUUGUCUUUCUAAAUUCAAUACACGCAACAUAACUUUCAAAAAAUAAUAGUAAAUAUCCUAUCUUUACAUAAAAAUUUCUCAAAAUUUAACCGAACAUCUAUCAAAACCCUGUAUUAAAUUAAAAAAAAUAGGUAAAAAUAGAAUAGAAAUUACAAUAAAACAAUACGAUAAUCGAAAUUUCAAAACAAUGUGAUUAAACCUAACCUUUAGGUACUCCUAAUAGUGCCUCAUAUCACCACCCUGUGCUGUUUUAAUAUGUAAUAUUACUAAUCAUGCUUACCAAAAAAUCUAACCUUUAAACAAAAAUUUUGCAAAGCUUGACCAAACAUUUGUCGACAACCUUUGUUAAUAAGAAAAAAUGGAUAGUAAUAAAAUAGAAAUUUGAGCAAAACAAUAUGAUAGUCGAGAAAUCAAAAUAAUAAAAGUGAACCUAAUCUUUAUACAAAAAAAUUCUCAAAGCUUAAUUGAUCUACGACCUGUAUUAAUUACAGAAUAGAGCAUUAGUCACGCAUCAAAAUCAAUAGACUUUUGAUUUUAAAUUAUUCAAAUCUAAAACUAAUUGUAAACUAAAACAAAGAAAAAAAACAACUAAUACUCAGAAACUACAUUGUUGUACCUGAUCUUCCACAGAGUUACUAUGAUUUGUACUAAUUAGCUGAAAAAUAGUUAAUUAAAGUAUACAAUUCGACUCAUCUCCAUGAAAAGCUCAAGAUCUUUCAAAGUUUCUCCUUGAUCCUCUCUAAAUCUUGGCUAUUUUUAUUAUGUUAUGAUUUUCAGAGUUCAUCAUGAAGUUUGCUUUAAAUUUCAUAGUUUUUUCUCGCAAAUCAAUAUUUUCUCCUUCCUUAUCCAUAUUUUGUUUCUUCUUUACGACAUCUCUUAAUUGUUUAUGACAAUUAAAAAAUAUGUGAGCCAGUUUAAGAGAAAAUUGGCAUUAAAAUAAUUUUAUCAUUAUGUUAUAUGGUUUAAAUAUUUCUGAAAAACUAAAAAGUUGUAGAAGCAUAAAUAUUUUAUAUGAUUUAAAUUUAAUAUUGAACACAAUGUAAAACUUAUUAAAUGCUAACUGAAAGCAAAGAGCUGAAUUGGAGUACAAUGAUCCUAUAUGAAAUACACAUAUACUAAUAUACAAUGAUAAUCUGAAAAGUCAUAAUUUAAAAGCAAGUAAAACUGAACUGAGAGUCAUGUACAAAUACUGAGACUGAAAAUGUAUGAGGUUCUAUGACAUAGACCAUGUGAGCAAACAUGAAAUUCAACCUGCAACCUAAGUUGAGAGGGGGCUAUUCUAUACCUUGUCAAGGGUAUUCUAUAAAUGCACUAGACGAGAAUAUUUAUUUAUAGACCAUGACUAGCACAUAUUUUGAAAAGAAUUAUUUAAUUAAUAAAAUAAUAGAAAAUUGAAUUUUAUGCAAUUAAAUGAGCCUAAACAAGUUGUGUGAUCGUAUGAGAGUCCACGUAAAUUGAAGGUGGUGAUCAAAGAUGUGUGAGGUGAUGACUUGUGGUUGAACAAAUGAUGAGUUGUGGUUGAACAAAUGAAUUUCCCACAACAUACUUGUGCUUUGGGUAAACAUUACCCUGAGGAUGUUGAUUGUACAACCACUACCCAUCCUCACACAUGUUAAAUCACCUUCAACAAUUUACGUGGACUCUCAUACGAUCACAUGACAUGUUUAAGCUCAUUUGAUUUCAUAAAAUUUAAUUAUUUAUUAUUUUAUUAAUAAUUAUUCAUUUUUUUCCUAAUAUGCUACUAAGGGCAAUAAACCAAUACAGUAUAUUAUUGGCAAGGCUUUGCGUCUAUGAUUUACACUGGACACAAUCGGUGGACCUCUAUAAACCAUCAUAGUUACUGAAUUGGUGACACAAUGCAACAUAUAACAGUAAACUUGUUUGUCGUCAUUGUAAAUAUAUGAUUUAUUCAAUCGAUCGUGCGUUCAGUCUAAAAAUUAUAGAGAGCAACUUCUAUAAUAUUUGCCAUCAACCUCUAUAAAUUAGGACAAUAGUUAACUGGUAGCACAAUGCAAUCAAUUGUUUAAUCUAACAAGACAAUGAAAUAACUAAACAUAAUUUCGUCAGUAAAUGUCAUCAUUGACAUGCCAAAUACAUGUAAUUCAAUUAUCCAUAAAAAAAUCAUUAAAAACAACAAAUCAUUGAGAAAAUUAUUUGUUCCAAACCAUUGAUCUAUAUGUUAUCAUCAUUGAGUUCCUUAACAAUGCCCAUCACUUCCACUUCAUUUUCUUCAUGUUUUUUCUCCUCUUUUUCUCUUCUUUCUUCUCAUUUUUUUUUCUUUUCUUCUUCUUCUUCUUCUUCUUCUUCUUCUUCUUCUUCUUCUUCUUCUUCUUCUUCUUCUAAUUUCUUUUUUUCUUUAAUAUUUUCAACCUCCUGUUCAUCCACUCCUUCUUCAUUAUCUGCCUUCUCAUUUUUUCUUUUUCUUCUUCUUCUUCUUCUUCUUCUUCUUCUUCUUCUUCUUCUUCUUCUUUUUCUUCUUCUUCUUCUUCUUCUUCUUCUUCUUCUUCUUUUUUCUCCUCAUUUUUUGCUUCUUGUUCAGCUGUCCUCUCUUUUUCUUUUUUUUUUCUUUCGCAUCUUGUUCAUCUGCUGCCUCUUGCUCUUCCAUUUCUUCUUCUUUUUUCUCUUUUUCAGAUUUUUCAUCUGCUAUAGCAAUAUCAGUAAGGUUUACUUGAUGUCGGCUACAAGGGGGACUAUCAAGGUGCACUGCAUUGUUUUGAAAGGAUUAUAAAAAUUAUGCAAGAAAAUUAAAUUGGAAGAACAAAAAAUAAAUUAGUUUACCUUCAUCUUGAUGCUUCUUUGUAUUCUUCUCGAUUCUCCUCAACCUCUCAUCUCUAACAAAAGAAACAAUAUAGAAAAUACUUUUCUUGAGCACAACAACAUGCUCAUGCAGGUCAUCAUCAUUAGAAGCGUCGGAUAUAGUUUUGAGUCUAUUUGAACCAGCAUAAUCACAAACACGUGCUAGACUUGAAACAUAAUUGUGACCACCUAAAUUUUCCUCUUCGUCCACGACCUCCGCUGAUGAAGUUGGGAUAGUCACGCCUAAGGAAGGGCAUAAAAUACCAGAAACUGAACUACUGAACCAAACUGAAGAAUUUGGUAUUCGAUAUUUGGUAAUUUGGUACUUGAUAUGGUAAUUGGGAGUAAAAUUUUAAAAUUACGGUAUUUGGGUUGGGGAUUGGUAAAAGAUAUUACUACCAUUUGGCAUUUACCGAAUACCAAAUUAUUAUUAACUGACCAUAGUCUAUACUCCAUAGGCCACGAGUCCAAAUUAAUAUUCUACAAAAGGUCAAAAAAAUCCCACAACCUAAAAGUUUAUAAUACUAUAUUCAUUUUAAAAUUUUAAAAUUUUAAAAUGAAAAUCACCUUUAAAAUUUUUAUUGUUAGCAACAGUGGACAACAUGUUCAAAUAUGAAGUUUUUCAUAUUACUCGCGUUUUCUUCAUUCUGGUUCUAUCUAUCAAGACAACCUGAACUUGUCUAGUCUUGAUGCAACUUGUUGGUAUAUCCAAGUUAUGUCCAAUGAAAGAGUUGAUGUAGAGAUACUCAUUUCCUGCCAUAUUCAAGUAACUAAGUUAUUAAAAAGGUUUGACACUAUGUUGUAUAAUUUUAAAUAUCUCAUAAGUUAUUCUUGGUGAAAGGGUUAGUGAAUUCUUUUAUUUAAACUCACUCACUAGUCACUACGAGGCAAAUAUUUGAGGAACAGAUGUGUCUAUUAUCUUUCAAAGUCAUUUCUUCAUUAAGCAAUUAUUAUGUUAAAUCGGCAGAUGAUGAAUGAGCUAUAAAACAUCACUGAUGAAGUGUUAAAAAGUAUUGUUUCCAUAAGGCAUAGGGCAGAAACUUUAUGUUGUGUUUUGAUUCAGUUCUAAAGUAAACUGUUAUCGUUGGCCUAGAGUAGAGUCUACCAAAUUUCACUUUAAUAUGGUAUUACCAAAUACUGUACCGAACCGAAUCGAUGUUUAAUUUACCAAUUACCGAAUUAUCAAAUCGAAGUUUAAUGGUAUGGUAUUUGGUAUGUACUUUUAUGUACCGAUUAUCGAAUUACCAAAUCUGAAUUAUGAUAAUACCAAACUGAAUACCGAACGCCCACCCCUAGUCACACCUUUUAGCUGUGCCUUCAAGGAAUCGCUGGAUGUAUCCUUAACUUUGUCUGUGUAUGGCUUCAAUAUUUUCAUGUAUCUCUACUCUAUCUUAUAGACAGUAGGGGUAAGGUACGGGUUCACAAUCUAUGAAAAAAUAAAUAUAAAUUACACGACAUUCACUAAUAUAAUAAUAUUAUUAUCAUAUUAUAAUAAGUAUAAUUUUACCUUUGUGUUGUUUUACUUUGUACUUAAACAGGUCGCCUUCCAUUAUGUUGUCAUACUUCGAUGUGUGCCAUCUAAGAAGACGGGGAAUGGGCAAAGGAGAAUCCAACGACUUACCAGUGUACCUUCCUAGAUGAGAAAAUGCCUCAUAUAUUCAAAAAUACAAUCAAUAGAAGCAUAAGUAAAUCUACAGGGUCUAUGCAUUAUUACAUAAAUAGGUAAGAGUAUAUAAUAAAUCAAUAAGAUGGUAGAUUAUAAGUACCAGAAAUGCCCAGGGAAAGCAAUACAAUGCAUACGAUGUAUUAUUUCUCUUCACAAAUAUUUCUUUCUGCUUGGUCAAAUCAAUCUUCUUUUCAAAUAGCUCAAUGUCAUCCCAAAUUACUCUUUUUCCCACGGAUACCCCUCGAAGAAAUCUAAAUAAUUUGCCAUCUUAAUAUGGUCUGAAUCCACCUAAAGGAUAGCCUAUCAAAUCCAUUGAAGGUUGGUUGAACAAGCUGCAUUGAACAGUUCUCAAGAAAGUUAGCUGUUCAACUGUUGGGCCCACUUCUUGAGUGUGCAUCAAGACAUUGACCUAAAACAAACAUAGCGACCCUCCUGUAUCAUUUAAGCCUUUCGAAAAAAGUAUUGUGGAAGCCUUCUGAAGGCCUUUUACAAUGCCACAGCUUCGAAGAAAGUGUUCCUCCGUCAUUGACGAGCUCACAAAAUACCAAGAACUCUAUCCUAACCUCAAAGAUGACAACGAUAAACUUGAAUCCCAAAUCAGCAAGCUGGAGGCAAGCUUGAAAAUUAUCGGGAUUUACAUACUACAACAAGCAUCUGAUCUUCUCCAAGAUAUGCUGAAAGCAUGCUAAGGUAAGAAAACACAAUCAAUUAUAUCCAUAUUUCUAAGGUAGUAAUGAUACUCAAUCCGUCUUUCAAUCUUGUUUGUGGUUCCUAUUAGGUCAAUAGCAGUGGACCUAAUCAGAAUCACAAACAAGAAGGCAUGGGAUGUAAUUUAAAAUUCAUAAAUUUUUGCGUUCACUUAGAUUGCUUAUUUUAAAUGCAACUGUUCUUGGGCCAAGUUUUCUGUACAUUAUUUCAACUCUUGGUGCCCGCAAAGCUGCUUUGUUGGUGUUCUGCUAUUUUCAAUGUAGGUGAUCAUUUCGACCACGCUACUUAGUCACAGCUCCCUAGCAAAGUGCCCAACUGCAUAAAUUUUCUUUGAGAGAGACAGUAGAUGGAUUUUCAGUACUAGAUACACUUUUAUAUUUGCACUUGAUUCAGAUUUCUCAUGUUCUAAUUGUACUUCAUUGGCCAGAUUCGCUAGAAGUUCCUUGCUACCCUAUAUUUUCCUCUUCAAUAGCUCUUAGUUGAUGUAGUCUUUCAUCAACUCACCCUUUCCCUCACAAUUAUUCUCCUACGGCUCUUUCUGGAGUAUAAUCAUCUUCUCGAACAACCCUUCCAUAUAAAUUUAGGCAAGGAGAAUUUCUACUGGUAUCCUGUUCUUGUUUGAUGUAGUGCGAUGCUUCGAAGGCCUUCUCAGAGUCCAAUGCACACUUAAAGUUAAGUUCAAUCGCUAUUAGAUCUCUAUAAUGAAACUAAAUAUUGAUCCCUUUUCAAAACUUGACAUGCAUAAACAUGAGCAAUAAUUGUCAUUAAUUCGUAACAGGGUAUCGACACCAUAUUUAUUGGCCCCUCGGCCUCAUAAAUUCAAACCUAUCAAACAAAAACUAUACAAUGUAGGAUCUUAUUUGAAUGAUCAAUGCCUAAUCAGUUAAAAACUGCAUUCACAAAAUCAUUGUACUUUAUGUGUGUUGUCCCAAUGACCUUAUCAGUAAUACAUUACUUCCACACAUGAAAAUGGAUCCAUCCAUCUACACGCACCUUAUUCUUCCUAGUCCAUCUAUGACUUAAUUUGGAUAAACAGAUGAUUAACCUAUUGCAACAAAUGACACAUUUGUUAAAAUUAUCAAAUAAUUAUAGACAUCUGUUAUGACAGAUGAUCAAUCUAUUUUAACAUAUGACUUCUCUGUUGAAAAAAUCAAACAUAUAUAUCCAUCUGUUGCAACAGGUUGUCAAUAUAUUAUAAAUUAUCAAACAGAUAUAAUAUAUUUUACAAUAAAUUACUCAUCUGUUAGAUUUAUUUUAAAGCAAUUUUCUUUUCUUUCCGAAAUACAAUAAAAGAUAAAAUACUGUAUUUAGAUAAGUUUUUUUAAUUUACAUAUUCGAAAAGUAACCAGUUUUAUUUAAUUAAGGGAUGUAUUUAUACAUAACUCCACUUCUAGAUAUGAUUGAUCCAGAUUUGGACAAGGUAAUAUUGUGCGACUCCUUGCAAGAACUUGAAAGGCAGAUUCAUGAACUCCGAUGGGAGUUGGACGACAUGAGAGCAAGGCUGAGGAGGUCCCUGUUGUUGCCGGAUGACGAUGGGCCAGUUGACAAUAAUGAUAAUAAUAAUAAUAAUUAGGUUUUGUUUUUUCUUUUAGCAUAUGUAUUUUCUUUUAUUAUAUCGGAUCUACCCAAGGGUAUGUUUUUCUUAUUGUAUAUAUUUGUAUAUAAUGGAUUCAAAAAUCUAUGUUUGGUCGACUUUGGAUUUAUAAUUCUUAUUUGAUAUUUAAUUUUCAUUUUGUCUAUUCCUAAUUCUCAACAUAUCGAUGGUUAGAGGUAGGGAUUGAGUGUUUGUGGCAAUGAAUGAACCAUAUGUUGCAACAGAUGGUUAAUCUGUUGCAACAGAUGGAUCAUAUGUUGAACAUCCAGUUAUUAAUAAAAAAAGGUUAUUGUUAUAGAGGGUGAAACGUUAUGACUUUUUGAUUAUUUAAUAUGAAAAAUGGUUUGUAAAUAAAUAAUAAGGAAAUAAAUGAUAAACACAAUUUAUAACCGUAAAAGAACGAUUAUUUAAUUUUAAUAACUGAUCAUCACUUUUCACCAUUUUAUUUUUAAAUCUAUUUUUUAAAAUUAUUUAUUUAUAUAUUAGAUAGUAAAGAAGUCACAACAUUUGAUUAACUAAGGUAUAUGAUGAUUGUUAAAAAAACGGUGAACAGUUGUGACUUUUGUAAAAACUCACAAGCUUGAUUUAAUUAAGUCAUUUCUUUUCACAAAAAACAAUAAGGAAAUAUAUGAUAAACACAAUUUAUAACCAUAAAAAAAUAGUUAUUUAAUUUGAAUAAUUGAUGUUAAUAUAAAAUAGGAGACAAGUAGUGACUUUUCAAUAUUUUUGUUUAUAAAUCUAUUUUUUAAAUUUUUAUAUAAUAAAAAAAUCACCAAAUUUGGAUUAAUGAUAUGAUGAUUAUUAAAAAAGAUAGAUUAUAUGUUGUAAUAGAUAGAUUAUCUGAUACAACAGGUUGUCGAUUUAUUGCAACAGAUGGUAUAUCUGUUGUCGCAGAUGAGUUAUCUAAUGCAACAAAUAUAGAAUCUAUUGCCAAAACUCAAUAAAAAUGGUUACUGAAUAAAUAAAUUAAUAAUAAUAAGCUGAAAAGUCAUGAAUUAUUACAAUAAUCAAAAAGUCAGUUAGCAGCUUCAUUUAAUUAAGUCAUAACUAUUCAACCUAAUCAAAAAGUCACCAGUUUGUAUGUAAUUAAUAAAUGGAGGUGAAUAGUCGCACCUUUUUGCCUAACUCAUUCAAAUUCAAUCCUUUAUAAAUAAGUCUCUCCUUACUCAUUCAUUCUACUAAAUUUAUUUCUUGCAUCUUGUCUUUCAUAUUACACCUUCAACCACUUUCUCUUUCUUGACUUAGAUAAAGUUUUUUUCUUUCUUUUUGUGUAAAUAUACCCAAUUGGUAGUACACAUUGUAUUACAUUCGGAUUCUUUUCUUUACUUUUGUUUUAACAUUUUUUGUCAAUUCAUUCGUGUUCUAGAUAUGGAUGAUCCAGUAUGGAAUGUUGCUAUUUUACAAGACAUCGUGCGGGAACUUCAAACUCAGGUUCAUGACCUGCAAUGGGAGUUUUAUACAAUGAGAGAAAGGAUGCUCUGGGAGAUCCGGAGGCUGAGGAAGGCACUGCUGCUGCCGGUUGAAGAUUAGCCGGCUGACAAUAAUGAUGAUAAUAAUUAGAUUUUUUUUUUCUUUUAGCCUAUGUAUUUUUAUUUGUUUAUGUUUAAUAAAAAGUUAUGUUUGAUCGACUUUGAUGUUUUAAUUCUUAUUUAUUUUUCAUUCUAUCUAUUUGUUCUUCUCAACAGAAGACCCAUAUGUUGGAUUUAUCUUUUUCAUUCUGUCUUUCAAAACAGACUAAGUGAUCUAUUUAAAUUAUGAGCUCUUAUGUUGUAUUCAUGAAUGAGUUCUAUCCAUUGUUCAAAAAACAGUAGUACCAGUGUACCCAGAUGACAAAUUCAACUAAAAAUCAUAAUUUUACUUCCCAAAGUCACCUAUGAAGUAAUGACAAAGUGGAAAGUGAUGUACGAAAUAAAAUUUCACCUAAAAAAUUGGUCAAGUUGCAACAGUAGCGGUAAAAACAACUACAACGAUCGACAAGAAGAAAGUGAAGAUGAUAAUGAAGUAGAAGAUGUUGAUAAUAAAUGGAAGAUGAUAAAUAAAGUAGAAGCACUAAUGAACAACAAAAAUUGCGAAGAGAGAAAACACAACAAUAGACGAGAAGAGAGAGAAAUGCAUCUUUUUUUCUUCAGUUUUCCGUUUUACUAACUAACAUUUGGAUCAAAGUGUAAAUUUAAAUACUUGUGGGUUAUUUUCAAUUUUUCCCAACUUUCUUAAUCCAUAAUAAAGUAAUUGUCACCUCUACUCAAUUAUUAAGACUUGAGUCACCUACACCUCAUUUUCAAACUCUUUUGUCCCUUUUAGGUCAAAGCCCCUAUUAUCUUUAUGAUUGUUUUGAAAAAUCAAGCAUUAAUUUGUGCCAUGAAAAAUCUCUUUUGAGGAAAGGAUUGUUUUUUUUUAGUUCAGUAAAAUUUAUAUUUUUCAACAAGAAUUUAAACACAUGUUCAAACUAACAUAUGAACAAUCAAAUGAAGUUGUAAUUCUGUAUUUACAACUUUGAACUUCAACAAUAAAUUCAACCCAACUUAUGUACAACAACAAAAUGAAGUUCAAACUAUUUUUUAAAAAAUAGCAAAAUCAAAUGUUUAGAAAGAGAUGAAAAUUCGAAGAUUCUAGUCCACCAAAUUUAGGGUGUGUCCUUAAGGAAAUUAUUCCUCUCAAGUUCUUGAGGUAAUGGGAUAUAUCAUCUCAGGAUAAAAUGAUCACUUUGAUAGAAUAGUGGUACCUCAAACUCUGUCGAAUUACGAACACACUCAAGGAUUCAUAAAUCACACUUGAAUUUUUAGGAAGAAAAAGAUGUUUUUCACUUCAAAGUUUUAUACAUAUUACCUGAGAAAAAUUAGGUAUUUAUAGCCAUAAAUAGUUACUUCAGAAAAAAACAAUGGUUAAUGAAAAGUUACAACUUUUUGAAACAUUGCCCAACCUGAGGACCCCAUCUGUAGCAUAGAUAGGCCACAUGUGGUCACAAGUCAGCCUUUGCACAAAAGAGUGUGUUUAGGUUGUCCUGCGUUGCGACUUACACUGGAAUUUAUGUCCACAAAUAACAAAGUGCACAUACAGGUCAUGUUUUUGUUCUCAAAGGGAUGCUUUGUGACAUGCGUCUGCACAUGCUCAUGUGCGUUCAGAAAUGGAGAAAAAAUUUCAUAUAUGAUUUUUGAAUUAAAACAUCACUAAUUCUCAAGUUUUAAAUAAAUUUUAUCCAAAAAAAUAAUCUCUUAAUCAAUCAUUUUUCAAAUUCAAAUCUAAAUUCAAAUCCAAGUCGAAGUUAAAGUCAAAGUCGAAGUCAAAGUCAAGCUGAGUGAGCAACGACGAUGAUGGCGUGAGACUUUGUCUUCUUCUUGCAUCACAAUCUAGAUGGAAGAAUGCUUCUUAAUUUAAUCAAAAGAAUGUUCCUUUCUCUCACCAAUGUGGGAGAAAUACUCCUCUGUAAGGUGAACUCACAUUUUUAUCUUUCCCUCCUUUUUUGUUUCCUUCAUUUUUCAUUCACUUUCAUCACUUCAAACCUAACAAUAUCUUACAUGAAUGGAAAAUGACUAUUUCAUCAAAAUUUAUAAGAACAAGUGUGUGAUCCACAAGAAAAGACUAAAUGCAUUUGGAUAAGUAGAUUUUUCAUUAAACAUUCCAUAGUGAACUUAUAUCGGAUGCACUUGAUCUUUGGUAGUUGUGAUAUGUUUGAACCGUUGAACUUUUGGGUACACCUAGAAAACACAAGUUACAUAAUCAACCUUUUAUCAUUUAUGAUUCUCAUGAUUUUAUUUGUUUCAUCCAUGGACACUACCUCAUUUUAUGAGAGCUUAGAGAAUAGGCAUUCACUAUCAUUCUCCUUGAAGCGGCUUUCAGUUCACCCUCACAUAGGUAAUUUCUAAAUGUUUAAUCCUAUAUAUCAAACUAUUUUUCCAUAUCUGCUAAACUUAAAAUCAUUAAAAAGUUUUAAACCAUAAGCCUUUUCCAUAUUUCCUAAACAUUGUCUUCAUCAUGAGAAUGGUUUGAGUUAAUUAACAAUGUUGUACUGUUAGUCACAAUUUUAUUUGAUCUCCUUCAAAUUAGCUCUUAGGAUCUCCAGUACACUAGGUAGAGUUACCAUCAUGACGACUAGUCUUAGGUGAUAAAGCUAUUCCGUUUGAUGAUCUCUAAACUCCCUCUCUAGUUAGGCUUUUGUAAGUGGAUCUGACACAUUAUUCUUUGACUUCACAUAGUCAAUCGUGAUAAUUCUACUAGAGUGUAGUUCUCUAAUGGUAUCAUGUAUCAUCUUAUAUGACGAAAUUUAUCGUUAUACAUUAUGUUCCCUACCCCACCUAUUGCAUCUUGACUAUCACAGUAUAUGCAUACUGGUGCCAAAGGUUUGGACUAAUAAGGAAUAUCUUUCAAAAUAUUUAGAGCCAUUCAGUUUCUUCACCAAUUUUAUCUAACACAAUAAAUUCAAAUUUCAUUAUAGAUCAAGUAAUACAUGUCUGUUUCGAUGACUUCAAAGAGGCUUCUCCUCUGCCAAGACUAAACUCAUAUCUACUUGUGGAUUUUACUUCAUUUGAUUAGUGAUCCAAUUUGCAUUAAUAUAUCCUUCAAUUACCGCUGGAUAUUUAUUAUAAUGCAAAUCAAACUCUUGAGUGUGCUUUAGAUAAACCAAAACUUUGUUACUGUCAUCCAGUGAGUUUGAUUAGGGUUACUCGUGUACUGACUCAAUUUACUAAUAGCACAUGUUAUAUCUGGUCACGUACAAUUCAUAAUAUGCAUUAAACUUUCCAUUACUCUUGCAUAGUUCAAUGUGACUUUCACCUUCAUUCUUUUGAAAUGAAAAGCUUAGAUCUAGUGAAUCUUGACAAUAUUGAAAUCCAAAUACAUGAACUUGUCAAGUACCUUUUCGAUGUAAUAAGACUAUGACCAUGCCAAGCCUUGUGGAUUUCUAUGAAUUCUUAUCCUAAGAUCACAUUAGUAACUCCAAGUCUUUUAUAUCAAAUUCACUUUCUAGUGUUUGUUUCAUAGAAUUUAUGUCAGAAAUGUUUCUAUUGAUAAUCAACAUGUCAUCCACAUACAAAUAAAUAAUGACUUCGUAAUUUGGAGUAUCUUUAAUGUAAAAACACUUAUUACAUUUAUUUAUCUUGAAUUUGUUUUCCAACAUGGUUUGGUCAAACUUUGCAUGUCACUGUUUAGAUGCUUUCUUUAGCUCAUAAAGAGACUUAACAAGUUUGCACACUUUCCUUUCUUUACCAGGAACCACAAAACCCUCGGGUUGUUCUAUGUAAAUUUCUUCCUUAAAUUUUUCAUUUAAGAAAUAUAUUUUUCACAUUCAUUUGAUGGAUUUCAAGAUCAUAUAUCAUCGCUAGUGCAAUUAACAUCCGAAUAGAUGUUAUCCUUGUUACUGCCAAGUAUAUGUCGAAAUAAUCAAGGUCUUCUUUUUGUCUAAAGCCUUUCACAAUAAGUCUUGCCUUGUAUUUGUCAAUAGUACUAUCAACUUUCAUUUUUCUUUUAAAGAUUCAUUUUGAGCCUAAAGGUUUAUUUCCUGGAGGAAGAUCAACCAACUCUCAAUUAUGGUUGCUCAUGAUUGAAUCAAUUUCACUAUUGACAACCUCUUUUCAAAAAGAUGAGUUCAUAGAAGACAUCACUUCUUUAAAUGUUUGAGACUCAUUUUGGAGAAGAAAUGUUACAAAAUCUGAUCCAAAGGAAGUUGAUGUCCUUUAACCUUUACUGCACCUUGAAUUCUCUUCAUUAAAUACAUUCUUCGUUGAUUCAUUCCUAGGUUACUUAGUCCUUUCACUUGACAACUCAUGUCUAGUAUUUCGAAUAAAUGUGUUUAAAAAAAUCACUAUUAUCUUAUUUAAUUAUCAUACUAUCAUUGAUAUUUGGAUGUCCAAAUUUAUGAACCAGAAAUCGACGUUCACUAUUUGUAGCAUAUCCAAUGAAAACAUAUUCCAUAAUCUUUGGCCCUAUUUUCACCCAUUCGAAUUUAGAAAUUUGGAAUUUGGCUAGACACCUCCACACUUUGAGAUAUUUCAAGUUGGAUUUUUUUUCUUUUAAUUUGUCAUAUGAAAUAGAUUGUGUAUGACGCACUCUAUUGAGUACUCGAUCUGCUGUAAGAAUAGCUUUCCUCUACAAGUUUUGCAAUAAACAUAAAGUUUAAAGUAAAGCAUUUAUUAUUUACUUCAAUGUUCGAUUUUUUCCUUUUCACAAUUCUAUUUGUUUGAGGUGAAUAGACAGUAGUUUAAUGGACAGGUAGUAAAAGUAGCCGCGCUUCGGGCAUUGAUGUAAAAAAUUAAUUAUUUUUUUGAUCAAUUUUAUAUUCACUUUAGAUUUAUUAUCUAACCAUAAAAUUAUAACUUAUUAUAGUUAUAUUAUGAAGAAGGUUUUUGUUCCAUAAAAGAAAAUAAAAUUUGACAUUUAUUAAUGAUGGAUAGUAUAUUCUUUAUCAAUAAAUUAAAAUAUAUUCUCUAAUAACAAUUUUAUAUCAUUUCUAUCGCACAUUCUAUGAAGUUGAGAUUUUAAUUUGAAAUAAUAUACUUUUUUAUGUGUCUAAAUUAAUUAUUAAAAAUAAAUAAAUCACUUAUUGAAAUACGCAAUAUAUAUAUAUAUAUAAACUAUUUUCAAUAGCGUAAACACAAUCCUGCUUGUGUCCUAUGUUUUUUUUUCUUUUGUCGAAUCAGAAAAAGACAUGAACUAUCAAGCAAACAUUUGAAAAAGUUCUGAUCAUUGCAUAAAUUCUCCAAUAAAGUUGAACAACAAUAUCAUAUUCCUAACAGUACUACAUUCAGUUUACAUGCAAUGCUUCUACAAAUUCAGUAGACCCAAGUUAUCCAAAUAGAAAUUGAAGUCCUUCUCCCCGUCCGAUUUCAGAAAAUCAAAAUCAAAGUUAUCUGUGAUAGUUGCUUGUUGCUUCACUUGCUGCAAAUCUUCCAACAUAACAAAAAUAGAAGUAGGGAAGAAGAAAGACCAUAUGAUACAUACAUACAUAUAUAUAUAUAUAUAUAUAUAUANNNNNNNNNNNNNNNNNNNNNNNNNNNNNNNNNNNNNNNNNNNNNNNNNNNNNNNNNNNNNNNNNNNNNNNNNNNNNNNNNNNNNNNNNNNNNNNNNNNNNNNNNNNUGAAAAUACCCAAAACAACUAAAUCUGGACGUAAAUCUGAAAGUAAAUCCGAAAGCCUCUAAACUGUCUGAAUAAGGAGUUGAAGGAACAUGUCUCCAACUGACUCCGUAAAACAAAAUUGAAGAAAUAAAUAAAUAAAUCAAAUCAUAUUGUUCUCGAAUCAAUGAGGACUCACUGUGUCUCUGCGACUGGAAUGCUACCACUACUGCUGGGCUGGAGCUCGUGUCUCAUAACCUAUGGUGUACCAUGAAAAGAAAGCACCAUAGCACAAAUGCGUCAGUACAAAUGGAGUACUAGGUAUACGAGGAAGGUAGGCUGAACAUAAAGGGUUUCAUGCAUGAACAACACUGACUGACUAAUAUGAAUGUGGGAGUGCAAACACACAUAUAUAGAAACUAGGACCGUGAAUACGUGAUAGCAUGACCUGUAAGAUAAUACAUGGUUUACUGAUAACUGUCAUGACUGAUACUAAAACUGUUAACAUGGACGACUGUAUCUGAUAGUCCUGUAUAAACUGAAAUCUGAAUAACGACAUGAGUUCUUUUACUGAGACUGAUACUGAAAUUGUGGGAAGUAGUGUUUAACCGACAUACCCCAUGUAUGCCGUUAUGGCUAAGCUGGGGUCCAAUCUCUGCCCCGACUGGAGGGGUGUCAAUACCGUGCUACAGGUAAGGACAGCCUAUGAGUGACCCUUAUCUGGCGGGUACUCAAUGAGAACGGUGGGAACCCUACACUAACAGGUUAAGCCACCUCAUCAACCCUAAUCUGAUGGGUUAAGAUGUCUCAACCUACGCUNNNNNNNNNNNNNNNNNNNNNNNNNNNNNNNNNNNNNNNNNNNNNNNNNNNNNNNNNNNNNNNNNNNNNNNNNNNNNNNNNNNNNNNNNNNNNNNNNNNNNNNNNNNNNNNNNNNNNNNNNNNNNNNNNNNNNNNNNNNNNNNNNNNNNNNNNNNNNNNNNNNNNNNNNNNNNNNNNNNNNNNNNNNNNNNNNNNNNNNNNNNNNNNNNNNNNNNNNNNNNNNNNNNNNNNNNNNNNNNNNNNNNNNNNNNNNNNNNNNNNNNNNNNNNNNNNNNNNNNNNNNNNNNNNNNNNNNNNNNNNNNNNNNNNNNNNNNNNNNNNNNNNNNNNNNNNNNNNNNNNNNNNNNNNNNNNNNNNNNNNNNNNNNNNNNNNNNNNNNNNNNNNNNNNNNNNNNNNNNNNNNNNNNNNNNNNNNNNNNNNNNNNNNNNNNNNNNNNNNNNNNNNNNNNNNNNNNNNNNNNNNNNNNNNNNNNNNNNNNNNNNNNNNNNNNNNNNNNNNNNNNNNNNNNNNNNNNNNNNNNNNNNCUUGAUCAUAAGAGUAGAGUCCAUAAUUUAUAAUAUCAUAAGUAGGGAUCUCAUACUAAACAUGGUUAUCAACAAUGUAUUGCAUGGGAAGGAUUUCAUAUCACAUGGAAGUACUUGAAAAAUCUUAAUAUCAUGUUCAUUGCAUAAUCAUAUUGGCAACACAUACCAAUAGCAUGGAAGUUCAUAUGGAUUGCAUGGUUAUCAUACAUCUUGUUCAUACGUAGGAUUCCCAAGUACACAUAGCAUAAUCUCAUAAGAAUAGUUCAUAAGUAUUCCUACAAUAUUUACAAGGCACAUUAUCAACAUAGAAGACAUUGGAACGUAAGGGCAUACCAUGAAUCCUUCACUUAGUCACAAUUUAGCUAUAUUGCAUGAUUUCUAGUUUCUUAGGCAUUUUAUCAAACACCUUACAUGCACAUCUUAAGCAUAGGUGAAACCAUCAAAUUAUACAUCAUGAACAACCAAAUUUACAUGUUUCCAACUCAUAUGAUAUCAUGAAAUNNNNNNNNNNNNNNNNNNNNNNNNNNNNNNNNNNNNNNNNNNNNNNNNNNNNNNNNNNNNNNNNNNNNNNNNNNNNNNNNNNNNNNNNNNNNNNNNNNNNNNNNNNNNNNNNNNNNNNNNNNNNNNNNNNNNNNNNNNNNNNNNNNNNNNNNNNNNNNNNNNNNNNNNNNNNNNNNNNNNNNNNNNNNNNNNNNNNNNNNNNNNNNNNNNNNNNNNNNNNNNNNNNNNNNNNNNNNNNNNNNNNNNNNNNNNNNNNNNNNNNNNNNNNNNNNNNNNNNNNNNNNNNNNNNNNNNNNNNNNNNNNNNNNNNNNNNNNNNNNNAGUAUGUUUAGAAGAUAUAUAUUUCGUAGGGUUAAGUUUAGGGACGUGUAAGGAGUAUUUAAAGACUUAAUUACCUUUAAAAUAACUCAAGACGGAGUGUUUUUGACACCUGGAAUUGACUUAGGCGGCACCCAAGUGAUCGCCUAUGCUUGGGUUGGGCGGUGUCUAACCAAUUGCCUAUGCUUAGGUUGGGCGGCACCUAACCAAUCGCCUAUGCUUGGGUUGGGAGGCGCCUAACCAAUCACCUAUGCUUACUGUCUCUAACGAAAAUGGGCAUAACUUUUUGCUCGUGUAUUGGAUUAAGGCGAAAUUGGUAUCGUUGGAAAGAUAAUUCGAUUCUCUAUAAUUUGGUGGGUCUAAAUAAGCCAAAAUACCACAUUAACAUAGAUUUAUACUUGUUCAAAUAUGACCCUUGCAAAAUUGAACACUAAAACUUGAUGGAUUCAAAAACUCUUAGCUUGUAUUUCGCAAAAGAACCUUGACUAGAUGGACUUCUUUGUUCCUCAAUCUACGAGUCUGAUAAUCUAAGAUUUUGACUAAAAUCUCUUCAUAGGAGAGGCUAUUCUAAAUGUCGAUGCUCUGAAUAGGGACAACAACUGCUGGGUUACCUAUGCACUUCUUUAGCAAAGAGACAUGGAAGACUGGAUAGAAUGAGGCUAGAUCUGAAGGCAACUCAAGAUCAUAAGCUACCUUGCCGAAGUGACAAAGAAUUCUGAAGGGAACGACAUAUCGGGGACUGAGUUUCCCUUUCUUGCCAAACCUCUUCACUCUCUUUAUGGGAGAGAUCUUAAGAUAGAUAUAGUCAUUGACCUCAAACUCGAGACCCUUUCUACGAAUAUCUGCAUAGGACUUCUGUCAGCUUUGAGCAGCUCGGAGUCUCUCUCUGAUCAGCUGAACUUUCUCUAAGGCGUCGAAUACUAAGUCAGGACCUAUGAUUGAGGCAUCACUAACUUCAAACCAACCAAUUGGAGAUCCACAUCUCCUACCAUAGAGAGCUUCGAGUGGAGCCAUCUGAAUACUAGAAUAAUAGCUAUUGUUGUAUGCAAACUCAAUCAAAGGAAAGUGGCCGUCCUAACUUCCCUUGAAGUUAAUUGCAUACGCCCUUAGCAUAUCUUCAAGAGUAUGAAUGUUCCUUUCUACUUGACUAUCUGUCUGAGGAUGAAAUGCUGUGCUGAGAUGGACUUGGGUACCGAGACCCUUUUAGAAUGCUUUCCAAAAGUGAGAAGUGAACUGGGUACCUCUUUCUGAUAUGAUAGAUAGUGGAACACCAUAUAACCUGACUAACUCCCUGAUAUAGAGUUUGGCAUAAUCCUCGACAGAAUAAGAAGUACGAACAGGAAGGAAAUAAGCUGAAUUGGUCAUUCUAUCUAUAAUGACCCAGACAGAAUCAUGCUGAUGACGAGUUUUAGGCAAAAUUCGUCACGAAGUCCAUGUUAACUUCUUCCCACUUCCAAGUAGGAAUGGUGAACUCUUGCAUGGAACCAUUAGGUUUCUGAUGCUCUAUCUUAACCUGCUGGCAUGUAGAGCACUUAGCCACAAACUCUAAAACAUCUCUCUUUAUCCCACUCCACCAAUAGAUCUCCCGCAUGUCGCGGUACAUCUUAGUGGCCCCUGGAUGAAUAAAGUAUUGCGUACUAUGCGCUUCUGCAAGUAUUCGCUGCCUAAAUUCAUCUACACCUAGAACACAUAGACGACCUUGACAACGAAGAACACUAUCUCCUUCUUGGGAGAAAACCUCAAAUUUCUGAUUCUGAACUGACUCUUUGAGCUUGACAAGGCUAGGAUCCCUAUCUUUUUUCUCUUUCACCUUGGAAACUAGAGAUGACUCUGAACUACUAUGAACAAAUACGCCACCCUCUGAAGAAUCAACUAAGAGAACGCCUAGUCUGGCAAGCUGAUGGAUCUCCUAAGCCAUUUUUUUCUUACUAUCCUCAAUGUGAGAAAUACUACCCAUAGAGAGUCGACUGAGAGCGUUGGCCACAAUAUUUGCCUUGCCCGGAUGAUAAAGAACACUCAUGUCGUAAUCCUUCAAGAGCUCUAACCACCUUCUCUGGCGAAGAUUGAGAUCUUUCUGGGAAAAGACAUACCGGAGGCUUUUAUGGUCUGUGAAGACAUCUACAUAAACUCCAUAGAGAUAAUGCCUCCAAAUCUUUAAGAAAAAAACUACCGCUGCUAACUGAAGAUCAUGAGUAGGAUAAUUCUUCUCAUGUGGCUUUAACUGUCUGGAGAUAUCCUUACCAUGCUGCAUGAGGACACAACCUAAACCCACUCUGGAUGCAUCACAAUAGACUACAAAACCAUCUGAACCAUUUGGAAUAUCUAGAACAGGAGCAGAGGUGAGUUGAGUCUUCAACUCUUGAAAGCUCUUCUCGCAUGAAUCUGACCACUGAAACUUAAUCUUCUUCUGAGUCAAUCUAGACAUGGGAGAUGCAAUAGAAGAAAAUCCCUCAACAAACCAUCUACAAUAGCCAGCCAAACCCAAGAAACUCCUAAUAUAUGAUGGAGAUACGGGUCUGGGCCAGUUUUUUACUGCCUCAAUUUUCUGAGGAUCUACUCUAAUUCUAUCACCGGAAAUAAUAUGGCCAAGGAGUGCUACUGAUCUUAGCCAAAAUUCGCACUUGCUGAACUUAGCGAAUAAUUGGUAAUCUCUGAGAGUUUGAAGAACAAUCCUGAGAUGGUCUGCAUGAUCACGCUCUGUGUGAGAAUAGACCAGAAUAUCAUCUAUGAAGACUAUGACAAACAUGUCCAAGUACUGCUUGAACACACGGUUCAUCAAAUCCAUAAAAGCUGCAGGGGCAUUAGUAAGGCCAAAUGACAUGACUAAAAAUUUAAAGUGACCAUACCGAGUAUGGAAAGUUGUCUUCGAAAUGUCACAUUCUCUAACUCUGAGCUAAUGAUAGCCUGAUCUAAGGUCUAUUUUGGAGAAGUAACUGGCACCCUGAAGUUGGUCGAAUAGAUCAUCAAUCCUGGGAAGAGGAUAUCUAUUCUUGACCGUGACCUUGUUGAGUUGAUGGUAAUCAAUACACAUCCUGAGAGAACCAUCUUUCUUGCACAUGAAUAAUACUGGCGCACCCCAUAAGGAAAUGCUGGGUCUGAUGAAUCCCUUAUCUAAGAGAUCCUUCAACUAAUCUUUCAGUUCCUUUAGUUCCGUUGGUGCCAUUCUGUAUGGCGGAGUAGAAAUAGGUUGAGUAUCCGGAAGAAGGUCUAUGCCAAAGUCUAUUUCCCUUUCGGGAGGAAUGCCUGGAAGAUCUUCGGGAAAGGCAUCUGAGUAUUCAUUAACAACAGGGACUGUUUUGAGGCUGGGAUAUUCAGAACUGGAAUCUUUAACAUACACGAGAGGACACACCCCUUAUAAAUUAUUUUUCUUGCCCUAAGGUAGGAAACAAGUUAACCCCUGAAUGCUAAAAUGAUACCCUUCCACUCUAGGGCGGGCUCAUUCGGGAACUGAAACUGAACUAUCUUAUUUCUGCAAUCGACUGUGGCAUAGCAGGAAUAAAGCCAAUCCAUGCCUAGAAUGACAUCAAAAUCAGUCAUUUCUAACUUCACUAAUUCUGCUGACGUGGAUUUCUGAGAUAUCAUAACCGGGCAGUUCCUGUAUACCCGUCGGGCUAUGAUGAUUUUACCCACUGGGGUAGAGACUGAGAAAGGCUCUGCUAGGACUUCGGUACUGAUUUCAAAAUCGCCUGCUAUGUAUGGAGUAACAAAAUACAAAGAUGCACCUGGGUCUAGCAAAGGAUAAACAUGAACAUGGAAAAUUUGUAACGUACCAAUAACGCCAUCAGGAGAAUUUUCUUGAUCCUGCCGGGAAUGAAGAGUUUAACUUGUGAUUAUGCUCACUAGCAUGACAUGAAUAAUGAAGAAAUGGGACUUUUCCUAAAACAUCUUAUAGCCUCUCACACAUAAAUAUGGCGCACAACACACCCAUGUACAAGACUCUACUAGAUGCGGCUUUCUGACAUCCUAGGACUCUAUUAAACCUUAGGCUUUGAUACCAAGUUUGUAACACCCCGAUUCGCUGAACCAGAAUGCAACAUGGUGCUCAUGACCCCGAGGGACCACAAGCUAACCCAUGACUGAUAUCUGUACCUGUAUACUGCAAAUCAUGAUAUAAUAAUGCGGAAUACAUGGAACUGUAAGGCCAUAAGGUUCAACUGAACAAAACCAUGUGGGUGAAAAUACCCAAAACAACUCAAUCUGAAUGUAAAUCUGAACAUAAAUUUGAAAGCCUCGAAACUAUCUGAAUAAGGAGUUGAAGGAACAUGUCUCCAACUAACUCCGUAAAACUGAACUGAAGAAAUAAAUAAAUGUAUCAAAUCAUAUUAUCCUCGAAUCAAUGAGGACUCACUGUNNNNNNNNNNNNNNNNNNNNNNNNNNNNNNNNNNNNNNNNNNNNNNNNNNNNNNNNNNNNNNNNNNNNNNNNNNNNNNNNNNNNNNNNNNNNNNNNNNNNNNNNNNNNNNNNNNNNNNNNNNNNNNNNNNNNNNNNNNNNNNNNNNNNNNNNNNNNNNNNNNNNNNNNNNNNNNNNNNNNNNNNNNNNNNNNNNNNNNNNNNNNNNNNNNNNNNNNNNNNNNNNNNNNNNNNNNNNNNNNNNNNNNNNNNNNNNNNNNNNNNNNNNNNNNNNNNNNNNNNNNNNNNNNNNNNNNNNNNNNNNNNNNNNNNNNNNNNNNNNNNNNNNNNNNNNNNNNNNNNNNNNNNNNNNNNNNNNNNNNNNNNNNNNNNNNNNNNNNNNNNNNNNNNNNNNNNNNNNNNNNNNNNNNNNNNNNNNNNNNNNNNNNNNNNNNNNNNNNNNNNNNNNNNNNNNNNNNNNNNNNNNNNNNNNNNNNNNNNNNNNNNNNNNNNNNNNNNNNNNNNNNNNNNNNNNNNNNNNNNNNNNNNNNNNNNNNNNNNNNNNNNNNNNNNNNNNNNNNNNNNNNNNNNNNNNNNNNNNNNNNNNNNNNNNNNNNNNNNNNNNNNNNNNNNNGCGGGUGAGUUCCCAUCCUUGGGUUCACCUGGUGCUAACCUCUACUCCCAUCUGGAGGGACUGGACAUGAAUAACUGACUGUGCAUGACUUAAUCUUACUGAAUUUCAUUGACUGGCGGAAUGUUACUGAUAUCUAACUACUGACUAAGAUCAUGAGGUUUUCCCGAGUCAUAUGACUGAUGAAAGACUAUUGAAUCAUAGUUUGAGUUCGAAUAUCGUGAAACAUGACAUGGAUGUAGGUACACAACUAUAGUUUUUGGGUACAAGUAUCCCCAGGACUCGAUGAAAGGAAACUGACACACAUGACUGACUUGAUCAUAAGAGUAGAGUCCAUAAUUUAUAAUAUCAUAAGGAGGGAUCUCAUACUAAGCAUGGUUAUCAACAAUGUAUUGCAUGGGAAGGAUUUCUUAUCACAUGGAAGUUCUUGCAAAAUCUUAAUAUCAUUUUCAUUGCAUAAUCAUAUUGGCAACACAUACCAAUAGAAUGGAAGUUCAUGUGGAUUGCAUGGUUAUCAUACAUCCUAUUCAUAAGUAGGAUUUGCAAGUAAACAUAUCAUAAUCUCAUAAGAAUAGUUCAUGAGUAUUCCAACAACAUUUAUAAGGCACAUUAUCAACAUAGAAGACAUUGGAAUGUAAGGGCAUAUCAUGAUUUCUUCACUUAGUCACAAUUUAGCUAUAUUGUAUGAUUUCUAGUUUCUUAGGCAUUUUAUCAAACACCUUACAUGAACAUCUUAAGAAUAGGUGAAAUCAUCAAAUUAUACAUCAUGAACAACCAAAUUUACAUGUUUCCAACUCAUAUGAUAUCAUGAAAUNNNNNNNNNNNNNNNNNNNNNNNNNNNNNNNNNNNNNNNNNNNNNNNNNNNNNNNNNNNNNNNNNNNNNNNNNNNNNNNNNNNNNNNNNNNNNNNNNNNNNNNNNNNNNNNNNNNNNNNNNNNNNNNNNNNNNNNNNNNNNNNNNNNNNNNNNNNNNNNNNNNNNNNNNNNNNNNNNNNNNNNNNNNNNNNNNNNNNNNNNNNNNNNNNNNNNNNNNNNNNNNNNNNNNNNNNNNNNNNNNNNNNNNNNNNNNNNNNNNNNNNNNNNNNNNNNNNNNNNNNNNNNNNNNNNNNNNNNNNNNNNNNNNNNNNNNNNNNNNNNNNNNNNNNNNNNNNNNNNNNNNNNNNNNNNNNNNNNNNNNNNNNNNNNNNNNNNNNNNNNNNNNNNNNNNNNNNNNNNNNNNNNNNNNNNNNNNNNNNNNNNNNNNNNNNNNNNNNNNNNNNNNNNNNNNNNNNNNNNNNNNNNNNNNNNNNNNNNNNNNNNNNNNNNNNNNNNNNNNNNNNNNNNNNNNNNNNNNNNNNNNNUACAAUUUGGUGGGUCUAAAUCAGCCAAAAUACCACAUUAACAUCGAGUUAUACUUGUUCAAAUAUUUCCCUUGCAUAAUCAAAGACUAAAACUUGAUGGAUUCAAAAACUCUUAGUUUGUAUUACCUUAAGUGACUCAUAUGAACAUGCUUAAUGCAUCAUAAGCUAUCCUAUCACUAGGAUAUUCAUUGUAAGUCAUGUACUCAAGCAUGAACCACAGGAUAGGAGAUUUCAUACGUAGGAAUACUUAUUCACUUCCUAGCUUAGAAACAUGCGGGGUAUUACAAUAUAUAUAUAUAUAUAUAUAUAUAGAGAGAGAGAGAGAGAGAGAGAGGGAGAGAGAGAGAAAGAUCAAAAUAACAAAAUAAUGAAGAAAUCUAUUAGACAAAAAGAUCAAAAAGCAUGAAAAAAUUAAAUCAAGUAGAUCCUUGUGUAAAUGUCCAUUAUUUCUCUGCACCUAAUUAUCAACAAAACUCAAAACCUUCUCAACAUUAUAUAACUUCCUUCUUCUUUUAUUUUUGAAGCGCACAAUACUGUUCCUCACAACAUUAACUAUACAAGGCCUUUUAUAUAGAAUUGAAAUAUUGUAUACUGUGACCCUUCAUUGUCUAUUCAUAUCUCUUAAUUUUCUUGAGUAAUGAAGAUUAUUAAGAGCAUGAGUUAUAAAGAUGAUAAUAUGUGAGUUAAUCCCACAAAAUUAAUGGACAUUAUUAGAUAGAAGUUAUGAAAAUAUCAACUGGUGUUAGUUAUGAAAAUAACUUAAUAAGUAAAUUAUUUAAGAAAAAUAAAAAUACUUUAAAAUAGAUUAUUGUGUUAUUAUUAUAUAGUGAAAUGGAAAGAUUAAUGUCAAACAAAUAAGAAAAAAGAUAAAUGCAAUUGGAGGCUUUAGAAGUAUGCCACAUCAACAUAGUUUUAAGUCUCUCUAUAUAUAUGUAGAGAGAGAGAUUGAUUCUCAUUUAUCAAAAUUGGAUGAUAUCCUAUAUAAUACUCAUAAAAUAUAACUAUUAAGAUUAAAAUAAUUUGACUUAGAUAAAAAUAAACUAUUAAAAAAAUAUUAUAUUUCAAAAAAGAUGUUGAAUUAAAAUCCCAACGCAACAUAUAGUUUUUUAUAUAUUACAUGCAUAUAUGUCAACUCUUCUUUUGUUUUUGUUUUUUAAAUUGAAUUUUGAUGCAUUACAUGUAUAAUGUUCUCUCUAUAAACAUUACAUUCAUAUACAUUAUCUCUUCAUUUGUAUUUACUGUAUCUCUCUCUAAUUCAUAUUACGUGAAUUUUUUUUCUAUACCUUUUUAAAAGUGAUUUCUCUCCCUCUAGUCAAUGUUAAGUAAGGUACAAAAUAAAAGGAAAAAUGAGAGAAAAUAAAAUACUAAAUAAAAGUUAAGGGAAUAUCACAUUGAAAAUUAAAUCAAAACCCAAACUAAAUUAAUAUAUUUUAUGAUAAAUCUUUAGUAUAAAAAAAACAAAAUAAAUUCAAUACGAAAUGGUACUAAAUAUAAAUAUCGUGCUCUUUGAGAUUUAGAAAUAUUUAUCUUGAUGAGAAGAAUACUACAUGCUAAUGACUAUUCACUGUCCUCAUCACUUAAUAUAAUUAUUUAUUUUUUCUUGCCUUCACAUUUUUUCAUUUUCUUUAGUGACAUUAAUUUUACCAUUACUACUACAGAAUGCAUAAAUAGAUAUUUAAUUAUCAUUAAGAUCAUUCUUAUAUGGACUGAUUUUAGUAUUGCUCUUGGUGGACUACAAUAGGUGAAAGUAGAAUAAUUCAUUUACUUAGUAGAUUAUGUACAAACAUAUAUAAAAAAAAAGAUAAAUAAAAAUGUUGAUCAUAGAAAAAAUUGUUUCACAUCACAUUGUUCAUGUCUAGCUUUAAUAUUUAUUUGAGAUAAUACCCAAUUACCCUCUGAACUAUACCUAAAAAGGUUGUGACACACCUCAACUUAAAGGGGGUCCUAUUACCCCCAGAACUAAUUAAAAGUGUAAUUUUGAUACCCUUAGUGCCUACGUGGCACAUACAUGGUGUGUCACGUAGGCACUAAGGGUAUCAAAAUUGCACUUUUAAUUAGUUCUGGGAGGUAAUAGGACCCCCUUUAAGUUGAGGUGUGUCAUAGCCUUUUUGGGUAUAGUUCAGGGGGUAAUUGGGUAUUUUCUCUAUUUAUUUAGAUUGUAUUUUUUUUCAUAGAACUGAAUAUCUACUGCUAUAAAAAUAUAAUCUUAUGGAAGAAAGAAAUUAAUUAAUUAAAUAAGGUAAGUUGAUACUUACAAAAAGUGGAACAAAAGAAAAUAUACUUACCUUCAACAAAGAUUUUCUCAACAAUAAUAUUGGUCAUCGGCAAUGGACCAAAAACAAUUACAAAGAUAUAGCUUUUUUUUUUCUCCGUAAUAAGACCUUGUACCUGAAAAUGAAUUUAGGGUUUAAGAUUUAUGAACUUAUUUAACAAUCACAAUAUAAUACCAUGCUUAGUAAUAAAAAUACCAAUUACAUUUUUAAAACGUAAAAGUUGUGCUUAAUAUAUUUACAUAAAAAAAUAAAGAAGACUGAAAAAUGAAAAAUAAAAUAUUGAAACAUUAAAAGAAGUAGUGCUGAUAAUUACCAUCUUUUGAGACGAUUAAGUAUUUUAUCGGAUCUGAAAAAGCUACUAAAUUAAAUUAAAUGAAUAACGUAUUAAAGAAAAAAACAUCUGAAGAAGAAGAAAAUAAUUAUACCUCAUAUUACAAAUCCAACCAUAAAGUUUAAAAUUGAUAAAUCACAUAAGUUGAUUUUUUGAUGCACUUGUUUGUUCUAAAAAUAAAGUAAGAAGACUAUCGAUAGCAAAAAGACUAUCCUAUACUUGUUCUGAGUUAUAGACAUAUUCAUACAAAAAAAUUACGACGAAAAACAUGGGAUAAAAAUAAGGUGAGAAGAUGAAGAAUGUAUCAAAUAUUCUUCAUCCAAUCUAAGCAUGAAAUAGCCUUUCAUGCUGAUGAAAAACAUGGUAUGAAAAUAAGGUGAAAAAUGAAGAAUGUGCCAAAUACUCUUCAUCCCAUAUAAGUAUGAAAUAACAUUUUGUCACGCCUCAAAUCCUAUUGGGGCGGACAGGCACCCGUAGCCGUGAAGGCCCGAGAGAACCAACCCAUAACCUUGGAAUUCACAUGCAUGCAACUAUAAUAGGCAAAGAUUUUGCCAUCUACGGAUAUAAUGCCUUAAUAAAAAAAUAUAAACUACAAGCCCUAAAACUAUAUACAUAAUAGACUUGGUCAUUGGGGCUAUAACAUCUACAAGAUAACACACUAACAUGCUUAAGUUUACAUUGAUCUACAAAGCCUCUAGACGAUACAUAGAACUUAGCUAAGGUCGGGACAAACCCCCUCCAUACUAUUAACUUUUAUACAACAACAACAACAAACCCAGUGUAUUCUCACAUAGUGAGGUCUGGGGAGGGUAAGAUGUACCCAGUCCAUACUUCUACCUCUAAAGAAGUAGAAAGGCUGUUUUCGAUAGACCCUUGGCUCGAGACACGGAAUACUACACAAAUACAUAGUAAAACAUGGAACAAGAUGGCAUAACAUAAAUACGACACCCACAAGUAAUAUAAAAUAGAGAAAAGUAAACAGAAUCGUAAUAAAUCAUGAAACAAGGUAUCAUGACAAGAAUAAUACCCCCACCAAGUAAUUCACUACACUAGCGACCCAAACUGACCUUAGCCUUCUGUCCUAAUUCGCGUCCUCCAGAUCUUCCUAUCUAGGGUUAUGUCCUCAGUGAGCUAAAACUGCUCCAUGUCCCGCCUAAUCUCCUCUCCCCAGUACUUCUUCGGCCUAUCCCUACCCCGCCUAAAACUAUCCAAAGAUAGCCUUUCACACCUACGAAUCGGGGCAUCCAUGCCUCUCCUUAUCACAGGUUCGAACCAUCUCAAUCGAACUUCCCGCAUCUUAUUCUCCACUGGAGUCACACCAACCUUCUCCCUGAUAGUCUCAUUCCGAACUCUAUCUCCCUAGUCAGCCCACACAUCCAACGCAAUAUCCGUAUUUUUGCCACCUUCAUUUUUUGAAUGUGGAAGUUCUUAACUGGCAAACACUCCACUUCAUACAACAUGGCCAGAUGGACUGCCGCCCUAUAGAAUUUGCCUUUAAGCUUGGAAGGCACCUUCUUAUCACACAACACCCCCGAAGCGAGCUUCCACUUCAUCCAUCCCACCCUAAUAUGGUGCAAGACAUCCUCGUCAAUCUUAUCGUUACCCUGAAUCACGGCCCUGAGAUACUUGAAACUAUCCCUCUUACAUACCACCUAUGAUUCCGACUUCACUACCACCUCAUUCUCCAGCCUCACGUCACUAAACUUGCAUUCCAAAUACUCUGUCUUGCUCCUACUCAGCUUGAAUCCUUUAGACUCAAGAGUUUGUCUCCAUACCUCUAAUUUAUCAUUCACCCCCCACCCCGAGUCUCAUCAAUCAAAACUACAUCAUCUAAAAAAAGCAUACACCAAGGCACCUCUCCUUGUAUACGCCGCGUCAACACAUCCAUCACCAAAGCAAACAAAAAGGGACUAAGAGUAGAUCCCUGAUGCAAUCCUGUCAAGAUAGUGAAAUGCUCUGAGUCUCCUCCCGCCAUCCUCNNNNNNNNNNNNNNNNNNNNNNNNNNNNNNNNNNNNNNNNNNNNNNNNNNNNNNNNNNNNNNNNNNNNNNNNNNNNNNNNNNNNNNNNNNNNNNNNNNNNNNNNNNNNNNNNNNNNNNNNNNNNNNNNNNNNNNNNNNNNNNNNNNNNNNNNNNNNNNNNNUCUUCAUAGAGUGACUCAAUAACUUAAUACCCCUAUAGUUAUUGCAACUCUGAAUGUCACCCUUGUUCUUAUAAAGAGGGAUCAUAGUACUCCACCUCUAAGCCUUGGGCAUUUUCACCGUCUUGAACUAUUAACUUUUAUACAAUACCAAAAAAUAUAUAGAACCGACUCGGAAAUCCGCGAAGCAAACUGGAGCUCACCAAUAGCAGAUGGAUAUCUUAGACUCUUAUUGAGGAGGCGUGUUUGCCGAAGCACCUGUGCCUGUAGCAUGAAAUAUAAGUUCCCCAUAAGAGGAGUCAGUACAAAAAUAUGUACUGAGUAUGCAAGGCGGAAAAGUAACAAUACAAGAUACAAAGGUUCAAUAAAAAUCUGGAGCAAGUGUAAAAAUAGUGAUAGAGACCACCUUUACAUUUACUUGUGGAAUAGGGUACAUUACCUUUCUUUCCUUAUUUUACCUUCUUGCUUCAUUAUCUUUUAAUCCAUAAGAUAUGAAUGACCAGUUGAUCAGUGGUAAAUAACAAAUUAGGAUCGGCCCAUGCUAAGCUUAUGCCCAGAGCUGCCACCUGUAAAUAAAUAUUGGGAUCGGCCCAUGGUAGGCUUAUGGCCCUGUGCUGCCACCCACAUAUAAAGUAUCGGGAUCGGCCCAUGCUAGGCUUAUGCCCCUGAGCUGCCACCCGUUUUACAGAUUUCCAUUACUUGGUUUAAUUAGCCUUUGAGAUUGUUACUUCGGUGGUCAUAACAUUAUGGUACCUUAAAAUAAUGAACAAUCAAUAAGAGACAUGUAAAUAGGCAAUCAAUGCAAUAACAAUAAAGUAAGGAGUUGUUGUCACGCUAAUAAAGUGUUUAGGAGCUAAAAAUAACACAUGGGUCUUAUUUGAGUAACCGGAGAAAUUCUGAAAUUUAUUAGGGAAAAUAGACAUGUAGGAUUGGUAGCAAGCAUGUAUUGAGGUGUUUUAACUCAUUAGAGAGUGGGAUCAAGUUCAUUAUUAACAUGGGAUAUCAUACGGUGUUAUUAUGUAUCACGUGUUAUAGGAUAAUCUUGGAAGCUUGCUCGAUGGAACAAGUGUCCGUUUUCAUGCCAAGAGUGCAAAAUAGAAUAUGCCUUACAUACUUGGUUGUAAGAAUACAAUACCAAACCAACUCGACUCUUCUCCUUUUUAGAUUAAUUAUCUUCAAUUAAAUAUAUGGAAAACUAAUAUUAGCAACCAAACGUCACAUUUUGGCUAUUUAACUUCACCAAACUAGUGGACGGGAAGUAACUCCUUAAUUUAUUAAUAAAGGGUGUCAAUUUAACCCUAUUAUACUCCAAUUACAUCCACAUACUAUACAUAUUCAUAUAAUAUCCUCCGACACAACUUUGGCUUCAUCACACCUCCCAACCAAGACACAAAGCAAGAUGAGCAAUAGACGCACACAAUCAUUAAUUCAGUGGUGUAUCACCACUCUAUAUUCUAUAGUUCAAUACAAACUAAUCACACAUUUUCCAAAUAGCAAAUGGGCAGCCCCCAACACAAACAGACAAAACAGUCCGCAACAACACUCCAAUCAUCCUUUAAUAGCAACAAAAUAUGUGUAAUCCUCUAUCAACACAUGUAUAUGGAAAAGGGACAAAAGUAGACAACAACCAUAACUUGAUUUCCUUGGUAGUUUAGUCCUUAAUGUGUAUUUAUUCAAUAGCUUAAUCUCUUCAUACAUACACCAAAAGAGAAAAGAGAAAUCCCUUAAUAACUAAGAACAAUUGACUAUCAAAACUUAAAGAGAGGGCUGUCCGGAAAUUAAUCUUGAACAACACAUAGUUUGCUUAGUACAAGCUCAUGAAUUAUUCACAUACCUUUAUCUUGGAAGGAAGUUCAAUCCCAAUAACUCUUUUGGAACUAUAGGGUUACUUCAUAGCCAAGAGAGAACAAGAGAGAAAAACCUAGAAAGCUGAAAUUUUUGUCUAGGUUGAAAUGAGAAAAAAUUGCUGAUUUCCAAUCCAUAUAUAGAAGAUUCUAUUUGAUGACUUAUUGACUAUUUUUGGUCUAUAUUUUUUCAAGUAAAUGAUGUAUAUACUUUCCCAAUAUUUUAGUCUUUUGUGGAUCCAAAACUAUUGGGCCUUUGUUGCCCAUUCUCCUUCUUUUCUUUCCUUUAGCUUGGGCCAAAAUUAAUUCAAGUAGGUGGUAGUGUAUUUGGCCCAAUAAGUUGGUCAAAGGAAGUCUUAGUAGGUUAUGUACAUAGGAAGUCUUAGUAGGUUAUGUACAUACUUAUUUAAUUCAUAUUGGGUUAAACUAAAAUGAGCCUUUGUAGCUUUGAGUGUUGGGCUUUUUUUUAUUUCCUUCUCUUUUACUUAAGUUAGGCCCAAAUGAGCACCUUAACAUAGGAUCAAAUUAUUCCAUUUCCCUCUCCUAAUCCCUUUAAUCUAACCUUUAACUUAUACACACUUGGUCACUUUAAACUCUUGAUUCAAAUACAAGCUUACAAUCCCAAGUUUACAUAGUCGUAUCGACGUUAACUUGGUCGCAUCACAUUAAACUGUAUGGGUAGCAUCUAUAAUUCCAUCUACACCAUUAAUACUUACAUAACAAAUCUCAUCUGUUACCUAUUCCACAAGGCUAUACUAGGUUCCAUAUAAUUAGAAUAAGUACAAGAAAAAUAUGGGAUGUUACAUCCUUCCCACCUUAGGAACAUUCGUCCUCGAAUGUUAGCAUAACUAUCCAACCAAAACAAGUUCAAACCUAAGUUUAAUAUCCCUAUUAUCACAUAGUACUUAUAUAUUACACUUACUGGUUAUUGCUCUAAUUCAGUAUCUUGGACUUUCUCUUCGUAUUUGAAUAGAUGAGGGUAUUUGGAUUUCAUUGCUUCCUUAGUUUCCCAUGUGAUCUCCUCUACUUGCUGGUUCCUCCAAAGUACUUUUACAGAUGCUAUUUCUUUAUUCUUUAUCUUCUUAACUUGUCGAUCUAGAAUGGAAAUAGGUAUUUCCUUAUAGGUGAGAUCUUCCGUACUUGUACGUCUUUAGUAGAAGUGAUAUGUGAUGGAUCUCUGAUGCACUUUCAAAGCAUUAAAACAUAAAAUACCAUAUGUACUGCUAAGAGCUCUUGGGGUAGCUCUAACUUAUAUGCGACCUGGUCAAACCUUUGAAUAAUCUUAUAUGGGCCUAUAUAACGUGGACUUAGUUUCCCUUUCAUACCAAAUCUCAUCACCCCUUUCAUUGGUGAUACCUUCAAGAAUACCCAAUCAUCGAUAGAAAACUCUAGCCCUCUUCUUCUACUAUCUGUAUAUGACUUGUGCCGACUUUGGGCUAUUUCCAGCCGCUGUUGAAUUACUUUAACCUUUUCCAUAGCUUGAUAAACAAAAUCUGGCCCGAACAAGGCAGUUUUACCCACUUCAAACUAUCCAAUUGGUGAUCUACACUUUCUUCCAUACAAAGCUUCAUAUGGUGCCAUUUUGAUACUUGAAUGAUAGCUAUUGUUGUAGGAAAACUCGAUAAGAGGCAAAUGAUCAUCCCAGCUACCCUUAAAGUCUAAUACACAAGCUCGUAUCAUAUCUUCAAGUGUUUGUAUGGUACGUUCUACUUGUCCAUCUAUUUGAUGGUGAAAAACUGUACUCAUAUUUACUUGUGUUCCUAAAUUCCUCUAAAAAGACUUCCAAAAAUUUGCAGUAAAUUGGGCUCCCCGGUCUGAUAUAAUAGAGAUUGGCACUCUGUGUAGUCGAACUAUCUCUUUAAUGUACAAUUUCACAUACUCUUUAACUGUGUAAGUGGUCUUAACUGGUAGGAAGUAUGCGGAUUUGGUAAGCCUAUCAACUAUCACCCAUAUGGAAUCAAACUUUCGAGAUGUACGAGGCAAACCAGUGACAAAAUCCAUGUUGAUCAUGUCCCACUUCCAGAUUGGAAGAUCUAUGCAUUGCGUAUAACCCCCGGACUUUUGGUGCUCUACUUUAACUCUUUGAUAAUUUGGACAUUCAGCUACAAAUUCUGCAAUGUUCGUCUUCAUGUCACUCCACCAAUAUAUUUCUUUCAAAUCUUGAUACAUUUUAGUUGACCCUGGAUGGAUGGAAUACCUCGAACGAUGUGCCUCUUUCAUAAUCCUUUUUCUUAGACCGUCUAUAUUAGGCACACAUAAUCUAUUUUGGCACUAAAGUACUCCUUCUCGCGUAAGCUCAAAUUCCUUAGUCGUACCACAUUGUACAUUCUCCUUAAGCUGUAAUAAAAUUGGAUCUACAUAUUGUUUCUCUUUCACUUCAGCUACUAAUGAAGAUUCCGCUGCAUUAUGCACAAUAAGCCCCUCAUCUGGAGUUUCAAGAAGGCUAACCCCCAAAUUAGCUAGUUUGUGGAGAUCUUUAAUCAUCCCUUUCCUUUUUAUAGAUGCCAUCAUAGCCUUACGACUUAGCGCAUCAGCUACCACAUUUGCUUUCCCUCGAUGAUACAAGAUAUCAAUAUCAUAGUCUUUUAAUAGUUUAAGCCACCUCCGCUGCCUCAAAUUUAGAUCCUUCUGGCUAAAGAUAUAUUGCAAACUUUUAUGGUUAGUAUAUAUGUCAACAUGAAUCCCAUACAAGUAGUGGCGCCAUAUCUUUAAAGCAAACAUAACUGCUGCUAGCUCGAGGUCAUGCGUAGGAUAGUUUUUCUCAUGUGGCCGCAAUUGUCUGGAGGCAUAUGCUAUUACUUUACCAUGAUACAUCAAUACACAUCCUAAGCCAAUUAUUGAAGCAUCACAAUACACCUCAUACCCUUCUGUGCCUUCUGGAAGUACCAAUACGGGUGUAGAAGUUAACUUAUUCUUCAGAUCUUGGAAACUCCUUUCACAGGCAUCAUUCCAUUGAAUAUUAGAUGCUUUGUGUGUUAGCUUGGUUAAAGGUGCAGAAAUUGAAGAAAAACCUUCAACAAACCUUCUAUAAUAACCUGCCAACCCAAGAAAACUACAAAUCUCCGUAGGCGUUGUGGGCCUUGGCCAACUCUUCACGGCUUAUAUCUUUUGAGUAUCAACCCUUAUUCUUUCACUAGAUACAAUAUGACCCAAGAAUGCCACCGAUUAUAACCAAAACUCACAUUUAGAUAACUUUGCAUAUAGUUUACGAUCAUGAAGAAUCUGCAACACAUGUCGUAAGUGAUUGGCAUGGUCCUCUUCUGAUCUGGAAUAAACUAGAAUAUCAUCUAUAAAAACUAUCACAAACACAUCUAAGAAUGUCUUAAACACCCUAUUCAUCAAAUCCAUAAAAACUGCGGGUGCAUUUGUUAGCCCAAAUGACAUGACUAGAAACUCAUAAUAACCGUACCGUGUUUGGAAAGCUGUCUUAGGUAUAUCCUUCUCUUUGACCCUCACUUGGUGGUAACCUGACCUCAAAUCAAUCUUUGAGAAGUACUUGGCGCCUUGUAACUAAUCAAAUAAAUCAUCAAUUCUUGGGAGGGGAUAUUUAUUUUUAAUAGUCCCCUUAUUCAGUUGCCAGUAGUCAAUACACAUUCUCAAUGAACCAUCUUUCUUAUGCACAAAUAACACUAGUGCACCCCAAGAAGACAUACUAGGCCUUAUGAAUCCUUUCUCUAGCAAGUUUUUCAAUUGCUCUUUCAAUUCUCGUAAUUUUGCCGGGGCCAUUAUAUACGGAGGAACUGAGAUUGGUUGGGUUCUUGGAAUCACAUCAAUACCAAACUCCACUUCUCAUUCAGGAGGCAAACCUGGAAGGUCUUCAGGAAAUACAUCAGGAAAUUCAUUUACCACCGAAAUAGUUUGAAGAGUUGGUGGCUCCGCAUCUGUAUACUUCACUCUAACUAGAUGAUAUAUGUAACCUUUGGAAAUCAUUCUUUUCUCCUUAAAAUAAGAAAUAAAUUUACCUCUUGGAGCACCAAUAUUACCUCUCCAUUCAAGGACUGCCUCCUUUGGAAAAUGGAAAUACACUCUUUUAGUUCAGCAAUCUACUGUAGUAUAACAAGACGCCAACCAGUCCAUACCCAUUAUAACAUCAAAAUCUACCAUUUCCAGAUCAACAAGAUCAGCCAUCGUAUUGCGACCGCAAAUAGUUAUAAUACAAUUUCGAUAAACCCUUCUAGCUAUAAUAGAUUCCCCAACCGGCAUAGAUACUUCCAAUGACUUAGCUAGCAAUUAAGGUAUUUUUUUAAACUUUCCUGCAACCAAUGGAGUGACAUAUGAUAAUGUAGAACCGGGAUCAAUUAAUGCAUAUACAUCAAGUGAAAAUAUAGAAAAUGUACCUGUAACCACAUCUAGAGAAGCCUAUAAAUUUUGUCGAUCCGCUAGAGCAUACGUAUGAUUCUGAACUCCACUAGAACUAGUUGCUCCUUUAUCACCCCUAGCACGACCCAUAUGUUAUGCACCCCUACCUGAACAAGGUACCAAUGAAGAUGAUACAACGGCUGAUCCAGUAGGUCAUGCCAUACUACCUAUGCUUCUUUGUGGGCAUUCUCUCAUCAUAUGCCCCGACAUACCACACCAAAGCAAGAAUUUUUCCCAAAUCGACAUGCACCUAAAUGAAGCUUUCCACAUUGUUUGCAUGUCUAUCGAUGAGGUCUUAAUUGGCUCAUACUUCCUUGCCCUUGAUACCCCACUAUUCGUGAACUCUGACUCUCACUGCUUUGCCGAAAUUGAUUACCUUUGGACCCUUGAAAUUAUGGUGGAGCACUAGCUGCAGAAUAAAAAGAUAAUGGCUAGGUGGUCUAUUAGAAAAUCGAGGCCUAAAAUUUCCUUGGGAUGCCAUAAACUGCCUCGUAGAUCUGGCCCUCUUGGAAUAUCGUCUUUCUAAUUCUUGUGUUUUUCUCCUUAGCCUCUGAUCCUCCAUUUUUUGUGCAAAAGCUUGUAUCCUUGCUAUGUCCAUGUCUUUGUUCAAAGCAGCAAUAGUACAAUCUCUAACCAAAUAUGGAUCCAACCUAUCCAUAUAUCGAUGAACUCUAGCAUCCAUAGUAGCUACAACAUUAGGAGCAUACCUAGACAAGGAGUUAAAUAGGAGGCUGUACUCUCUCAUGCUCAUAUUCCUCUGGCGAAGAUUCAAGAACUGAUCUACACGAGCCUGUCAAAUAUCGAAUGGAAGUUAAUUAUCAAGAAAUGCCUCUUUGAACUCUUUUCAAGUAGCUGGAGGUGCAUCGAUACCUCUAGAUCGUUUCCAGUCUUCGUACCAAAAUAUAGCCUCCCCUUUGAAUCUAUAUGAUGCUAACUCAAUUGUCUCUUUACCUGAUAUAUGCAUAACAUCUAGAGCCCUUUAGAUUUGAUCAAUUAAUUCUUGUGGGUCUUCAUUAAUAUCUGAUCCGGUGAAGGUGGGAGGAUCCAAUUUAAGAAAGUCUUACGUCUCAAGGCUAGCUGCCCUAUCUGCACUACUAGAACCUAUAGUAGUAAUGGCUUGCCCUUGAGAUUGUACAAUAACUAUACGAGCUAAAAGUUGCACUGCAUUUCUAAGAUCUUGAUCAGUAGCAUUAACAGGUGGCUCUGAGGAUGUGGUUCUUCUCCUUCUUAGCUCUUCUGGAGUGGAAGAAGUUUUUGAUACAUACUCAGCUUGAUCCUCACUUUGAUUAGCUUGUAUAGGUGGUGACUUGCUAGUCCCUUCUCCGGCAGCCAUAUUUACUCGCUUACUUGUAUUCUUACUCCUUCUUGUAAUUGACAUCCUUACUAUAAUAAGAGAAACAAGUAGAUUGAAUGGUUAAAUAUAACUUCAUCUACAAUAUGGGCUCUAUUGCACGAUCUAAGAUAAGAAGAAAAAGAGACAACCCCUAAAUGUCCCAUAGUUUUCUAUUUAUAGAUGUGGUGCACAAAACACCCAUAAAUAAGAAUCUACGUAGACACGGCUUUGUGGACUCCCUAGGACAACCCACUCUGAUACCACUUUUGUCACGCCUCAAAUCCUAUUGGGGCGGACAGGCACCCGUAGCCGUGAAGGCCCGAGAGAACCAACCCAUAACCUUCGAAUUCACAUGCAUGCAACUAUAAUAGGCAAAGGUUUUUCCAUCUAGAGAUAUAAUGCCUUAAUAAAAAAAAAUAUAAAUGACAAGCCCUAAAACUAUAUACAUAAUAGACUUAGCCGUUGGGGCCAUAACAUCUACAAGAUAACACAUUGUCAUGCUUAACUUUACAUUGGUCUACAAAGCCUCUAGAUGAUACAUAGAACUUAGCUAAGGUCGGGAUAAACCCUCGCCAUACUAUUAACUUUUAUACAAUGCCAAAAAUAUAUAGAACCGACUUGGAAAGCCCCGAAGCAAACUGGAUCUCACCAAUAGCAAAUGGAUAUCUUGGGAUUAUACUAAGGAAGCAUGUUUACCAAAUCACCUGUGCCUGUAGCAUUAAAUAUAGGUCCCCCAUAAGAGGAUUCAGUACGAAAAUAUGUACUGAGUAUACAAGGCGGAAAAGUAACACUACAAGAUACACAGGUUCAAUAAAAAUCUGGAGCAAGUGUAAAAAUAGUGCUAGAGACCACCUUUACAUUUACUUGUGGAACAGGGUACAUUAAAUUUCUUUCCUUCUUUUACCUUCUUACUUUAUUAUCUUUGUAAUCCAUAUGAUACGAAUGACCAUCUGAUCAAUGGUAAAUAACAAAUCAGGAUCAGCCCAUGCUAGGCUUAUGCCCCUGAGCUGUCACCUGUAAAUAAACAUUAGGAUCGACCCAUGCCAGGAUUACGCCCCUGAGCUACCACCCACAUAUAAAGUAUCAGGAUCGGCCCAUGCUAGGCUUAUGCCCCUGAGCUGCCACUCGUUUUACAGAUUUUCAUUACUUGGUUUAAUUAGCCUUUGAGAUUGUUACUUCGAUGGUCAUAACAUUAUGGUACCUUGAAUCAAUGAUCUAUCAAUAAGAGACAUGUAAAUAGGCAAUCAAUGCAAUAACAAUGAAGUAAGGAGUUGUUGGCACGCUAAUAAAGUGUUUAGGAGCUAAAAAUAACACAUGGGUCUUAUUUGAGUAACCGGAGAAAUUCUGAAAUUUACUAGGGAAAAUAGAUAUGUAGGAUUGGUAGCAAGCAUGUAUUGAGGUGUUUUAACUCAUUAGAGAGUGGGAUCAAGUUCAUUAGUAACAUGGGAUAUCAUACAGUGUUAUUAUGUAUCACGUGUUAUAGGAUAAUCUUGGAAGCUUGCUCGAUGGAACAAGUGUCCGUUUUCAUGCCAAGAGUGCAAAAUAGAGUAUGCCUUACAUACUUGAUUGUAAAACUCCAAUACCAAACCAACUCGACUCUCCGCCCUUUUAGAUUACUUAUCUACAAUGAAAUAUAUGGUAAACUAAUAUUAGCAACCAAACGUCACAUUUUGGCUAUUUAACUUUACUAAACUAGUGGACGGGAAGUAAGUCCUUAAUUUAUCAAUAAAGGGUGUCAAUUUAAUACUUUUAUACUCCAAUUACAUCCACAUACCAUACAUAGUCAUAUAAUAUCUCCUGACAUAACUUUGGCUUCAUUACACCUCCCAACCAAGACACAAAGCGAAAUGAGCAAUAGACGUACAUAAUCAUUAAUUCAGUGGUGUAUCACCACAUCCAUAUUAUAUAGCUCAAUACAAACUAAUCACACCUUUAUCCAAUAGCAACCAGGCAUCCCCCAACCCAAACACACAAAAAAGUCCGCAACAACACUCCAAUCAUCCUUUAAUAGCAACAAAAUAUAUGUAAUCGUCCAUCAACACAUGUAUAUGGAAACACGACAAAAGUGGAAAGCAACCAUACCUUGAUUUCCUUGGUAGUUUAAUCCUUAAUGUGUAUUUCUUCAAUAGCUUAAUCCCUUCACACAUACAGCAAAAGAGAAAAGAGAAAUCCCUUAAUAACUAAGAACAAUUGACUAUCAAAACUUAAAGAGAGGGCUGUCCGGAAAUUAAUCUUGAAGAACACAUAGUUUCCUUAGUACAAGCUCAUGAAUUAUUCACAUACGUUUAGCUUGGAAGGAAGGUCAUCCCAAGAACCCUUGUGGAACUAUAGGGUUACUUCAUAGCCAAGAGAGAACAAGAGAGAAAAACCUAGAAAGCUGAAAUUUUUGUCUAGGUUGAAAUGAGAAAAAAUUGCUGAUUUCCAAUCCAUAUAUAGAAGCUGAUAUUUGACGACUUAUUGACUAUUUUUAGUCUAUAUUUUUUCAAGUAAAUGAUGUAUAUACUUGCCCAAUAUAUUGGGAUUUUGUGGAUCCAAAACUAUUGGGCCUUUGUUGCCUAUUCUCCUUCUUUUCUUUCCUUUAACUUGGGUCAAAAUUAAUUCAAGUAGGUGGUAGUGUAUUUGGCCCAAUAAGUUGGUCAAAGGAAGUGUUAAUAGGUUAUGUACAUACUUAUUUAAUUCAUAGUUGGGUUAAACUAAAAUGAGCCUUUGUAGCUUUGAGUGUUGGACUUUUAUUUUAUUUCCUUCUCUUUUACUUAAGUUAGGCCCAAAUGAGCACCUUAACAUAGGAUCAAAUCUGGUCCAUAACCUUGGGUCCAUUAACUUGGUAUAAAUAUCUCAAGUAAGUGAUCCACCUACUAGCUUAAGUAAGUCAAGAAAACACCUUAACAAAAUACUCAAUUUUUAGUUCUUAACUCUUUAAUCUAACUUAAAAUUUGUAUCUACUUGGUCACAUUAAACCACAUGGGAAGUAUUUAGAACUCCAUCUACACCACAAAGAUAUAUCAAGUUCCAUAUAAAUAGAACAAGUACACACAAGAAUAUGAGGUGUUACACAUUUCAUGCUUUCAAUACUCAAUAAUUAUUUUCAUUAAUAAUUGAAAAUUUUCAUUUGUCUUUAGAAGAAAAAACUUAAGCACAUUUAACAAACAUAUUUAAGAGAGUUAAAUAUAGUGACUUUUUUCUUUUGACACAUAAAUAUUAAAAAUAAAGAGAAAAUUCAAUUAAUGUCCAAAAAAAUCACAAAAAAAAUAAAUAUGUUUGGAGGCCUCUAAGGCAUGCCACAUAGGAUUAUAGCUUAAACUCUCCUUUAUAUAUGUAUAUUGAUUUCAUAUUACAAAUAUAUAUCUGCAAAAGGAUAUUCAUACUCUCCACCCUGUCACUUCUUAUCAUUUUAAACUUUUUAUCCAACUGAUUUUCAACUUCAAUUUUAUAUUGUCUAAAUGCUUCUAUUGCUUCACCCUUACUAUUCAGCAAAUAAUCAUAAUAAUAUCUAGUGCAAUAAUUAAUAAAAGUUAUGAAAUAUUUUUUUCACCACCAGUUGGUGUUGACUUCAUAUCACAAAUAUCUAUGUGAAUUAAGUCUAAGGGAUUGAAAUUUCUUCCAACCAACUUAUAUGGAUUCUUAAAAUACUUUGAUUCAACACAUGUUGGACACUUUGAUUUAUUGCACUCAAAGUCAGGCAAAACUUUCAAACUAAUCAAAUUUUAUGAGGUUUUGUAAUUGAAAUGCCCUAAAUGUUCAUAUCAUAAUUCAUUUGACUCAAGCAAGUAAGAAAAAGUCCUAGCUUAAUUCAUUUCAACAGGCAUUACAUUAAGUUUGAAAAGACCCUCAUUGAGGUAGCUCUUUCAUACAUACAUUUCAUUCUUGCUUAUUACAACUUUUUCAAAAAUAAACACACACUUGAAAUUAUUUUUAGUGAUAAGUGUUGUCCAUACUAAGUUAUUCCUAAUAGUAGGUAUAUGGAGAAUAUUGUUGAGAGUCAACACCUUAUUGGAAGUAAUAUUUAGGAAUAUCUUCCCACUUUCCUCAACCUCGAUUGUUGCAGUAUUUUCGAUGAAGAUCACUUCUUUGGGACCAGUGGUAUCAUAAGUAACAACUUCUUUAUCCGCUUAAACAUGCCUAGUGGCUUCUAAAUCAAGAUACUAUUCAUUUGGAUUUCCAUCUAGAUUGCAUUCAUUGAUCAUAUAACACAAAUUUUCAAUUUUAGCAGUUGCUUCCAACAUGUUUAUCUUAUUUUCUUUCUUGUUAUUCUUCAAAAUUUGACAAUUUAGAGCAUUGUGGCCAACUUCAUUACAAUUGUAGCACUUGUUUGAACCUUUUCUUGCUCUGCUCUUUCUCUUGUCCAGAAGAUGUCUUACUUUUUUUUAUUACUUGUAGUAUCAUAGUUAAAAAGUUUUGCAUCCAUCAAUGUUGAUUUCUUAUGCAACUUAAUAUCCUCUUCUAUCGAGAGAUAAAUCACAAGAUCUUUCAAAUCAGACACUUAAUUUUCAAAUAUUUCUUUUUCUCAAACAUGAGGAUCUCUACUUGUGAACUUUUGCAUUUCAAGUUUGGUCGGCCUAAAGAACAUCAUUUGUUGUCAUUCUUUGAAAUUCACCCUAGAACAUUUUUUCAGUUUUUUUGUCGUUGCCAUUGCUAGAGAAUUAUUUGAACAACUUAAAGACGGAACAUUGGUUUUAGUUAGGACAACACCAUUCAUAACUAAAUUAAUUCAUUGUUCAGUUCCAUUCGCCAUUUUCCUAUCAAGCUCUGUCCAUCAAUUUAUUAUUUCAGAAUACUAACAAUAAAGAUUUAAUUUUAAACAACUUGUUUCUAGUCAAAAAUAAAGUUUUUAUGUCUUCAAAUUGUUAAUCGAAUAAAAUUUGAAACAUGACAAAGUUUUAUGUUCCUCAAAUCAAAAUUAAAUUCAAACAGAGUGAAAAUUCAUAGGUUUUAAACUCCAAAAAUCAAUACCGAGAGUUCAAUGAAUUGGUUAAGUUUUUAUAUUCUUUGAACCAAAUUCACAAUUCAAUUUCUUGGUAAAAUUUUUAUAUUCUUCUAACUGAGGGAAUAGAAAUCAAAGAUUUUAGUCUCCCGAAAUCAUACUUAAUACAGAUUAACACAUAUUUAUUAAUUUUCUAUAAAUUUUUGCUUUCCAGAUUUGUAUUUUUCAACAAGAACUUCAAACACAUGUUCAAACUAACAUAUGAACAAUCAAAUGAAGUUGUAACUCUAUAUUCACAACUUUGAACUUCAAUAAUAAGUUCAAUCCAACUUAUGUAUAACAACAAAAUGAGGUUCACACUAUUUUUUAGAAAAUAGCAAAACCAAACAUUUAGAAAGAGAUAAAGAUUAGAAGAUUCAAGUCUAUCGAAUUCACGGUGUGUCCUUAAUAAAAUUAUUUCCCUCAAAUACUCAAAGUUAUGAAAUAUAUUCUUCUGGGAAAAAAUAAAUUACGUCGACAGAAUGACAGUACCUCAAACCCUGUCAAACUAUGAAUGCAAUCAACGAUUCAUAAAUCACCCUUGAGUUUUUAAGAAGAAAAAGAUAUUUUUCACUUCAGAAUGUUGUUCCUAAUACCAGAUAUUUUUUUUUGAUAUUUAUAGCCAUAAAGAGGUAUUUCAAAAAAGAAGCAAUAGUUAAUGAAAAGUUACAUCCUUUUGGAACGUCUUUCGACCUAUGAACCCGAUUUAUGAUCGCAAUGGGGCCACAUGCGGCUGCAGGUUAGCCUUUGCACAAAACAACAUGAUUUGGCUCUCUUGCCUUGCGAUCAGUGCUGCCAUUUACAUCCACAGAUGGACAAGUGCGUGUGUAGGUCAUGUUUUCUUUCUCAAGCAGUGUCUCAAAGGGUCGCAUCCCUUCGAGGUGUGUUGUGACAUGCGUCUGCAUAUGCUCGUGCUCAUCCGCAAAUUGAACAAAAGAUUUGUAUUAGAUUUUUGUAUUAAAACAUCACUAAUUCUCAAGUUUUAAAUAAAUUUUAUCCAAAAAGAUAGUCUCUCGAUCAUCUGACAAAUUCAGGUCGAAGUCAAAGUUGAGACGAACCAACACGCAACGACGACGAUGUGAGACCUAUCUUCUUAUUGCCUCACUAUCCUCCUGAAGGAAUAGUUCUUAAUUUAAGCAGAAGAAUGUUCCUUUCUCCCAUCAAAGUAGGAGAAACGCUCUUCUAUAAAGUGAACUCACAUUUUUACUUUUCCUUUCAUUUUUCUUUCCUUCAUUUCUUAUUCACUUUUAUCUUCUUUUCUUUUAUUUAAAGUUGGGCCAUGCCCAUUUAUUGAAACUAAAAAAACCAACAAUCCUUCAAUACAAGACCAGGCCCAAAAGUGGCAUGGCAUAAUUCGAAAAAUUUAGAUGUCCUAAAAAAAUCUGUCAUUUCUAUUCAAUUAGGAAAUGAGAAGUCACUAGACCUUCUCUCUAACCUAGAAGCCACAUCUCCUUCUCCAAUGGUGUUAGAGCACCGCAUCUCCUUCUCCAGUGGUGUUAGAGCUUCCAUGGAUGCUUUUGAGUGCUACUCAGUUGAUGUUAUACCAUUCCCGUUCAUCACUUAGAACCCAACAAGUAGGGGCGGACCUACGUGGGCUCUAGGGUUUCACCCAAAUCCCUCGGUAAAAAAUUACGUUGUAUAUAUAUAUAUACAGUAGAAAAUCGAUAUAUCUGUACAUAUAUUAAUUUUGAACCACUUGAACAAAGAUAUGAGGCAACCCAGUGCUAUUGGAUUGCCUAACUUCGGCCGCAAGUAAGCCUACUUCCUAGGUUCGAUCCUCACUGGGUGUGUGCAAGAUACUUAAUUUUUAUUUUGUUCUUUUCUACAAUAACUUGAAAUCGAUUUCCUUUUCUCGAACUCCUGAGGGAAAAUCCUGGGGGCAGACCUACAUGGGCUCCAGGGGGUUCACCCGAACCCCUCGGUAAAAAAUUACUUGUAUAUAUAUAGUAGCAAUCUAUAUUUCUGUACAUAUAUUAAUUUUGAACCAUCUGAACAAAGAUAUGAGGCAUCCCAAUGGUAUUGGAUCACCUAACUUCGGCUGCAAGUAAGCCCACUUUCUAGGUUCGAUCCUCACUGGGUGUGUGUAGGCUACUUAAUUGUUUUAGUUCUCUUCUACAAUAACUUAAAAUCCUUUUCGUUUUUUCGAACUCCUGAGGGAAAAUUCUAGAUCCGUUAAUAAAUUUAUGUUGCCUAUUAUUCGGACUGAAUAACCCUAAACGUACGAUUAAGAGAAGAAUGAACGUGUACUAGCGUGAUGAAGAACAUCCCAUUUGUCAAAAUAAACUAUAAAUAUCAAAUUAUACUCCAGAAGAAAAUAAAGAUAAUUUGUACAAUUUUAUUGUUAUGAAAAUCAACCCAGUAAAAAUUCAUUUCCUUUUUUAUCUCUCUGUCAAAAGAUUCAAAAAGUGACCCUAGAGUGAAGUCAAUUACAAAUGUCGGAUAGAAUUAAUUAACCUCUUAUUAUUGAGUCUGCAGCAAAAAAUGUAUUGAUUUAUAUUUUGAUACAUAGCCAAAAUUUGUGUAAUUUUCUAUGGAAUAACAAAUCCUCACUAGAUAAUUUAAAGAUCUACAAGAUAGACCUAUUUGAGAAAAGAUUAACUAGGGAAGGAAAAAGGGAGAUGUUGGAGUUGGAGACUUAUAUUCGAAUUUUAGAGACUAUUCAUUCUUACAGAGAUAUUGUAUUGAGUCUGGAGCUAAAAGGGACACUUUUUCAACCUUAGGAGCCACAACUGACACUACUUUUAAGUUUGGAUACAAAACGGACAGUUUGCCCAUUUUGGGUCAAACUAUAACUAACACCAUUUGUCAACCGUUUGGGGUGAAAAUUUUCUAUUAUGGUUUGCCCAAAAAUGGGAGAACUACAUUUCAUAAACUUCAUGUGAAUUACUGAAGAGAUUCACUCAGAGAUUUGAUAGAUUUCUUAAAAUAUUCCAAUUUAUUUUUGUAAUGUGAAUUGCUGAAGUAAUUCCUGAAAAUGUGAAAGAUUUGUCAUUUCAAUAAAAUAAUUUCACUUAUAACUAUGUGUUGUUGUUAACCAUUUUAUCUCAUUCAUCAUGAGCAACAUUCAUUAUUCACUGAAAACUUUUUAUAAGGCUAAAAAUUAAUGAGUGACAUUGUUAGGGUUAGUUUAUUUUGGGGUGGAGAAGUUUUGUACGAAGGUGGUUCGGUUAGAUAUAGCCUUCCUGCUAAAAUGGUUCAAGUGUUUCCAAUGACACUCAAAUAUGAACGUCGUGUGCAUCUUUUUCGGAGUAAAAUGAAGGUACAUGAUGCUGAACUUUCUAUUCUUAUCACUGGUCGAUAUCCCAUAUCAAUAAUGGGUAACGGUCAUGUAAUUUUUGAGGAGACUCAAAUUUGGAAUGAUGACUCUUUAUCAGCUUUUCUUCGUAGUCCUGAGAUUUUUUGUAACCAAAUGCGUUUAGCAAUACUUGAUAUGUAUGCCAAAACUCAAAGCGCUAUUUAGGAUGAAGAAUCAUCUGAUAAUGAAUUUGAUAUUCAAAAUAGUACAUAUUUUACUAAUUUUAGUGUUGGUUGGCCAAACAAUUCUAUUCAACAACAAAUAGUAGUAGGGUUUGAUAGAGAAAAUGACGGUUUGACUUCACUAAAUAAACAUAAUAUCCAUUGGAUUUCUCAAAAUUGUGAGUUUGGAGAACUGAGUAAUCAAGAGCCAACUAAUCUAUAUUGUCACACUCCAAUUGAAUCAAUGAAUAGGUAAAGACAUUAUAUAUAUUUUUUAUAUUCUUUAAAGAUCGUUAUAUACAUGUUUCAUUAAAAAUUAUUUUGUUGAGCCAAAAAUUAAUGUACAGACAAAGAUGGUUUUUUAAAAAUAAAAAAAUAAUGGAGUUUGCCCAUAAAUGGACAAACCCUAGUUUUUGUUUUUUUAAAAAUGAAGUUUGCCAAUAAAUGGACAAACCAUAAUUUAAAAAAAAUGGAGUUGAAAAACCCUAGCAGUGUUAUUUUUUUGUUGUUCGUAAAAAUUAUAAUUCUAUUAUUUUUUUAGGUUAAACGUCUAUCCAGACAAUCCUACAUUGACUCAAUUCAUAGAAAUUAAGAACAAUGAUGAGCUAGUUAAUGACGCAGCUGAUCAUGAGUCCGAUAGAGAUAGUUUAGAUGAUAAUUAUCAAAUGUCGGAUGAUGAUGAAAAUUAUCAAAUGUCGGAUGAUGAUGAUAAUUCGAUGAGGAAGAUAGCAUUGUUCCUUCACAUGAUGAUAGUAUUAAUUAUCAUCCUGAGGUCAUUUCUUAUUUGGGUCACACAGAAGAAGAUCCAAAUGAUUUUGCAUGUUUUAGAGAUAAUGAUUCUGUUCGGGUUGAACUAUGGAAUCCUGAAAAUCCUACAUAUCUCAAGUCAGGUAAGAUAUUCGAUCAAUCAUAUUUUAUAUAUUUAGCCUUUUAAUUUUAACUAUUAUUGUUUGACAAUAUUUUAUAUAUUCAUAUAGGUAUGGUAUUUCAAUAUAAAAAAACAAAAGAUGCACUAAGACGACAUUGUAUCACAAUGAAGAAAGAGUAUGUCUGUGAUUGAUCCAAAGUAAGAAAAUGGAAGGUGAUUUGUAAGUGGAAUGAAAUGGGUUGUAAAUGGAUGAUUUAUUUUAGAGAGCUUCCAAGUGGUUUGUAGGUGGCCAAAAAAAUGAUCGAGAAGCAAAUUUAUUUAACAAAUGACUAUAAAGAGGAUCAUUGUAAUUUUAGUAGCAACAUGAUUGCUACUUUUUUUAUCCCAUCGAUUAUGAGUGAUGUACAGUUUAGUAUUAAAGUGGUGCAAAAAGUUAUGAAAUAAAAUUUUAUUAUACUCCAAAUUAUAGGAAAUCCCAAAAAGCUCGUAGGAAAGUUUUGUAAUGGUGUAUGGUGAUUUUGAAGGUUCUUUCAAAAAAUUUCCUCGUUAACAAUAUUUUAAUUCGGGCACUUUUGUUGAGUGGGAGUACAAUUCAACUACAAUGCAAGAUGAGCAAAUCUUUAAAUUUGUCUUUUGGGCUUUCAGACCAAGCAUUGAUAGAUUUAAAAGUUGUAGGCUUGUCGUCUCAAUAGAUGGCACUCAUAUCAAUGAUAAGUAUGAUACUAAAUUGCUAUUUGCUGUUGGAAUUGAUGCAAACGGCAAUAUCUUUCCACUUGCAUAUGAUGUUGUUGCACGGGAGAGCUUAGAAUCAUGGACAUGGUUUCUUACGUUAUUGUGGAGGUAUGUUGUGUUUGAUCGGUGAGGUAUUGGACUUAUUUCUGACCAUCACCCAAGUAUACUACAAUGUAUCCAACAACAUGCAUGGUUACAACCACCCUUCACAUAUUAUAGAUUUUGUGUCCGACGUUAAACUUACUAAAAGACUACAUGAUAACUAAUCAAUGGUAAAAAAAUUCCAAACUAAACAGCACAUCAGUAUAACACAUAAAAACUUCCAAUAGUUUCUUUUUUCUUGUUCUUCAUUCCAUUUCCUUUUCAAAACCCGAUUCUCCUACUCAGUUUCAUUAAGCAUAUCCUUCAAAUGAUUUUGUUUUUCUUUGGAUUCUUUUAGCAAUGUCCUAAGAAAAUUUCUAUCUUGUAUGACAUCGUUGAGAUUAAAUAGCGUGUCAAACUUCAUAGUGUUCUGUGAAGUCGCAGUAUCACCAUCGAAUGUGGGUAUCUUCAAUUGUGAUAUAAUGGUGUUUGUUUCAUUUAUUGACAUAAUUUCUAUCCACCAAAAAUAAUCACAUCUACCAUUUUUCUAAAACAAAAAAAUAUGAAACAAGGUUAACAUACACAUAUUUUUAAUUGAACAACUCUAAAUUUUUACCUUAGAACGCGUACAGCUAUAAAACUUACGACCAGGAUUUCUGUGAGUCCUUGAUGUUUUCAUUUUAGAAUAUUCAUUGCAUUUACAUACAUCCAGUUCAAUUGAAAAUAAAGACAUUUCGGAUUGUUGAGACAUAAUUGUGAAGGGAUUCUCAAAGCCCAAAAGAGAUUAUAUUAGCAGAAAAUAUGAUAGAUGAAUGAGAUAAAAUGGUUAACAACAACACAUAUUUAUAAGUAAAAUUUUUUUAUUGAAAUGACAAAUCUUUCACAUUUUCAGAAAUCUCUUCAGCAAUUCACGUUAAAAAAAAUUGGAAUAUUUUUAGAAAUCUAUCAAAUCUCUGAGUGAAUCUCUUCAGCAAUUCACAUGAAGUUUAUGAAAUAUAGUUUGCCCAUUUUUGGGAAAACCAUAAUAGUAAUUUUUUAUCCCAAAUGGUUGACAAACGGUGUUAGUUAUAGUUUGCCCCAAAAUGGGCAAGUUGUCCAUUUUGUAUCCAAACUUAAAGUAGUGUCUGUUUUGACUCCUAAGGCUGAAAAAGUGUCCCUUUUAGCCCCAGACUCCCACAACUUCCUAUCUAGGUUCAUGUUCUCGGUAAGCUAGAAAUUGAAACAUAAAUAAUAAAAGAGGAAAUGGUAUAGAAUCCAUACUUGACAAUAUAUUCUAUAUUUAUAUAAAUAAAAUUGAUAUAUACGAUCUCUCAUUUUUAUGUCUAGAGGUAACAGUAGCAGACGAAGCAACAUAUGUAUGUGGCUUCAAGUUGCGAUUCCAGUUCAAUAGUAAUUAUUCAUGAUCACAACUGUGAAAAAGCGUAGUAUGAUCUUUUGUACAACAAAAUAUAAUACUAGCUUGUUUCUCUAAAUCUGAAUUGUUAAAAAAUCCUUCACGCAAUAUACAAAUCUGAUAUAAUUCAAAUUAACUCCGGACCUUUAGAUGGGAUGUUCAUGAAGUUAGAGGUGUUUGACAACUCCUUAGUGCUGUCAAAAGGUGUCAAAGGAUGGAGAUUACCUUCAAAGAGGGCCCGGGGACCUUGGCAAGGUCAAACGGAAGCAAAAGAAGAGCUUGGAGAAGCACUGGAGGGACAUACGUGCCACAUAAGACUGCAUGUGGCCUUAUUAGCAGCUCAUUCCAGUGUCACCUACUGUCACAUGCAGGUCAAGGGCAUGUGCCAAUUUUCUGAAAUAGGUCACUUUUGGGUCCAGUAUUAUAAUAAUUAACCUGAGUCUAUAAAUAGGAUCUUCCCUUUCAUUUUGAGACCAACUUUGAUGCUAACAUUACUAAGAAAAUAGUUUUUGCGAUCAUAAAAAAGCGACCACAGCUUGUGGUCGCAAUAAAAGAGACUACAUCUGGUGGUUUUUAAAAUUUUUCUUUUUAAAAAUAAAAAAGCGACCACAUGUGGUCACUAUUUAUUUUAAAAUUACCAAAUAAUCAUUUUAAAAUUUUAAUAUUAAUUAUUAUAUUUUUCAAAAUUAAAAGCGACCACAAGUGGUCGAUUUUUUAUUAAAACGAAUUAAAAAAAUUAUUUUGUCGGUUUUUGAUUAAAUUUUUUUUAAAAAAUGUACCAAAAAAAUGGCCACAAGUGGUUGGUUUUGGAUUAAAAAUAAUUUGUAAAAACGAUCACAAGUGGUCUCUUUUCUUUAAAAAAAAUAAAUUAAAAAUAUUUUUAAAAAAGGCGAUCACUUGUGGUCAUUAUUUGAUUUUUAAAAAACUGAAAAAUUAAAUUAUUUAAAAAUACCGACUUAUUUAAAAAAUUAAAUUAAAAAUUAUUUUUAAAAAGCGACUACUUGCGAUCGCUUUUGAAUUAAAGAAAAAUUAAAAAGAAAAUUAUUUAAGAAACCGACCACUUGUAGUCACUUUUUGAUUAAAAAAAAUUUGAGACCACAUGUGGUCGCUUUUCAUUAAAAAUUAAACUAACAUAUUUAUAAAAAAAAGUGACUACAAGUGGUUGCUUUUCUAUUAAAAAAUUAAAAAAAAUAUUUUAAAAAAGAGAUCAAUUGUGGUUACCUUUUACUAAAAAAUAAUAAAAUAAAAAACUACACAAAAACAACCACUUGAGGUCACUUUUUGGUUAAAAAAAUAUAUUUUAAUUAUUAUAUGUAAAAUUAAAUAUAUUAUUUUUUUAAAUUAUACUGAUCACACGUAGUCGAUAACCAAUAUAAUAAUAAUAAAAUUAAUUAAACUUAAAUUUUAUAAAAAAUUUAUACUAAACAAUAAAUUAAAGUAAAUAAAAUAAAUAAAUUACAUUAAAGAUAAUCUUUAUCUUUACUUAUGUUUCAAUAUAUAAAAUAAAUAUAUUUUUCAUUGUAUAUACGUUAAUUACGUUAAAUAUAAUCUUUGUAUAAUGAAUAUGUCUAUAUCAUACAGUUGAGGUAAUAAUAUUAUGCUAUUGGAGUUAUAAUAAUGUAAUGUACAUAUAUAACCGAUAAUUCAUUAGAAUUUAAUGAAUGUGUUGUAUCAUGAGGUAAAUAUACUUGUUGAUGUUAUGUAUAUAGUACGUAUUCAAGAGUUGAUAUAUAUAUAUAUAUAUAUAUAUAUAUAUAUAUAUAUAUAGUAACAGAAUAUAUACACACAUUUGUAGCAGAAUCUAUCCAAACAUAUUGCAUACGUACCUUGAUUUGAAACGAUUGAAGUAAUAAUAUACUGUACGUUGAAGUUAUAUUAAUGUAAGCUAAUCAAAUUAAUCAAUAACUCAUCAAAGUAUGUAUAUGAAAUACAUCGCAUUAUAUUAUGGGGGUAAUAUACUCGUGUACGUGUGUGAUGUAUGUAGUACGUAUUUAGAACCUGAUAGUCGAUAGUGUGUAUGCGUGUGUAUAGGUAUAUGUAGUGAAGGUAUAAUAAUAACAUAAGAUAAACUAAUUAACCAAUAAUUCAUCUGAGUAUAUGUGACAUAUGUUGUAUUAUUAUGGGGUGAUAAAAUUGUGUAUGUGAUGUAUAUAAAUACAUAUUUGGAAGCUGAUAGCCAAUCGAAUAUAUGUAUAUAUAUGUAUAUCUCAUGUAGUGACGUAUGCAGUAAUGAAAAGCUAGAUAACUGAAUCUAUAUAUCAAAAUAUUUUGAAUAAUACGUUGAUAUCAUACUAUUGAGAAAAUAUACUGCUUGUGUCAAUGUAGACAAGGGUAUAUUGUUGAAGUGUAAUAACAUAAGCUAAUUAACCAAUAAUUUAUCUGACUAACACGCUGUAUUACGAGGUAUAUAAUAUCGUAUUUAAAGACUAACUAACCAAAAUUCAUCCUAAUAUACGAAAUGCAUUGAUAUUAUUAUAUGAUUGAGAAAAUAUACUACUCGUGUUAAUGUGAUGAUAAAAUAACUAAAUAUCUGAUUUAUAUAUGCAUUGCAUUAAAUUAUUUGGAUGUUAUUAUAAAUAUUAUACAAUUUAUUAAAGUUUGUAUGUUUAAAUAAAAAUGACCACAAGUGGUCGUUUUUCAAAUGAUAAUUUUUAUAAAAAAUAAAUCAACUGCUUAUUAUGAUUGAUUUUCUAAAAAAUUUUGUAAUACCCGAUAAUGACCCGACCCAACCCAUUCUUAAUUGCUCAUUUUCCCUUUGUAAUUAUCCUAGUAUCUCUUAAUUGAGAAAUCUUCACUUCACUCGCAACCACCUCAUCUCACCAAUACUUACCUCAUUGAUCCGACCACCACACUCACUUUACCGAUUCGAUAGCACCGGCAAUGGCACUUAGGUCAUCGUCCUCAACUCACCGAUCCGAUAGCACUUUCAGCGACUUCAGUUUCCCAUAUUCGGGCUCCGCCUUAAACCGGCCCUCCAAAGUUGCACAACAGUUCCAUUCUGUCAUUCCGUCAACUUUUGUUCACCGGCCUCAACUCACCGGAAACUAUUAGGUUAGUAAAAUUCACCGGAAAACUACAUUGACCUUCAAACACUGCACAUAAAUUGACCCUUUCUUUGUUUUUCCUGAUGCAAAAUAAAUUCACUGAAAUUUCAAAUUGAAAUUUACCCCUCAUUUUUUGUACUAUAAUUGCAUUCACUUCUAACCCUUUUUACUUUAAUUUGCAUAGUUGUAGGUGUCCAUGUGAUACUAAUUGGGCAUAAUUAAGAAAAUUAUAGUCCUAAAGAAGGAAAUGUACUUAACUUAAGUGUACCUUAGAGACGCACAAUCCAGUACUUCAGAUGCACCCAUGCCAGUGCAUUCAGGAGUAUUUGCUCUACAGCCUGGAGAUAGAGAUGUUAAUCAGAGGCAGUAUAUUAUUUCAUAUGGAGUAGGGUAAGAUUUCUAAACAUAACAACACUAUUCAUUUUUCAUUUACUAUAUUAUUAUGCUCUAUGAUAUUAAUGUUUGAUCUUAUAUUGUAGAUUUUUGCUCGAUUAUAGAAUUACAAAAAUUAUGAGUAAAUGCGUCCGUUGGAAAUUCAAAGGCUAUUGGACGAGUUAGCAGAAGGUUCAUAGAGAUCAAAUGUUUAAAGAAUUUCAGGUAUAGAUUUAACUUAUCAACUACUUAACACAUUGUUAGAACAAAAAAUUAAAUAUUAAACUUUUGUUUUUUGUUGUAGAAAUAUUUAUGGUUUGAUCCAAUAGAUUACUUUGCUAUACGGAAGAAUUUUUUUAAAAGAGCAAGACUUAGAAUGAAAGUUCUGUUGUAUUAUGCAAGAAAAAAAAUAGGAAACAACCAAGCUUUAUAGAACUUGGAAUGUGGGGAGAUUUUCUUCAUUAUUGGAAUAGCGAAGAAUUUCAAAAGUUGAGUGAAAAAGGGAAGAAAGUCAGGGAAUCAGCCAAGGGUGGCUCUUUACAUACCGCGAGAGCUGUUACUCGGAUUACUGUGGAGCAAAAAAUGGUAUGUAACUUUUAUGGAUUUAAUUGUUUAUUCUAUUUUAAUUUAUUUUUGAUUUUGAAGAUUAAUAAUGUUAUCAUAUACAACAAAAAAAAUUGGGUAGGAAGGUAGCUUUACAUGAGGUAUUCGAGGAGACCCACAUAAAGAAGAAAAAGAAUCCAAUAGAUAAAGAUGUCUUUGUUGAGCCUCGUGCAAAAGCUAACCAUGUAGGAAUCACAUUUAAUUUAUGAUUAAUUUUUUCUUAAAGCUUAUAUUAUUUAAGUACGAAUAGUUUAAUAUUUUUUAUUAUUAAUUUUAACUUUUCUUUGAAUUUAAGACAAAUAUAUGCAGUUGAUUAAUGAGUAUCGUAGUACUCAGCCUUCUGUAAGUCAGGGUGAAAGAAUACCUAAAAAUGUAGAGGAGGAGUACUGGAAACAAACUGUGGAUUCUCUAGUAAGAGGCACAUACUAUGGAUACCACAGAAAAUGCUUUACAAAGAAUAUUUGGUCUUCGUCUGGUGAAUCAUCCUUUGCCUCAUUAGUUGAUAGAGAAAUCAUUGAUUUGCUACAAAAUAUGAUUUCGCAACUCACUAAAGAGUUUGUUGCACAGACUGAGAGGGCAAAAAAGAACGAGAAGGAAACAACAUCACAAAUGAGAAUGAUGCAGCAGUAGAUCAAUUGUUUUCUUCAAUCUGCACGGAUUCUUCCUCCUUGUCCUGAUGAUGCACCUCGGGCUGCGAAAGGCCUAACCCACUAGAUGAUUAUUACACCACAGAGGAUUAUUCUAUGGCUGAGGAUGGGAAUGAGGAUGAAGAUGAUGAGUUGUAGUUUUAGUCUUUUGUAUGUUUUGUAGUUUAUUUUUGGAGCAUUGAUAAAUUGUGUUAAUAAUUUGAUUAUUAAUGUUUGUAUUCUUCUGACGGUUGAUUACAUAUUAAAUGUUAAUUGGUGGGUUGUAUUGUAUAGCAGGUUUGAUGGAUUUGAUGGAAUGUAGCAUAUAUAUAAGUUGUAUUUUUUUUUACAAAAUUACCAAAAAAAGCAACCACAUGUGGUCGCUUUCUGGAAAAAAAAAAUUAAAAGCGACCACAUGUGGUUUCUUUUCUAUAAUUAAUUAAUUAAUUUUUACAAAUAAUUUUAUUUAAAAAAUUAUUAAAUAAAAAAAGCAACCACAUGUGGUCUCUUUUUAUAUAAAAUUAAUUAAUUAAUAUAUACAAAAGAGACCACAUGUGUUCGCUUUUAUAUAUAAAUUAAUUAAUUAAUUUAAACAAAAGCGAUCACAUGUGGUCGCUUUUGUAAAUAAAUUAAUUAAUUUAUAUACAAAAGAGACCACAUAUGGUCGCUUUUGUUUAAAUUAAUAAAUUAAAUAUAUAAAAAAGCGACCACUUGUGCUCACUUUUCUUUACAAAUUUAUUUUAUUAAAUUUAUAAAAGUGACCACUGGUGAUCAAAAAGCUACCACUGUUUUUGAGACCACACCUUGUGGUCGCUUUUGUGGUCGCAAAAACAGGAAAGUGGUCGCUAUUUGUGGUCGUUUUUCCUAUUUUAAUGAACUAUUACUCUCUUAUGAGUGUGUGUGAGAUUGGAAUAGCUUGCGUUGAAACCUUGUUUAGAAGCAUUGGUUGCCUGAGAAUCGAUUCCUUUAUGGUCAAAGUCGGAUUUUGGUGUUUUGAAGUGGAUUAUUGAAUAGAGGUUUAGGGUUAGCAUACUCUUUAAUUUCUUUCAAUUUCUUUCUUUGUGCCUAUCUUAUUGCUUGUUUGAUCGAUCGAUCGAUCGAUCGUUAUCUUUCAGUUCCUCAUAUCUUAGUCUAGUUUUGAUUCUGUGGUUUGGUUCUAUAUCAUUUGGUAUCAGAGCAAGUCUUAGAUUCAUUCCUUCGAGUCUAGUCCUUGUUAGAUAUCUUGAAAAAUCAAAAUAAUAAAAGAAAAGAGAAAAAGUCCAAAAAUACGUUUUUAAAGAAAAACUCCAAAUAAAAUUGUGUUUCUUCGGUCCUUAUUGUUGUUUCUACACAAGAUUUGUUUCAUCUAGUGAUAUGUAGGUUGGAUCUUAAGUCUUGGAUGUGUUUGGAAGAGUAUUAAUGUAGCCCUCCAUUGUUAGUCUUGUUCUUAAUGAAAAUAGUGAAGUGGGUCCUUAAAUCUUGCUUAUUUGGUGUUGAUUUGUGGGUUGAAAAGUAUAAUGCCCCGAGUCUUCACCCCAAAUGUCGCAUGGUGCUUACGACCCCGAAGGACCACAAGUUAACCCAUGAAUCUACCUGCUGUGAGCAUGAAUAAUAAUACUAAAAUAAUGUGGAAGUUAGGCCGAAAUGCCAUAAGGUUCAUAAUCUGAAUACUAACAAAUAUAACAACUAAUAAGAACAUCUGAAAAUUGAAUAUUGUCUGAACUAGUCCGGUCUGAUAAGCCUCUACUGAACUUUCUGAACGUGGAAUGGAUGGGACAAGCCUCCAACUAACUCCGGCUAAUAAAAUACUGGAUCUACUAUAAUACUGAAAUAAAUAAUAUCCUCGAUGGAUGAGGAAUCACUACUGGAUUUGCUGCUACUAACUGAAUUUGGCUAAGCGCAGUCAGGAACCUGAGCAUCUGAACUUAUGAGAUGAUACACCAUAGCGCAAUAAAAGAGUAUGCGAUCAGUACGUAGAAUGUACUAGUAUGUUAGAUGAGGUAAGGCUGAAAUAUGUGGGUUCAUAUGCAUGAACAUUAACUGAGUGAGUGAUAUGAAUAUAACUGAAUGAGAGUACAUGGAUGAUUGAAGCUAUUGUAAAUAUUGAUUAUCCAAUACUGUGCGUAUACAUAUAUAUUGUGUGAUAUUUAUACUGAAACCGAGUACUGAGUUUUGAUAAUCGAGUAACUGAUAUCUGAGAUUACUAAUAAUUGAUUUACUGAUAAUUGGGUGACUGUUUCUAACAGUUCUAAUUCUAUAGAAUUAAACUGAGUUUUAUGUUGAGACUGAAACUAAAACUGUGGGAGGUAAUCAUCUAACCGACAUGCCCCUUUCUAAAUUAUUGGGGUCCAACCUGUAACCCCAGUUGGAAGGAUGUCAGUACCGUGCCACGAGUACUAACAAGCUAAAGAGUCACCCUCAUCUGGCAGGUGCCCUAAUGAGAAUGGUAUUACCCUCAACUGGCAGGUAAAACACCUUAUCAACCCUCAACUGGAUGGUUGAUAUCUCAACCAACAUUGGCUAUGUAGUUCUGAAACAUAAGGACUUCUACUAAGGAUCGCACCCUCUACUGACAGGUGAGCCCCCAUCCUUCGGUUCGCUCAGUGCUAAAUCCUACUCUCAACUAAAUGAUACUGAUUAUUAAUCUGAACUGAACUGGACUGAGUUUUACUGAGUUCUAUAACUGACUGAGUAGUACUGUUUGUGACAUUACUGAGACUAUCCUGUAGCUACUGUGAUUCUAGGUAUACAGCUAGAUUUUGGAUAUGAAAUAAUCCUAGGACUCGAUAGCAUCAAUAGUAAGACAUGGCACAAUCUUGAAAGUAUAACACUAGUUUCUUGUUCUAGUGCAUUCAUUUAGAUAUUUUGUCAAUCACUUGAGAGGCAUGGACUUGUACAUGAAUGGGAACACAUGCCAACAUGUCAUGAUUUCACUAUUCCAUUCUCAUAGGCAUUCUAACAAACACUUGGGGAGCAUGAUUAUUUUACAUAAUAAUAGACAUAUAUAAUUAUCAUGAUUACAACAUUCAGCUUAUAAAUUCAAUGAUUUAACAUGAGAAUCACAUAAUUCACCACACAUGCUAUCUUAAUUUCAUGAUACUUGUAAUUAAUCAUGGAUUGAAACCAAACAAUAUCAUAAACAAUCAUACAAUCUAAUUCAAGCAUGGAAAUCAUAAAUCCAAAAACUUGUAUUCUUGAAAAAGGGUUCUUGAACUCCAUGGGUGGUAAGGGACCCAUGAAGGAACACCUAACAUACCUGAGAAGAUGAGUUCUUGAAGUUUCUUGGUGGAUUUCUUGAGAAUUGCUCUUGGUUCUUGGAGGUUAGGGUUUUCUAUUUUGAGAGAGAAUGAUCUUGAUUUGAGAGGAAUUGAGUAAAUAAUGAUCUAAUUUGGUUAUUAUGGUUUAACUAAUGUGUUUAGGCUAUUAGGGCAGUGGAAAAAGACCAAAUUACCCUUGAAAAGAAUUAAAUUUCCGUUACUGAAAAUCCCGAUUUUGGCCUUCACCGCGACAUGGUGAGCCAAUGGAAGUUGGCUGAAACUGUUUUAAAAAUGGAAAAUUGCAAAAAUGGGUUUUGGCACGACGCGGUGGAAUUGCGUCGGGCUACUAGAAAUUAAAAAUUCUGAAAUGGCACCUUGGCGUGAUGCGGCGCUAUCGCGGUGCUCACAGGAAAAUAACAACUAGGAACUGGAAAUUCUCCGUGAUGCACUAGAAUCACGGUGUCUCACUGAAAACUGAUGAAUGUCAUUUGUCCUGUCUCCGCGAUGCGAUGAUGCUCAAUUUGAUGUACUGUUUUACUAAAAGGGCCAUAACUUCUCACCCGGAUAUCGGAUUUGGGUAAACUUUAUAUCGUUGGAAAGAUGACUGAAUUUCCUACAUUUUGGUAAGUAUUACACUGGAAAAAUCUAAGUAUUUCAAAAAUUUUAUAUAGAAAUUCUCAUGUAUUGAGAGCUAAACUGAGCUAGGAAAACUCGCGGUAUUACAUAAAGCCACACUAAAAAACCCUAGAUCUAAGUAGUGGUGUUAUUUGAAGAAGUUUCAAAAAAUCACCAUUUUUAAGUAUUUGAAGCUUGAAGAAAUUAGUAAGUGGAUUAAAAAAUUUAAAGAAAUUGGUUGAAAUUUGAGGCUUAAGGUUGUUUGAAAUGUGUUUGGGAGGUUGAAAGGAGUUUGAGUUUCAAAUUUCAUCGCAUUACAGCAGAGAUGAAAUAGUCAAAAAUUUUGGUGUUCAUUGUGUUCUUGAAGGCCUUCAUAUCUUCAAGAAGGCAAAUUUAUCCCAAAAGUUUUGUUUAAUCCAAGAAAAAGAACAAAAAUCAAGAAAAGUUAUUAGUACAAAGCAUAUCCAAAGGUCCCAAAGAAUAAUCCAAGAGAGAGAAGCAAAGGAAGCUCACAUGGAAGGAAAACUCGACCAUUUUUUAAGUAAUCUGCUUGGGCAUCUGCACUUCAUCUACUCAUGCAGGUGGCACCUGUACCUCAUCUGCCCAUGCAGGUCACUCCAGCAAGGUCUUGCCUUGACCUGCGAAGUGGCACCUGGGAGGGCAUGUGCCCACCUGCGGCCACAACUCAUCAAACGCAUAUUAGGCAUUCCAAAAUAGAUUUUCACUCAGGUUCCAUCAUCGUAGCUCCUUAUAUUGGUUCUUAACCUCUUUUUCUUGAUUCUUAAACCCUAAUUAACAACUAGUAAUCGAUCUAUUAGUUGAUUAAUUAGUUUUAGAGUCCGAUUUAUUUCUUUGUCCAUUCUUGUGUGCUUUUCUCUUUUAUUUUCGUUGUUCUUUAUUGAUUCAAGUACGUUAGUUUAUUUUUGAAUUUUAUUUUUAAAUUCAAACAAGAAUUUAUCAAUCAAAAGCCAUAAUUAAUACUACGUCUUUCAAUUAGAGUACAAACGAUCUUCCUAAUUAAGAGACAAGAUGAAAGGUGUUUACUCCGAGGAAUUGUGAAGUUAUUUUCUUAACCCUAACUUAUUUGUUUAUUUUUGAAUAUGUUUUGUUACUAGGUACAAUGGCUGUGAGGGAAGGAACUCCAUAGUCAAAUAAUGGAAAGCUCUUUAACAUAGAGGAUGGACAAUAUGGUAGGUCUUCUAAACUCCACCCUUUCUAAUCCACCAAACUUUCAAACUUCCUCGAGUGGACAUGCUUAAAAUAUCUUUCCUAAACUACCCAAAGCUCUACUAAACCAAAUUCAACCCAACCAAGUUAAGGAUCAAGGAGAAAAGAAAGUUAAUAAAGGAGAGAAGAACUUAUCUCAAGAAGGAGAGUUGUGUAAGGAUGUUGAGCCAAGGAUUGAAUUGGAGGAGGUAGACAAGGAACACAUAGUUGUGGAACUUGUCAAACCCAAACCCUUGUUACAUUCUAACCAUGGAGUAGUAUUUUGUCUAGUACCAAUACUUCUCUAUUGUAAGCUCAUGAGCCAAUGCUCUUAAAGGAGGAUUCAAUGAAAACCUCUUAUGAGCAUAAGUUUGAAGGCUUAGAUGAAUUUUUAUUCAAUGAAUCCCAAAUUUAGGAAUGCUUAAUUCAAAGGAGGAACCUAUUAAAGCUUCUAUGGGUUGAUAGAUCCUUUAUGGCAAGGGUUGAAGAAUCUAACCCCAUGUAUCGAAAGAAGUAAUUACCUACCACUGAAGCUCCUACAAAGAGGCACAAUGAUCAAGGCUAUUGGUUCAAGUUGAGACAUAGCUUGGAAGGUCCUUGUAAAGCACCUAUAUAAGACAAGAGAACAAGUUCAAGGCUUUGGUUCUAAGGUAUGUACCUACCCCUUUCUAUUCCUAGUGAUCCUUAGAGGCAUGAUGAUAUUUUUCUCAUAUUGAGUAGGACGUUGAAAUUGAUUCAUAACAUGUCAUAUAAUGAGAAUAUUAGUGUCUCCAAGAUUUCUUCAUGGUAUAUAUCUUUUGUGCUUAAAUUGUGUAGGCCUUGCAAUAUAAAUGCCCAAUCUAUUUGUUUUAAUGGAAAGAUUCCGUGGCAUGCACUUAAUGUGCAGCUCUUGUUCCCUAAUUCUUGUCACACUUAUGUGGUUGGACCAGUUAAAGUAAUGGGGGAGGACUCUUAGGAGUAUGCUAAAUGCCAUGAAAAGAGGCAACCUAACUUCUUAGGUAUACCAUUUGUUGUGAAUUAGUUUCUCAUAGAAUCUCUAAUUCCUCUAAUAGCAUAACUUAAUUACUAAAUGCACUUCUUUUGGGAUGUUUCUUAGAGGGAAAGGAUGUGACGUACUUUAAUUGUCUUGUAUACUUAUGUUUGAGGGUAAUUUAGAUGAGAAUGGUGUCUCUAAAUUUUUUAUUUUCUAUCUCAUAUCCUAUGGUGAUGGCCAUGUUUGUGUGAAAUUGCAUUUUGUAUGAAUAUAAGUUGUCUUGAAAGGAAGGAUGAUGUACAUCCUAAUGACUUAACUCCUUUCAGGGUUGUUGCAGCUUCUAGUGACUUGAUUACUAGCUUUCUUAAGUACCUUGCUACUCUUAAGUAUGGAAAUACCUUGGAUGUGACUCGUCUUCUUCAUACCUUUUUUUACUACCUCUUUGUAUUUGAUGGCAUCCAUGUUGAUAUUAGAUUUACUUUAGAGAGAGGUGGGAGUUCUUCUAUAUGAUCUUAUGGUGAAAUAAAAAAACACUUGUGUCUUACAAACUUUGUAGUUUCCAUGUUUCAUAAAGCUCCUUAUAGUUAACACCUUUGUGUAGAGUAUGAUGAAUUCAUUUUAUUGAUAACAAAGGAUCGUUAGUUGUAUGUCAAAUGUGUGCCUCCUUGUCUUGGAUAUAUUGAUAUUAACCCUUGUGCUAACCCUCCUAUUUCAAGGAUGUAUUGGUUGUUUAUUAUUUUCUUGUACUUUAAGGUUGUAGAUUCGAGGAAGAAUCUUCUUUAAGAAGGAGAGGAUGACAUAACCCAAGUUGCCUCCGGACCUUUAGAUGGGAUGCUCAUGAAGUUAGAGGUGCUUGAUGACUCCUUAGUGCUGUCAAAAGGUGCCGCAUGAUGGAUAUUACCUUCAAGGAGGGUCAAAGGGCCUUGGCAAGGUCAAAGAAAAGCAAAAUAAGAGUUUGGAGAAGCACUGGAGGGACAUGCAUGCCACAUGCGAUCGUAUGUGGCCUUAGUAGGUCAUUCUAGUGUCACCUGUGUGCCACAUGUGUGAGAAUGUCAAGGGCAUAUGCCCAAUUUUCUUAAUGGAUUACUUUUGAUCCCAAUAUAGUAAUAAUUAGCCCUAGGCUAUAAAUAGGAGCUCUACUUUCAUUUUGAGACCAACUUUGAUGCUAAUGAACUAUUACUCUCUUGUGAGUGUAUGUAAGCUUGAAUAACUUGCAUUGAAACCUCGUUUAGAAACAUUGGUUGCUUAGAAAUCAAUUUCCUUGUGGUCAACAUAGGAUUUAUGUGCUUUGAAGUGUAUUAUUGGAUAGAGGUUUUAGGGUUUAACAUACCCUUUAAUUGCUUUGAAUUACUUUCUUUUUGUCUAUCUUAUUGCUUGUUCUAUCUAUCUUUAUCUUUCAUUUCCUCAUAUAUUAGUCUAGUUUUGAUUCCGUAGUUUGGUUUCAUAUCAAGAUACUAGACCAUCUCCAACCACCCUCCAAAUUACCCUCUAAACUCUAUGCUUGGAGGGCAACUUGAAGGGUGGCCAUCUCCAACCACCCUUUAUUUUACUCUCUAAACUGCAUAUUUGGAUGGGUGAAUAGUGUUUCUCCAAAUUUGGAGAUGCACUAUUCAUCUCCUCUAGUUUACAUUUUCAUUAUUGCAUUAUUAUUUAUAUUAUAUAAUAUUUAAAUUUAACAUAUUAUAAAUUAUAUAAGGGCAUUUAUAUUAAUAUUUUCUUUAUUUUUAAAAUUUGAACAAUUUUUAGCUACACAUAAGAAAACUAAGGACAAAAAUAUUAAUUUUGAACUUCAUAAUGCAUUAAUAGAGAAUUUAUGGGAGCAAACUAAUAAUCUUGAAAGUUGAAUAUUUAUGUAGAAAUUAAAAUAAAUUUUAUCAUGAUGUAAUAUUUACUUAAUUAUAUUUCAUCAAUGAUUUCGCUUUUAUUUGCAUUGUCAUCAAUAUGAAUAAUAGACAAUAAUUUCUUGUAUUUAUGUUAUUUAAAAAUUUAGAAAAAAUAUAAUUUUGUAUUACAUGAAGUUUUUGAAAAGAAUGUGCAUUUUAUAGGGUGAUUAUAUAUUAAGAAAAUAAAAGGAUUUAUUUUAUGAACUAAUCAAAUAUAAAUGAAAUAAAAUAAUGAAAAAAACAUGAAGAGGGAAGAAUUUUUUUUUUUUUUUUAAGUGUAAAAUAGAAUUGUGAGUUGGAGUUGGUGUUCUCCAAAUAUAGAGGGUGUGUUUGGUAUGAUGGAAAAUAUUUUCCAUGGAAAAUAUUUGUCUGGAAAAUAAGUUGAUUUUAUACUUAUUUUCUCAUGUUUGGUUGGUGAGUAAAAAAUAUUUUUUAGUGUUUGGUUGGUGAAUGAAAAAUUAUUUUUUAGAAAAUACUACUAACUAUUAACUAGUAUAUCACUGCCUCUAGCAACUCAACAAUUUGUAAGAACUAACUUAAGCAUAGCAAAUAAUAUCAAUAUCGAUAACUAAAAUACUACAAGCCACUAACCAACUACUAAUUAGCAAGCAUUGAGACACACUUCAACAUUUUAUCAAGACUAUCUCAAGAUACUACAAUCAAUAGAAAUACAAUAGAACAACAAGCUUAUUCAACCUUGUGAAACAAGCUACAACGAUGACCAAAUGGAAUAUGCAAUUAGCAAAAGUAACAUAGGUAAGUCUUCCUCUAUGCACAUGAAAAUAACAGUACAUUCAAUGAACAUUGAAAACAUGGGAAAAUUCGGGCUUCACUAUGUUUUAUUUCAAGCAGUCAACAAGUUGGAUGGAUUAGUUGAUCUUAUCAGCUGCAUUCACUUCCUUCACUUUGUGAAAUCUCAAUAAUACAUAACAGUUAACUAAGCAAUUCAAUGAUUGUCACACGACAAGUAAAAGUAGCAUAGAUGUAGAAAGCAAUGCAUGUAGUACCAUCCCCGUGCAUAGUCUGCAAGUAACAUGCAACAAAAAUUACUUUCAUCUGAAAUGACCUGACUUGUUAAGUAAAUGAUGAGCCUCAUUUCCCCCUCUAUCAACUAUAAAUACUUGAUACAUGUCCAAACAACUUCUAGUUAACUAAUCUAAGUGAUAUAUUUAGUCCAACAACAAUGUAGUACUCAUAUUGAUCCACAUCCAACAUAUUAUGCUGCCUAAAGUUGUUCCAUUACCGCCAUCAAGCAGAUGCAAAGAGUACAAAAGUAGAUAUUAAUAUCGAGUAUCAAAAUAUUACAAGUCACUAAAACUUAAGCAACUACUAAUUAUAUAAUUCAAGUUUCCUAAUCAAUAUUUCCUCAAAUCCACGAAAGAGAGAACUUUGAUAGCAAAUACACAAAACAUUAUCAAAAAUAAAAGUGUGCAAAUAAUAAUUGCUUCCGAAUCCUAUGAAGCUAAUUCCAACCCAUAUGUGUAACUAUUGUUGUUGCUUGAAUCGUUCCAACCACACCUUACAGAGAUUUUGAUUUUUUACCAUGAAUGCCUUUGCUAAAGUGUCGCUUUGCACCAAAUAAUCAAAAGCAUCACCGAGGAACUCUUCCUUAUAACCUUCUAUUAACAUAACUUCUUCGUACAAAUUUAUCACAUCUAAGCGACUAUCAACCAUCUUAUCAAUUGUCGUUGCCACUUCUCAUAUAUCACCCGCGACAUCUUGCACCUCAAGAAUGCUUUCUUUUGCGAGUUGCCUUGACUUGAGAAGUUCCGAUCACUUGCACGUCUUUUUUUGUGGAUGAUCCUUCAAUGUCAUUAUCAUUAUAUUUCUCAAAACAACAAUCAAAAUCUAUAUCUUCAAAUGACUUAGCGCAAUCUCCCCUAGCUCGAUCAUUUCCACUCACGAGACAUUUCGUCAAACAUGUCAAUUUUUUUGUUGAUGAACUUAUUAUGAUUGGGAUGUGCCUACAAUACAAAGAUUAGUAAAAAAUUUGAUAUUAAGUUCAUUUAGUUCUAAUUGGAUGAUGUAACAUAAACACACCAUAGCAAGCACAACAACUAAAAAAAAUAUGGACACAGUGAUGCAUAUAAAAUAAUUCUGAACCAAAAAUAAAAAGUUGUUGAUGGCAACAUUGUUACUGUUGGUUACUUCAACAAUGGGGACAAAACUCCCAGGUACUAAACUGGGCAACAACAGAAUCAUUAAAAAUGUUUAGCUUAUAUUAUGCCCUUGUGGAAUUUUGAUUGCGUUGAAGUAGAAGAUUCUAAAUUUGGGGAUCAAAGAGUUUUAAAAAUAAUAUAACCUUGUGGUCCUCUUGGUCUCAUGGCGAUAACUAUUAUCGCUGCACCAAGAAUCUCCUUCUAUAUCAAUGAUAUAUUUAGGUGUAAUCGAUGGCGGGGCUAAGUUUAUUCAAAGGGGUUUAGACCCCUAAAUGACCGCUCUUUUCAUAACACACCAUAUUUUUUAAGAUUAUGACACCCGAUCAACAUUUUUGAAGAGUACGAGCAACAUAGAACAUAACAGAGUUCUACAUAUUUGUCGAAACUUACAUAAAUUGGUCGCUUAAUAUGUUUUUGUGUGCAAAUUUUUCAACAGAUGGUCUAUGAUUGCUGCUCAACUGUCAGACAGAACAGACAAUGAUGUCAAAAAUCAUUGGAAUACAAAGUUCAAAAAGAAACUAUGUUGUAUGGGAAUUGAUCCAGUAACACACAAGCCAUUUUCUCACUUAAUAAGUGAAAUUACAACAACAUUAUCUCCACCACAAGUCCCUCAUUUGGCUGAAGCAACACUUGGUUGUUUCAAAAAUGAAAUGCUUCAUCUUUUGACCAAGAAAAGAAUAGGUUUUCAGUUUCAUCAACAGUUUCCAAACAUGACAAAUAGUCCAAAUAAUGCACCAAGUACAAGUCAGGUCAAGAAUGAGGAGAAUAACAAUUACAAAGAUGACACAAUUGAGAAAACUAAGUAUGGAUUAGCAAGAGCUAUUAAGAAAAGUGACAAGAAUUGGGAGACAAAUGGAGGAGCAUCAACAAGCAAUUCAUAAGUUCUUCAACAAAUAGUUUGAUUUCUAACUGUCUGUAAUACUACUUACUCAAUUUCAAUAUCAACAUCAUGGAUAAAUCACAGAACUUGAGCUACCAAGCUGGCCAAACCAAGGGCCAAGCCCAGGUAAUCUGUUUGUUUUUCACUUUUCCUUUAUCAUGCUCGCAGAUAAUUGACGAAAUCAGAAAUUCUUAUAAAUGGAAUUGAAAAAAAUAAUGUAUACUAUAUCUAGGCUCAUACAAGAAAAUAUAAAGCAUUCAUGGUGGCUCUACUAAGAAUUUCCUUUAUGCCGAAGGGAUGCAACAAUUUAUGUAUAUAGAAACAUAACUAUUUUUAUCUUAUCUACAUCGUAUGAUUUUAACACAAGUGCAAUCCAUUCUAUUCGGAUUAUAUAAUACCGCCUUUCACAACACAGGAUACAUGUUAUAUAUGUAUCAGGAAAAGGUAACCAGAUGAUGGACAGGGCCGCUAAUACUGCACAAUCUACCAAGGAAACAGUGCAAGAGGUAAUCUAGCCAUUGAGACACACACACACACACACUCUUACACAAUCUUUCUAAUGAUUCAUAAGACCAGAAAUAUAAUGUGUAGUUUUUUAUUGACGUUUUCUACAGGCUGGGCAGCAAGUGCAGGCCAAGGUAUAACUGUGAUUUUUACACACACAUGCUUUGACAAAUGAAUUGCUUGUAGACAAGAACUACAAGUUACUCAUUCUCCUUCGGGUAUAACUGUCCUUGGGAAUGUUAUAACUCACAAUAACUUACCAAUUUUCAUUGAAAGUUAAACAAAAAUUUCAAUCUUUGAAUAAAAUUGAAACCAAAUCAGAAACCCAAACAAGCAAAAGAGAAAAAACUGAAGAAUUUGUUGACCAAGCACCGUAGAAGAAAUUAGUUAUGGAACAUACCUUUGAAAUUCUUGCAGUGGGGAGAAUAGUGAGAGAGGAAAAAACCCUAAAAUUGAAGACUGCAGUGAAAUUUGUUGUAAUGCGAGCUCAAUUGUUUGGGGUGGAGAAGAAGAGUGGGGUGGGGGUGAGGGUACAAGAGCGUCUUAAAUUUUUAAUGGGGGGAAAUGACUUCCGUUGAAGGGAAGUCAUUUUUUCUAAAAUGAAGGAAAAUGAGUUACCUUAGAAAAUAUUCUCUCAAUAUUGUAUUAUAACCAAACAAGAGAAAAUAGAAAAAUGUUUUCCAUUUUCCAUCAUACGAAACACACUUAGAGAUUCUCUAUAUUUGGAAGGUAAAAUUUAGAGGGUGGUAGGGAAUACCCAUUUCUUUUUUUUUUUUACGAAAAAGGGCCUAAAAUGUCCUUCAACUACGUGAAAUGGUGCAAAAAUGUCAUUCAUCUACCUAUUGGGACUAAAAUGCCCUUCAUGUCUACCUAUUAGGCCUAAAAUGCCCUUUUCAUCUACCUAUUAGGGCUAUUUUGCCCUUUUAUUUAAGAAAAAAAAUUAUAUAAUACCACAAGUUAUCUUUAUUCAACUACAUAAAAUACUUAUCAUUUUUAUUAAUAUUAAUCAAAUAAAUAGGGCACAAUAUCAAUUUUCUGUCAUUCUAAAUUGAUCUGAUAAAUAAAAGAAAAACAACAUAAAUAACCAUUUUGAAAAAAAUUAUUACAUAUACAUAAUCGUAUUAGUUGGUUGUCAGAUAUAACAUAUAAAAUAUUUACUUUUAUGACAGAUUCUAAUAUAUAGAAAAAUAAUUAUAUAUUAAAUUCCAUAUUUCUUAUUUAUUGCUUAUUUUUAUGUUAUAUCAAAAUUUUAUGUUUUUCAUUUUUAUUUCCUGUUCUCAUGAUGCCUCCAUAAAAAUAUAUGGUUUAUUUAUACAAUAAAAAUUCAUGGUAUAUUUAUAUAUUAUACAAAUUAUAUUUAUAUCAUAAAAAUACACGAUAUGUUUAUACCAUACAAAUUAUAUUUAUACCCUAAACAUAUAUUUUAGAUAUAAAAAGUUUAUACCAUGUAAUACUGAAAAUUUAUAUUUGCAUUUAAUAAAUAUUUUUUUAACAAGAAAAGUAAUUUCAACAUAAUGAUAUAUACAAUGAAUAUUUAUCCCAUAAAUUAUAUCAAAAAUAUAAUAAUAAUCUGACUUUGGCAUAAAUUAUAUUUAUACAACAAAAUAUAUGCUAUAUCUAUACUUCCAACAUAAUGAUUUUUAUUCCAUAAAUAUUCAUCCAUAAAAAAUUAUGAUUAACCAAUCACAUUAGAAUUAAAAAUACACGAUAAUGAAAUAAUAUUAGAUGAUUACCAUACAUGAAAACAAAAUGAAAUAUACACGAGCAAAUAAUGAAAUACUUAGUUUAGUUAAAAAUAUUUGAAUUUGAAUAUAAGAGAGAGAAAGAUUUGAAAGCAUAGAUUAUCUUUUUCACUUUUAAUUUGAAGAUUGAAAAUAUAUCUAUUAAAUUAAGAUGAAUUGAUAAUUAGUUAUAGCAUUAAAUUAAGAAUUAUAAUUAUCUUUUCUGAUUUGUUUAAAUGGCUAUAUAUGUAAAAAAAAAAAAAAAUUGUAAUAUUGAAAAAGUACCAUUAUUUAUGUAAUUAAAUUCUAAGGAUGGUCAUUCCAUGUAAUUUGCCUAAAUAAAAGGGUAAAAUAGGUCAAUAGGUAGACGAAAAGGACAUUUUAGGUUCAAUAGAUAGGUGAGAAGGUCAUUUUAUGCCCAAUAGAUACACGAAAAGGGUAUUUUAGGACCAAUAGAUAGAUAAAGGACACUUUUGCACCAUUUUACAUAGUUGAAGGGCAUUUUAGGCCCUUUUCCAUUUUUUUUAAGCCUUAGAUUUCUUCUUUUCAUUUUGCAAGUGAUCAGGAGAUCUCAAUUCCUCGUAUUAUACUCUAAAAUAAAAAUUACUUCCAAAUUAAUGGAUAAAAUAUAUACCCAGAUGAAUUUACACAUAAGAACACAAAUUUAAAGUAGCAAAGGAGACCAAUAGCAGUGGUGGCGCAGCGGAAAGGGGUUGCCCCAACCUACCCAGAGGUCGAGGGUUUGACUCUGGGUAUGGACAAACACUCUGUUGGGAGCUCUCCCCCCUAAAAUGGGGCCCAACGCAGGGCGAAUUCAGAUAUAAUCGGACUCUUACAAAGUGGGUACCGGACGCCGGGUAGUUUAAACCAAAAAAAAAAAAGUAGCAAAGGAGGAGAUACAUAGGUGAUAGGACCUUAACAACGAUCCAAUGAAUUUUAUUCUCAUCACUGGAACAAUCGUGAAUCGAAGGAGUUGGGUUUGGUGAAGAAGAAAAUUAAAUUUAUUCUUGGUUCGAUGUUUGUGUCUCUAAAGUGUUAUGAAACAAUAAUAAAAUAUCAAACUAACAAGAAAUUAUAUAGCCUAAGACAUUGAGGUAGAGAUAUUUUAUGAAAAAAUUACACAGAGUAGCAUAUUUAAGAUUAUAAUUAAAAUAACUAGUAUUACUUUUGUAAAAUUACAGUUUAUAGCAAGAGUAUCAUUAUUUUACUCAUUAACUAGGCAAGUACAUGUUUUACUCUCACUACUUUACAUUUUCCUAUUUUCACUCUACUAUUUCACCUAGCCAAAAUAUAGCCAUAACCUUUUUCCCUUUUUUUUCAUAAUAUUUUUUUGAUCAUUUUAUUUUUUAUUUUAUUUUAUUUUCACUUUAUUUUCUCUCUUCUAUCUCUCUUUUUCUUUUUUCUUUUUAUAAUUUUUUUAUUUUUUGUUUUCUUUUUUUUUUCUUUUCAUAUUUGAAGAUAAUUAUCUCUAAGUACUUCAAGAUUUUAAAAUAAAACAUCAUUAAUGUCUUUCACUCUCUUAUAUCUCUACCUUUCUUUUCUUGGUAGUUUUUUUUUCAUGUUAUUUUUUUAUCAUUUUAUUUUUUAUUUUGAAUUUUUGUUCUUUUUCAUUUUUUUCUUUCCACUUUAUUUUAUCUCUUCUAUUUCUCUUUUUUUUUUCCUUUUUCGUUUUCUUCUUUUUUUCCUUUCUCAUAUCUUUUUUUCUUUUUCUAUUUUUAUUUUAUUCUUAUUUUUUAUAUUUUAUUUUAUUUUUUUAUUUUUUUACACUUUUAUUUCUCUUUCUUCCUUUUUUUUUUAUCUUUUUCACUUCUCUUUUUUUGUUUUUUUUAUUGUUUUACCCUUCUAUCUCUAACUUUUAUUUUGAAAAGACAAAUAUGUAUAAACAUACACAUAUUGAAAAAACAUACAAAAUACAUAGUUACACAGAUCUGGAUAUAUAUUUACAGUACAAAACAGACAUAUGUAUUUACGAAAUACAUAUCAGAUUCAUAUUAAAUAGUAACAAAUAUAACUAUACUAUAUAUCUUCAUAUGUAUUUGCAAAAUACAAAGGUGACUCAUAUAAAAUAAUAAUAUACAUAUGGAUCAGGUAUGCAUUUUGUAAAUACAUAUGCAGAGCUAUAUGUAUUUAUACGGUGUUGAAUUUGUCUUUGAACUAUAAAUACUAUGUCAUUUUAGAGGGUAAUAUAUGUACUUACUUGUUUUCUUUUAUUGUUUAAGAUAUGUAUCAUGUAUUUUUUUAUUACCUAUAUGUAUAUGUAUGUAAUUGUCAUUUUUGUUAUAAAGAUUUGGGAUAAUACCCACGAAAAUACUUGAACUUUAAUCAAAUUUUUACUGGAGCAUAUUGAACUUUGUGGGGGUCCUAUUACCCCCUAUACUUUUUUAAGUGAAAUUAAUCCCCCCCCCCCUCCCCGGACUUUUUUAAAGUGGAAUUAACCCUCCCCCAAAAUGUUAUACCCAAUUUUUUCGGCAGAAAGUGUGGUACACGUGUUGUUUCUUCUCUGUUUUAUCGGUUUUCAAUAUUUUUUCACCAUUACAACCAUAUUAAAGAUUCCAAAAUUCAAAUUCCUCCUACAAAUCAAAUUCCAAAUGAUUCCAUUGAGUCAAUUUUUCAAAUUCUAAGUUCAUUCUUAUCACUCCAAAAGUUUUCAAAUUCAAUUAUGAAGAAAAUUUCUUCAUACUUGAAUUUCAAAUUUCAAGAUUCAAUUACGUCAACUCAAUGGAAUCUUUCAUUGAGUUUUAAAUUCCAAGUUUCAAUUAUGCCAACUCAAUGGAAUGGAAUUUCAAUUUCAAUUUCAAUUUCAAGUUCCAAGUUCGAAGUUGGAAUUACGCCAUAUUUCAAUUUCAAUUGAAUAAAAUCUUUCAUUAAUCUUCAAGAAUGGAAACUGAAAUGAAAUCUUCAAGAAUUCAGUUUCAAUUAACAAUGUAGCAACCAUUGUUGAAGAAAGGAAAGAAAGAAGAAAGAAGAGAGAAGAGAGAAGAGAAAGAAUGAAAAUAAAAAUAAAAAAUAUAAAAUUUUAAAUAAUUAGAAAAUUUAGGGGCUGUGUGGUAAAAAAAAAGUUUUUAAUGUUUUUUGAUGCCUUCACAUGCUCAAUGCGCAUGACUAACACGCAAUGGGCCAAGUGGAAAAUAUAUGCCAUUAAAAUACGAAAAAAAAAGUUUGGGGGGUGAUAGGACCCCCGCAAAGUUCAGUAUGCUCAAAUGGUAAUCCGAUCAAACUUCAGGUAUUUUUGUGAGUAUUCUCCCUAAAGAUUUUAUGUCUUAUAUGUUUAUAUAUACAUGCGAGUCAGAUAUGUAUUUCUGUAAAUACAUAUGCAGAUAUAUACGUAUGUUUUUUUACCGUAAAUACAUACGUUGAUCUGUAUGUCUAUUUAUUUUGUAUAUUUUUUGAAUAUGUAUAUAUGAUAUAGAUAUUUGUAUUUUAAAAAAUAAAAGAUAGAGAUAGAAGAGUAAAAAAAAAAAGAGUAGAAAAAAAAACAAAAAAUAAAAAUUUGAAAAAAAAAGUGAAAAAGGAAAAAAUAAGAAGAAGAAAGAGAAAUAGAAACUAGAAAUAGAAGUGUAAAAACAAAAGCGAAAAAAAUUAAAAAAAGAAGAAGAAGAAGAAGAAGAGAACGAAAAAAAUAUGAGAGAAGGAAAAAAAAAAGAAGACAAAAAAAGAAAAAUAUAAAUAAAAAAACGAAAAAGGCAAAAAAAAAAAAAGAGAAGUAGAAGAGAGAAAAAAAAAGUGGAAAGAAAAAAAUGGAAAAGAAGAAGAAAUUAAAAUUAAAAAGAAAAGAUAAAAAAAACUAGAGAUAUAUGAAUGAUAUUUUGAAAUUUUAAAGAUCAUGGAAAUAAUAAUAAUCUUCAUAUUUGAAUUUGAUUUGAAAAAGGAAUCUACUAAUUUAAAUAAGAAUAAUUUAUUAGAAUUUAAUUAGAUGGGAUAAUUAUUCCUUAUUUAACUCAUCUACUAUGAGUAAAAUAAGGGCAGUAAAUUUUAUUGUAUAUGUAUUUGUAUAGAAACGGUUCAGUUAAAUACAAAAUACAAUUUGCUAUUUUUCAUAAUUAUGAAACUAUUGCUAUAAAAGUUACAAUUAAGUCUCUAUAGUUGCUAUUUCUGAAAAUUUUUCUUAUUUUAUUUCUCUUUAAAUUUGCUGUACAAAUUACGAACUGCAUUGUUUUUUCAUUUAUAAAAGAACAAAAGUUACUUCCUUCAUCUUAUAAUUAUUGUCCGUUUUAUUAUAAAUAAUUACAUAAAUUACUUAUUUAUUGAUCAAAUCAAAACGAAAUGAAUUAAGUUUUUCUUAUUUUAUCAUUAUUAUUAAUCUAUAAUAUAUUAAAAGCCUGAAGGCCCUUUGAAAAGUGAAUUGAACUUUUUGUCCUUCAUUAAAAUAUUUCGCUUUAGACAAAAUCAUCUUUUACCCUUUUUCCUCUAAUUAAAUUCUAUAAAAUAAAUAUACUAAAUUCACCCUCUUUUUUUUUUGUAAAAUUUUUCUUACCAAAUUUAGCUACUUUGGUUCCUACUUGGUUUGCAAUUAAAUCCGGCCUUUUUUUUUUUGUAAAAUUUGCCUUCCACGUUUUUUUUGCGAACACCCAUUUUUUUAAAAAGAAAUUUCCUUACCAAAUUUAGCUACUUUGGUUCCUACUUGGUUUGCAAUUAAAUCCACCUUUUUUUUUUGUAAAAUUUGCCUUUCAAGUUUUUUUUUAGAACACCCAUUUUUUUAAAAAGAAAUUUCCUUACCAAAUUUAGCUACUUUGGUUCCUACUUGGUUUACAAUUAAAUCCUUUCCAAAUUUAGCUAUAGUUUUUUUUAAUCCCGUUUGAUUUCUACUUGGUUUCUUUCAAUUAUAAAACAUACUGCUUUUCCAGCCUUCUAUAUAAACGCUUAACCUUUUUUCAUUGUUCAUUGUUAUAAAUAAUUGCGCGAGCUUUUUUAAUUGUUCAUCAUAAUAAACAGAUGCCAUCUUUCAUUGUUUUUCGUCUCAUCACAGUUUCAACAAUUUUAUUUCCAAUUUUUUUAUCGUUAUAUCAUCUCUCCCUUUUUACAUUGUUAGUUUAAACACAAUAUUACUUGCUAUGCCAACUUAAAUUGCUUAGUUUAAUUUAGUUUAGUGUGUAGCUUAAUGUGAAAUACUAAUUCAAUAUAUUAUGAAUUCUACGUUGUUAUUGUUCUCUGUGUCGUUUUAAUAUGUGUCAUUUUAAUAGAAUAUAUUAUAAUUUCUGUUGCUCAUAACUAAUUCCUUUAUCUACCCGCCUACCAAAAAGGUUCACAUAUUUAGGUAUCAUUCUUCUCAUCUCAUAAAUUUACCUCUAUUAUGAAAUUUGUACGUUCUUAUCGUUCUAACUUUUAUUUUCUUAAAGAUUAUUUAAUGGAUCCUAUCACCGAAGUUGUGAGUAUCAACACUUUGAAGCCAAGGGAUUAUAUCUGGAUGAUCAAAGUCUUGGUCAUCGAAAGUUGUUUAAGAAUGGAGGCGGUUCUCGAAAAAUGGUGAUAUUAGUUGAUGAGGAGGUAAUAUUAUUCUUCAUACCUCACGUAUUUAAUAAACCUAAGCAAUUUAUUCUUUUUGCCUUUAGUAGUUGGUCGUUCUAUAUUCUCUCAUUAUAUGUAGCUGUUUCCUGGUAACUAAAAUCCCAAUUAAAUUACUCUUGAAUUAAUUUAUCCCACUUGAAAAGCGGAACAAAAUAAUGUCAGGUUUAAUGAAACAAAUACACGUUAUUCUUUUUAUUACUCUUGAAUUAAUUUAUCCCACUUGAAAAGUGGAACAAAAUAAUGUCAGAUUUAAUGAAACAAAUACACGUUAUUCUUUUUGCCUUUAGUAGUUGGUCGUUCUGUAGCUAUUUACUGCUAACUAAAAGUAACCUCAUGAUAGCUUCACACACAUCAACAAAUACAUAUUUCUCACUUUCUGUUUUACUCUUAUAUCUAUCAUUUUCAUAUUAUACUUUUUUUUUCAGGGCACAAAAAUUAAUGGUACACUUUUCAAUGAACAUAUUGAAACGUUUGAACAUUUUUUACAGCAAUCCAAAGUUUGCUAUAUCAUAAAUAGUCGCAUUACUGGGAUCAAUCCUAAUUUUCAAUCCGUUAAUAAGGACAUUGAACUUGGAUUCUUAACAUCCACUAUAGUUCAAGAAUGUCACGACCCUUUUUCUACAUUUUCUUUUUCUAAGAAUUUUAUUUCAUUCGAAGAUGCAAAAUUGCAUACCAAAGAAACAAUAGUGGGUAAUUCUUUUAACUUUCAUCAAGUAAUUACCACUGUCGUAAAUUCAAUAGUUUACUAUUAUUUAUCUACUCAUACAUACUUAAUAUUUUUUUCAGAUAUAUUUGACAUCUUCAUCAGUUCUAAGUUGUACACAAAAGGCAACAAAAGGUUUUGGUCAUGACGGAAUAGCCUAAGAGAAGAAAAGGGACAUACACCAAAAACAUCGUCUAUAAAGAGAUAUUAGGUUAGUUACAAUACAUGAAAAUGCAUGAUACAAAUUUUUUUAUACACUUCCAAAUAUACUAUAACUCACGUCAAUUAUUCUUUUUUGCAGGUUCAGAAAAUACACAGUGUUGAUAGGAAUACGUUUGCACUUUGAAAGAUCUUUAAUCAAACGAGAACUAAUUUAAAAUCAGCGUGUUACUGAGAAUUGAAUUCAAACAAGCCUGCAGUCACUUGAUUUUACUUUUUUCCUUACGAUUCCAGUAGAAAACAGAUUAUUGGUUCCCCUCCACAGUUUUGCACAUGUUUAUUAGUAUUAAUAUUAGUAUUUUUAUUACUAUAAUCAUGUAGCUAGCAUCGAAGAAAUAGACUAUGUAUGCGUGUGUAAAGUAUCGGUGGCUCCUUUGUUCUAUCCAAACUUAGACGUUUUAAAGCAGCUUUAAGUAUUUACAUAUACUAGCAUUUUUGCAUUAAAAGGGAUUCAACUGAAGGGUUCAUACCUAUGAAGAGAAUCAUUGGCAUGGUCUCUGCCUUUCAUGAAGUUGACAUUCAAAUUUAACGUCCUAGCUAUUGUUUGCACUUCAUGAGAAUCUUCCCCGUUGCCAAACACGCCUAUAUUAAAACCAUCAAAGUCACUUUUGUGCUUUACUAACAAGUAUAUCAACUCCCUGUAGCCUUUCGCCCUAACCAUUUUUCCUAAGAAGUAUGCACCUUUAGAGAUAACUUACUGACCACUUUUGUAAUAAUUCACGUACUAAUCGCAAUGCCCAUAUGUUUGGGAACCUACAGCAAUCAAAUAAUAUUUGAGCUGGCAAUUUGAAACUUUGUUGUGUUCCUCAGUCAUCAUUCAUCAGCCUUAUAGGUAAAAAUAUAGAGCAAAGCAGGGAUUUUAACAAAUGAAAUUACAUAAAAAUCAGAUCUUCAACCAACAGUUAGAUGUUAGUCGAUGCUAUACCUUUCUUUUGUUGGACCUACUAAAUUGUAAUAGUGAGGAAAACCCUGGAGCUUUGCAUUUUCAUGAAUAGUGAGAACUCUAUCUUGUAGUGGAUGUAUUAUGGUCUAGAAAAAGUACAAGAAUAAAAGACAAGGUUUUAAGAUGAUACAAGCUAAUUCUAUGGAUUGAAUAAGAUGACAAAGAUAAAAAGAUGCUUGAUUAUGUGGUUAAGCUCUCCUCACAACUGUUGAGACAGUUUCAUCCCACCACAAACGACCAAAUGAUCUGCAUAUGUAACAUGUCACACAAUUAAAAACAGUAUUUAGCAAGAUGGAAAGGCAGGUGAAAAUGCAAAAUGAAUAUCAAAUCAAAAAAAUAAGAGAUGUAUCAUUACUUUGAGGAACUACCACCAACGAAGCUCAUGGCAUAGUCAGGGACCUGUUGAUUUUAAGCAUCAUAAGAUCCAGAAACCAAAUAACACAAUAACUAUGUCAUUCCAUUAAAUAUUAAUUUAAAAACAUACCAAAGGCUUCCCUAAAGGUAGCAAUACUCUCUCCACAUCUGGGUCCCAUUCAACUUUUUUAUCUGGCCAAAUAGGAACUCCAGUCAAGUCCCUGAAGUUUGCACCCUACUAUCAAAAAGGUCAAGAAUUCAGCACCACAAGGAGCUCAUCACUUAAGUACCACCAAAGGCAUGACAGAAAAAAUUUAUACCUUUCGCUUGGGAAUUUGGCAUACACGUUGAUGGUCAUCCUCAUUCAACUGAAGAGGACGAUGGUCAUAGAAAACACUUCCCAAUACCCCUACAACAAUGACCAGACUGCAUUAGCAAAACUUAUUAAUGCAGUGAACAUUUUAAGCUCAACAUUAGUUACAGCAAGAAACCUCUCAAAAUAAGAACUAAUUGUUUGUAAAGACACUUCUCAGGUGACCACGACAUUAAACCAUGAGGUGCAACACAAGCAAAAAAAUGGAACUAACUAACACAAUUAUAUUACACCUACACAUAGUAUGUGAACUCACUCAUCAGUGUAAGAUAUUUCGUCUCUUGGCUCACUGUUCUCCACCUAAAAGGAAAAUCAUACACAUAAAAGAUGGGGAAAUAAGGCUACAGUAGUUUGUGUUGGAAGUGCCUGCAAACAUCUUAAAUAUCUCAUACAUACUGAAGGGAAUCAGAAAGAGCAUCACCAAGAAACAGUUCUUUCUUUAACUCAAGAUCCUGCCUUCAUCAUAUACAACUGUGUUUGACUGUAUUAGCUCAUAGAUGCGCAUUUGGUCAAUAUCAAAUGCUACAACAUUCAUGGUAUUUUAAAAUAAUAAAAAAUUACCUCAAAUUCUGUGCGAAUAACACCUCUUACAAUAACUUUAUGUGUGGGCAAUGGAUAUUGUGGCAGGUUCUGCAGUAACACGAGAUUUAAGAAAGGUGAGGAUGGUAGAUAGGUGCUUUGGAUCAUUAUUGAAAAUCAAUUAAAUAACUUUAAAUCCAAAAGCAAUAUUACCUCAGACAAAAGAGCAACAAACAUGAAGACACGCAUACGAAAUUGAGGAAGACCAUAUGCACCAGCUGCCAUCAUUCCCAUGCGUGCUUGGUAGUUCAUUCCUACAAGUCUGCUCAAUGCAUAUCUCCCAAGGAAACCAUUGGAAAAUUUGAUAAGGUCCACCACGUUCUCUAUUAAUACAAACCUAAAAAAUUACUAUCUUGCUUUGGAUUUUCCUUGUUCCUAAAUCGGUUGAAACCACUGAUUCCUUGACAAGGUGGUUAACCACAUACAACAUCAACAUCACCCUUAAAAAUAACCAACAGAGAAUUCAACUAAAAUGGGUUAGCAUCACAAAGCAUUAGCAAGUUGAUAACCCAGAAGUAGUUCAACUAUUAGACCCCAAAACCAGUAAGAUAAAAAAAAGAGCUAAAACUUACCGGUAACGGAAAAAUAUUUUCUUUGAAUCCUUUGGCCAAAAACUCUUUUAUUUUCUUCGGGCAGUCGCUAUCUACAUUAAACCAUGUGCCCUUCUUCGAUAGAAUAUAGAUCCUAUUUGUUCAACAUUGUAACCUAUGCAGAAGUAAAGUUGUUGAUGGGACAAUGAGAUCACAGUUCAAGCCGUAAUAACAACCUCUUACAAAGAUGCAAGGUAAGACUGCAUAUAAUAUACGAACUAAACAGACUCAAGAUUCAUAAAACAUAUUCGCAUACGAGUUGUCUUUCACUAGAGCUACCACCUAUAUGAAUUGACAAGCAACUUUUUUUUUGAACAAGCUUUAAUAAUAUUUGCAGAAAUCAGAUAGCUUCAGAAAAACAAACCUCACUUUGAGCAAUGGUAAAUAAAGCAUGAGAAGUAUUCCUAUAAGCGGGGACAUUGAAGAUUCUUCCAUCAUAAACUAUAAUCAACAUUUACAACAAAUCAAGCUCUGCUACAAACCAACAACACAACAUCAUAUUCAUUUUGCUAUAACACUACCUUGGAACCUGGUACGGACAAUGUCAAGAGGAUGAAAGAAAGUGACAGUAGCGAGGACACAGUGGCAUUUUCCUCAGUUAUAUAAUAAAGCAAACACUAGUGCCCUUUGCCAUGAACAUCACAAGAAGAACAUCAUCUACUUGAUAUCGACACCACCUUCCUGUAUUAAUGGAUAAAUAAGGCUACAGUAUUUUGUGUUGGAAGUACCUGCAAAUAUCUUAAAUAUCUCAUACAUACCAAAGGGACAUCAGAAAGAGCAUCACCAAGAAACAGUUCUUUCUUUAACUCAAGAUCCUUGCCUUCAUUAUAUGCAACUGUGUUUGACUGCAUUAUCUUAUAGAUGCACAUUUAGUCAACAAAAAUUAUGGUUCUUUCCUUAUAGAGCAUAAGUUUUCAUGUAUAAAUUUAUAUUAGCUUUGUCCUUACCCAAAAAAAACUUAUAUUGGCUAUGGUAAAUUUAUCAGCAUCUUGACCAUGUGCAUGCUACAUAUCUCUUCUUAACCUACUACUCCACUAAGGACUUACAAAUUCUACAAAUCUCUUCUUAACCUACUACUCCACUAAGGACUUACAGAUUAUAGGACAUGCCAAGAAGAUAUUGUUCAAGCCUUCUAUUUACUUGACAUUAUUUAACAAGGUGCAAUCUUCCCCGAUAGAAAAUAGAUCCUAUUUGUUCAACAUUGUAACCUAUGCAGAAGUAAAGUAGUUGCAUGAGAAAAUGAGAUCACAGUUCAAGCCGUAAAAACAACCUCUUAUAAAAAUCCAAAACAACCUCUUACAAAGAUGCAAGGUAAGACUGCAUAUAAUAGACUUAUUAUAUGAACUAAAUAGACUUAAGAUUCAUAAAACAUAUUCGCAUACGAGUUGUCUUUCACCAGAGCUACCACCUAUAUGAAUUGAAAAGAAACUUCUUUUUCGAACAAGCUUCAAUAAUAUUUGUAGAAAUCAGAAAGUUUCAGAAAAACAAACCUCACUUCAAGCAAUGGAAAAUAAAGCGUGAGGAGUAUUCCUAUAAGCAGGGACAUUGGAGAUUCUUCCAUCAUGAACUACAAUCAACAUUUACAAUAAAUCAAGCUCCUACAAACCAACAACAUGACAUCAUAUUCAUUUUGCUAUAGCACUACCUUGGAACCUCGUAUAGACAACGUCAAGAGGAUGAGACAAAGUGACAGUGGAGAGGCCACAACGACAUUUUCCUUAGUUAUAUAAUAAAGCAAACACUACUGCCCUUUGCCAUGAACAACACAAGAAGAACAUUGUUUACUUGAUAUCGACACCACCUUCCUAUAUUAAUGGAUAAGUAAGGCUACAACAUUUUGUGUUGGAAGUGCCUACAAAUAUCUUAAAUAUCUCAUACAUACUGAAGGGAGAUCAGAAAGAGCAUCACCAAGAAACAGUUCUUUCUUUAACUCAAGAUCCCUGCCUUCAUCAUAUGCAACUGUCUUUGACUGCAUUAGCUCAUAGAUGUACAUUUAGUCAACAAAAAAUAUGGUUCUUUCCUUAUAGAGCAUAAGUGUUCAUGUAUAAAUUUAUAUUAGCUUUGUCCUUACCCAAAAGAAACUUAUAUUGGCUGUGGUAAAUUUGUCAGGAUCUUGACCAUGUGCAUGCUACAUAUCUCUUCUUAACCUACUACUCUACUAAGGACUUACAGAUUAUAGGACAUGCCAAAAAAAUAUUGCUCAAGCUUUCUAUUUACUCGACAUUAUUUGACAAUGUGCAAUCUUCCCCGAUAGAAAAUAGAUCCUAUUUGUUCAACAUUGUAACCUAUGCAAAAGUAAAGUUGCUGCAUGGGACAAUAAGGUCACAGUUCAAGCCGUAAUAACAACCUCUUACAAAGAUGCAAGGUAAGACUGCAUAUAAUAUACGAACUAAACAGACUCAAGAUUCAUAUAACAUAUUCGUAUUGAUGUGUGAGCAAUUGCUAACACAUUUAAGACCUUUAACCAAGAAUAAUUGCAAAGUCUUAAGAAACUUUUGUCAUUUUUAAUUUGUUUAUGUAUGAUUUUACAGUUUAAGCUGAUGGGAUAAAGAACCAACAAGAAUGGAAGCAAAGAAGUUGAAAUAUGGAGGAAUCUGAAGAGAAGUGUGGCUGACAACAUCUGCGAUAAGUCGUCAGCCCUGUGAUAGGCUAUCACAGCUGCCAUCAGACUUAAGCAUGAGUUGAAGCCUGUCACGACAUCUGGUGAUAUGACGUCAAAAAUAUGAUACGCUGUCAUGAAUGUCGUUAUUCUUAAACAGAGAAUGGGAGUUGAAGAUAUUUUUGUGACGACGUUCGUGAUAAGCCGUCAGGUUGGUGAUAAGGUGUCAACAUCGUCAUCAGCCUUAGACAGCAGAAGUCAAAAGUGUAGAGGAGCUGACGACAUCCGUGAUAAGCCGUCAAACUCCUGAUAAGCUAUCACGGAUGUCGUCGUCUAUUCUGAGAAAAAGCUGCAACUUUAAUUUUAUUUCCUUAUUUAGGUUGAACUAUUUAAAGCUUUGUUUUAGAGUUUUCUGGGGGCAUUCAUUCAUCAUCAUCAUUAUUCUAAAGAGAGUUCGAUACUUUGAGUCUUGGAGAAUAUUUUCCAAUACUUUCUUCUCUAUCUUUUUGGAUUCGAAAAAUACAACUAUUUUGGAGAUUUUCCUUUGUGAUCUAAUCUACGGUGCACUAAUUAUUAUUCAUCUCUGUAAGUUAAUUUUCUCAAUUAUGAAGUCAAUUAUGUGUUUCAUUCUUUGCAUCAUGAGUGGCUAAACUCCGUUAAUCUGAAUUAUGGGAUCUAGGGUUAGCUCAUGAUGAUGUGCUAAACACUCAAGAUUUAAUAAGUGUUAGGAUUUCUUGAUGAUUCUGAGAUUUUAAUUAACGUCUAUUGGUUGUAAACAGUAGACACACCUACUUUGAUUUACUUAAGAAAGAAAUCAUAUACAGUAGGAAGUGAAUUAUCAACAAGGACUCGGAAAUACUUUAUUUAAUAAUCAGCGUUGUAACAAGGUUGAUUAACCUGACGAAAAAUCUGGGCAGUGAAUAGCAAUUUCCUAAGUCUGAGAGGAUUAGGAAAUUAGACGCUUAAAUAGGUCAAGAGACAUUUGAGAAUAUCAUCGAUAAAGAUAGCUUGUUAUCCUAACCACCAUGAGAAUCUUGAUUCACCUUUAGCAUCUGUCAUGUAUCGUAAGCCCUAGUGAACAUAAUUCUAGUUAUUUCAGAAAAUUUUGAUUACAAACAUCGAAAUUAAAGUGACAAACAAUUAUUUGCUAAUCAUCAAAAACCCUCAUUUUAUCUUUCAUAUCAUCUAUUUGAAUUCAACUUGUAGCUAUAGUCUCAAAUUAGUUUAAUUGCCACUCACAUUGUUCCCUUUGGAUUCGACCCCGACCCCAAAAGUUGGGUAAAUAUAUUGACGACGACUGCCUUGCACUAAAUUAACGUGUAAGUUGAGUGUUAUCACGCAUAUGAGUUGCCUUUCACCAGAGCUACCACCUAUAUGAAUUGAAAAGAAACUUCUUUUUUGAAUAAGCUUCAAUAAUAUUUACAGAAACCAAAAUAUUUCAGAAAAACAAACCGCACUUCGAGCAAUGGCAAAUAAAGUGUGAGGAGUAUUCCUAUAAGCGGGGACAUUUGAGAUUUUUCCAUCAUAAAAUACAAUCAACAUUUACAACAAAUCAAGCUCCGCUACAAACCAACAACACGACAUCAUAUUCAUUUUCCUAUAGCACUACCUUGGAACUUGGUACGAACAACGUCAAGAGGAUGAGAGAAAGUGACUGUGGCGAGGCCGCGCAAAAUUUUCCUCAGUUAUAUAAUAAAGCAAACACUACUGCCUUUGCCAUGAACAACACAAGAAGAACAUCGUCUACUUGAUAUCGACACCACCAUCCUGUAUUAAUGGAUAAAUCACCAAACAUACCACAUUACCUCUUAAGCUAAUAAUUAAAAGCCCUUACACUUACUAAGUUUUGGUAAUUUGAAUUUCUGAAUAUUCUCAUCAAUAUUACAAAUAAGGGAUCUGAAUGAAAAGAAGGAAAAUUACCAUCUCAAUUUUGAUAGAAAAAUUACUCCUAAUUGUUUUGAUGUCAAAGUCCCACCAUAAACAACUCAAAUGAAUACGACCAACAAUUAGAAAUAACAAAGACCAUGGAAAUGCACAUAGAACGUAUGCAUGACACCUGCUUCGAUUCAAAAACUAAAAUUUAUGUAUUUGAGCUGACAUGCAAACCUCAAAACGUUAAAAAUUGGUAAAACCAUCACAAUCAAAGCAUGAGUUUCAAAAAAAUCUAAACCAAACUUCUUUAUUCACCUUUCCUUCGGCCAAAAGCCCCAAACUAACAUGCAUCAACUGUUUAAUUUCUGGUAUAACAUAGACAAUCUCACCUUUUUACAUACGGGUCUGUAAAAUUAAUGCUUUAACUCACUAAAAUCACACCUCCUUUUAUCUAAAGUGUGUAGUCCAGCUAGCUCGCUAAAAAGAACAAGAAGAAAAAUUGUAAAGGAUCAGCCUAUUGACAAAUUCACCUACAAAUUUAGUGGUGGAAAGGAUUAAGAAGUAGAAUAGUACAAAUAACAGAAAUAACACAGUGACAUUCAGCUCAAACACAGAAAGAAGAAAUAAUCGAGCUCAAAUCUCUAAAUACGAUGGCUAGCCUAUCGAUUGAAAAAAAAGUAUAGAUUGGUACUUAACUUUCUUAGAUGAAGUUGUUACUGAAAUAGGAAAGAGAAAGAAAUUUAGAUCAUCAUAUACUCAACCCUGAAGAUGGUAGCACCAGUCUUGGCUCAAGGUUAUGUAGAUACAUCUACAAGAAUCAGGAUCAAAACUGAGAAAGACAAUUAGAUUUUGCUUCAUGCUUCACUUUCUUUUUUUUUAUUUAAUGUUUCUAGAAUAUUUGGUAGGUGUACUUUCAUCUGAUUUUUAUGUUUCUGGACCGGGUACUUAACAAGAUAGAGCUUUUUGGAAAGUAAGAUUGAGCCUUUUGCUUUUCAAAAGCAGAAUUAUCCGAUAGAUCUUUGUUAUUGUCUGAAUCGGGUUUGUAAAAUUAUUGGGCCUAAAAAAUUAAUUACUUUGGGCCAUCUUUGUUUUCUUUGUAUGAUUUAAUAUACUUUAAUCAAAAAUAUUUCAAAAAAUUAAACAUAUACAAAACUUAUAUUUUUAAUAUUAUAAAAAAUUCCAACUCUCAAAACAUAUUACAAAAAUUCAAUAUAUACACAGAAUGCUAUGUAUAUAUCGGUUAUGUUAUGCAUAUUAAUAGGAAGAGAGAGUAAAGUAAUUAAAAAAGUAGGAGAGAGUGUAAUUACUUCUAAAAGGGUUGGUAUUUAUGUUAUUUAUACAAAAUAUUUAUUGGGUAUCAUAUGAUUAUCAUCUCAAUUUAUGUGACACACCCACAUAUAUACGAAUAUCAUUAUGUCACAAAAAUAUAUGUAACGGGUUUGUCUUUAAAUAUUUCAUUUGACACAAAAUCUCAAAUUAUAAAAAAGUAUAUAUUUUAUAAAAAAUUUCAUAGAGUUUAUGAUUAUCAAAAUUUAAAUUUUAAAAUAAUAUUAAAUGAAUUAAAUCUAAUUUAGUUUUGAAAAUGAAUCAAAUUAAUUUUUUCAAAAUAAAAUAUGUCAACUAAAACUAAAUGGAGGAAAUAUGACAAAUCACAAUGAUUAAACUGCGAAGGCUGAGAAAAGAUAUAAUUUUCUAUUAGAGACAUAUAAAUAUAUAUAUCUAUAUAUAUUUGCUCAAUUUAUUGAAAGUAUGUAAAAUGUAUUAAAAUAUCAUUGUCAUUAAUCAAGUCGUCACAAUAUAGAAAAAACAAACUAAAUAGUAUGAAAUGAUACGCAAAAUAUAUUAUUGGAUCUUUUAUCAUUUGAGAAAAAAAAUUGAAAAUUAUUUUAUUAAUAAAAUUUACAAAAACUUUUAAGAAUGAUUUUAUACAUUUUUGUUUAAUGUUGCUUAUUAAUAACAAAAUAUACUUUGGCAAAUCUUUUUCCUUAAUGUCUACAAAUAUCUUACAAAGUCAAAUAAUUUUAUAAUACUAAUAAAAUAAAUAGUUGUAUAUUUUUUUCUGUUGUGGGAGAGAUAUAUCAUAUAUAUAUAUAUAUAUUUUUAAUAUAAAAUGUAUGAUACACGUGCAACGCACGUACUCUAUUCUAGUAAUUUUUAAAAUUCUAAAUAAAUGUAUAAGUUCUAAAAAAUUCCUUUUCCAAAGGAGUUGGUAAAAGAUAAAUUAGUAAUCCAUUUUGUUAUAAUCUUUAAGAACGUGUAAAGAAAAAAUUGAACAAUUAAUAGGACAAAGGGACGAUUAAGCAAUCUACAAGCUACUACUUGUGCUUAGAGGUGUUCAUGGGUCGGUUUUGAUCAGUUAUUGGUCAAAACCAUACCCAAACCAACAUAGUUGGUUUUUAAAUUUCUAAAAUCAAACCAAGCCAAACAAAAAAAUAAUCAUCGGUUUGAUUCUUGUCGGUUUAGUUCGAUUUGGUUCGAUUUUUUCGGUUUAUAACUUUAGCUAAUGAUAAAAGUUGAAAAUUUUAAAAAGUAAAUCCAAUCUAACAUAUGAGACGUCAACCGAGUGUUGUAUCUCAACCUUGAAACUAAGAUGUCAACUGAGUGUUAUACUUUGACAAAACUAUGAACAACGUCAUAUGAAUGCUUCUAAAAAAUAUUUAAAACCUAUAUUUAACAAUAUGAUAUGAUAAACCUCCCAAAAGGUAAAUACAUAAACUUUUUGCUCAACUAGGUUAAAAAAGAAAGUUAAAAUUAGUGAUUGUCUAUAGUCUAAUGAAUCUUAGCUAUAAAUUUCAAAAUACAACAUGAUAUUAUUUUCACAAUUAGUAUCAUUUGUCAUUCAAAAUGUGAAAUUCAUUUAGAAUCUCACAAGGUACUGUCAACUGGAUGAAGACAUAUGCCUGAAUGUGUUACGACUAAAGUCAAAAUCAUGAUUAAAAUAUAAAAUAUAAAAAAUAUUUAUAUCGUAUUUAUGAAUAAUAUAUAAAUAAUUAUACAUAUAUAUAGAUAUAUAUAUAUAUAUAUGUAUAUAUCAGUUCGGUUUGAUUAUUUUGUCAGUUAUUUUACAGUAAAAUCAAACCAAAUCAAUUAGUAUCGGUUUUUAAAAAUUCAUAACCAAACCAAACCUAACUGUAAGCAAUAAAAUUUUAUUAAAUUUAAAUCCGUACAAAAUUCGAGUAAUAUUAAAUUUAAAAUAUAUUAGUCCCAAAUAAAUAUUAUUGAUUAAUAUAAUUGGAUUAAUUAGUUAAGUCCAAACAUAUAUAAAUUUAAUUAAAGUUCACCUCAAUUGGGUUAGUCUAUUAAUUUGGGUUAAAAAAAUGAUUAGCCCACUUUAUCAAGCCCAAGAUGUCAUCAUAUUAAUUUGGGCUACAAAUGACUGAGCCCACUUUAGCAAGCCCAAGAUGUCAUCAUAUGCUAGAGGCCCAAUUUGGUGCCACAUGUCAAAUGACAUGGCAUACCAAGUCAAGUGAAGGAGCCAAUAGGACCAUGCCAUAUGUCAAAGUGAUAAAGUAAAUUAAAAGUUCAUAAGAAAUGUCAUGUCACUUAAAUCUGAUUGGCCAAAGAAAGUUCAUAUUUAUCAAUACCAUGUCACUUAAAUCUAAUUGGUCAAAGGAAGUUCAUGUUAAUCAUUACUCCUUACUUCCUACAACUAUAAAUAGGGGCCUCAUAAUUCAAAAAAGGGACCAACAAGUUUAACAAGAAUCAAGGGAGAUCUCGUGGAUCAAAGCAGCAGAUUUCUCUACAGAUUUAAGAACAAGCUCAAGAUUUUAAGAUCAAGAGUUCAAGGUUCAAGAACAAGCUCAAGAUUUCAAGAUCAAGAGUUCAAGGUUCAAGAACAAUCUCAAGAUUUCAAGAUCAAGAGUUCAAGGUUCAAGAACAAGCUCAAGCUUCAAGAUCAAGACAACAAGAUUCAAGAACAAGCUCAAAGGCCCUUGAAUUCAAGUACAAGUCGAGAUUAAGUUAAUCAAGUCUUCAAAUCAAGUUCAAGCUUCAAGAUCAAGACUACAAGAUUCAACAACAAGCUCAAAGGCCCUUGAAUUCAAGUACAAGUCGAGAUCAAGUUCAUUAAGUCUUCAAAUCAAGUUCAAGUUCAAGAUCAAGAUCGCAAGAUUCAAGAAUAAGCUACCAAGCCCUUGGAUUCAAGCACAAGUCAAGAUCAAAUCCGUCACGUUCAAGUUAAAGUUCAAGAUCAAGCUUGAAGCCCUUGAAUUUAUAGUUGAAAAGGCGAAUCAGAAGAAUCAUAAAGAUUGUAACACUUACUUAUUAAAAUCAAUAAAUCGAUUGUUGCAGUAUUUUUCUUGUCUCGAUUAUUAUUUUCGGUCUCGAGAAUUUUAUUGUCCAACAAAUUUUGGCACGCCUAGUGGGAAGAUUUCUACCUCUCAUCUUAACUUUUUAGACUUUAAAGAUUAAGAACACUGAAAUGACUUUCAAGAAGAUCAACUCUCAAUCAAAUACUUCUAAGGCUGCCGAUUCAAAGUUCUCUGCCGAAGUGGAAAGCAUCCUUGGUGUUACCUUUGUGAGCUUGGGAGCUGUCACGAGGAGCAAGGCGAGCAAGAUAGGACAACAAACACAUCUAGUGUCAUCCGCGCGAACUCCAAUUUUCGGAUCUUCAACCCCGAAAGGUAUGAAGUCCAAUUCAAGUGCUUCAGAAAGAGGAAGCAGUGUGGCGGAAUCACUGAAGAAGACUCUAGCUCUACUUGAGCAUUCUGGUUCCAAAUACUCUGGCGAAAAAACGAUGGUCAUUCAAUAAAUGCGUCAUAUCCACUUACACUGCAUAAGCUGAGCACUUCAAAGAUCAACUUAUGCGAAAAUCCAAGUUACUCUCCAACAUCUCCAGUGAUCAUGCAAGUAAUAGUGACCGAUACGUCAUCUAUGGAGGAGCAGCUUACGAAUUUGACAAAGGCAAUUGAGGGCCUAACCAAGUAUAUUCAGAAUCAAGAUGCUCGAAUUGAUAAGAUAGUUGAUAAGGUGGAAGGCCUGAUAGACGAAGAGUCUAGCCAUGCACCAAGAAAAGAUCCAAAGGCUCACAAGUCUAAACAUUCUGUGAAACAAACACCACUAGCUAAAGAGGUACAAGUUUCUUCUGAGGGAAUGAUCCCGAUUGAGCAAUUGAAGGAAUUCAUUGAAGGUACCCUCAAAGACAAGUAUGAUAUUGUCACCAAGUCUUCCCUCGCGUAUGCCAAGCCCUACACUGCUAGAAUAGAUAGCCUAAAAUGCCUGCCAGCUAUCAACCCCCCAAAUUUGAAUAAUUUGAGAGCAAAGGUAAUCCAAAAUAAUAUUUCGCACACUUUGUUGAGACAUGUAAUAAUUUUGGAACUUACGGUGACUAUCUUGUCAAAUAGUUUGUUCGUUCCCUAAAGGGAAACACCUUUGAUUGGUAUACAGACCUCGAGCCUAACUUCAUCGAUAGUUGGGAGCAAUUAUAACAUGAGUUCCUGAAUUGCUUUUAUAGCACAAAGCAUAAAGUAAGCAUGGUAGAGCUCAUAAAUACUCGACAAGCAAGGAUGAGCCAGUCAUUGACUUUAUCAAUCGAUGGAGAAAUUCAAGCCUAAAUUGCAAAGAUAGGCUCAACGAAGCUUCUACAAAAGAGAUAUAUGUCUAAGGGAUACAUUGAGACCUCCUCUAUAUCUUGCAAGGCAUUAAGUCAAAGUCAUUUGAAGAGUUAGCUACUCGCGCUCACGACAUGGAGUUAAGCAUGUCUUUUGCUGGAAAGGGAGAAAUGCCUAUCCAUGACCCUCAAAGGGAAAAGGAUAAGCAGGAACUCAAAAGGUGGGGUAAGUUCAUCCCCAAAAAUGAUAACAAAGAAUCCAUGAAUGUCGACGUGUCUCCUGUGAAGGUCACCACAAAGGUGAGCAAAAAGCAAAGCCUGAAGACUACUUCUCGACCACCUCCAAAUUAGAAUGUAACUUUAAAGGAGAUACAAGAAAAGGAGUAUCCUUUCAUUGAUUCUGAUGUUGCUGAGAUUUUUGAUGAACUUCUUCAUCAUAAGCUCAUUAAUCUGCAGGAGAUGAAGCAUCCUGACGAAGAUAGAAGGACCAAUGACCCAAAUUAUUGCAAGUAUCAACGGCUUGUGGGUCACUCUCUAGAAAAGUUCUUUGUCUUGAAAGACGAAGUCAUGCAACUUGCAAAAGAGAAGAAGAUCUUCUUCGACAAUGAGACGGCUAAUUCUCAUCAAAUAUCCAUCACUUUUGGCUCACUCAACCCAGUCCAAAUAUGUGUUAGAGAGCAAAAUAAGAAAAUAUUAGAGCUCGAUAGUUCUUCAGUUAAUGAAGACGAUGAUGAAGGUUGGACUCUGGUGAACAGACGCAGAUACAAGAAGACGAGACUAUAAAAGAAGACGUACGAGUAGCCAACCAAAAGAAGAAUGGUGAAGAAACCAAGGAAACAGAAGUUGGUUGAACUUCCAAAAAAGACAAGGGUGACGGAGCUUCACCACCAGAAACCUCGACGACCAGUGACUUUAGAGGAAUUCUUAUCGAGUUGAUUCCAUGGAAAGACUACCCAAGUCAAUCUUGAGGCAUCUUAUUUUAACACUGCCAAAGAGGGGGCAAAUGGUGAAAAUAUACCCAUAGAAGUUCCUUCAUCUUCUGAACCGCUUGGCCAAGAGGCACAUGUAUGUGAUACAAAAAUCACAUUCACAAAUAAUGAUCUUCUACUUAGUGAGGUCCAACAUAACUGUCCCUUAUACAUGGUGGGCCAGAUUCGAGGAAAGAAGAUCAAUAGAGUCUUGAUAGAUGAGGGAUCUAGAGUCAACAUCCUACCUAUUCGUAUGAUGAAAGAACUUAGUAUCACUAUUGAUGAACUAGACGAGAGUCGUAUAAUGAUCUAAGAAUUCAACUAAGAGGGCCAAAGGGCCAUGGGAUCUAUCAAGUUGGGGAUUCGUAUGGAUGAUUUUCAAUCAAAUAUAUUGAUGCAUGUGAUUGAUGCCAAAAAUUCAUACAAUAUAUUACUUGGUAGACCUUGAGUUCACGGGAACAAAAUUAUCUCAUCCUCUUACUAUCAAUGCUUGAAGUACCUCGAAGGCAGAGUGGAAAGAAAGAUAGUUGUCGAUGACAAGCCAUUCAUUGAAGCUGACUUACAUUUUGCCGAUGCAAAAUUCUACUUAAAGAAGCAUGUUGUGGAUGAGAAAAGGGUUGAAGAUGUCACUAAGACCAAGUGUGAUGAUCUUGCAUCUAAGAAGGUUGCGGUGACUAUCGAAAAAGUCACCACCAAGAAGCCUCUCUUCACUUUAAAUAAAGAAAGUGUUGCUUCUACGAAAAAUAAGGCAACUUCCGUUCUUUGCUACGUACCGAAGGUAAAGAAAGAGAAAGAUCCACCAUCAGAUUCCCAAUAUAAUAUGCUAAAGGGGAUAACUUUACCUAUCAGGAAGAUUAAUGCAAUAAAUCCAUCCUUAAAACUUCUUGAAGAGUCUGUAACUCAAAAUCUUCCAUAAGAUAUGACAUUCUCUCUAAAGUGUAUGAAAGAAGGAUUUGACCCAAAUACAUAUAAGCUAUUUAUAAAGGCUGGAUACAAUCCUAAUGAGUCAUCAAGGUUGGACCAACUUCCAUCAGAUGGUACAACCAGGCAGGCACGUGAAGGCCUAGAAUACACGCAGCCAUCUCCAAUUCGUAUCUUUAUAAUAAGGGCAAUCAGUAAUUAUAUUAUCGUGGAAAAAGAUCUACUACUGCUAAUAAAAGACCCUCUAUAUUUGACCGACUUGGAGGGCCAACUGCAAGAACUUCUAUGUUUGAAAGGUUGGGACCUCUAAAUAAGAGAAAAGCAAUAAGUGUAAGAAGAGUCAUCAAAGCACGAUGAUGCACUCUUCACUUAAAAUACAAAAGGAUUUCCAAAGUUUGAUUCCUUCUAGAAUUAAGUGACAGACGAAACUGGUAGUGUCAUGCAACAAGGUGUUAAAAGCAAAGGCUCAUACUGUGGUUUAUACUAAGGAACGUGAGGAAGAUAAAGAAAGUGUUGGCUCCUCAUAUCAUGUUACGACCCAGAAUAAGAAUGAGGCCUCAUAUCAAAUGAAGUUUGAUGAAGAGAUGGAAGAUACUUUCUGGUGUCACCAUAUAUCCAUCAACGACGAUGAUCCUCAAGAGGAUGAAGAUGCUAGAGAUGCUCUAUCUCAACUUGAAGAAGAAGCAAAGGCUACAAUAGAUCCCUUAAAGAAGUUAAUCUUGGAACCGAUGAAGGCCAACGACCAGUUUAUCUGAGUGCUUUUCAAGAGAUGGAGGAAGAAAUCGCUUAUAGGGACAUACUCAAAGAAUAUAUAGAUAUAUUCUCCUAGAGCUAUAAGGAAAUGCCUAGCUUAAAUCCAAAAGUAGCUGUCCAUUAGUUGGCGGUCAAGAAUGGUGCCCGUCCUGUUAAGCAAGCCCAAAGACACUUUAGGCCGGAGUUGGUUCCUAUAAUUGAAAAUGAAGUUAACAAACUCAUUGAAGCGGACUUUAUUCGUGAAGUCAAAUAUCCCACAUAGAUUUCAAGUAUUGUUCCAGUAUGGGAGAAGAAUAGCCAAAUUUGAGUUUGUGUCGACUUUUGGGAUCUCAACAAUGCCUGCCCUAAGGAUGAAUUUCCAUUCCCCAUACUAUAGUUUAUGAUUGAUGCCACCACUGGUUAUGAGGAAAUGUCCUUUAUUGAUGGUUUAUUCGACUACAAUCAAACCCAAAGGUAUUUAUUGCUACAAGGUGAUGCCUUUUGGUUUGAAGAAUGCUUUCGCCACUUAUCAAAGGGCUAUGAAGAACAUCUUUGAUGGCCUGUUCUAUAAAAAUAUUAAAUGCUAGGUGGAUGAUUUAGUGGUGAAGUCAAGAAAGAGAGACAACCACUUAAAAGACCUAAGAAUGGUAUUCGAGUUACUUCAAAGAUAUCAACUUAGGAUGAAUCCAUUGAAGUCUACCUUUGGAGUUACUUGAGGAAAGUUUCUUGGCUUCAUUGUACGAAACCAAGGAAUUAAAAUUGAUCAAGCCAAGGUCGAUGCAAUUUUGAAGAUGCCCGAACCUCAAAAUAUUCAUGAGUUAAAAAGCCUUUAAGGAAGGCUAGCAUAUUUAAGGAGGUUCAUCUCAAACCUGGCUGAAAAAUGUCAACCAUUUAGUCGUCUCAUGAAGAAGGACACUCCCUUCGAAUGGGACCAAGCUUGUAGUAAUGCCUUUGAGAGUAUCAAAUCAUACUUAAUGAAGCCAUCAGUUCUUGCAGCACCCAUACUGGGAAACCAUUAAUACUCUACAUCGCGGUACAAAAGACGUCAGUUGGAGCACUAAUGGCUCAAGAAAAUAGUGAAGGCAAAGAAAAUUCACUUUACUAUAUGAAAAGAAUGAUGACACCAAAUGAGCUGAAGUAUUCUAUAAUUCAAAAAUUAUAUUUGGCAUUGGCUUUCUUUAUCCAAAAGAUGAAACACUACUUUCAAGCUCAUGUUGUCCGUCUCGUGUCUAGGGAAAAUCCCAUCAAGUUUGUGAUGUCAAAACCAGUCCUCAAUGAUCGACUUUCUAGGUGGUACCUUUAAUUUCAACAGUUUGAGAUUAUGUACGUUCCCUAAAAAUCUAUAAAAGGACAAGCAUUGGCUGACUUUUUGGCAGAUCACCCAAUACCUAAUGACUGGGAGCUGAGUGAUGAACUCCCUAAUGAAGAUACAAUGGCUGUGGAAGUUAGAUCUCUAUAGAAGAUGUACUUUAGUGGUGCUGCACAUCGAGAUGGAGCCGAUGCUGGCGUAGUGUUUGUCACUCCACAAGAAGAGGUCAUCCCCUACUCUUUUACCUUGAUGAAUCAUUGCUCCAAUAAUGUUACUGAGUAUCAAACACUCAUACUCAGACUAGAGAUGGCUGUCGACAUGAAGUAACUACGAUUACAAGUUUUUGGUGACUCCCAAUUGGUGAUAAAACAGCUGUUGGGAAGCUAUGAAGUCCGGAAUCCUGAGUUAAGACCAUAUCAUGAUUAUUCACAAAAGUUGAUGGGAUGGAUUGGAGAAGUAACCCUCUAGCAUAUGCCAAGGAAAGAAAAUAAGCAAGCUGAUGCCCUAGCUGCUUUGGCUUCAACUCUAACUCUUUCGAAUUAGACACGAGUUACUAUUCACCAAGAAUGGGUAGUACCUCCAUCAAAUGAAGAUGAAGACGUAAAACGUAAGGUUGAAUACCUCAUUGCCUUGUCCGAAGCUGUAAAAGAGGAUUGGUGACAACCUAUCAUCGACUACUUGUGUUAUGGGAUACUUCUAGAAGAUCCAAGGAGAAGGACUGACAUUCGUCGUCGUGCACCUUGCUUUCUUUACUACAAAUACACACUAUACCGAAGAUCAUUUGAAGGAUUACUUUUAUGGUAUUUGGGAGAGGAAGAAGCAAUUUAAGCUUUACAAGAAGCGCACUUGGGAGUUUGUGGAUCAUAGCAUUUAGGACCAAAGCUCUAUUUUCACAUUAAAAGGAUGGGAUAUUAUUGGCCAACGAUGGUGAAAGAUAGCUUGGACUAUGCUUGAAUAUGCAAAGCUUUCCAAUUCCAUGCAAAUUUCAUACAUUAACCUCCAGAGGUACUAUACCCAACUGUAGCAUCUUGGCCAUUCAAUGCUUAGGGAAUGGAUGUUGUUAGUCCCACUACCAAAAUCUUCUAGUGGACACUUAUACAUCUUGGCCGCAACAGAUUAUUUCUCAAAAUGGGCUGAACCUAUUGCUCUCAAGGAACUAAAGAAAGAAAAUGUCGCAAAGUUCAUCUGAUUGAAUAUCAUCUACCGCUUUGGAAUUCCUCAGUACAUAACAACUGACAAUGGAAAGCCGUUUGAUAACAAGCUAAUGAACAAAAUAUGUGAUCUCUUUGGUUUCAAACAACGCCAAGUCUUCUAUGUACCACACUGCCGUCAAUGGUCUAGCCGAAGCAUUCAAUAAGACUUUGUGCAAAUUGCUGAAGAAAGUUAUCUCCAAAUCCAAAUGAGACUGGCAUGAGCGAAUGGAAGAAGCUUAAUGGACGUAUAGGACAACUUACUGUACACCAACUCAAGAAACCCCAUACGCACUUGAUUUUGGAGUUGAAUCAGUCCUGCCACUUGAGCGUCAAAUACUUUCUUUGAGACUGGCUAUUCAAGAAGGGCUCACUGAUGAAAAAAAUGCUAAGUUACGUCUUGCGUAGUUAGAAGCUCUUGAUGAAAAGAGGAUGGAGGCUCAACAAAAUCUUGAAUGUUAUCAAGCCCAACUAUCUCGUUCUUUCAACAAAAAGGUUCGCUUGAGGUGCUUCCAAGUUGGAGAUCAAGUCCUUGCAGUAAGAAGACCCAUUAUCACUUCUCAUAAGUCUAGGGGAAAAUUCACAUCGAAGUGGGAUGGACCAUACGUCGUAAAAGAGGUAUAUUCAAAUGGUGCUUACAAAAUUGUUGAUGCAGAUAGCGUGAGGAUUGGCCCCAUCAAUGCCAAGUUCUUGAAGAAGUACUAUCCUUGAAGGAAGAUGACACUUCUUAAGGCACGAGUAUAAACUGCAUGUCUACUCCUGACCCACAAGAGUAUAAACUGUGAAUGGCUAAAAAAAAUAUCCACUAGGUUGAAAACCUUGAAAGAGGUAGCCAAGACAAAAGUUAGGACGCAAAAAAAAAAACACUCACCCCAGAACUACGUUGUGACUUGAUCUUCUUCAUUGAGGUACGUAGGCGCUUGAAAUUUUAUUCUGAGUUUAGUUACAUGAGUGUCAAAAAAAAUAUAUGUUCCCCCCUAUAUAAAAAAAAUCCAGUCUUCAAGAGUCUUUUAACUUUAUCAAUCUUCAGACUUGCAUCAAGUGUUGGUGACUCAAUGGGGGCAAAUCCCUAUGAAGUAUAAGCUUCUUUGACAUAAAUUGAAGUCUUUAGAUUCACUAAGUCUUCAUGUUAGAGCUUUCAAGUUACCAUAUUGGAGCCUGCAAGUUCAUGAUGUCUGAUAGUUGAAGUCUUUAAAUGACCUAUGAUAUAAGUUGAAGUUUUCAAAUUUACUAAGUCUUCAUGUUGGAGCUUUCAAGUUACCAUAUUGGAGCCUGCAAGUUCACGAAGUCUGAUAGUUAAAGUCUUCAAAUGACCUAUGCAUAUAAGUUGAAGUCUUCAAAUUCACUAAGUCUUCAUGUUGGAGCUUUCAAGUUACCAUAUUGGAGCCUACAAGUUCACAAGUCUGAUCGUUGAAGUCUUUAAAUGACCUAUGCAUAUAAGUUGAAGUCUUCAAAUUCACUAAGUCUUCAUGUUGGAGCUUUCAAGUUACCAUAUUGGAGCCUGCAAGUUCCCGACGUUUGAUAGUUGAAGUCUUCAAAUGACCUAUACAUAUAAGUUGAAGUCUUCAAAUUCACUAAGUCUUCAUGUUGGAGCUUUCAAGUUGCCAUAUUGGAGACUGUAAGUUCAUAAAGUCUGAUAGUUGAAGUCUUCAAAUGACCUAUGCAUAUAAGUUGAAGUCUUCAAAUUCACUAAGUCUUUAUGUUGGAGAUUUCAACUUCACCAUAUUGAAACCUACAAGUUCACGAAGUUUACAAGUUGAAGUCUUUAGAUGCUCUGCGACUAUAAGUUGAAGUCUUCAAGUCUGCCAUAUUAAAGCUUUCAGAGUUUGAAAGUUGAAGUCAUCGGGUUCUUUGAUCUAUAAGUUGAGGUCUUUAAAUCAUUCAAACCUUCUUGAGUUUACCUUCCAAUCUUCAUGAAUUUACCUUUUCUUAUAGCUGAGACGAGUAGCCAUCCCUAUGCGCCAUAAGAUUACCAUAAGGUUACCUUUUCUUAUGGCAGAGACAAAUAAGCCGUCCCUCUGCACCGUAAGAUUACCACAAAGUUACCUUUUCUUGUGGCGGGGACGAGUAGUCAUCCCGAUGCGUCGUAAGAUUACCAUGAAGUUACCUUUUACCUUUACCAUAAGACUACCAUAGAGUUACUUUUUACCUUUGCCAUAAGACUACCAUGAAGUUACCUUUUACCUUUUAUCAUAAAACUACCAUGAAGUUACUUUUUCUUAUGGCGGGGAUGAGUAGUCAAUCCUAUGCACUAUAAAAUUACCAUGAAAUUACCUUUCUUAUGGCACCAUGAAAUUACUUUUCUUAUUUUGGGGACGAGUUUCCAUCCCUAUGCGCAAUAAGAUUCCCAUGAAAUUACCUUUUUAUGGCGGGGACAUGUAGAUAUCCGUUCACACCAUGUGGUUAUCGCCUUUGCUUGGAAGACGUUACAUGAGCGAGAAGUCGUGCAUAAGCUGUUAAAAAAAGGAUGAUAAAAGAAUAAAAUAAAUAACAGGAAAAGAAAUUACGUUGCUGUUGAUUCCAAUUAGCCACAAGCUGCUAUUGAUAUCGUGCAAGCUUUGCAGGUACAAGAAAAAAAAUAGUACGCCUAUGGGUAUUUAUAGAUGUGUUAAGGCGGUUGUUUUUUUUUCUAAUUCAAAUUAAACUCGAACUCAUGAGAAUUGUAAUAAGACUAGAAGUGUGGUUGAUCCCUAGUACUGAAUGGAUUCCACGGAGGCAUGUGGAAUAGAAGUAAAACUGCCAAGUAGUUGAUUCCAAUUCAAACAUGGAAUCUGAUUUCACCAUUGGUCAAGUUAAAGUGGAAUUAAAAUCCACAAUUUAUUCUGAAAGUUAAUAAAGUUAAACGUUACAAUGUUAGUGAUUGGUCACUAUUACAAUGUAACGUGCUCAAAUCGUUCUUGCUCCAACGACAUGUAGGGGUGGGCAUAUUUUGGUUUAAACCGAAAAAACCGAAAAACCAAACUAAAAUUUAAUUUUGGUUUUGGUUUUUUAAUUUUUUGGAUCGAAUUCGGUUUGUAAUUUUAAAAUUUUAGUUUUUCAGUUCGGUUUUCAUUUUUUUAAAAAAAAAAAUCCGGUUAAACCAAAAAAAUCAAAAUUUUAUAAGUAAAUAAAGAUAUAUAUAUAUAUAUAUAUAUAUAUAUAUAUAUAUAUAUAUAUAAUAUUAUAUGGGUGUUUUUGUUGUCUCUUGUUUCAUGAACUAUUUUUAUGAGUUUUGUGUUGUUUUGUAGAUUAUUUGUGCAAAGUUAUAUUAUAUGUAAUGAUUAAUGACGUUAUGUAUUAUAUUAAGCUUAUGAUUAUUUCAUUUCGUUUCAUCCUUGUUGAGUUAUUUAUAUUUGGGAAUGAAAAACAGGUUUGAAAAAAAUCUUUUUUCUAAAAAAAUCCAUCAAUUUAAAACGAUCAGUUAUGAAAAAAAAAAGGCUAACUACUUUAAUAUUUCAAACCGAAAUAAAAAUCCAAUUUGUAAAAAUCGAACCAAACCGAAUUUAUUUUGGUUUGGUUACAGAUGUCAUUUUUGUCAAUCCAAAAAUCAAUAAACCGAACCGAUAUUAAACAAUCAGACCGAACCGACCGAACGCCCACUCCUACCGACAUGCAUGCAUUGUUGACUUGAUUUUCAAUUAAAUUAAAACUUAAUACUUCAAGACUAGUCUAUGAAUAUUUAAAUAUCUUGACAAGUCUUGAAGUAGGGGGCACUUUGUAAACAAUAAAAUUUUAUUAAAUUUAAAUCCGUACAAACUUCAGAUAAUAUUAAAUUUAAAAUAUAUUAGUGCCAAAUAAAUAUUAUGGAUUAAUAUAAUUGGAUUAGUUAGUUAAGUCCAAACAUAUAUGGAUAUAAUUAAAGUCCAACCUCAAUUGGGUUAGUCUAUUAAUUUGAGUUAAAAAAAUGAUUAGCCCACUUUAUCAAGCCCAAGAUGUCAUCAUAUUAAUUUGGACUACAAAUGACUGAGUCCACUUUAGCAAGCCCAAGAUGUCAUCAUAUGAUAGAGGACCAAUUUGGUGUCACAUGUCAAAUGACGUGGCAUGCCAAGUCAAGUGAAGGAACCAAUGGAACCAUGCCACGUGUCAAAAUGAUAAAGUAAAUUAAAAGUUCAUAAGAAAUGUCAUGUCACUUAAAUCUGAUUGGCCAAAGAAAGUUCAUAUUUAUCAAUACCAUGUCACUUAAAUCUGAUUGGUCAAAGGAAGUUCAUGUUUAUCAUUACUCUUUACUUCCUACAACUAUAAAUAGAGGUCUCAUAAUUCAGAAAAGGAACCAACAAGUUUAACAAGAAUCAAGGUAAAGCUCGUGGAUCAAAGCAGCAAAUUUCUCUACAGAUUUAAGAACAAACUCAAGAUUUCAAGAUCAAGAGUUCAAGGUUCAAGAACAAGCUCAUGAUUUCAAGAUCAAGAGUUCAAGGUUCAAGAACAAGUUCAAGCUUCAAGAUCAAGACAACAAGAUUGAAGAAUAAGCUCAAAGACCCUUAAAUUCAAGUACAAGUCGAGAUUAAGUUAAUCAAGUCUUCAAAUCAAGUUCAAGCUUCAAGAUCAAGACUACAAGAUUUAAGAACAAGCUCAAAGGCCCUUGAAUUCAAGUACAAGUCGAGAUCAAGUUCAUCAAGUCUUCAAAUCAAGUUCAAGUUGAAGAUCAAGACCGCAAGAUUCAAGAACAAGCUACCAAGCCCUUGGAUUCAAGCACAAGUCAAGAUUAAAUUCGUCAAGUUCAAGUUAAAGUUCAAAAGCAAGCUCGAAGCCCUUGAAUUUAUAGUUGAAAAGGCAAAUCAGAGGAAUCAUAGAGAUUGUAACACUCAUUUAUUGAAAUCAAUAAAUCGAUUGUUGCAGUAUUUUUCUUGUCUCAAUUAUUAUUUUUGGUCUCGAGAAUUUUAUUGUCCAACACUAACUAAAUAUCAGUUUUUUAAUCGGUUUAGUUUGGAUCGCGGUUCAGUUUGGUGAAAAACCAAACUGUGAACACCUUGUGCUAAAUUAUCCAAUACAAAUUUAUCUGAUUACAAACUUUUCUACUCUCCCGUCCAUUUUUCUUUGUCCUAGUAACUAGUAAGCUUAUACAACGUAUAAUUGAUAUCACAAUAUGAUGUCCUCGCUACUUUAUUUUAUAUGUUUAAUCAAAUACUUUUAUUUGAUCCAUAAAUAUACCCAAUCCAACUUUAAUCAAGUCUAAAAUUUUUAGAGCCAAAUUUUUAAUUAUUUUUUAUUUUUGAAUUAUUUCAAACACUGAUAACUUCUUCUAUUUUUCGUAUACUAAAUUAUUUUUAUAAUAUUGGACAGUUUGAUGCACUAAAUCUUUUGCUAUGAGCAGAAUUUGGGGAAGAGUACCACCACAAGGGUGUAUUGUACGCAACCUUAGCCAGAGAUUGUUUUCAAGACUUGAACCAGUGAUCUCUUGGUCACAUGUCGACAACUUUACCAGUUACUCUAAGGGUCUCCUUCAAAACCUAUCAUGAACGGGUUUCGAAGUCAAGACCGCUCUGUGUGUAAGUUUGAACCCUAUUUUCCACUAAAUCAAAUUUUUGACUUAAUAUUAUUCUUUUUCAACAAUUUAUGUCACGUCUCAAAUUUUUUUGGCAUUAUAGGUCAAUUCUUCAUUCACAAAAUCUGUAAAUAUUAAAUACUUAUUAUUUUAAUAUAUUAUCUAAUGCUAUUUAAAUAAUUUUCUAAAGUCAUCUAUGCAUAUUAUAUAUAUACAUAUAUAUAUAUAUAUAUACAUAUAUAUAUAUAUAUAUAUACAUAAUAUGCUUCAGUCGGAUUAUUCUAUUCCACCUCUUAGAAAGAAAAGAAUUUAAAUAAAAAUACUUAAUAUCAUGACGAUACAUUUAUACAAAGUUCCUACCCCGAGCACACACAAUAAAAUCGUAGAUAGUUAAGUGAAAUUUAAUCCACAAAAUAAUUUGAUAUAUGGAUAGCGUCGUUGCGGUAAAGGUCACAAUGCCAGAGGAAUCAUUACCGCAAGGCAUAGAGGGGGAGGUCAUAAGUGUCUAUACCAUAAAAUUAAUUUUCGACAAAAUGAAAAGACAUAUAUAGAAGAAUCGUAAUCGUGAAAUACGACCCUAAUCAAAAUGCAUACAUUUGUCUCAUACACUAUGAGGAUGGUGAGAAGAGAAAUAUUUUAGAUCCCAGAGGGGCUAUAAUUGGAGUUAUCAUUGUUUAUGGUUCUGAAGUUCGUAUAAAAAUGGGAAAUGCCCUACCUUUGAAUGCGACUUGAACUAUUGAUCUAUGUAAUUAAAAAUAACCAAUUAGGUUUAGGGCAAAACCUAGAAAUCAAUCACUAAAUUAAGGAAUUCUAAAAUAUAUGAUAGGAAGAAAAUUUAUUUUAAACAUUAAGGAGUUUUAAAAUAUAUUAUAAGAAAAAAAUAUAGAAUAAAUGUAAAUUAAUCCUAACAAAAAAGGAUUGUUAAGUUGAUAAAUUGAUAUUGUAAUGCAAUUGCGACUUUUCCUGAUUUUUAAGAAUCAUAUGUAUGCGUUAUUUUAUUUUUAUUUUUAUUUUUAAAAAAAGGCCAAGAAGGCCAUUUUAUUUAAAUUAAAAAAAAAAAACAUACAAAGUUGAACCGUAAAAGCAAAAUCUAGUGUUUUUCUAUUUGAGUAAAAUACUUAUUCAUCUAAUGGUUACGUCGAAUUUCUACUUAUUGAGUGUGUUUGGUACGAAGUAAGACAUGUUUUAGAAAAUACUUUUCAAUUCUUUCAUGUUAUUGACUUAAGUGAUUUGGAAAAUGUUUUUAAAAUCAACUUAUUUCUCAAAUUUAAAGAAAAUGAGUUCCCUUCAGAAAGUAGGAAAAACAUUUUUAAAAAACUCUCUUUCAACACCACAAAUCAACUUUCUACACUAACCCAAGUCUCUGGUAUCGAUUCCCAACACUAAUUCAAGAUUCGGUGCCUGCCCCAAACUCGUGAUUCUCGACUCGAGAGCAGGUGUCGGAUGUUGGGGUUGGAUCUUAGGUCAGGUACUGAGGUCAGGUCCCGAGUCAGAUCUUGGAUCGAGAAUUAAGGUCGAAUCUCGAUUUGGGUACUGGGGAUGGAUUUAGAUCUAAAGUGGGGGUUAGGAGUUUCGGUUCGGGUGCGGGAUUUAGGGCCACGUUCCCUAGUCCUGAGUUAGGAGUUGGGGUGGGGACUCGAGAUUUGGUCUCGGAUCGAGUGUUGGGGUUAGGUCUAGGGAUGAGAGCCUGGGUCAGGUCCCAAGGUCGGGUCUCAGAUUGAGAUUCAGGAUCGGGAUUUGGGGUCAGGUCCCAGGUCUAAGAACGGGAGUCCGGAUCGGGCCUCGGUGCAAGAGUCGAGGUCUAAUUUUGGGUCGUGUGUUGGGUCAGGUCUUAGGUUAUAUAUCGGGGUUUGAUGACAAGGCCAGGAGAUGAGUCCCAAUUCGGGUAUAGGGUCUAGUUUCGUUUUGGGUGUUCUAAUCUUGUGUCGAGGUCGGAUGUCAAGAUCAAAUUUCGAGUUGGAAGUCAAGGUCGAGUCCCGAGUCGAGUAUCAGGGUCGGGUUUCAGGAUUGAAUUUUGGUUCAAGUCCCGGUUCAGCUACCGGGGUGGGUUAUCAGGUCUUGAGUCAAGGUCGGGUCUUGGGUCAGGUGUCAAAAUUGGGUCCUGAUUGGGUGUUGGGGUCGAGUUCUAGGAUGGGUGUUGGGGUUGAGUCUCGGGGUUAGUUCUCGAGGCCGCUUCUUGGGUGUUGGGGUCGGGUCCCAUCGGCUAUCGAGUUUGAUUAUUGGUUCUAAAGUCUGGGUCGGGUCUCAGAAUUGGGCCCGAUUUGGGUAGGGUCGAAUCCUAGAUCGAUUGUAGGGGUAGAUCCCGGGUCAAAAAUUAUUUUUUACUCUUUAUCCAAACACUAAAAAAUAUUUUUUGAAAAAAAAUUUCCAAUCAUUAACCAAGCACUGUAAAAUAUAUUUCACUCACAAAUCAAACAUGAGAAAAUAAAUUAGAAAAUCAACUUAUUUUUGAUGAAAAUAUUUUUCUUACCAAAUACACCCAUUAUAGUUAAGUGAUUUCAAGAAGUUACACGAGGUGACCUUUCAUAAGUUGGUGUUUAAAUUUACCGUUAAAAAAAGUUGUGCAAAAUGGGCAUAUAUACAUCCGCAGUCAUUUUUCCUCCUCUAUUUUCUUUUGUAGAUAUCGAGGGAUAUGUGGUAGCACGAAUUCAAUAUAUAUUUUAUUUUAGUCUCAAUUUAUGUGAUAUAAAUAGAAUUUAGAUAAUCAAUUAUAUUUUUAAUAUUUUUUUUAGAUAUUUUAAGUUAUUAACUUUGUAAUUUAUAAUACUUUUUGUGUAAUUUUUAAAGAGAAAAUACUCUAUUUCCACCUUGAACUAUGUGUAAAAAAGUUGAAACACAUUCGAACUUUAGGAGGAUCCUAUUACUCUCCCCUGGACUAAUUAAAAUUGUAUUUUUGUCAAUCUUAGUGCCUACGUGACACACAUGUGACACAACACACUGAAGGGUCCACGUAGGCACGCGUGUGUGCCACGUAGGCACUAAGGUUGUCAAAAAUACGAUUUUAAUUAGUCCAAGAGUAAUAGGACCCUCCUAAAGUUCGGAUAUGUCUCAGCCUUUUCGCGUAUAGUUCAAGGUGAAAAUAAAGCAUUUUCUCAUUUUUAAAUAAUAUAUGUUAUUCUCCUUGUCCAAACUUUUAUAGCCAAUUAUAUUUUUAAAAUUAUUUAAAUUUUUAAUUUUUGUGAUUUAUAAUAUUGUUUCUUCUAUUCCAAUUUAAGUGACACUCAUACAAUUUCGACAGUCAAUCAAAUAUCACGAUUGAAACAGCAAAACAGAUAUGUGUUAAAUGACUUAUAGUAACUAAUUAGAAGUGAUAUAACAAAAUCACUAUAAAAAUUACUUGUGAAAUUCUUUUUAAGCGGGUCUCAUAUAAGAUGUCAAGUUAAUUUAAAACAUUAAGAAUUAAUUUAUCAUUUUAUGUCUAUUUUAUUUUUUUUAUUAAAUAUUAUUAAUUUUGUAAUAUUUAGAUGACUUAUGAUAAUUAACUAGGGGUGAUAUAUAAAAUUACGAUUGAAGCAGCUGAAACAGACGUGUCAUAAAUGUCUAUUUUAUUUUAUUAAAUAUUAUUAAUAUGUGCAAUAGAAAAUUGAUUACUCAUUGCUUUUUUGGGAUUGGUUUAGCUAAAAAAACUUGAAUGCCAUUUUUAAAUUUUAUUGAGUUUGUUUAAAAAAAAAAACAAAAGUAAAGAAAGGAGACAAAAUGAGACUAUUAAGAUUUGAAAGUUUGAAUUGAAUCAGUUGAAUAUCAAAUUCGGAGUUGAUUUGGAAUAAUUUGGAUCUUUUUAAAGGAAAAACAUGUUGCUGAAAUUUGUAAAUAACAAUUAUGGUUAUUUGAAUUUGGAAUAAUUUGGAUCUUUUUAAAGGAAAAACAUGUUGCUGAAAUUUGUAAAUAACAAUUAUGGUUAUUAUCAGAAUUUCUGAUUAAAUUCAAACAAUUACCAUAACUUUUGUUAAGACAUUUUUGUAAUUGAAAUAUAAACUUUCGUCAAAAUAUUUAGCUACAAUUUUAACAAUUAUCAUGACGUGUUAAAUCAAAUCUUAAUUAAUAUCAAAUAAAAAUAUAAUGAUCACUCAGCCAAAAUUUUGCUCCUGAACAGUAAGGAUUGACUGAUUUCUUUUUUCACUUAAAAUUUUGUUCGAUUACAUCAUGCUUAUUUUUUUCUAGGUUUGCUUUUAAACUCAGCUUUUCAUUUUCUAGGUUUGCUUUUAAACUCAGCUUUUCAAUAGUUCCAAAUAAGUGUUACUUGGUUCUAUUUUUUUUAUUUUUGGAUACCUGAAAUAUAUUAUAGAAAAAUUAGAAUAUUAUAGAUGAGGUAGUAGUGUCAUGAGCACUAUAGGUUUCCCCAACAAGCUAAUUUAUUACAUGAAAACCUAUUACCUUUUCCAGAAGUUGGGAUUUCUUGCCUAUCCUUGUGAAGGAGCGGUAAGGCUUGCAUUGGAGGAUGCCACAAAAUAGUCACUAGAUUAGAAGAAGAUGGCUGGGAGCCCAUCGUACACAAAAAAUGUGCUACGCAGUUAACCUGACGGAAGCUAUGCCGAAGCAUUAGAUUCCCCAGCCUCCUCAACAUAGACGAACCCAAGAUUUGAAGUCUGUGGCUGCACUAGUAUUGUCAAAUAUGCGCAUAAGUCUUGAAGUAAGACUCAAAAUGUGUUGAGUGCUCGCCUCGCUUAAUGUGCAACUUAGGUUCUAAUUUUUGAUACAUAUUUUCCCUUGUUAAUGAGGCUUUCUGAGGAGACGAACACAAAACAAUUGAUAUGUCACUUUAUAAAAAAAAUUAAUUUUUUUGUUUAUAUAUUUAUCAUUAAUGCUUGUAUUAUUAGUCUUGGACUAGACAUAUAUUUAUAUCUUUUCUACCUUUAUGUUUUUUUUCGUUAAAUCUCACGCUUUAUUUGUACUUUAUGCUUAAACACAAUAGUCCUUGAAGCUUUUUUUACGCUUAUUGCUUUUGAUAAUAUUGUAGGGCACCAAUAUUAUCUUAAGACGUUAAAAAAACUUUCGGUGUCGAUUAAGGAAUAUUAUCAUAUUCAAUUGGUCGCUAAAGACAUGAACAAUACUGGAAAAAUAAAUAUAUAAAACAAAUAAGAGUUUUAAGCUAAUAAUUUCUUCUAAUAUGAAGUUUACUUUUAACAUUUCCUUUAAAUUUGAAGUAUUGAAAAUAAAAAUUAAGGUGCUGUGUGACCCAGGGAUCAAUCCCUGGUCACAUGGACGAAAAGGCCAGCUUCAACCAGCACACCAAGGUGCAUUACCAUUCAUCUUAGGAUGCACUAUUAGCUAUAUCCCAAUUUCUCAAGUUAUAUACACAUAUAUAUACACAAUUUUUUUCGACGUUAACGGGUGCACGUGCAACCCCACAUAUAAAUAUGGGUCCGCCCCUGCUCCUCAACCACGACAUGCACAUGGAAGCAAGAGAGUUAAGCAUGGUAGGACACUUUCAAGAAAGUUUAAUAAAUCUAGGAAAAAAGCUUAAAUAUGCCACUAAACUAUCAAAAAUGAUUCAUUUAUGCCAUCAUUCGUGGCAUUGCCAUUACAAAUCAGUUCAUCCACGCUAUUACCUUUUAAUGGUGGGUUUUCAAAAAUAAUUUUGCCACGUGGCCUCUUAUUAGAGGUCCACAUCAUUAAUUAAAAUAAAUCAAUAUUAAUUUCUAAAUAUGAGAUACAUUAAAAACAACACUUCCCCUUUAAUUUAGGAUAUCUAGUAGGACUGAAUCAAUGGAUAAACGAAAUCUGGUGCAUGACCCUUUUCUCUUGAUUAAUUAAAUCGUGCUUAGACUACGAAUUUUGUAAGAUUUAGAUGGUAAAAAUUAUAUUAGAAAAGUAAUAACCUUACAAUAUCAUUGAACAAAUUUGAAGAAGUCGAUUUGAAUUUUGAAUAUGUUUUGUUAGAGAAUUUAGAAUAAGUGGUGUUAUCUAGACUAGUUGAAAAUAGUUGAAAAUAGUCUAAGUAUAUUAUCUAUCAAAUUUGUAGUCAUGUCGUGGAGUCUUGGACUAAUUUUAAGUAAGAAUUGCUUCUGAAAAUCAUAUAAAAAGUUCGAUUCUUUGGCUAGCUAUAUCAACGUGCUAUACAUUUUAUUCAAGACGUAGAUGUAUGUUUGUACAUGAUUUUCAGCAUCUAAAUCUUACGAAAUUCUUACUCUAAGCACGAUUUAAUUAAUCAAGGGAAAAUGCUCAUGCACCAGAUCUCGUUUAUCCAUUGAUUCAGUCCUACUGGAUAUCCUAAAUUAAAGGGAAAGUGUUGUCUUUAAUACGUAUUUUGACAUUAAUAUUGAUUUAUUUUAUUAAUGACGUGUACCUCUAAUAAAAGAUCACGUGACAAAGUUAUUUUUGAAAAUCAUAGUUAAAAGGUAAUAACAUGGCAUGGAUGUGUUGGUUUUGUAGCAACGAUGAUAUGAAUGAGUCAAAUUUUUUACUGAUAACAUAAAUGAGUCAUUUCUAACUAUAUUUGAACCUUUUUCCAUAAAUCUAUGGAAUCCACCUCUAUUAGAUGGGACGAAGGUUGAACGAGUCAAGAAUUUCAAGUCCUUUUUGAAGAGCAUUAAGCUCUGCAGCUAUAGCAUUUUGGGCUUAGCAACUGCCCAUAAAACGAACAACCCAAUCCCCCGUCGAGUUUCGAACCACUCCACCAAAUCCACCCUUAUCAGAUCCUUUGGUAAAAGGACCGUCGACAUUGAGUUUAUAGUAAUUUGGAGGGGCUUUUAUCCAAGCGAUAGGAAUAGAGAUGGGUUUAUCCAAGGAGGGAUCUUUAUCAGUUAAAAAUUUAUAUUCCUAAACUUUGGAAUUCACCAUAGAAACACUCAAAAGAGAACAGAGUUGUUUGAAAACAUUAUUAUUACGGUUACACCAAAGGUACCAUAUUGCAAAAGGUAGGAAAUCCAGCCAAGUAUAUUGGACUUGGGGUGGGCGUGGGGGUGGGGGUGGGAAGUUUAAGCAUUUGAGCUCGACUAGACAAUGGUUUGAGGAGGAGGGAGGCAGGUCUAUAUUCAACCCGAGAUUCGCUCAAAACUUCUUUGCAACAUAGCAGUGUAAGAAUAUAUGAGCAACGGAUUCCGGGAAGCAUUUACAAACUAGGCAGAUGGGAUUAUCAAGAAGUCCAAUAUGAUGAAGAUAUUGCAUAGUAGGUAGUCGGUCUUUGGAACAAAACCAAAGAUAGAACUUAAAUUUAUUAAUAGUGUUAAGCUUUCAGGUCCAACCAUAAUUCUAAGACAGGGGCUCAUGAUUAUUCCUAGAAUUUAGAAUGUAAUGAUAAGCACUUUGCAUGGAAAAUAACCCAUUGGAGGUAGCAGCCCAGUAAGAAGAAUCACAGGUGGUGAAGUUCGAAUUUAAAUGAACGGAAAGAGUUUUUGCUACAAAAUCACCGGAUAGUUGGAUCGAAAUUUUAUUCCAUUGCCAAGUAAAUCCGUUCCAAAGGUCAGAAAGUUUAUAAUGGUAUUCUUCAUGAGUCAAAGGACCAUGUACGAGAUUACGGAUGGGUGGAGAGUCAGGAAUCCAUCUAUAGUACCAAAAGUUUAAAGCUUUACCAUUAACAGGUUUCAAUCCUAUAUUUGGCGAGCAAAUUUUUCCUCCCCGUAAGAUAUUUUCCAAAUGAAGGAGGGCGAAGUGAGUUUAGGAGAAUUAUACUGACUAAUUAAAGCACGAGCUCAGAAUGACGUAUUAUUCGAAAAAAGUCUCCAAAAAAGGACAGUAAGGAGAGGGAGGUUUUUAGUGUGGGCUUCUACUAGCCCCAGCCCCCCAUAAUCCUUGGGACGUGUAAUAUUUUCCCAGGAAACAUAGUGCAAUUUCCUCUUUAUAUAUUGGUGGAACCUCAAAAAAAAAAUUUCGUUAGAUUUUAUCAAUAGCUUUACAAAUAAUUAUUGAAAGAUAACUAUAUUGCAUGAAAUAAGCGGGAAUAUCAUUAAGAGGGGACUUGGCCAAAGUAAGUCUGCCCAUGGGAAUUAGGAAUUUAGUUUUCCAAUUAGAGAGCUUCUUUUUUAUAUUAUCGAGGAUAUACUGAAAGUCACUAGUUUUUGGGUUAACUCGAAGGAUCGGGAAAUCAAGGUAUUUGUCAAAGCUUACGGAAGCUUUAAUAUGAAAAAGUUGAUCUACUAGAGCUUGAGAAUUAGGGUCGCAAUGUUUUGAGAAAAUAGCUUUUGACUUAGAAAAAGCAUACAAAAAAAAUUCAUACAACUAGCUACAACUUGGAUAGAGCUCGGGGUAGCUUUGGUAAUAAGAGUAAGAUCAUCCGCAAAAAAAAAGGUGGGAAAAAAGGGGUCCAUUCUUGAAAAGGGAGAUAACUUCUCAUUGAAGGAGAUUUACUUGACAGUAUAUAUAAAUAGAUAGCAUUUUCAUACAAAGGAUGAAAAAUGUAAGGUGACAUCGGAUCUUCCUGACGAAUACCACAGGAGGGGGAGAAAAAGUUAAUCGGAGAUCUAUUAACCAAGACAGAGAUGUUAUUGGUGGUGAUAUAGUUUAUAAUAAGAGAAGUGAUGUUUCUAGGAAACUUAAAGAAAAGAAGAGUACGGAGCGCAAAAGACCAUUCUAAUCUUUCAAAUGUUUUUUCUAAAUCGAGUUUAAACAUUAAACAAUCCUUUUGGCUUUAAUUUUGUUAACAUGAUUAAAAAGUUCUUAAACAAAAAUAGCAUUAUCACAAGCCCAAUGCCCUUUAAUAAAACUAGUUUGGUGGGGCCUAUAAGAUUCGGAAGGAAAGACUUAAUUCUUUUGGUGAUAAUUUUGGUCACAAUUUUGUACUCAGUAUUGCAUAAUCCAAUAGAUCUAAAAUUCUUUAAGAGAUUGGCUUUGAAUUUUGAAAUAAGACACAGGUAGGUAUCAUUUAAAGAGACCAAAAUGGAUUGAAUAUUAAAAAUUUGAUGACAACACUCCAAAAUGCUAUUGAUAAAAUGGUAUACAUAGUAUUUCAUAAUCCAAUGGUAUUGAAUAUUACAUACAGUCUUUCAAUGAUAUUGAUAAAAAUGAGGCUGGAUCCUGUCCGGGUCAGGAGUUUUGAAGGGUUUAAAGAAUAAGAGAGCACUAUAAACUUCAUGAUUUGUAAGGGGUCUAUCAAGGAUAGAAAGGUCUAGAUUACAAUAAGUAUAAGAAGAAGGAAAAUUAAUAUUCCAGUAAGAGCUAGUUCGUUCAGAGGUAAAACAGUUACUAAAAUAAUUAAAAGCGUGAGUUGCAAUACGGUCAUGGUCAGUAAUCCAGUUGCCAUCAUUGUUUUUAAAAUAAGAAACUUUAUUAUUACGUAUUUUAUUAAUAACAGAAAUAUGAUAAAAUUUGAUAUUAACAUCACCAUCAUUAAGCCAGCUUAUUCUAGAAUGAAGCUUUCAAUAAUCCUCCUCAACUUCGAGAGUGUUAUUGUAGUCCUUGGUAAGGGACAUAUUCCUCUGUUCUCCACUUAUUUAGAAAAGGAGUGAGUAGAAGGUAGGACUAGAAAAGAGAUAUGAUUUAGGUAGAUAUCAUUUUAGAUAGUGAUUAAGAAAUCAUCAAUUAAAUGAAGAAUUUUAUUAUUUUAUUAUUUUAUUCUUUAUUUAUAUUCUAAUGAUAUUCAUUAGACGUAGAAAAUAAAUACUGAAAUUGUAAUUGUUAGGAUAUAAUAAAUUAAUUUUAAUUUAGUAAGUAAUCAAUUAAUGUGAGUGAUUUAUUUUUAAUAAGAUGCAACAGUUAAAAUAAAACUGAAGAAAUAGUAUAUAUAUAGCCAGAAGUGACAGUUAAUAGGGAAUUCGAUUCAAGAUUAAUCACACACACCAUUGAACACGUACCAUAUCAAAGUCAUUUUCAACGUCUUCCUCAAUCCCAUACUAGUUGUGCAUCCCCGUGAUUUCCAUAUUUCCAAGUCCAGAAAUAGUGUGAGAGAAUAGUCAGUAAAGUUGGAAAAAGAGACAUCGAAAUUGUAGGCAAGUUGCAGAAAGAAUACAUUCGUUUCAUGCCGUCUCUCUAUCGUGAGGUCAGUCUUUUAGUCUUAAAGAAAUGCUAAUCCAGAAAAAAACAGAGUACCAAAUGAAGCAAUCUUAAUCUCUUUUAUUUUUUCCUUUUUCUUUUUGGUUUGUUUUGCAUGUAUUUGGUUCGGGUUUAUCUUAGUUUGAAGCAUUGCUGAUGAAGAUUUUUUGAUUUUCUUGUUGUUGAACACAAAAGGGAUUCUUGGAUAGUCAGUUUCUUCAGUUGCAGAAACUGCAGGAUGCAGCAGUCCUGAUUUCGUGGUUGAAGUGAUCUCCAUUUUCUUUGAAGAUGCUGAAAAACUUCUAAACAACCUGGCCAUGUCUCUGAGUAAUAGUAGUAGUUUUAUGCCGAAUCAACCUGGCCUAGUUUCAUCAUUUGGUAUGUAUUGUGGUUAUUUAUACAGGCAGCAACAGGUUGUGGAUUUUAAGCAGGUUGAUGCACAUGUCCACCAAUUCAAGGGUAGCAGUUCCAGGUAUUUGGAUUUUAUAUUGGUUGAGACUUUGCUAACAUUAAUCAUCUUUAAUUGAGUCUUAAGCAUUCCAUUUGGUUAUUUCCAUGGCAUGUGGACAACUAAGAGAAGCCUAAGUUUUCUUAUUUCAAUCAAGAAUUGACUUAGGAUUCUGCUUUUGUCAUUUAAAUCCAGAUAGGGAAAACAGCACUUUGAUCUCCUUGAAUUAUUGUUUUUUUCCUUCUUUUGAUCCUUGUAUUAUUUACCAAAGCGUAUUUAACCUUCACUUAAGCUGAUGAUGUGAUUACUACUCUUAAAUGGGUCGAUGGCAAGUCAAGAAGCUCUUCAUAUUCUUAGAUAUAUACUCCUGAAGAUGAGAACAAUUGUUAGAUCUCAAGCUGUGUUCCUUGUCCUAAUGGUAAUUACCUAACACGCUAGGUUGUAUUAGGAAAAUUUAUCUAAUGAUAGAAUAUAGCCAACAGACCUUGUCUAUCUUGUUGGGUGACGAGAUAAUUGAGAUAACAGAAUAAAAUGAAAACUUAUGAGCUAGAUCUAAACGUAUGCUAUCCAAAGCUAUAAUGUAGUAGUUUGCAAAACUAUCACUAACUAAACCUUCAAACAUUGCUUAGGGCCAAUAUUCUCCUAUCUGAUACUAUUUCACAAUUACCUCAGAUAACGAGACUUAGUGUUAGCAUCUCCUGUUGAUCUUCGAUGGCUAUAACUGCAGAUUAUAUGUCGACUUUUUAAAAUGGCUUCUUCUGGCGAGGAGUAUUUAGGAACAUGUAUAAUGCAGUUAGUAGGAAAUUAUAUAGUUUAGAUAGGUGAAUUGCUUUAUAGUCUAUCCUUCAUUUCUUCCUGGUUGUUUGGAAGAAAUUCAAUUAUAUACACUAGAAAUCAUCGGGAAAUGGCUUCAAGCUCGACCAAUCCCUUUGUAGUUGUUUCAGUUCUGAUAUCACGUUGUGCUGCUUCUCUCUCUUUCCUUUCAAACUUUUUGACUUUCCACGUUAGUAUUCUGUUAAUUUCUUUCAGGUGGUUGCUAGUAUCCAAGUUCAUUGUUUGAUUAAAAGCCCCUCUUUUGUUUUGCAGUGCAGGUGCAGAAAGAGUAAAGAAUGUCCUUGUUACUUUCAGAAACUUUUGUGAAGAAAAGUGUCACGACUCGAGCAAGGGCCUUAGCCGUGACGGGUAUCCCGAACUCUAUAUCUGGUAAUCAUGCACAACACUCAUACAAUAAAGAAAAGAUGCGGAAAUGUAAGUCAAGACGGAAGCAUGGUCACUAUCUUUUUCUUUAACUGAACAAAACAAAAACAAUGAGUUCAUGAAACAUUUCAAAACACCUGGCACUAGUUUGCGAAAUCUCUACUAACUGAAAAUAACUUUUGUCUGAAGACUGGGACAAGGCCCCCAGUCGGACCAUGAAUCAAAAUAAAAUGACAAUGACUUAUACAUAGGCCUUCUAGAAUAAGGGAGGUCCACCAACUGCAAACUUCGGACUGCUUAGUGGGACCCCGGGAUUUGUGUUUCAGAUCCUGAAAGAUAGGAGGUCAAUACAGAUGUACUGGUAUGUAAAACAACUCAAAAUGACAUGUUUUUAUAUAAAAUAGGUGAGGGCAUUUCAUAAAACAUUACACAUAAGUUAAAUAAAACACAUGGGCAUAAUUUAGAGUUUCAAAAACUUCCUUGCAAUCAUGACUCAAUACUUUGUUACUCUUCCGAGCUAAUUGUACACCCUGCAAUCUGCAAGUUCAUGAGCUAUAUGAAAUCCACCCUUGACUUGACGGCCAAGCCUCCAAUCCAAGUGUGCCACAAAAAUUGAAGUUUUAAUAAAAUAGUAUACCCUCUUACAAGUAUACCAUGACAUCACCCAUACAUGACAUCCACAUUAUCCCCCUUACAGGAUAAUACCCGUAUCGGCAACCACCGUUUCCAACGAUGAGCCUUUACAUUCAAACGCCUUCUUCGGAUAACCAAUUAGAUCUAUUAAGCCCAAAUUUUAGUUCUUAAAAAAUCAUGUUUCAUACUUUCAAAACGUUCAAUACUUAUUUUAUUAAGGGCAUGUCACUUCCGGGUAUCGUCAUACCCUGACUUGCAAGUUAAUAUUAUAUCAAAUUCACAGCCCAUCAUAUUCAAAACAUGCACAUGACCACCCAAGAUUCAUAACAUCACAAUAGAGUCAUCACUUUGAAAUCUCAAGAAAACUUAGGCAUUUAUCAUCUCUUUGCAAGAUUCAAAACAUGUGGUGCUCAUGUCAAUUUAUUCAAUCACAUACAAUUCUUUCCCUUUAAAGCAAGAAUGUAGUUAUAACAACAAACUCCCUCUCAUCAUAUAUAAACCAUGUCAAAUACCAUGAUAUUGAGAAGAUCACUUUCAAAUCUCAAAACAUGCAUUUCAAAUCAUUCACAAUAAAUAAAUAUACUUUAGUUAGCAACAAGAGAGGGGAUUCAUACUCAUGCUCUCAAUCAAUCUUACAAAAUACACCAAAUCACACACACACACACAUGUAUAUAUAGUUAUAAUUUAAUUUCCAUGAAAAUUGAUUCAAGACAAUAUAUAAUUUCAUCAAAACAAUCCCAUGAUGCAUACUUUCUGAAAAUCAUAUCGAAUACUUCAUUAUAAAUCAUAAUUGGAGAUCUUUAAUAUUGUUAAAACAUUUAAACUUAUGCCCAAGGUUUUUAGAGUAGUCCCACAUACUUUAGAUUAUAAGAUUUGAAAGGACAAAACCCAGAUCUUGAUCCAUUUCUUGGAAUUCUUGACCUUAGGGAUGAGUUCUUGAUCUUUGGGGAGGAGUUAGGGUUUUGAUUUGAGAGGAAAAUUGAAUUAUAGAGUGUAUUAUGCCUUUUGGGAGAGGAAAUCAAGUGUUAUAGGCGGAUUUGGGUGAGGGGGAAUGACCAAAAUAUCCCUAAACCCAUGAGAAACUGAAAUAGCAUGUAAAACAGCUCCGUAACGUGCAGGCCGACGCGUCGCGUCGACAUCGCAUCGGCUUACUGCCUCACAUAGAAAAUGUCAUAACUUUUCGUUCGGUUAUCGGAUGUUGGCGAAAUUGGUAUCGUCGGAAAGAUAAUUCAAUUAUCUACAAUUUGGUGGGUCUUGAGCUGCAAAAUUAUCUGUGUAUCAAAAGUUAUAUACGUUUAAAGUAAACCCUUGUAGAAUCGAAUAUCCAAUUUUGGAUGAAUGAAGGGUUCUUAGCUCAACUUUGCUUCAAGUGAUUUUUAUGAACACUUUUAACAUCAAAAUUACUUCAUACACUAGGAGAAGGAUCACAACACAUGAAUUUAAAUAUAAACCAUGAAAUUAGAUUUUAUGCAUUGACAGUUCGUUUUCUAGCUCGAAAAUUCGGGGUGUUACAUUAUCUCCCUCUUAGGAUCAUUCAUCCCCGAAUGAUGGGUAGAGACUUGUUGAAGUUAUAAAAGUGUAGAAUAAAGAAUGAAACCUCGCAUUGAAUAUUUUUCCUUAACAAAAUAUGCAAAGGCAUCUACCGAGCUUCAUGAUAACCCCUAGUAAGACGUGAAAGCACGAACUAUGGGAUAAUGAGACUUUACAUAGGGAUGAUCUUGCACAUGUGUUAUAUGGACAUAGUCAUCACAACAUAAGGCAGAGAUUUAUUUGAUGAUCAUAAACUUGAUUUAUAUUGGUACUAAUAAUGACAUAAGAUUUCGUGGAUGAUAGGAUUAGGAGCAUUCUCUACCCUAUAAAGUACCACGAAUAGUCUUAAACUUAGAGGCACUAAUCGUCUACACCCCAAACAAUAAAUAGUAUACUUCACACUCACCAACUUACAAUUCUCCAAUCACACAUCUAGCCACAAGAAAUUGAGUUCCAUUACUUAGUACUGCUAUGUUGAAGCCUAACUCGGAGUUAAAAGGUGCUAACUUAAGAUACAGGACCCUGUACUAUACAUCCCCUUAAGAAUAUUUCUUCACCUUAUCAAUAUCAUCAAACACCCUUGGAUUUUGAUUAAGAGGGUACUAACCACAUAGCAGAUAGGUUUGUGUUUUCAUCAAUCACAACGUUCAAGCCUAAUCAUUACUACACCAACUUCAUGGAUCUGCCCACCAAAACCAACAAUUUCAAUCACGCUCACAAAUAUUUUUGUCGCUUCCUCCUUCUUAGCUAUUUUACACAACAAAAGUUCAUCUCCUUCUUUUCCCCUUUCACCUAUACCCUUAGCCCGAGAAGCACAUCAAUUAUUUUCACCUUCAAGAACAUCUACUCCCCUGCCUAACACAUCACCACGCUUUCACAGCCACCAUCACACUAACAUACGGAGGGUCAUUAAGGGACCCGAGCAUAAUGGUCAUGAAUGGGAGAAACACUACUCAAUUAUAACACAUACCUAUUGACCUAAAUCAAGGUGGGACAUGAGGUAAAGAUAUGAUACCAUCAUGAAGUACUUCCUAUAUCAAGUAUCUGGAUCAUAAGUAGAGAGUUGUUCGAAAGAAACACAAUACAACAUGAAUUCUUAGAAUAGAGCAUAGUGAGAAAACAUUGGUGAACAUAUCAAGAUAAAACGAGGGAAAAAAACUGAAUUACCCUCCUAGAACCUAAAGUCAGUAAGGCAAACUGGGCACCCAACGCGUCGAUAUCAUGUCGGGCCACUGCUCCAUCGAUGCGGUCAUCAACACGGCACGUCGGCUUCGCGUCGGGCCACUGUUUCCAACAUCCAAACACAUCUCUAACGUUGUCCAAAAGAUCUGAAACUUCCCCGAGACAUCCCCUUUACAUCUCUAAACAUAAAUCAACUUAAAAAUCUAUGUCUCGAGGUUGGGAAGAUCAAUUUAAAAAUCAUCAAAGUUAAGAGCUAAGAAAUAUGGGUAAGUAUUUUAAUACUUAGAAAAAUUUCAGGUUGUAAUCUCUCUAUGUAUGCAACUAAUUGUGGUAUUGAGUCGAGAAUGCUACAGGGUGUUACAUUACAACUAAGAUAACGAUUUCCACUUGAAGCGAUUGCUCCUCAUUUAAGGAACUGAGAUUUGCCAUGAGUUUGCAUAAACUUUAUCACUUUGGCUAAACCCAACAUUGAAUGAAUCGGUGACAUAUAGAAACAUAUUUCCUUAGGACCAAGCAUGCUGAGAGACAUAGAUUUCCAUGGAUCACGAAAAACAUAACAUAUGGCUAGAACACAUAAAAGACUGGAUUACUGAGGGACAUUAUUACUUCUAGUCUGGAGGUCAUAUCAUGAAGCGAACUCGAACCAUAGGCACAGGCAUGACUUGAACAUAUGACAUAUGACAUUAGCAGAAUAAUCUCCGAAAUAAAAGUAGGAGGAGUAUACUUGAGUAGGAACAGAUUAUUAUGACUCCUCCCCGCGACUUGCCGCAUUGAGAAAAAUUCGGGAACUAGCUUAAUUCCCUAUCUCCCCCUUAGAUCAAAGUCACAAUCCUAGGCUUAUGGACAUAUCCCCACAUCAAAAUCUAUAGCCACAACCCUCAACAUAAAAGAGACAUCACCACACACUUAAACUUUAAACUCCCCCUGAAGAACUAUGCUAUGAAGGCCUUGCUUUUCUGUAAAUGCUACUCUUAGCUUCUGCUAACCUCUAUAGCCAUCAUUAUACAACUUCCAUUCUCAUGAGCGCAUACAUCUACACUCCUUAUCACAGAAAGGGUAUCAGUAUAUACAUGAGCACAAACUCCUCUCAUUAGUUUCUAACACAAAGAUACUAAAUUACCUUUUGAGCCUUCCAUUCAGGAAUACUAAUCAUAGCUUCCUCUAACACCCAAAGUUACUAACUUAUGACUAACAUUAUUAUAGGCAUGGAUAUCCAAGCUUCCAAAUACUUAACACUCUAUCCUCAAAUCCUUAGAAUACUCACAUUACACCUUUAAUCACAUAACUUACAACUUAACAGAAUUUGUAAAAUCACACCCAAGACUCAUAUUGCCUACUAAUAGUUUCUCAAUUCAACUCUAACGAACCCCGAACAAUAACUCACCAGACUUCUCCAUACUACAAUUUCAAGAACACAAACUAGGUAUUUAAAACACUUAUAAACAUAAAUGCUAAACUUUCCCUCUUUAGGGAUACUCUAAAGGCAUUGCUUUCCCAGAACGCUACUCUUAAUUUUUUUUCUUCCCUCUAUCGUUAACAACCUGCAACACGCAGUCUCAUGAGCAUACACGACCUCACUCCUUAUUACAUAAAAAUCCACUCUCCACUACUAAACCUUCUAACAUUAGACUGUUAAUUGCAUAACUUAUAUCGUAAAAUCUUACCUAACGAGUAAUGCCAUACUAAUAGGGGGUGCAACUUAUUCUUUUAUACUUACGCCCUUAUCCACUUAAUGACUCACCCACAAUUCAUUAUUUUAACACUAUUCUUCAUAUACAUAUAUACCUCACAAUUACCACUUAAACUUUUCAUUAAUUAUCAACCUAGGCUCUUUUACAAGUCACAUCAAGCCUACUAAUUAGUUCCUACAAAAUAUGCAUCAUCAAUCUCGAGCUACUAUUCUCACCACUACACUCCACAUCUAAAGUCCAAAUCUGUUGUCUAUCCUCAAUUAUAUACCACCAGUAAAGCAUGCCUCAUACUACUCUAGUCUAUCAAAUUGGGAAAUCAACCUAAAUACUUCACUUCACUUAGCUACUACCUAUAAUCACAACCCCGCCAUAACCUCAUUAUUACAACUCAAAAUCCACUACAUACCUUCUCACAUGAAGUGCUAGUUCACUACUACUAAAGAAAGGACCAUUAAAGGGGUAAAGUCACAUGAUAGGAUUAGUCGGUCUUAAUCUUGUAAUAUAACCCAUUUCAAUUUUAUCAACAUAUUCUAAUUUCUCAUAUCUUAUUUACUUACCCAAUCGUACAUCACAAUAAUCUUCAAAAUUCAAUAAAAACUAAUGAGUCUCUACUUACAACUUAUUAACUAAUCUACCCCUUUCCAUUUACAACCUAUAACAGAUUUCUAUAACCACCAUAACUAUCUGCACUAGAUUCCUUCCCCAAUUCAAAUAGAUAAUAAUCAUAGCCAGCCACUCCCUUCACAGACUACCAUACAAUCUACAAAUAUUGAUACCACAUUAGUCUAUCACUAUACAAUGGCAACCUACUCCUAAAUCCACGAUUACACAACUAAAACUAUUUAUUUGCGCAAAUGUCACCCUCACUCUGACUGCUAACCUUGUGACUUCAUGUCACCAACUUCUAGACCAUCUCAGUACCAAUAGGUCAUGACACUUUAACAUACACUACCACUUGGGUGGAAAUACAGUUUCAACAUUCUUCUACACAUCCUCAUCCUUAAACAUGAUAUCCACAACAAGAAUUUAUUAAAGGAGACUAAAUAAACUCCAUACCUAGGGCUCAACUGCACAACUGAUACAGAUAGGGGUAUAUGCUUAAAUCAACACACUUUAAAGCACUCAUGGACUCCUUUCAGUCCUUGUACAAAUUCAUAAAUUUAUGGACAACUCAAUCAGAGAGAACCACAUCUCUGGGGGAGCUAGACACUUAGACUUGUAUCACCUUGACAAUGAGGCAUAGCCCAUGAAAUUAGAGUAAUGAAAGAAUUUGGAUAACUUUUUUAUGGACAACACUAUAGCACGAACUAGAGUGUGAAAAAGGAACAUUCUGACACCAUAGCACAAACUAGAACAUGAAGAAAGAGAAAUAUUCCUAAAUGCCUUGUAGCCUCCUACUUAUAAGUGUGGUGUGCUACACACCCAUAAAUAGGACUCUACCCGACGCGAUUUUGUAGAUACCCUGGGACCAUGAACCGUGCUCUGAUACCAAGUUUGUCAUGACCCGAGCCGGGGCCCUAACCGUGAUGGGCAUCCCAAACUAUGGAGACCCGGGUGCCCUUCUAUAUCUGGUAAUCAUGCACAACAUUCAUCUAAUAAAGAAAAGAUGCGAAAUAUAAGUCAAGACAGAAGGAUGGUCACUAUUUUUUUCUUUAACUAAACAAUACAAAAAUAAUAAGUUCAUGAAAUAUUUCAAAACACCUGAUACUAGUCUGCGAAAUCUCUACUAACAGAAAAUAACUUCUGUCUGAAGACUAGGACAAGGCCUCCAGUCAGACCAUGAAUCAAAAUAAAAUGAAAAUGUCUUAUACAUAGGCCUUCCGAAAUAAGGGAGGCUCACCAACUGCAAACUUCGGACAACCCAAUCUACUACUUAGUGGGACCCCAGGAUUUGUGUCUCAUAUCCUGAAAUAUAAGGGGUUAAUACAGAUGUACUGGUAUGUGAAACCACUCAAAAUGACAUGUGUUUAUAUAGAAUAGAUGUGAGCAUUUCAUAAAACAUUACACAUAAGUUAAAUAAAAUACAUAGGCAUAAUUUAAAGUUUCAAAAACUUCCUUGCAAUCAUGACUUAAUACUUUGUUACUCUUCUAAGCAAAUCGGUACACCUUACAAUCUGCAAUUCCAUGGGCUAUAUGAAAUUCGUCCUUGACUCGACGGUCAAGCCACCAAUUCAAGUGUGCCGCAAGAAUUAGAUUUUUAACAAAAUAGUAUACCCCUUUAUAAGUAUACUAUGGCAUCACCCUUACAUGACGUCCACAUUAUCCCCCUUACAGGAUAAUACCCGUAUCGACAACUACGGUUUCCAACGAUGAGCUCUUACACUCAAAUGCCUUAUUCGGGUAACUAAUUAGGUCUCUUAAGCCCAAAUUUUAGUUCUUCAAAAAUCAUGCUUCAUACUUUCAAAAUGUUCAAUAGUUAUUUUAUUAAGGGCGUGUCACUUUCGGGUAUCGUCAUACCCUGACUUGCAAGUUAAUAUUAUAUCAAAUUCACAGCCCAUCAUAUUCAAAACAUGCACAUGACCACCCAAGAUUCAUAACAUCACAAUAGAGUCAUCACUUUAAAAUCUCAAGAAAACUUAGGCAUUUAUCAUCUCUUUGUAAGAUUCAAAAAAUAUGGUGGUCAUGCCAAUUUAUUCAAUCACAUGCAAUUCUUUCCUUUUAAAGUAAGAAUGUAGCUAUAAUAAGAAACUCCCUCUCAUCAUGUAUAAACCAUGUCAAAUACCAUGAUAUUGAGAAGAUCACUUUCAAAUCUCAAAACAUGCAUUUCAAAUCAUUCACAAUGAAUAAAUAUACUUUAGUUAGCAACAAGAGAGGGGAUUCUUACUCAUGCUCUCAAUCAAUCUUACAAAAUACACCAAAUCACACACAUAUAUAUAGUUAUAAUUCAAUUUCCAUGAAAAGUGAUUCAAGACAAUAUAUAAUUUCAUCAAAACAAUAUCAUGAUGCAUACUUUAUGAAAAUCAUAUCGAAUACUUCAUUAUAAAUCACAAUUGGAGAUCUUUAAUCUUGAUAAAACAUUUAAACUGAUGCCCAAGGUUUUUAGAGUAGUCCCACAUACUUUAGAUUAUAAGAUUUGACAAGAUGAAACUCAGAUCUUGAUCCAUUUCUUGGGAUUCUUAACCUUAUGGAUGAGUUCUUGAUCUUUGGGGAGGAGUUAGGGUUUUGAUUUGAGAGGAAAAUUAAAUUAUAGAGUGUAUUAUGCCUUUUGGGUGCGGAAAUCAACUAUUAUAGGCGGAUUACGGUGAGGGGAAAUGACCAAAAUACCUCUAGACCCAUGAGAAACUGAAAUAGCAGGUGAAACAACUCCGUAAGGCGCAGACUGACGGAUCGUGUUGACAUCGCAUCGGCUUACUGCCUCAUACAGAAAAUAUCAUAACUUUUUGUUUGGUUAGUGGAUUUUGGAGAAAUUGGUAUCAUUGAAAAGCUAAUUCAAUUAUCUACAAUUUGGUGGGUCUUGAGCUGCAAAAUUUUAUGUUUAUGAAAAUUUAUACACGUUCAAAGUAGACCCUUGUAGAAUCGAAUAUCCAAUUUUGAAUUAAUAAAGUGUUCUUAGCUCUACUUUGCUUCAAGUUAUUUUUUUGAACACUUUUCACCUCAAAAUCACUUCAUACACUAGGAUAAGGAUCAUGGAAUAUGACUUUAUAUAUAAACCAUGGAAUUAGAUUUUACACACGUAGGAAUGAAGGUUCAUUUUCUAGCUCGAAAAUACGGGGUGUUACAAAAAGAACCUCGAUGGGUGAGUUUUGCUUUAUGAUCGUAAGUGUAACUCCUUGCUACAUAGAGUCAAAUUCGAAGGAAAAAAAUACUUCAAUGCACAAACACGGCUGCUUAAUUUAGUAAAAGAGUUAUUGGAAGAAUAACAUAGUGUAGUCUACCAUGUCUUUUGUCGGCAAUUGUAAUUAUGCACAUCUAUUCACUACUUAGUUUAAUAAUAUAGUGACUAAAUCCAGAGAUAUCCUAGUUUCUAUCACAGUGAUCGUGCUUCAUCUUGAGUCCUGACUUAGUUACUACUCAGAGAAUGAGAAAAAUUGGCAAAGAAGACACUUUCCAAAAUUAUUUUACCAAAUACCUAAUAAAUUUCUUUUUGAUUUAAUUUUUAGGGUUAGGGUGUAAAAAAUGGGGAAAAGUUGAAAAAGUGAGGCCCACACGUGGGCCAAGGGACCAUUUCAUCAUUUUUUCAACUUUGCAAAUUUAAUAUAUACACCUAACACCCUCAACUUAUUUCAAUAUAAAAAAAAAACUUUUCUCUCCUCUUCAACUUCAACUCUUCCUCUACUUUAAAGAAUUUUCUCCCAAACGCCAUUUUUUAUUUUUCCUCUUCUCCAACGACAAAGGGCUCAUUUUUGUGUUAUAAAGUAAGUUAAAAUCAAGUUUUGAUUAUUUGUAGAUCCAUUUUAUCGAUUUUUAUUGUUAACCGUUUUGAAGUGAUGUAAUAUAGGAAUUUUUUUCGAAUGUGGUUGAUUAAAUAGUUAAAAUAUAAGAAUUUUAUAGGUAAUUAAUUUGAUUCUGAAGAAAUGGUUGAGUUUUGAUUCGACAGUUUCGAUAGAAUUUUUUUGUCGAUCACAGUGUGGAAUUUUAAAAUUUUUGUUAAGGAAUUUUGUUUUAGUUCUGAUUUUUUUAAGCACUGUAGUAUUGAAUGGUGGGAUAAUUAUUAAUUUAUGAGUUAUUUUGGCUAUUUGAUUCAAGCAGUGAGCUGAUUCUGUCCGUAGACUUGUGGUCUAUAAAAUUAAUAUUUAGGUGUAUGAAAUUCUUUUAAGAUAUGAUUGAUGAAAUUGUCAAAAUUAAAAGAUUAAUAGCUAAUUAAUUUUAUUUGUAGCAAUAGUUGAGUUUUGAUACUACAUGUUUGAUUGAAAUUUUUUCGUUCAUCACGUUGUGAACUGUUUAAUGGUGGGAUAAUUCUUAGUUAUUUUGGCUUUUUCAUUUGAGCAUUAAAUUAUUUCUGUUAAUAGACUUGUGGUCUAUGAAUUGACAAUGAUAGAAUUGUUGAAGAAGAAGCUGAAGAUGGAAAGAAAAAAGCAGUAGACAAAGAAGAAAGAGAAGACAAAACAGACGGACGGAAACAAGAAAAAGAAGAAGAAGACAAAAAUGAUGUGGUCUUGGAUAUCGUUGAUUUCAUCAACGAUAACAUUUGUGAUGAUGAGGAAAAAGACAUUUGAAUGCUAAUAUUGUUAAUGUUUAAGAUUUUUUUUUUUUAGAAACAAUGGAGUUGAAUGAUUUGUUGUUAGGAUAUGACAAACAUUUUUUUAUUUUAUGAAAAUUAUUAUGAUUCUGCACUGAAUCUAUUUUUAUCAAACUGUAUUGUUGCAUGAAAUUUUAAUGUGCAUUAUGUUGUUAUAACUGAUACAGUGUAUGAUUGACUUCAUAGAAUGCAUAUUUAAUCUUUGGUAUACUGUUAGCAUAGUCUAUAAAUACCAUGCUACUCGAUUUUAAGUUGAUGUGUUGUUUGAUCAACUAUGAUUCUAUGAAAAACAGUAUUAACAUUAUAGAAAAAUAUAAGUAUUUUUAUUUAUUCAAUCUCACUCUUAAAAAACUCUUUCCAAACAACGAAUACUAGCAUUAUACCACAUAAUAUCAUUUUUAGUUCAUUCUCCAUUUCUUUGGCUGAAAUCAAUUGCACAAUUAUAAAGUUUGCGACCUAAAUUUGAGUCUACGUAUUGUCCUCGAGACAGCCGCAUUUCCACUAUGAUAAAUUAGAGUUUUUUUAGAAUUCAGUGUUUGAGAUGUUUGAGACAUUGUAGAAUUUUAAAAUAAAAAUAAAGUAGAUGAAAUAAAAUAAUGAGAGAUGGAUGACUUUAUAUAUGAAGUAAAAAGAAGUGUUAAUAUUGAAGGAAUACAAAAUUAGCCGUUUGUUACUGCUGGAACAGUAAUUGUAAUUUUUGAAUUGUUGGUGACACUUAAUAGACUGUCAUCGAUCGUGACCUAUGUCAAUAAUCAACGAGAUAUUAAAGUCUAUCGCAAACACUCUUAAUCGGCGAACCCUCAAUAACAUGUUUAAAAAAAAUAAUUAAGUAAAAAAUAUACUUGUUCUUUGAGAGUCUAUCGAUUCAAUAGGUCUAUCAUAGACUUACACUGUAGGUAGUGCAUCGAUUGAUCUUUGGAUCAUUGGUAGAUCUCGUAGAUGUAUGUACAUGAUUAUAGACCCUUACUAUCAUGUUGUUUAAAAAUACAUAAAUAAUAAAAAAUAAAUAUAGUGUGGAAUUCUACACAUAUGAGUGAGUUUAAACAAGUCACAUAAUCAUAUUAGAGCUUAUACAAAUCAGGAGUGGUGAAUUAAGGUGUGUGUGGAUGGGUAGUGGUUGAACAAACAAUAUCCUAAGAGUAAUGUUUGUCAAAGCACAAGUACGUUUUGAAGAUGUUGGUUGUAUUUGAUGCCUAUCCAUCCACACACUCCUUCAAUGACCACCCCAAAUCAAAAGAGUAUAUGGAUGGGUAGUCAUCAAAUGCAAUCAACAUCUUCAAAACAUACUUGUGCUUUGACGAAUAUUACUUUGAGGAUGUUGAUUUUUCAACCACUUUUCAUCCACAUAAUCCUUCAAUCACCACCCCCAAUUUGUAUAAGCUCUAACAAGAUCAUGUGACUUGUUUAAACUCCUUCAUAUGUGUAGAAAUCCAUAAUUUAUUUAUUUUUUAUUUAAUUAUUUAUUUUUAAACAACAUCCAAGUGAGGGCCUAUAACCAUGUACAUAGAUCUAUGUGAUCUACAAAUGAUCAAGAGAGUAAUCGAUGCACGACCUACAAUGUAGAUCUACGAUAGACCAAAUGAAUUGAUGGACCCUCAAAGCACAAGUAUAUUUUUUACAUGGGAUUGACAUGGGUCAACAUCGAUGACAGUCUAUUAAGUUUCACCAACAGUUCAAGAUUGUUUGUUUAACCAACAGUUCAAGUAAUUAUGUGUUUAAACUUUUUUAAUUUAAUUAUUUUCUUUCACCACCUUCAAAUCAUGUGAUUAUGUGUUUAAAUUUUUUUAAUUUAAUUUUUUUUGUCAAACUACAAGCUACUGAUGAUUCAUCAAUUCAUAAUAUUUACGAUUGACCUAUAUGUCUAGUCGAGGAGUGACAGUGUCUAAGAUUGAUGAUAGUGUAUAAAAUAUUAUCUGGUGUAGUAUAGAUCGAUUUUCUUAUCUUUGAUCGAAUAUAUAUGUGAUCUGAAUUUAUUAUCACAUAAUUUUUACUCUUCGUGAAUUUAAUCAAGUCAGUCUACAAUUGUAUUCAUUGAACAAGCAUCUCCCUAAACACAAUCCUCUGAAUUUCUCUUAAGCUUGAACCCUUACCAUCACAAAAAUAAUUUACGCAUAGUAAAACAAUCAUCUCGAUGAGAUUUUCUUAUGUUUGUUCGUGGCGUGUUCAACACCGCACGUAUGGAACCCAACAUACUUGUAUAUGCAAAAAAUUUUCAAUGAUUCAUACUUCCUUGCCCACAACAACCAACCGCAACCAUGAGAUACACAUUUCUCCUUCAACAAUUUGGUGCAGCUCUUCUGCAUAAAAUAAUUAAAAGACUGCCUCACCGAUGCUCCGUCUAGUAGCAUUUUCAGCUCUUUCUUGUCCAAAAAUAUUUGAUCAUGAUUAAAAUUGGUUUCAUCGGCGAAGAAAUUUCUUGGUUGUGAUUCCGUUCCACAAUCUUCUUCCGCAUCUUGUGAGUCCAAUAAAACGUAUUCAAUAUGCAUAGAAAUAUCUUUCAUAUUAAUUGGAUGAUCGCCAUCGUUCUCAUAAUCAUUCAAAUCGUCGUCGACUGACAGGCACUUAGGUGGGGGUGGUGAUGAAUUCAACGGUUCUUUAAAGGGCUCCUCAACUACAUUUAUUCUUAAAAUAGGCCUAAAGCCAUCAACAUCCACCAUGUAUAACGGCACACGUUUAUCAUUAUUUAUGAUCGUAGGAUGCACCUUUUUCCUCAAAUGCAUUAGAUAACUAAACACCGUAUUGCUCAGCGCGUAAUCUAGAUUCUCAUUUUCCAUUACGCUUACAACCAAGUCAUCAUAUGAACCACAACGGCGAACCGCAAUGGGCAAUGUCAUUUUAGUAAAAGAUUUUCAUUUCUAAUAUUUGGGAGUCUCCUCCCAUUCUCCCAUGAAAUCACUAGAAACCUGAACAAAUUCUGCUAUAGACAUUCUAGAAUUAACAUUUGGUCGAUGGUAGAUUAUGUUGAAGGUUUAUGUCGGGAUGUAUGCAUGGUCGAUGACUGAGUAGAUAUCCGUCCAAAAACUUAAAAUUGCAAAUAUUGCUUCUAAUCAAUGAUCGUUGGGUUUAUGAAAUAGAGAAAUAAACUUGGAGUUGCCUGACCUGUUGUAAUGUACUUUCUGAAGUGGUUUUGAGUAAUGUGAGUGAUUUAAAGCUUUUUAACAAUGGUGGAAAGUGUGUUUGAGAAGAUAACAAAUAAAUGGGGUAACAAUGGAUGCAAUGAACAAGCUUAUGAUGUUUGUGGACUGAUUUAGAGUUGAUCGCUGGAAAAUAACGCUGGAAAAGUGGCUGAAAUCAAAACUUUUUGGAGGAAAAUGGAAGCUUCUAUUUUAAGCUAUUGGAUUUUUCUUAAUUAUUUUUAGAAACCCAAUAUAUUUUAUAUAUAAUGGUGGAUGAUGAAGUGGGUUCAAGUGUAUUAUUAGAAACUUGUGGGUGAAUUUAUUAAGUUGAAAAUAUUGGGUUAAAGUGAAUUAUUAUAAAACUUGUGGGUGAAGUUGUUAAGUUGGAAAACUUAGUGAAUUAUUAUAAAACUUGUGGGUGAAAUUGUUAAGUUGAAAAAGUUAGUGGUGAUGUGGAAUUUAGUGGUAUAUGACCAAUUUUUUCAAACUUGUGUCUAUUUGGCAAAAUAGUUUUCAAAAAUGGGCAUUUUGGCAGAAAAUCCCCAGAGUCUUGAAACAUUCUUCUUGUGAGGAGACCUUUUUUAGUAUAUACUUGAUUCAGUAUAACUAAUUGCGUAUACAAUUGUCCUUCCCAUAUAAUAUUUCUGUAUAUAAUUCUUACUUUAAAUUGAUGGUAUAAAACAAAAUCAAGUGGAUCUUUGUUAACAUCUCUCAUCUCUUUAUCUUUUAUUUGUUAUAUCUUUUGGACUCCAGAAAGGAGAUAUCUCCAGCUUUAGAAGAUAGAUUGAAGAUUUAGACCAGUUUGUACUUGUUUAUAUAAUUAUAUCUUACGAAUGUCAUUUCUUCAAGUAGCUUUGCAGUGCCAGAAAAACACUUAAGUUACAUGUUUAAAGUUCUAAAUUACCAUACUACGCAAGAUUUUCGUUAUAUCUACUUUUGUUCCCAAGUGGACCCCAUUAUGGAGAAUCUGGAAAGGCAGCAUUUACACUUUGUCUGGCUCACGUUUUCUAAGAUACAUUUGAAUUUUUUUCUUUGAAUUAUGAUAAUCUUUGGUAUACCGUGAUUUAAGAGAACAUGCUAGCUAGGUUCUGAAAACGUAACAUUUGAACUUUGUCUGGCUCAGCUUUUCUCAGACACAUGUGUUUGCUUUUCUUCGAAUUAUCAUAAUCUCGUUGUACCAUGGUUUAAGAGAAUAUGUUAGCUAGGUUGAAAGCAUCAAACUGCAUAAUAUGAGCUAUUAUUGGAAAAAUAAAGUAAUUUAGCGAGCAUAGUUUCGAAAAAUGAUAUCUAUCUUAGUACGCUCAGUGUCAAGUCAUCUGAUUCAGUAGUUCGGGCCAUAUAGAGCCAAAAUUGGGUGUUAUUUGACAUCUUAACUCAAACAUAUGGUGAAUGGGUGUUUUAGUUUAAUUUAGUGUUCCCUCAUAAUAAGUUUGUGUUGAUUUUAUGUUUCAAUAAAUUUUGAAACAAAUACAUUGGUUAAAGAUUUUUAAGAGUUAUGUUUCAAUUAGUUUUGAAACAAAUGCAUCACUUAAAGUUUUGAGUUACAAAGAAAAUGUAUUUGACAAAUUCAUUAUUCAUUAAGUUUUACGUUAUAGUUUCUUGAAAGAAUGACAUUUUUUUGUUUUAAAACAACAUGAACCUAUUAACUAUUACUUAAUUAAUAUGCUUCUCAUGCAUGAAACUUUCAUCCUAUAAAUAGUGUUUUCUUUGUUUUGAAAAGAUAAGCACUCAAAACUACUUUUUCCUUGAAAACACUAGAGAGACAUUGAUCAAAUGGUGAAAUCACCAAUUCAAGAAUAGAAGAGCAACCUUCUUGAAUGCUACUUGUUUUGUGGCUUAGUUGAAUCCCAAAGAUAGAGUUGUCAGUUGUUAUUCUGUUUUCUCGUGGGAGAGACUCCAAAUAUCUUCAAGAAACGUAUUACCGUGCCUCUAAGCCAAGAAAGUUUUAUUUUGAAUUUCUUGUACAAUUAUCAUUAUUGUUCUAACAAUUUGAAGAUAAUUGUCUCUAUGGCUUCUACAUCAAUAUCAAAUAGUAUUCCAUCUUUGCCUUAUCCUAAUUUUGAAAUUUUUGAUGGCAAAGACUUUCCUAGAUGGCGUGGAAAGAUGGAAUUCUUUUUAAAAAGAUUAAAGUUGGCAUAUGUUCUUGAAGAACCUUGCCCUAAUACUCCUGGUUCUGAGGUAGCAUUUGACGAGGCUACUUUGAUUAAAGAACAAAUUGCCAAAUGACAAUAUGAUGAUUAUUUAUGCAAGAAUUAUUUUUUUGGAGGAAUGUCUAACAAAUAUUAUGAUCAAUAGUAUGUUAAGUGCAAAUAUGCUAAAGAGAUAUGGGACACUCUUCAAGCUAUUUAUUUAGCCGAAGAGGCGAGUUCUAAGAAAUUUCUCGUUUCAAAUUAUAUGGAGUUCAAAAUGGUUGAUGACAAGUCAAUCACUGAACAAGUACAAGAAUUCCAACUUAUAGCUAAUAAAAUUGCUAUAUCUGGAAUUGCUCUUGAUGAAAAUUUUCAUGUUGGUGCUAUUGUAUCAAAACUUCCUUCACCUUGGAAAGAGUACCGAAGCAAACUCUUACACAAAAAAGAAGAUUUGACUCUUAAACAAUUAUUGCAACACUUGCAAAUUGAACAAGACACACGAUGGCGCGAUAAUAAUAGUUUGAAGGAACCUGUCAUGAAAGCUCAUAUGGUUGAAGAAAAAUCAAACAAGAAGGAACAUGAAAAUAAGAAUUUUUCAAAGGCAAAGAAGACUACAAAUUUCAAGCGUAAUGGUGCCAAUUUUAAAUCUGGUGAAUGCUAUCAUUGUCACAAAGUUGGUCACUAUGCGCGUGAUUGUAGAAUUCUCAAAGCCGAAUAGAAGAAAGAAAAAGCAAAUAAAAAUAAAAAAGAUGAUCUUGUGGCAAAGGUCACAGAAGUAUUUGUAGCGGAAGAUCAAGUGGAAUGGUGGAUAGAUACUGGCGCAACUCGUCACAUAGAUCAAGUGGAAUGGUGGAUAGGUACUGGCGCAACUCGUCACAUAUCAAGUAACCAAAAUUCUUUCAAGACUUAUGAAUUAGUGGGGGACGGUAAAAUUGUAUAUAUGGGAAACUNNNNNNNNNNNNNNNNNNNNNNNNNNNNNNNNNNNNNNNNNNNNNNNNNNNNNNNNNNNNNNNNNNNNNNNNNNNNNNNNNNNNNNNNNNNNNNNNNNNNNNNNNNNNNNNNNNNNNNNNNNNNNNNNNNNNNNNNNNNNNNNNNNNNNNNNNNNNNNNNNNNNNNNNNNNNNNNNNAUGUUUGUUGUAAAAGGUUAUGUUACAAAUGGAAUGUUUAAACUCAAUAUUGAAAAUGAAAAUAUUUUUGCUUAUCUUGUGGAGUCUCUGGACUUAUGGCAUGAACGUUUGGGACAUGUGAAUUUUAGAUCCAUUCAAUUUAUGGUGAAUAAUAUAUUAAUCAAAGAUUGUGGAAAGAAUUAUACUACUAAGUGUCUUACUUGUAGUAAAUGCAAGAUUACUAAGAAGCCCUUUAAGACAGUUGUAAGGACUUCCACACUUAUGCAAUUAAUCCACACUAAUAUUUGUGAGAUGAAUUAUUUGUCACAUCAUGGAAAGAGGUAUUUUCUCACUUUUAUUGAUGACUACUCAAGAUAUACUUAUGUCUUUCCAUUGAAAACAAAAGAUGAAACAUUUGAGACUUCCAAAACAUAUAAAGCAGAAGUUGAAAAUAAAUUGAGUGUGAAAAUUAAGUCUAUUAGGUUUGAUAGAGGUGGAGAGUACUUAAAGUCAGAUUUUAUUAAUUUUUGUGAGAGAGAAGGCAUUGAAAAACAAUUGACCAUGUCCUAUACACCACAACAAAAUGGUAUAGAAGAAAGAAAAAAUAGGACUUUCAUAGAAAUGGUUAAUUCUAUGCUUUAUGGAUCUGGUAUAUCUGAAAAUUUGUGGACUGAAGCGUUGCUUUCAGCAUGUCAUAUUUUGAAUAGAAUUACUUCCAGGAAUCAUGAUGCAUCUCCAUAUGAGCUUUGGAAUAAUCUAAAACCAAAUAUAAAUUAUUUUAAAGUAUGGGGUUGCUUGGCUCAGGUUCGAUUACCAAAUCAACAUUUAACCAAGAUUGGAUAUAGAGGAGUAUACUGUGUGUUUAUUGGUUAUUCACAAACCAGUAAGGCUUAUAGAUUUUUAAAUCUUGAGACCCCAAGUCCUCACAUAAUUAUUGAAUCUUUACAUGCUAACAUUUUUUAGCAUAUAUAUCCCAAGAAAAAAGAUUCUUUUGAACAAGAUUCAAGUUCUUCUAUUCCUCCUCUUAAAAGGAAAAUAGUUGAGCCAUUGGAAGAAAGUCAAUCAAGAUGUAGUUCAAGAUCAGUCAAAUCAAAAGACUUUGGACCUGAUUUUCAAGCUUAUUUGGUUGAAAAGGAUCCUGAAAGUUAUGCUGAAGCUAUGUCUUCACAUGAUGCUCCAUUUUGGCGUGAAGCCAUUGAUGAUUAAAUGCAUUCUAUAUUAUCUAAUAAUACAUGGAUAUUGUCAGAUCUUCCUCCUGGAUGUAAACCAAUUGAUUGUCGAUGGAUUUUUCGAAAUAAAAUAAAAUUCGAUGGUACUUUAGAUAAGUACAAAACUUGUUUGGUAGCUAAAGGCUUUACUCAAUUGAAAGAUAUUGAUUAUUUUGAUACNNNNNNNNNNNNNNNNNNNNNNNNNNNNNNNNNNNNNNNNNNNNNNNNNNNNNNNNNNNNNNNNNNNNNNNNNNNNNNNNNNNNNNNNNNNNNNNNNNNNNNNNNNNNNNNNNNNNNNNNNNNNNNNNNNNNNNNNNNNNNNNNNNNNNNNNNNNNNNNNNNNNNNNNNNNNNNNNNNNNNNNNNNNNNNNNNNNNNNNNNNNNNNNNNNNNNNNNNNNNNNNNNNNNNNNNNNNNNNNNNNNNNNNNNNNNNNNNNNNNNNNNNNNNNNNNNNNNNNNNNNNNNNNNNNNNNNNNNNNNNNNNNNNNNNNNNNNNNNNNNNNNNNNNNNNNNNNNNNNNNNNNNNNNNNNNNNNNNNNNNNNNNNNNNNNNNNNNNNNNNNNNNNNNNNNNNNNNNNNNNNNNNNNNNNNNNNNNNNNNNNNNNNNNNNNNNNNNNNNNNNNNNNNNNNNNNNNNNNNNNNNNNNNNNNNNNNNNNNNNNNNNNNNNNNNNNNNNNNNNNNNNNNNNNNNNNNNNNNNNNNNNNNNNNNNNNNNNNNNNNNNNNNNNNNNNNNNNNNNNNNNNNNNNNNNNNNNNNNNNNNNNNNNNGCUACUUAAUCAAUGGUGGAGAUAUCUGCAUAUUUAGUAAAUUUUAAGAAAAUUCUGGUGUUAUAAUAUGUCUUUAUGUAGAUGACAUGUUGAUCUUUGGAACUGAUAUGGAAAGAGUCAAAGAAACAAAAUAUUUUCUUGCUUCUCAGUUUGAAAUAAAAAAUCUUAGAGAAGUUGAUGCAAUUUUAGGCAUUAAAAUUGUAAGAUCGGCAAGUGGUUUGACUCUUACUCAAUCAAGUUAUAUUGAGAAGGUUCUAAAGAGGUUUGGUUAUUUUAACGACAAGCCUGCUCCUACACCAUUUGAUCCUAGCAUCAAACUAGUACAAAACUCUGGUGAUAUUCUUGAUCAAUUGACAUAUUCUCAGAUGGUUGGGAGUCUUAUAUAUGCCAUGCAUUGUACCAAGCCAGAUAUUGGUUAUGCUGUAGGAACUUUGAGCAAGUUUACUGGUAGCCCUGGAGUUGAGCAUUGGAAUGCCUUAAUUCGUGUUUUAAGGUAUCUGAAGGGUACAAUAAAUGUUACCCUGCAUUAUUCUACCUUUCCAGCAGUUCUUGAAGGCUAUAGUGAUGCUACUUGGAAUUCUGAUCUGAAUGACUCUAAAUCUAUUACUGCUUGGAUUUUCACUUUGGCUGGAGCAGCAAUAUCUUGGAGAUCAAAUAAGCAGACAUGUAUUACUCACUCAACCAUGGAGUCAG